rnacentral:lncRNA from 1 species
UUUUUUUUUUUUUUUUUAUGUUCUUUAUCAAUUAUAAAUUUAUAUUUCCUUGAACCCUUGAAUAUAUCUAAAGGAAUUAUUAUCUUAUACAUUUCACAAGAAUAUUAUUAAUUUAGUAGAUUGGCCCUAAUUGAGACUAGAAAUUUUAUUAUUUAAAUGAGGUUAUUAAUUUAUUGAAUAUUUAUUUAUCAAGGUUUUAUUGUAUAUAUAUAAUUUAAUAAUCUAUAAAGAGAGAUGAGAUAUACACAUCUCUAGGACCACAAAUUCUUUUCUCUCAUCUAUUAUUUUUUAUAUUUUUCUCAUGUUAGUCACUUUGCUAAGAGAAAAAAAAAUUAUUAAAAAUUAAAUCUUUGUUUAAAAAAUAUAAUAGUGUUGUUUGUUUAUACAACUUUGAAUGUUUUAAUUAUUAAUAUUAUCAAUAAAAAAAAUAAAAAUUACCUAUUAAAGAACAAAUUAUAAAGAGAUACUUGAAGAAUACUAAAUAUGAAAAGGAUUUCAUAAUUUUUUUAAAUACCAAACAUUCAAGAUCAAUAUAUUUUCAAUUUUCUAUUCUUUCACAAACCAAACAUUAUACAUGGAAAAUAAUAUCAAAAAUUAAUAUCAUAUCCCAUGUGUAUGUAUAUAUAUAUUAGGAACAACGAGGAUCGUCAAAGCAAAAUUCGGCAAACAACUGCCUGAUUCUGCAAUAAUGGAUGAGGUAUAUGCGCACUACCUUCAUGGGAUUUGAUAGUUUUACAUGCAUGAGAUUAAUUGGCAUGCAACAAAAAUAUCAUAAAAUAUAAGUUAAUCAACUUAGUUUGGUAUGAUCAUAGAAGAAUCUGACAUCGCAUGUUAAAAGGCAACCUAAAAUAUUGUGAUCCAAUAUCUAUAUAUAAGAGCCAGCUCCUUUAACUAAGUUACAAUUAUUCCUUGUGAAUGAAAUGACAAAUAUUCUAAGUAACUCUCUAAAGCUAAAUGCCUGUGCAAUGCUUAAUCAAGUUUUAGAUAUUGCAUCUAACAGUUAUUUUAACAUACUAAAAUGAAGAAUAUUUUAUUUUCCUUUUCCUCAUUUCUAAGUCAGGGAAUUGUCCAUUAGAAGGAAUUUAAUCGAGGGCGGAACAUGAUGCUGUUAACAACAUGCAGCUAGAAUCAAAACCCAACUUCUCCACCUUGUAUCUAUAUCUACUGAUUCAUUUUCUGCUCUUUCAGCUUGUGAAGUGAGAAGACGAGAAAGCAGUGAAGAGGGAGCUUAUGGCAAAGGAGGGAAGUAAACUUAGCAGCAUUUACAGGAGGUUCAAGCCCCACCUCCUCAUGGCUUUGGCUCAGUUUGGCUACACUUUUUUAUAUUUCAUAACAGAAGCUUCCUUCAAUCAUGGGAUGAACCCUCAUGUCUACAUAACCUAUCGACAUAUUGUGGGUGGUUUGGUGACGUUUCCUUUUGCCUAUUUUCUCGAAAGGUACAUUAAUAUCUAUCUCUAUGUAUAUGAAUGAACUGUGCUUACUGUGAAAGUAACUGUGUUUGAGUGGUUGUUUCUAUAUAUGCCCACAUUUAUAUAGUAAGGCUUAACAUAGAAGACUGAAGAGUAACCAUUUAUAUUUAGUAAACACACAUAUGCAUGACUGUAGGUAGUCCCAUAAAUUUCAGUUUUGCCUGCCAUUCACGAGUGAAUUGAUUCUCUUCACCAUAUAUAAUGGUUUAACAACUACUAGGUGUAGCUCACUAUCUCAGAUAUUAGAUCUUCACAGGAGUUGAUUAAUCAGUUAAAUUCUUUCAUGCAGAAAAGUGAGGCCAAAGUUGACAUUAGCUCUGUUUGUGGAGCUUUUUAUUCUCUCCCUCCUGGGGUAAGAACACAUAAAAAUUAUGCCUUUGAUUCUCUGAACGACAGUACAGUACUACAGGGCAAAGAAGGCUGAUCAGUCUCUUGUUUGGUGGUUACAGGGUGGGUUUGAGUCUCAACAUGUAUUUUGCAAGCUUGAGAUACACUUCUCCAACCUUCAUUGCAUCUGUGGUCAACACCAUAGCUUCUCUGACUUUUAUAAUUGCUGUUGUGCUCAGGUCAGUGUCCUUAGUCCACCUAAGAAUUUAUUUGAAAAGACUGGCUGUUUUCAUCAGCUCAUUAAUUAGUUUUCUUAUUAAAAUCAACUUCAUUCAGGAUGGAAGUUCUGGAUUUUCGAAAUCCCCGUGGGAUAGCAAAAGUUCUUGGAACCUUGGUCUCCUUGGCUGGUGUCAUGACUAUGACAUUGUACAAGGGACCUAUCAUGAAAAGCCUUUGGGAUCCUCUUAUCCAUAUUCAGGGAAACACAACUAUCCAUGAGAACUGGUUGAAAGGUUCGAUCCUGACUGUAGCAAGCUGCGUAACAUGGUCCAUCUGGUAUAUUAUGCAGGUAUUUAACCUAAACUCCAAACUACUGAAGUUUCGAAGCAGUUCAGUACUAGCUAAGUUUUUGACAGACUACUAUAGCCAACUGAAUCCCUGAAAGAGAUCACGGCCACCACUCAUAAAUGAUAAGCCAUGAGUUUAAGUACCACUACUAUUAAUGAACUUUGCAACUCUUUGCUUCCAACCGAAAAAAGAAAUAGUAUUUUUCUAAUAAACAGAUAUAAAUUGUAUCAAGAUAUUCUAUAUAUAGGUAAAUAACGACUCCUAAAAAUUGCAGGCAAUUACACUGAAAAGAUAUCCUGCACAACUGUCUCUGACUACAUGGAUGAGCUUUAUUGGGGCAGCACAAUCAGCUGUUUUCACAGUGUGUGUGGAACACAGUAGAGCGGCUUGGACCAUUGGCUUCAACAUUGAUCUGUGGUCCACCGUAUAUGCUGUAAGUUUAGGGUUUCCAAUAGUCUAAUACCCUGUUCCAACUUAAAAUUUAGAUUUUUACUGAAUUCUAUUCAUGGAUCAUUCAUGGCAGGGUGUAGUAUGCUCCGGUUUAAUAAUCUUCGUUCAACUAUGGUGCACAGAAGAAAAAGGACCUGUUUUUGUAACCAUGUUUAAUCCCCUUUCAACAGUAUUAGUAGCAGUUUUAGCAUAUUUCGUCCUUGGAGAAAAACUUUACAUGGGAAGGUAAUUAAGACUCAUAUUGUUUCUACGCUUGAGCACAUCACCCACAUUAUAAUCCUCACCAUAGUUGUAGUUUGAGUCUAUAUAUAUGCAGUGGUUUCUGAACUCCAAAAGUUCAUCUUUGGCUUCUUCAGCAUACUAGGGGGAGCAAUUGUCAUAGUUGGAUUAUACUUGCUGUUGUGGGGUAAAGAAGGUGACCAAGAAGCUCAGGUCAAGUCACAAGAGGAAUCUUAUUCGGCCCGUGAUUUGCAAGGGGGCCACAAGACACAAAUAAUUACCUCAGCUGAGGAGUUACAAAGAGCAGAACCUUAGAGAUUUAAUAAUUAAUUCCUUAGAUAAGCACAGCAAAGGGGAUCAUUAUGAUGAAGACCAAUAAAAUCCCAGAAGAAAGUCAAAAGAAAACGAAAGGGGCAAACACAAGAGAAAUGAACUUUGUUUCUUGAUCACCUCAAUCAUUUUCGGUACAAGCUUCUGUGAAUUAAUGCUAUUUUUUACACCAUGAUACAGAGGACUCCAUCAAGCUCAGCUUCUAAGUUGACGGAGAGGUUCUGAUUGUAUUUCUCUAAUCACGAAAUAGUGUGUCCUUGUGUUACUAGCUUAUUCAGCAAAUGAAGCAAGAUGAUUGAAUAAAAAAGAAAUGCAUGUUUUAGAUUCACCAAAUUGUCCCAAGUUGCCAACCGGUUUAUGUUCCUUUCUAUAAAAAAAAUGUUGCAUAAAUAUCUUUACGAAUAUUUUAGGUCAUGAGGAAAAUAUGUUAUAAAAUAGAGAUGAAUUUGUGAAAACUACAUGCGAUAAAUAAAUAUGCAAGAAAGAAUAAAAGACAUCCAAUAGGGAGCUCAUACAAAAAGUGAGGACAUAUAAAAUGUUUCAAAACUCAUGCAUUGUAUUUAGUUUUUAUUAUCUGUAAUAUUCUUUAUAGUACAAUGAGAUGAUCUUUUUUAUCUUUGAAUGUGGGCAUAGUUGGCUUAGCUACAUUAAAACUCGUGUAUCUUUGUGUAUGUAUUAUUUUAUCUUUAUAUGCCUAUGCUAACACUUCAACAUUAAAAGUUUCCACUAGCAUAACAUUCAUUAACAUGUGCAAUACUUUAUGGAUAAUCACUAUAGUUACAUGUACAUUAUGAGUCUUACUAUUAAUCCCUUGGCAUGGAUCAUGCGACACUAAGGGGUCUCAUGGAUGGGUACCUUGCAACCAUGAGGGAAGCCCUAAAGGAAGGUACAAGGUGGUCAAGGGUUUGUGACAUUAGAUAUGCAAAGGGCUUCAGAACUUGGAUGGGUACAACAAAGAGUUGCACACAAAGAGGAGCAAGCACAGUUGUACACAUGAGGAGCAAGCACGGUCGAGCACAUGCAACAACCAUGCUCAUGCACGCGGACUUGGGUGAUGUUUCCUCUAGAAACUUCCAUGGAUCACGCGCACCCACAAGCCAUGUGCACAAGAAUAGGAGGCUUUCUAGGAAAAUUAAUUAGUGGAUUUUUGGAAUUAUUAAAUGGGUCCAUUAUUCCCCUUCAUGCAUGGGUGAUGUUUCCUCUAGAAACUUCCAAAACAGCCCAAAAUGCUCUUUAAUGAGAGGGGGUAGGUGACUCAAGGUAAGGCAUGGUGACUUAAGUGUGGCCACACCAAGGAAGCCUCAAUGCAAGGCCUUUGACACAAGCAAGGCUCAUGAGGCAAGCCCUAUUGGCACCCAUACAUACAUGGGGCUCCAUGAAUGUAACAAACCUCCAACAUGAAAGGCACCCAUUGUAUGAGGCUUUCACAAUCUUCUCAACUCAUGCAAUGACGUUUAGAACGAUGGAACAAUUUGCAUUUCUGAAAAUCAUUUUUUUCUUCGAACCUCCCUUUGUAGAAAGCAAAUCAUGCUGAAAAGGUGAUAGCAAGAGUCUUUUUACAAUGUACUCAUUUUUCCUUGAUAAAUAGUGCAAGGUUGUGUUGGAUUUAAAAAUAACAAGGGAAAGAAGAGAAAAUUUGGAGAGACAUCAAUUUCUGGGAGGUGAUUACGAUGGAAAAAUAGAUAAGAGUAGAAAAUGGAGCUUUGUACACUUGGAUCAUGAUAAAACUUUUUAUGUUUUCCUUAUAAAUACAAGUAGGAAAACUUGUAAAAUGGUGAGCUUUUUCACUUGUCUUCUUUAAUUUCCUUCUGUCAUUGCCUAUCUAAAGUCCCAUCCAUAAAGAUUGUCACACCAUACAACCAGUUUUCCUUGUGCAAUGUUUAGCUAAUCAUUCAGCCAGGCAACCACGUUAAAUGUAUUUAGCACAAGUGAAUGAUGAUAAUUAAGUGGCGGUCCCUUCAAUUAUAGGUCUGCUACUAUAAUUGAAAAGAACAAUCAUGAAUAAGAAAAAGAGAAGCGUUCCCUAGUUCUGAAAACACCAUCAUUUAAGACAGAUGCUUGCAUCCGCAAAUGCUAAGAUGAAUUUUCAUCCACAGAGAAUCCAUGCAAAACAUUACGUCUCCAAAAAUCUGCCGUCAAACACUAUUUUUUAGGCAUAGCGAGGGAGCCCCAAAACAGAGUAUUGAAACUCUGAAAUAGAAAGAACACUGUUGUAGUUGCACCAACUUAAUAUAUUCUUUUGCAUUCCAUUUACCUAUCAUCAAGUUUCCUAGUAGCCUAAUCUUGAUUUUUCUUCCAAGGAGUUCAGCUACUUCCACACAUCUCAAGCUUGUCUCAGAAAUAAAAGUCUCUGCCUUUACAUUUUGAACCCAGAAACAGUACGAUACUAUUUAAAAUUUCUUAGAUAAAGAUAAGUCCAAUGUACAUUUAAAAUCAGAAAUUGUACGGUUCAAAAAAAUUAUUGAAGCAAAUAGAUAGCAUCCAACGACAUGCCUUGCCAAACUCUGCCAUUUAUUUACUACUAAUUUAACCUAAAGAUCAGGCAAAAUAGAGGAGCAGUAAUAUUUACAUGUAGAAAUGAGCAACAAGACUGUUAGAUGAUUGUAGAAUAAAGCAUCAGGAAAUUAUCAUUACUCUUUUAAAAAUUACUAUGCUGCAGGUGGCCUCAGCUCAUGAUCAUGGGAAGUAUCAAGAGCAGAUGAAGGUAUAUAUUGCCACAUUGGAAACAAGCCAUAGCUCGGGAAAACAGCCGACUUAUUUGCCCCAGUAUGAUGUGUUGCUGCAGGGUAGGUAGGCCAAAACCCUGCAGCUGGAGCAGAAAUUGCUUUCAUCUGCUGCUCUAUCCUUUCUUUAUCCGCCUUUAGCAAGAGUUUCUCUUCACGAAGUUCAUUCUUCUCUGCCUGUAGGAAAUAAAAAAUUAAUAGCUAGUAACAGAAAGCUCUCAAGUAACGUCAAUCUCAGAAAUAACUGAAGAUUUCAUUUGCUCUUUCUGUGAGCUUGUGUGGGUUGGGUGAAGGGGGUGUGUGGGAGAGCUGUGUGGCGAGAGAAGUGUUCAAGGAUUUGAAGACAUGCUGUGGUUUCAAUACAAAGGGAAAGAAAAGAAAUAAGAAAAAUGCAUUUCCUUGAACCAAGAAGAAUGGACCAAACCCCAGAAAAAGAUGUAAAAGAGGCAAAACAGUAAAUUAAUCCCAUCCAGGGGCUUCCAGUGCAGUACUCUAUACUAACCCAACAUACUUCGGUACCCGUCUAAUCAAUCAUGCAUAGUUUGGUGGGGCUGUGCCAAGUUUGCCAGCAGUAUUAAAAGAUUGUAGUUCAUCAACACCCUUGACAAAAACAAUAGAAGUUUUUUGUUCAGAAUUGACACAUCAAGUAACCAUCUUCUUACUCAUCUAAAUAUAACAAAUAAAAUAUUAAAAUCAAUAUGUCAUUCACCACCUUCUCCUGAGAAACAUGGUUUCCAUAUACGCCUACCAAAUUUCUAGAAAACAUCUUCAUAUCAUGUGUCGCCUCCCCAAAAGAAACAUGGUUUCUAUAUAUAUGUGCUUUACUGGUUUUUAGAUAAUAUCUUCAGAAGAUUUAUAGUAAUACAUCCCAUUUCCAAGAAAAGACAAUCCUCCCACUAGGUUCUGCAACCAGUUUAAGCACCUCUUUAUUCUAGUUGCACAUUGGAUUUCUUGAUCAGCAUUUUUCUUCUGAAGUUAGAAGACUAGUCAGUAUUUAAGCGUGCAAGAGCCUCUAGCUGUGCAGAAGGUUUGAAAAUGCUGGAAGAAACCUGCUAAUACCAGGAAAUAUGCAAAGCAGCUUCCCAGCAACGUUGUAGAGAAAAGUGUGAUGCAUGAUACUUACAUCAGUUUACCCAAAACUGUUCCAUAGGCCACAUUUUAGUACACCUUAUCCCCCUUCAACCUUCAAAUUUCAUAUUUUACAGGAAUCUUAACUGCUCAGAGGCCUAAUAAACCGGUGUUGUACAGCACAUCAUUAACUCGUUAUUUCUAUGAGAUGCACACACUAGUGUCAAAAAUACCACCCUCAUCACCCCUAUAGUUUAGUAACAACUAACAAUGACAUCGCAAUAACAUGCAUCCAUUAAUCUGAUGUCAUGUUAGAACAAUAAAUCAAUGCUGGAUUACCGAACUUACCAAAGAAUGCCCUAAGAGACUAUUUAAGCCAUAAAUGGCCUUCUAUAGCUUGCAGACCUCAUCAAACUGCACUUGUGAGACAUGCUGAGAAGAAGGUUGCUCCAUGUGAAUUUCUUCCUAGACAUCACCAUGAAGAACUGGAUCCAACCCAUAGGAGGAUUAUAAUUUGGAAACUAUGAGAGACAAACACAUAUGAAAAAUGUCAAACUGGUUGAGAACCCAAAAACAAAUUGAAUGGGAGAACAUCGGUGGGUCAGUGACAGAGCCAGACCCUAUGAUUUCAUACAGUUAAUACGAUUACAGAUACUACCUGUAUAAAUGCUAAAGUCAGUUACACUUAUAUAGAUCCCUUCCUUCCACUCAGCUGAUCAAAUCAAACAGGAAAACUUAAGAAAGCAAAGAUGAAGAUGAAGAUUGACAUUUGGGAAAAAGGAGAGCAACAUAAGUUGUAUCACUUUCAUGUUGUUGCAGUAUUACUGGGAAAAAGCUUCUUUAUUUCUUCUAGUCUUUUCUUUUUUGUUUUUUUUUUUUUUUUUUGGUUGGGCAGUAUCACACAAAACCAGACCCAGAAUCUCUUGUGGACUGCCUCUUGAACCAGUCCUCAAGAUGCCUAGAGAGUAAAACAAUAAAUCCUUUAACAUUCCCAAGAAAGGCAAGUAAUGACACACACUACCAAAUGAGACUGUAAAGUAAAUGGACGGUUGAAAAUUAAAUAAUACAUGCAUUUUGACCAUACAAAUUUUGUAGACACACGGUUAAUUAACCAACAAUUUGCACUGUGAAUUUAACAGACCUUACAUCCAUCUUAUAACUACAAUGUUAAUUGCAAUGACUUGAUGAUAUAUCAUACUAAAUCAAGUGUCCUAUGCAGCAUAUGAAGCAAAACGGAUGCUUGGACCCAGGUCCCAGGGUCACAUAAAACCACAAAGUGAAUGGAUAUAACUCCACAAUAAAUCAACUGUCUUAUAACACUAAUUUGGGAUGAGAAAUUGAAUCAAAUCCAAAAUUCUAGUAUCAACGAGCAGGCAUCUUAAUCAAUAAUAUAGGAAUACUAAAUAAAUCUAGGUGUCUACCCAUCCCUUUUAACCUCCCUUACCUAUUCUAGCACAACCAGUUUAUACCAAGCCCUCACCAGCACCAAUGACCUCCUUUGGACAGGACAAAACAAUCUUAAUUGAUUCCACACCAUCUUAUCAUAAAUUGUGGCCAGGAUAAUGUGAAGGAUACACAUCUUAGCAAUCUGAUCUACCAAUGCUUUUAUACAACCACCUUGGUUCCCACUUCAAUGAUACCUUAUAAGUUGUUUUCCACCCAACAUCUAUUAGCCAACCAAUUUUCUCCACAUCAACAACAAUGUUCCUUUUGCAGCAAAUCAAUAAAUUGCAAUUCUCACAAGUCAGAACAAAGGGGACACUUUUAAUGAUGAUUUUAAGCCAGGAAACCUACUGCAAAUUAUUCUAGUGAUAUUCAAAUUGAACAAACAAAUAACAAGAAGUGUACAAAGUCAGAGAAGCUCCAAUGAAGCAAGUCAAAGCAUGGUAGCUAAGUGAUUAUUGAAGAAGAUAAAUUGUCUUCAAAACAUUAAGCAGUAAGAAAUGCCAAACACAGCACAAGUUAGCAAGAGUCAAUCCACACAUAAUAUCGCACAAAUGCCUUGUCAAUCUAACCUUUAAACUUCUUAUCUCUUCUUGUAGCUUUUCAUUUGCAUCUUCAAGAUCCUUAGCUUCAUUUCUCAGCUGGUUCAGUACUCGGAUGGCAUCCCCAAGUAUGGCCAAUUUGUCAGUUUUGGCAGAUUUACCAGGUUCUAAAAUGGAACUCAAGUCUAGAAACCUAAAUCGGACAAACAAGAUUUUUCCUUUGAGACACCAUCCAUCACCUUAUAGAUUGAUCAAUGGAUAGAUACACAAAAAGACAUAGAGAGCACAUAAGAAAUCUGUACAAGUAUCAAACUACAAGAAAUCAAUAAAAGAUUUGGACUACUCAAAUGGUCACAUUUCCCGAUGACAGAUAACAUACGCAAUGAUGAUGAAUCCCAUACCAUUAAAGAUUGUGUUUUUUGAAAUAAUUUUUUGAUAGGUAAGCAACUUAUCAAAAACACCAAACAGGCUAUAAACCAGUACAUGUGAUAUGUGUUAGGCACACAAAGGAAAGGAAAAGGAAGAAGAGAGGAAGACACCCUCCCUUAGUUAUACAGCAGAAGCAAUAAAUAGAAUCCAAAAUUGAUGUAUCAUCAGCAUAUUUCACAGACAAAAAAAAAUAACAAGCUUAAGAAGCAUUUCCUUCAGCUCAAAAUUGGAGGUUCCUCAUCCCAAACAUGUUCCCUAUUUCUCUCUCCAUAUGAACCACAUAACACAUGAGGGUACAAAUCUCCAAAACUUCCACCCUCCCUCCCCAGCUUCCUCCCACACCUACAAUUACCAUUCUGGCCUUUGUGAAAUGCAUCAUCUGCUCCAAAGAGCGUAAAUGAAGGUUCACAAUUCUUGCUAUACUACAAUAAACAAAGAGAUGAUUGCAAGCAUCAUAUUCUUUUUACCUUACAUAACUCCUGCAACAGAUUAAAGGCACGUAGCUGGGAAGUGAAAGACCGUUAUUUUUUUAACCUUAGACAAAAUUAAUCUGAUCUAAUAUGCCUCACCUAUUCUUGAACAAAUGCAGUUGCACAUCAGUCAAAUAAAACCAUGACAUCAAAAAAAAAAAAAAAAGGAAUCUGAUCCAACAAAACACAUGCCUGUCAUUCAAUCUUUCCCUUCGCAAUUUCUCACGGCAAGCUUUGGUUCCAGGCCUGGUGGAUGAAUCAUUGCGUCCCCUACAAAUAGUCAACAUGAAAUUAUCAUGAAAAUCUAAUUACAAAAUGAAAAAUAUGGAUCAAGUUAUUCUACCAGAAAGACUUAUAAAAUGAUAAACAAGGAACCAGCUCAUUUGAUAGUUUUCUAUCUUUUUUCAACUCAUAGUGUAAAACGGUCAUGCAAAUGAAAGCAUUCAUAAAGAAUAUCACACUUCUAUUCUAGCAAGAUUAAAAUAAAAAAAUAAAAAAUAAAAAAUAAAAUAAAAAGAUUGCUAUGAUGGAGACAACUGACAGCCACCUUUACAAGUUUACAAGGAGUAAAGGAAUGGGCUUUAAGGCCAAUCUUUAAUUUGGCAUUCUCUAGAUGACAUUGAGCUUACUUGCGAUCUUAUAUAGUUCAACAUGGACUCAGCCUAGAAGUACUUUCCAGAAAUCAGAUAAUGGGCUUCAUCAAUGGUCUUAAGUUCUUACUUUCAGUCGUUUAUGUUGUCAUUUUCCAAGAGUCUUUUAAUAUGGUCAAGUAGUCAUUCAAAGUCUCUGAUAUUUUCAAUCUUCAUUGCUACUGUGUGAGUAUUUCUAAGAAGUUAUAACUCUUUAGAGAAGUUCUAUAUAGUAUUUGAUAAAAUCAAUGAAUGAAUGAUAAAAAUUUCCAACACCAUUAGUAAUAAAUGAUACCACCAUUAGCAAGCACCUAUUAUACAUUUAUUUUUUAGAAAUUUAGAAAAAACAUUAAAAUAAAAAACCAUGAGAAGAACAACUUGAAUCAACUCAAUGACUGGACAAGUGCAACAAUGUUUAGAACAUGAGAGCUCCACAUGUUCAAAAUAUAUAUCCCAUAUAGGUAAUGCUAAAUAGCACAAUUUUCCCUUUUCUACUUUCACCAGUUACAUGGAGAAUAAGAGCUUUAAAGAACAUAUUAAGAGGACACUUAUUCCCUAAAACUUGCUCUUUUGAUUGUCUCAUUUAAAGUAAGGUAAGAACAUUGAAAAACAAAUUUGUGACACUAUCCAACAAUUCAUGGAGCAAUGUUAUAUAGAUACCAGUAUGAGCAUCAAAUUUUCCAUGAGCCCUUAGAUUCAACACCAGAAGAACCUUAGGAUUUGACUAUGAGGCAGAAUAUUUAAAAAAUGUUUUACAACGCAAGUACAUUUAGAGAAUGUUUGGCCUUCAAUGUGUUACAUCUUCUUACCCAUCUACAUCUGAGAUCACAGAAUUCAAAAACUUAACAGUGUAAAGGUUAUGGGGUUGUUAAGCAUAUAAUUACAAACUACAGUCUAGAAGUGUAAACUUCACCAACUCAUGGAUGCAACAAUCAUCAUCCUUAAACCCUCAUGCGAACCAAAUACACUUAUCCAACCAUGUUCAAUAUCAAUCCCUCAAUAUUCUAUAAAAUCCCGAAAUAUAAAUAGCAAUUCAUAUUAAUUGCAUAAUUCUCUGACCACAUACACCAUUGAAUUCAAUCCCAAAGGCAAGAAAAUAAAAAGACAACAAGGGGAAGAAACACAUUGCUACAUGAUGUUACUCAAUCCCGAUAGCAUAGUUUUCCCACAUUUAAAAAAAAAAAAAAAAAAAAAAAAAAAAAAAAAAAAAGCUCGCAUAUUAUUCAAAUCAUACAGUUCAGCAUUGAUAAGAGAUUUCAUUCCAGCAUAUUGCACAUUAGAGUUACAAAUUACCUCUUCUGUCUGCCUUCAUUUUCUUGCGACGCAGCACAAAUACGCGAAAGAUCAAUAUCGACACCAGCACUGAAAUAGAACAAGCAUACCAAUCACAUUAACACGCCGAUCUAAAGUAUCCUCAUUUCAAUUUCACGAUUAAAACAAUUUCAAACAACUUUAGGUCAAAAUGACUCGGACCGAUAUUCUAAUUAUCCGAGGUGAAGCUGAGUCGCCAAGACAACAAUUAACUAUCAAACUUAUAAAAUCAAUCACACAAUUAUGUUUCGCCAAGCCGCUGAUUGGCUGCCGAGAAAGCAAAAGAAAGGAAGAGAAAAUUUAAACAUACAGGUACCCGUCGUUUAUCCAAGAGAGAUCGUUGGAUGUGACGUCGUCUAUCAAUUUAUGAUUAAGAAAAUCCCAAGUAUCAUCGUCGAAGGAAUCCAUGGAUUUGGGAUAGGCAACAGGAAUCCAGCACCUAGUUUGGAGGGGGAGAUGGAUAUUUUGAAAGAAAAUUGCCCAGCAAAGGCCCUAAAGUGGCACCACGUGGAACACGUUUGAAUAAGUAUGACGGCGAGUUGCCGCUUCCUGUUUUGACCAACACGUGUGUCUGCACCUACUCCUUUCCCACGCGCCUCUGUCGUCGUCGAUUCGGGUCCGGUGACCCUCUCAAUUUUAAUUAACUGGAAAAUACGCGAUUUACUGAUUUGAGUGAUUUCCAUUUUUAUUUUUGAAAAAUAAAAAUUAGGAUAAAAAAUAAGUUUCGACUUUAUCUUUUUUAUUUAUUUAAAAAUAAAUAAAAUAAAAAUUUUGGAAAAGGCUUGAUGUUUUAUUUUUCAAAAUUUCUUGAGACAAUUAAAAAUUAUCUUUUGUAAAUAAAAAAGAAUAAAAUUAUAUCUUAUAUUGGGUAUAAAAGGGAUACAUAUAUUAUAAAUAUGAAAUACAUGGAAAAGUAGGUUUUUAUUCACUAAUUUAAAAAAAUAUAGAAAAAUAACCUAAAUUUUUAUUAAUCAUAUUUAUCUUUACCUAUUUAAAAAAAUUUUAAAAUACAUGUAUUUUUAUAAUUUAAAUAAUUUUUUCUUAAAAUGAUCAUUUGACAUAUUUAUAACACUAAUUAACAACUUUUUAUUGUGAGAAAUGAUUUAAGAUUAAUAAAAUAAGAAAUUCAAAAAAUUAAAACUAUAAUACUUUAAUACGAAAAAUACAGCAUAAAAUAUUAAUUUUUACUUCAUUAAAACACUUUGAUAAAAAAUAUGAAUAUCAAAAAAGAGUUGGAAAUAGAAUGAGUAAAUAUUUUUAUUUUAAAAUUUUUAAGUUUUUUUGUUUUUAAUUAUAUUUAAUUUUAAUUGUAUUUUUAAUUUUAAAAUUUUGUAAAAAAAAAUUAUUUAAUUUUAUUAAAUAAAAUGAGAAAUUGAAAAGAUUUAUAUAAUAUAUGAUAUAAAAUCAUUAUUAAUUAGAAGAUUAAAAAGAUUAUAUUUAUCACUUAUGAAUUUUGAAAAAAAAAAUCCACAAAUCUCAUAUUAUAUAAUAAAAAAUUUAUAAUAUAUUUAUCAGUCAAACACCUUUAUUAAAUUAAAAUAAUAAAUUAAUUUUAAAUAAUUUUAUUUAAAGUAAAAUGAUAUUUCAAGAAAUAACUAUUUAAAUUAUGAAAAACUACGUUUAUUUUUAAAUGGGUGGAGAUAAAACUAAUUUUUUUUAAAAAAAAUUAAAGUUAUUUUUCCUAUAUUUUAUCAAAUUAAGGAAUUAAAACCCACUUUUCCUAGUAAAUAUUAGGAUAAAGAAAUAUUUAUAGACAUCAAUUUCAUUCAUUGUUUUGAAUGAAAUUGGAUAUGGGAAAUUCGAUAACAGGCUAAAAUGAAAAUUUUAUUAAACCAGGAUUUCCAUCAGUUGUAUACAUGGAUUUCUGUGUCAAUUUAUAGUUUCGAAACAGAAUCAUUUGAUGAGAAGCGGUCAGCAGAGAGGACUUCCAGCCAAAAAAAGUUGAAACAUAAUCAAAUGACAUGAGCUUCAUUCUUAAGCUGGUCGAUCAGCUCAUCCACGGAAGAAACAAUAACUCCUGCUUUUCUCUUGGGAGGCUCAGUGACCUGAACAACCUCCAAAUCGGAUUUGAUAUCUACAUUCAAUUCCUGUGGAGUGAACUUCUUUAUUACCUUCGAUUUUGCUUUCAUAAUGUUGGGGAGUGUUGCAUACCGAGGCUGGUUCAGUCUCAAAUCAGUGCUGCAUGAGGUACAAAAUAUCAGGUCAAGUAAUGAGAUGAAACACAGAGCCAAGUUGCAUUUAUGCUAGCCUAUGGCAAAUAAUUGCAGUCAGCUUUCUGAUAAUAGCUUUGUUCAUCUGAGAAACACUUCCUAUUCAUGUGUUAUCAGCAUUUCCACAUGUUGCCUACUGCCAUUGGGCAAAAGCUUGGAUGAAAAAGAAGCAUGUUUUUGUCUUAAUUCUCUUAAGCAGAAUCAAGGAAUAGGGUUUUUGAGCAGAACUUCAUGUUACGAGUAGAUCCUUCCAUCAUUUGAGCACUAGCUAGCUAGGAAUUCUUACAAGUACAGAAUAUAAAGCUUGUAAUGACCAUGAAUGGGCUGCAAAGAACACAUGAAUAACUUCAAGAGUUCAAAACAGACAACAAAUUUUGCCCAUAGCAUAUAUUUUUAUACAGAAAAAUCAGUUGCAUACUCUUAAAUGGUCAAUUAAAGCUCAUCAACCAAAUCUGAAGCGUCACAAUUUAACAUUUGCUUAAGCCCACAUGACUUGCAUCAGGUACUCAGUCAAUAACCACAAUAAUCCCACUAGGACCUCCUCCUCUGUUCAUCAUUGAAGACCUUGGAAUUAGGGGACAUCAUUUACAUGGAAUUAGGGGAAUUAGAAGACCUUGGAAUUAGGCAAUAAGCUCAUAUGCUCUCACACUUCCCAAAGACAGUCCUCAUAGAUGGGCAAUCCUCAUCUUAAAAGCACAUCAAUCCCUAUUACAUUUGGUUUCUAACUUUAUCAUAUGCAAACAAUAUGAGACCUUUGACGCUACUGAAAUAUUAAUCUAGACAGACAUUCAUUAACUACAUUUUUCCCUGUUAUACAGAGUAGUGAAAGGUUCUAGAAAGUUUUUAAGCCAAUACACCACUGCAUACACAUCGGAAUAAAAGUUCUGCUUACAGAAACAACGCUACAAUACAUCCUAUUAAGUCCCAUACGAUAUGAAUAUUAUUAACUAUUUUCUGAUAACCCAAGAAAGAAAAGACUAGAAUAGAAUAAAUAUAUUUUAAAGCAUAUUUUCAAACUGGAAGUUAAUUAUAAUCAGUAACACAAUUAAAUAAUGAAUUUAGAGUCACAUGUUUCUAAACCAAAAAAGACAAGUUGUUUAAUUAAUAUGAAUAUAAAUUUAAAAAUAAAACUUUAAAAAUAUGAUCUAUCUAUGUUUCAAAGGUUUGUUAUAGAGAUUUCAGAGAUUUCACGCUUUCUUUUAUAAGCACAGCCAACCAAAAUACAUUAACAAACAGUUUUUCCAAGAGAGAAGACGAAUAAAAACUUCAAGAAGAAAAUUUGUUUAAGUUCAGCAUAAGAAAAUAAUUUGAGUUUAAAUCCCCAAAUCUACAUCAUUCUGUACAUCACCUAGAAUUUUUUUGAUAGGUAACCCAUUUUCCUUUUAUUUAUUUUAUUUUAUUUUAUUUCAUUGUUAAAACUUGAACUUGGAACCUCCCACAUCCAAGCUACAACCCUUUCUCACUUGAGACAAGCAUGAAGGAGUAUAUUUCACCUAUAAUCCUUAGUUAUGUUUGGUUCCUAGAAAGUACCAAGGAAAGAAAAAAAAGGGAAAAUGGUUUCUUAUGUUUGGAUGCUACAGAAAAAGAUAAGGGAAAAAAUAUUGAGGGAAAAUGCUAUAGAAAAAAGAUUUUCCUCCUGAUUUUCCUUAAAAAAUGAUGAGGAAAGUUGGCACAAUGUGCAUUCCUCACAAUUUUACUUCCCUCAAUUUUUCAAUGCACAACCAAAUAAGAGAAUUUUUUUAAAAUUUCCUCAUAUUUUUCUUUCCUUCUAAUUUCUUUCCCACAAACUUUCCAAAACCAAGCAUAGCCUUGAUUUUUUGGUCGAUGGAUCCUAAUAUUUUUUUCCAUGCAAGAAGAACCGAUGGAUUAGUCUUCUCCAUUUAUGGUUCCAAAGGUUUAGAAUUUCUUUAGCAUUUUAUUUUGCUUAAUUGAAAAGACAGAGAACAAUAAAAGUAUUUCAAGAGCUUCAUCAAAAUUUUAAACCACAAAGCUCAAUGUAAGACAUGAUGGCAUGUAAGACAGAAAACAAAAACAAAGACAGAAAAACAGUAAAUAGCAUAAGAAGAACAAAUAGAAAACAGAGUGAGACAAUUACGUGAUUACUGCUGGUAAGUCCAAACAUAAAGUUUCAAGACCACCAUCCACCUCUCUCUCCACUGUUGCCACCUCUUUCUCCUUGUCCAGCACAACCUACUAGAAAGCAGCAGCCAGGUUGAACAAUUAUUAAAGGCAAAGAAGAAUAACUUUUAAAGAGAUCAUCUAAAUGUUCUAUCAACACCAAUUGCCAAUACAUCUCAAAUUCUCUAGGGAAAGUGGGGAGAGAUACAAAAACAUAAGCUAUGUUUGGUUCCUAGAAAAUUUGAAGGAAAAUGUAAGGGAAAUAAGAUAGAAAGGAAAAGUAGAAGGAAAGACAAAGCAAAGAAAAUGCAUAGGUUUCUAACUAAUUUUAAUUAUAUUUGAUUUUAUUUCUUAUUUUUUUAUAGUAAAACAAAACAUAAGAAAAUAAUUUUCCUUAACAUUUUUUUUCCUUAAUACUUUCCAAGAGCCAAAGGUAUCAAUGGUUUUAUUGAUGCACACAACAUAAUUCUUUCAGGUAUGCCCCUUGCAGCUGGAGAACAAAAAGAAUAUAGGUACAAAAUGAUUUAAGAAAACAAAGAUUACCACCAUAGAAAAGCUAAAGUUAAGUUGAAUUCUAUUGCAUACAGAAAUCCAUGAAUCAUGACAGAAAUCCUAAUAAUAUUUUCCAUGAGGAAAAACAUCCACAUUUAUAAUACUACUGAAGAACCACAGUAACAGCAAUUUUAGGGAAAAAAGGACCACUGGCAUAUGAUGGUACCAUAAGAACAAUCUCAGCCCAAAAAACCCUUCAUAGGGGGGGCAAAUUGCUCUAACUCUUGAAAUCUACCCAAAGAAGGGAAACUACCUCUUUAAUCCAUCUUGGUUAGGUACCAGUUCCACAAGGGGCCAUGGUCCCCAGAUCCUUAUUUUUCCUUGUCCACAGUGCUUUUUACAUUCGGAGUAAUUACAAUAUCAGAAACAAGAAGAACAUAACAUCGAUUGAUGUAUUUGGAAGCAAAAAAAAAAGGUUAAAAAAGCUGUCUUAAACCUUUUGGGGUAUCUGUUAUUUUGCUUUCAUCAACUCAAUUGAUGCUUUUUUCAGCCUUUCCCUCCUUUCAUGGCCUUUGAUAUACUCUAUGCAUGCCUUGCUGAUGCUCUUACCAUUCAGCCUAAGGCCACACAACUAGCCUUUCGCAAAGACAUGACUCCAGUUUUCAGCUUUCUCAUCUUUUCAUGGCACACUCGCUAACACUGUCUUCACCCUAAGUGAUAUGAUGUGUCUCACUCAUGCAACCAGUAUUCACCCAAAGAGAUAGAUCAGAGAAAAUUUCUCUGUGUUAAGUUUCUUUAAAAGCAAACAGAGUCUUUGAGAGUUUCUUGUUAUUCCAUCUAUGACCAAAAGGGUUGAGAUUCAUGGCCCCUUGCAAUGAAUUUUCCAUUAUCAUCUUCAAAUCUGACAUUUAAAUCUUGUUUUCUUGUUUUCCUGUUUUUACUCUCAAAAUAAUCCAAAAACAGUAUUUUGGAAACCCUCAAUUACUUCAAACGAUCAAUGAGAGGCAAAUUGGAAACCAUAAUUCACAAGCGCUGGCAAAUGGAAAUGGACUCUAAAAAGAUGUUAGCUGUAAACUAAUUGCUUGUUGGCUCUGGUGGCAUCCAUCAUCAAAGAAAAAAGAUAAAUAAACUGAGACAUGGAAUUUCACUAUCCUUUUUUUCUUAUAGGUAAGCGAAGCUUGUAUGAAAGGAAUAAAGAAAAUAUAUACAACAUAUACAAAGCAACCAAAAUGGAAUUUCACCAUCCUAGCUGAAAAGUGGCGCACUGUUACCCUACUUGAUGUUGUAAUAAGCUUUUUCAUCCUAAACUAGGGGAAAAUGCCACUAGCAUGCACCUUACAAGUCUUUCUAAACAUUUCUGCAUCUCAUCAUGAGAGUUUUAUGGCAGUGAAACCCCAUCCCAUGCCUCCGUCAGUGAGGAUUCUAUAACAACAGAUUCAUAUAUAUCAUUCUCUAAUCCUUUUCUCUUGUAUGUGAAUAGAACAUAGCUCUGUUUGGAUCCAAGAAAGAAUGACAGAGGAGACCAAAACACUCAAAACACUGAACAUAACUUUAGAAAGUUCAAAGUUAUUUUCAGGAUUUGCCUUUUAUUUCUCCCAUUCUCUCUGAUAUAAAGACAAAACCUAAUACUUGUAGAAAGACACAUGGUUAAAUUUUUGUUGUCAACGCCAACAAAUCCAUGUAAGGUGAUGCUUUUCACUAAGAAGAGACUCUAAGAUUAGAUUCCCAAUGUAUAGAGUGUUUGCGCAGUAAACAAAUCAAUCACUUAUCAUUUAUAUAACAGUAGAAGUGUAUGGAGAGUGGGACUAACCUUGGAAGCAAAGGUCCCCUGAGGCCAGUUGAGCAACCCGGCAACCAUUUGCCCUGUUUGAUUGCAAUCGUCAUCAAUGGCCUAGAAAACCCAUGCCCACAUCAGAAAACAACAAUCCACCAUAAAAAGAGUCUAGGAUUUUCACGGAAUCCGCAAAUUUAUUUUUAAAUCGUUACCAAAAACCCUAAUCUCUGGGCACGAAUUCACAGACCUGUUUGCCCAGAAUAAGGAGGCCAGGCUUCUCCACAUCGACGAGAGCUUUGAGAAGCUUAGCAACUGAAAGUGGGUACAGAGUGGCGGAAGCUUCGACGUGGAUGGCCCUAUCGGCGCCCAUGGCGAGACCCGUUCUGAGCGUGUCGACGCACUGGCUGGGACCCACACUGACAGCGAUAACCUCCGACGCCAGACCCGAUUCCUUGAUCCUCAGAGCCUCUUCCAAACCUAUCUCACAAAAGGGGUUCAUCGACAUCUUGACGUUGCUGGUCUCCACGCCGCUCUGAUCGUGGGUUGGCGAUUGUUAUUGGAUGAUGAUGAAAUUACAGAUACUGAAUAACUUGAGAGUUUGGAUUUGGGUUACCUUGUCGGAUUUGACUCUGAUCUUGACAGCGUAGUCCACAACACGCUUUAUCGCCACCAUUAUCUUCAUCUCGUAUAUGGGUGGUUAUCUUCUCCGGCACAAGGGUAUUGGCAAAUGACUGAUGAUGAAGGACGAGGAUAUUCGCCCGAGCCCUACUGCACGACACCACAUCCGCUUAUAAAAUCUUUUGAUACGGAUAAGUACAAGGGAAGUGGAAAAAAAGGAUUAUUAAGAAAAAUAAAUAUAUUACCAAAAAAAUUAUUUAAAAUUUUGUUCAUGUAGAAAGAACCCGUGAAUCAGAUCGAAAAAAUUAUAUUAAAACUGCUGUAUAGCCGAAAAUUGUGUACAGAAUUUAUUUUAACAUUGUAUUAUUGAAUUUUUUAUUCAAAAAUUGCUUAACGUGAGAUAGAAAUUAAAAAAUCAUUAGUAAUUUUGUCCGAAAGUUGUUAUAUUUCAUGUGUUUUAAAAAUAGAUGUAAUUUAUUCCUAUUUGCAUUUUUAACGUACAUUUAAUUAAAUAACCCAAAAAGUUAUUGAGUUCACAUCAUCUAUGGAGUCUACCUCUCUUUGCUUUUGUUGCUUCCAAAAAUACCAUACUCCCAUAUUUUUUUGGUUCUACUCAUUUUACUUUAUUUUUUUCAUUCCAUUCAUUCCACGUGAAGUCUUCAAUCCUAAUAACAUUUACUAUAUUACAAUUAAGUUUAAUUUUUAAAAAACUUAAUUAGGGUUAAAUUUCCUUUGAGAGAACUUCAUUACAAUUAUUUGAGUUGUACGUUAAGUUUCAUUUAAAAAUAACUUAUUUAAAAAGAUGUUAAGCUUCCCCUAUUUUAUUUAUAAAGUUUAAUAUCUAUUUGAUUUUAUAUUUGAAAUCCAACUAAAACCUAAUAACGAAUUGUUGUAAAAAAACUCCAAUCAAAAUACUAACAAAAAUUAAAACAUAAAACUCUGAUAAAAAAUUGUUAAAAAAUCCAACAAAAAAACAAUCAUAAAAAACCCUAAUCAAAAACAUCAUGGAAGUUUAAAUGAAAUUGCCAAAAAAUAAAAAGUAUAGAAAACCCUAACAAAAAAACAACACCAAAACACCUGACAAAAAACAAUUACAAAUUCUAGCACAAAAACCCCCAAUUAAAAAUAUCUAUAAAGAAAAACCUAAAAAAAACCAAUUAUAAAACCUCCAACAAAAAAUAAAGAGAAAGAUGAAGAAUAUGAAAAAUUUUGAAGAAGAAAGAAACAUGAGAGAACUAUCAUUGAUCUUUAUUUGUUAAUCUUUGUUAUAUGUUUGAACUUCACUAGAAAAUGAGAGAGAGAGCAUAAACCUAAAGAGAGAAAGAGCUGAAAAUGAGAGGAGAAAUGAAUCACAAUGAGGGGAAUGACAAUUUGAGGAAAUAUAGAAGGGUUAAAUCAUUUGAACUAGGUUAACGUUUUUAUUAAAAAAAAAGAGUAAUGAAGGUCCUUGUUCUAAUUUCAAGAGUAUGUCUGUUAAUUACCAAAUGUGGCAACUCUAAAUAAAAUCCUUUGUUAUCAACUAAAACUAAAAGUCCCAUUACAUCAUAUCCAACUUUCAUUUGUUAUCAACAAAGUAAAACUAUAUACAACUAUUAUCACCAUCUCUCCUAUUUUGAUGUUAUUUUCUUAGAUGAAUUUGUAAAUCAAAAUUUACACCACCCAUAAAUUUUUUGAGCUUCCUAUUUAACACAACUUCAAUUUGUUAUACUUUGAACAUCACAAAGAUAAAGUAAUCAACAUUUUGCUUGGACAAGUUUUUCUUCUCUAAAGUUUAGAGUCCUAUUUCACUUCCCGUUUAUGGGUUGUUAGUUCAUCUAAUAUCUCACCAUCAUCCAUUCCAUGUACUGUGUUUCCGAAAUGAGUUGAUUCCACAUCCUAAAUGUCUGUGCAAAUUAAUAAGGAAUGUCGAGUUACCAAUUUUCUUAAAAGCUUAAUCUUGCAAGAUUUGGAUUCAAAAUGCAUAUCAUGCUCUCUUUAACACCCCUCCCCCCUCUCACAUGUAGCCCUAUACCCACACGUAGAGAAAUAGACUUAUAGGAAAAUUGGUAGUUUAAUAUAGUAUCAGCACUUGGUUUGGUGGGAGGUCUCCUGUUUGAGUCACCUCUCCACAAUUUACAUUUCUCCUAUUUGUUUAAUUUACAGUUCUUCCCUUAAUCUGUAAUUCUUUGGAUAUAAAUUUUCCCCCUAAUUUGUAGUUUUGUGGAUAUGAAUCUCUCUUCCAUGUUCAGGUAUGGGGCCACACAUAAGAGAGGGUGUUAAAGAGCAUGAUAUGCAUAUUAAACCCAAAUCCUAUAAGUUAAAACUUUUAGGAAAAUUGGUAGUUUAACGCUUUUAGGAAAAUUGGUAGUUCAACAUGUGUACACCCCAUUUUGGGGACUGCUAUUGCUCCCACUUCUUUUUGUCAAAUGGUGGAGCUUUUUAGGAGCACAUGUUGUAUUUGGAAAGGCUAUUAGAAAAUGGCAACAUGACUGUUAAUGGAAGUAAUGAUUUUCUAAAAAGGCAACCAUGGGAAGACACAUAACAAAGAUGUUUGGGGAGGAGGGAGAGUGUGCAUCAAGACUACUCAUGAGGGGUAAGAAACAAAAAAAAAAAAGUGUCGAAGAUAACUAAAAAAUUGGAGAAACAUAAAGGAAUAAGGAUUUUAGGGCUAUGGAUGGUGAACAAGAGUGAAUUAUGGGUGUCUAGGACAGCUAGGAAUGGUGAGAGGAGUAGGGAGCUGUAGAAGGUGAUGAGCUAGGUAAGAUGUAUUUUCGAGAAAGAAAAGAACCAAAGAAAGAAGGUGGUGAAUUAAGUGAGACACGUCUCAGAGAAGCAGAGAAAGUUGGCUUGAAGCCAAGCAAACUUUUGCUUGAGAUGAGCAUUGCCUAGUAAGAUUGUUUCGAUUCAUCGAUUAUUACUGAUCAUCAUACUUCUCUUGUCUUAUAUUCAUGUGAUUAUUUUACAUUGAUUGUGGGGUUGCUUUGGUUUGGUUAUUAUGGCUUCAUCCUCUAUUUCUUUAGUUUUAUUCAAGGAUAAAUCUAAUUGUGCUUUGAUUAGUUAUUCCAUAUUUGAAAAUCUUUGUGUAUUUUGGGUUUUUUCUCUUUAGAUAUUUUCUAGAUUAAUCCACUGACCUUUAAACCCACAAAUAAAGAAAAAUGAAAUGAGUUUUUUCAUAUUUGUUGGGUGUUUGGCCCUUGUUUAUCUUUUUUUAAAGCUUUAUUCCUUUAUAUUCUCUAUUUCUCCCCAUUUUGUACAUGGGUGUUUCAAUCAGAGUCUCUAUUUUGGCUUCCACAUUUGAGAUUUCUUUUAUGAGCGAAGACCCAAAAAUGGAGACUGGCUUCUUGUAAUUGAUAAAAUAGUUAGUCACCCAUUAGCUUAGAUGAAGCAUAGAUGUUAACCGGAUUGUGAACAUGGAUACUCUAUUUUGGGCCUAUUAGGCCUUCCAAUCCUCUCUUAGUUUCAUUAUUCUUGAGGAUAGUGUUUGGUUGUGUCUGCUACUUAUUCUGUGGCUUCGGUGGUCUGUUUGUUUAUUCUUGGCUAUUAUCAAUGCUAACAAUGGGAAAGAGACUGGUUUUGGUUAUGCUCUUACGGAUUUGAAGGUGAUCAAAGGGUCCAGUGAAGAGAAGAUUAGUAGGUCAUAUUAGGUUAAUUAAUUAAUUAGGACAUGUUUUGAGUUAUAUUAAGUAAUACAAGCUCUUAGUGGGCUUAAGUAACUUAAGCCUAGUGGGGAAUGCCAUAAAUACCCCUUAGGGGUUAGCAUUUCCAUAGGUUUUUCUAGAGAGUCAUCUUUCACCUCCAAAGAAGGAGAGUCAUAGCCUUUACCAUUUUUUCCAUCAUUAUCGAAGUGUGUCAAGAUUAAGGUUUAAGUCAUUGAGCGGAAGACUCCAGGUUUAUGAGACUUCAUACAACUUCGUUUUUCAUUUUCAUCAAAUGGAAUUAAUUUGAAAACAUUUGAAUCUGAAGUAUGGUUUUUGUUAGCAUAUUUCGAAUCCCUUUAAAGUUUAAAAAUGCAAAUUUUCCACUAUGUAUAGGAUUUAAAAUCGCUUAAGAUAGUUAAACAUGUUCCCCACUUGAUCUGAAUUGGGAAACGGAGAAAUCUGAUAUUUUCCCAUCACAAGGUAGGAUAAGAACUUGUGAUUGAUCUUUAUGGAUUGGACUAAUUAAUUAAUUGGAACCUAAUUAGGCUAAUUAAUUAAUUAAGACCUAAGCAAACUAGUUUAAGUUACACAAGCCUAGGAUGGACUUAAGUGACUUAAGCCCAUGGGAAGCUUAUAUAAACUCCUUUAGGGGUUAGGGUUUCAAACUUUUAUCAUCUAGUCUUCAAUUCCUUAAAGAGAAUAGAACUCGAGCCAACAACUCUCCUAAAGGAUUCUAUUGCUCCGUGUCAAGAUUCGAAAAAAAACUAUUUGAUGGAAGGUUGUUAUGUUUAUGAGAUUCGUUAUGUUUUUUUACACCUUUUCACUAAAUGGAAUUGAUAUAGGAAUGUUCAUAUCUCAAGUGCAACACACUUAUUCUCUUUAGAUUUAUAUUGCUUAUGGUUUUUUUUUUUUUUGUCAUGGUUUUCCGUUAAGAUUAGAUUAAGAGAGCCCUAUGUCAUAGAAUGCUUCAAAUGAGCCUCCCCGGGGGUUUGUAUAGAGCCCAUGAAGCUUCUAGAGACUCCUAUACUUAGCCAUUGGUGGGAAGAGUGUGAAAGGUUCUACAGAUGUCUAGAGAUAUUUACACAUCUCUACACUAUGGUGGAAGGCAUGAGAGGAGUCUAAGGCAUUCUAAAGAAUUAUAAAGAUCUCUUAUAUAUUCUUGUACAUAGGCUUGUACAUAGAAUUGUGUAGGAAGUUAUAGAUUAUUCUUGAGCUGUAAGGAACCCUCCAAGGUUCCAGAGAGUUCCAUUGGUGCCUAUAAAUAGGUGAAUGCCUCAUUUGGCCAAGACACUAAGCAAGUGAAUUCCAAAACACUUGUAAAGCUUCCUUUGAAUAAUAAAAGUUUCAAUUCUUCAAGAGUUGCCUAUUAUGCCUUCUAAAACUUCUAAGUCAUGAGCAUCUUAACCUAACAAGUUAAGCAUUGGGAGUAAUGCUAACUUAGCAAGAUCAAGGAUCUUGACUUGUCUAAGUGUUGCACGAUCUUAGGAAAAGAUUAAGUUUGUGACAGUUGGUUUCAAAGUGUGACUACGAAGUGAGCAUAGUAAAGGAAACAUGUCGAGCUUCAACAUGGAGGAAACUAGUGAGCAAACCCGUGGGAAAGAAACCGAGCCUACUGCAUAGGACAGGGACAUGAAGGAUAAAUCUCGUAAUGCCAUAGCCAACGUGGAGGCAAGGCUAGCCAAGGUGGAGCUAGCCAUGGCAGACACCCGGGAAGGGGUGGACUUAAUCGAGCAAGGCAUGGAAAAUGGCUUAGAGGAUCUAAAUGAGCAUAUCCAAGACCUUCAUGAGAGAGUGCUAGGCUUACAAGUUCGGCCGAUGUCAUAUGAGGAGUUCAUGUCCUUCCAAAACGAGGUCAUGAGCAUGUUUGCUAGCAUGGAGUCGAAGGUGGAGGCCUUGGCUGCACGCAUAGAGGCCCAAGACCAAGAGGUUCAACAAGAGCUAGCUAUCUACAAGACUGUCUUAUCAGCACGAGUCAUGGCCACUCAUGAGGCACUAAGGGUGGAAGUGCCCAAACCACACACGUUCAAUGGCAAGAGGGAUGCCAAGGAGUUGGACAAUUUCUUGUGGCACAUGGAGCUCUACUUUGAGGUUAUAACACUAAUAGAUGAAGCCACUAAGGUAUGUACCACAACCCUCUACCUCACCAAUAAAGCUACUCUAUGGUGGCGUCAGAGGUUUGCCAAUAUAGAAAAAGAAAUGUGCACCAUAGACACAUGGGAUGCCUUUAAGCAAAAGAUCAAAAAACAAUUAUACCUUAAUGAUGUGGCUUACCUAGCAAGGAAAAACACAAAAUGUCUUAAGCACACAGACUCGAUCCGUGAGUAUGUCAAAGAAUUCUCUACACUUAUGCUUGAGAUACCCAACAUGUCUGAGGAAAAGCUACUAUUCAACUUCAUGGACAACUUGCAAAGCUGGGCCGAGCAAGAGUUAAGGAGAAGUGGUGUCCAAGACCUAGCCACGGCCAUGGCGGUAGCGAAGUCCUUGGUGGAAUACAAAAAGGGAGACUCUUUUAAGCCCAAGCCACAGUCUAAGGGUAAUCAUGCUAAAGGUGGGGAAACAAGGGAUCAAGGAGGUACACUCCUAAGGAAUGAUCAAGCAAGACCUCUGGUGGCAAGGAUGGUAAGGGUAAGGAUAAACGGAAAUAGUUCACGCCUAAGAUCAAUUGCUUCCUAUGUGAUGGUCCACAUUGGGCGCGAGACUACCUCAAAAGAAAAGCCCUAAAUGCCAUGAUCGAGGAAAAGUAGAAGGAAGACAAUGCUCAUGUGGGAUCAUUACAACUCUUAAAUGAUAUCAAGGCUAAGUCAGUGCUUAAGACACCUCAAAGUAAAAGUCUAAUGUACAUAGAAGCCCUUGUAAAUAGGAAGGCUACCAAGGCUUUGGUGGACACUAGUGUCACUCAUAACUUUGUCUCGAAGGAUAAGACAAAGAACUUAGAGCUCCAAGCAUCUAAGGAAGGAGGUUGGCUCAAGGCAAUUAAUUAAGUUUCCAAGCCAUCACACGAAGUAGCACGCAGGGUGGCAAUGCACAUUGGCUCAUGGGAAGGAAUGGUCGACUUCACAGUGGCACCCAUGGACUACUUCAAGAUGGUACUGGGAAUGAACUUCCUAUAGAAAGACAAGGUCAUGCCACUACACUUCCUACAUUUAAUGGUUAUCCUAGAGGAUGAAAAGUCAUGCAUAGUCCUUACGGUCACCGAAGGUUCACCCAAGACCCCUAUGAUAUCGGUUAUGCAAGUAAAGAAGGGAUCAAAGAGGAAAGAGGUGACCUACCUCACCACUCUUAAGGAGGAAAAUGAUGAUGAGUUGGGGGAGCCCAUGCCUAAGGAAAUCAAGAGAGUCUUUGAUGAGUUCAAGGACGUGAUGUUGCCUAAGUUGCCUAAAAGACUCCUUCCUAGAAGAGAGAAAGAUCAUAAGAUCGAGUUAGAUGCAGGAACUAAGCCCCUUGCUAUGGGGCCAUAUAGGAUGGCACAACCCAAGCUGAAAGAGCUAAGGAAACAACUUAAGGAGUUGUUGGAUGCAGGGUUUAUCCAACCAUCCAAGACUCCCUAUGGCGCACCGAUUUUAUUUCAAAAGAACCAUGAUGGGUCCCUACAGAUGUGCAUCGAUUACCAAGCACUCAAUAAGGUAACAAUAUAGAAUAAGUACCCCAUUCCACUCAUUGUUGAUCUAUUUGAUCAACUUGGUAAAGCAAGGUAUUUCACUAAGUUGGACUUGAGAUCAGGCUACUACCAAGUGAGGAUUGUGGAAGGAGACAAACUGAAGACUACAUGUGUGACCCGAUAUGGCUCAUAUGAGUUCUUAGUGAUGCUCUUCGAUCUCACCAAUGUACCAACAAUGUUUUGGACACUCAUGAAUAAGAUCUUCCAUCCCUAUUUAGACUAGUUUGUGGUGGUAUACUAAGAUGACAUAGUCAUCUACAAUAGCAUCUUAGAGGAGCACGUGGAGCAUUUAAGGAAGGUCUUCAAGAUCUUAAGGUAAAACGAGUUAUAUGUAAAGAAGAAGAAAUGCUCAUUUGUUAAAGAGGAUGUGAGCUUCCUAGGGCAUCGCAUCAAAGAUGGCAAGCUGAUGAUGGAUGACAACAAGAUGAAGGUCAUCUAGGAAUGGGAUCCACCUACUAAGGUACCUCAACUAAAGUCUUUCCUUGGCUUGGCUAACUAUUACCAGUGGUUCAUCAAGGGUUACUCUACAAAGACAGCUUCACUCACUAAUCUUCUUAAGAAGAACAAGGCAUGGGUGUGAGACAAAAGGUGGCAACAAGCCUUUGAAGAUCUAAAAAGUGUUGUGAUUGAGGAGCCAAUGUUGGCAUUACCCAACCACAUGAAGGUUUUUAAGAUACACACAGAUGCCUCAAACUUUGCUAUUAGGGAAGUUCUGAUAAGAUAGACAUCUAAUCGCCUUCAAGAGUUGCAAGCUAAAUGACAUAGAGAGACGCUACAUGGUACAAGAAAAUGAUAUGACUGUCAUUGUCUAUUACUUGCACACCUGAAGACACUAUCUUCUAGGGUCUCACUUCAUAGUGAAAACCGACAAUGUUGUCAUUAGUUACUUCUAAACACAGAAAAGUCCUAAGUAAGCUAGGUGGCAAGACUUUCUGGUUGAGUUUGACGAUGCGCUGGAGUAUAAGACAAAAAGUACUAAUCAUGUGAAUGACGCCCUAAGCCGUAAUGUAGAGCUAGCAUUCAUGACGAGCCAGCCCCAAUGAGACAUAAUAGAUCUUCUAAGAGAGGGGUUGCAACAUGAUCUAGUGGCUAAGAGCCUUAUUACCUUGGCCCAUGAGGGAAAAACUAAGUGUUUUUAGGUAGAGGACGACCUACUCUACACUAAGGGGAGACUACUCUACGUGCUUAAGUGGGGGAACAUAAGGUAGAACUUGAUUAAGGAGUGCCAUGACACCAAGUGGGUUGGGCACCUUGGGCAACGACGCAUAAAGAGCACUACUCGAGUCAGCUUACUACUGAUCUUAGAUACAAGAUGAAGUUGAGGCAUAUGUGAGGACUUGUCUUGUGUGCUAACAAGACAAGGUAAAACAACAACAACCUAGAGGCUUGUUGGAGCCACUACCUAUAGCAGAGCGUCCAUGGGAGAGCAUCACCAUGGACUUCAUCAUCGGGCUACCUAAGUUGGAGGGCUAUGGCUCGAUCAUAGUGGUAGUGGAUAUGUUCUCUAAGUAUGUGACCUUCAUAGUAGCCUCUACUGACUGUACUGCAAAGGAGACAGCAAGGCUAUUCUUGAAACACAUGGUCAAAUACUGGGGGUCGCCUAAUUACAUCAUCAGUGAUCGCGAUUUGCAUUUCACUAGGAAGUUUUGGACAAAGCUCUUUAAGCUUAUGGGUUUGAAGCUUCACUUCUUCACAAGCUUUUCACCCGUAAACAGAUAGGCAGAUUGAGAGGGUGAACGCCUUAUUAGAGUUAUACUUAUCCUUCAUGAGUGUCAACCAAAAGGAAUGGACUAAGUUGCUAGAUGUAAUCCAAUUUUCAUACAACUUGCAAAGAAGUGAGACAACCAACAAGAGCCCGUUCAAGCUAGCCAUAGGGCAGCAACCAUUGACUCCUCACACACUACCAAUAGGCUAUACGAAGAGAAGUUCAGCGGCUUUGAAGUUCACUAAGGGGUGACACGAGCCAACUGACAUAAUAGCUCAUACUUGGAUAGGGCCGCUAGAAAGAUGAAGAAGUGGGCUGACAAAAAGCGACAUCACACUGAGUACAAGGUCGGAGACAUGGUCUUUGUCAAGCUCCUUCCUAAAAAAUUCAAGUCACUAAGGCCGGUACAUAAAGGCCUUAUGAUGAGGUAUAAAGGACAUUUCCCCAUACUUGGAAAGGUCGGCAAGGUGUCCUAUAGAGUUGAGUUACCACCGAGGUUGAAGAUUCAUAUCGUCUUCCACGUAAGUUACAUAAAAUCAUAUCACGAAGACAAGAAUUAUCCAAGCCAAGGGAUGUCCUAGAUGACACCUACAUCGAUUAUGACCUUCUAUGACAAGGAAGUAGAACACAUCAUUGCAGGCUGAGUCAUCAAGAGAUGAGGCGUGCCUCCUGCUACGGAGUACUUGGUGAAAUGGAAGGGACUACCAGAGAACGAGACUAGCUGGGAGCCAAUAGAUGCACUAUGGCAAUUUCAGGAGCACAUUAAGUGGUUCUAGGUGGAAGGUGCGACAAGGACGUUUACGGUUUAGGUAGGGGAGAGUGUCAUAGAAUGCUUCAAAUGAGCCUCCCCAGGGGUUUAUAUAGAGCCUAAGAAGCUUUUGGAGACUCCUACACUUAGUCAUUGGUGGGAAAAUGGUGGAAGGUUCUAAAGAUGUCUAAAGAUAUCCACACAUCUCUACACUAUGGUGGAAGGUAUGAGAGAAGUCCAAGGCUUUCUAGAAAAUUCUAGAGAUCUCUUGUAUAUUCUUGUACAUAGGCUUGUACAUAGAAUUGUGUAGGAAGUUUUAGAUUAUUCUUGAGUUGUAAGGAACCCUCCAAGAUUCCAAAGAGUUUCAUUGGUGCCUAUAAAUAGGUGAAGGCCUCAUUUGGCCAAGGCACCAAGCAAGUGAGUUCCAAAGCACUUGUAAAGCUUCUUUUAAGUAAUAAAAGCUUCCAUCCUUCAAGAUUUAUCUACUACGCCUUAUAAAGCUUUCAAGUUGUGAGCAUCUUAACCUAGCAAGCUGAGCAUUGGGAGCAAAACUGACUUAGCAAGAUCAAGGGUCUUGACUUGUCUAAGUGUCGCACGAGCUUAGGAAAAGACUAAGUUCAUGACACCUAGGACUAGUAGCAUGCACCCUAAGUAAUCCAAGGCUAGAAAUGAAAUGAUACAAGGAUUCCCAACACUUGACUUAAUUCCUUAGAAAUUGAAACUCAAUAAAAAACAUUAGUGUCAUUAACCUCAUUUUUUUUAUUACCAAUACUUAAUUAGGGGAAACCUUGAGCUAACAACCUCCUCAUUUUUUAUGAUGAUAAAACUGUACCAUCUAAAGAAAGCUUUCCUUAAUGUAUGCAUAUUAUAAGCAAUUUAAACAUUCAUCAUAAAAGAUGGAAAACAUAAACUCAAAUGGAGACAUGGAUAUAUAGAUAUAAGAGACAUCAUAAAGGUUGCAACAUGAUCGUAUAUCCGAAAUAGCAUCCAAAAGCAUGUCAUCCAAAAAAAAAUCAACCAUAAUAACCAUGUUCAAAUUGUCCCAAAAAGGAAAAAAAUAUAUAUAUGAAACAAAAAGUAUUAAAUAGUUUACUAAAUGUUAUGCCCUAGAUACCUAAAGAUAUCUCCCCCUUAGGCAACAUCGAAACAAUGAGGGAACUAUAUGGCUCAAGGUUGAGGUGGUGGAAACAAGGAACAUAGGACAGCUAUUGAAGAAGCUAAAAUUCUUCAUAAAUGAUUGAAUUUUAUUUCACCAUGAGAAACAAUACAAAGAGGGAUUUUUUUUUUUUUUUUUUUUUUUUUAUCAAGGGGAAGACCCCUUUCUCUUUACUACUUAUCCCUUUUAAUAAAAAUUCUUCCACAUUUUUCCACUUUAUUUUGCCAACAUUCUUUCAACCCCUUUUGCACAAAAAUGCCAAAGAUAGUAUUAGGAUAACCUUUUACAACCAUUGCUAACUUUUGACACAAGUUGCUAAAAAUUGUUGAAGAUUUGCUUUUAAUGUCAGGUAGGAUAGCAGAUUGGUUCUAAUUGAAGGUCAUUUCUUGUGGAGGACCUUACUUAUAAGUGAGAUGAUUGUUCCUAUCUUCAUGGUUUUAUGUUGUAUAGUUAUAGAGACUUUUUAGAGGCUAUCAGCUUUAGAGCAAAUUUAUGUUGUUUGUUAGGGAUUAAGUAUUUUAUUCAAAUUGGGUGAAUGGUACUACCUCUUUACUUGAGAUGGCUUUGAGAUUGGGUGGUUGAAUAGUAGUACUUUGGAAUGGUCUAGUUUUUGUUCGCUUUAGCUAUCAUUUUCUUAUGCUGUGUCUAUAGACGAGUGGAGACGUCAUUUGGAAAUUGGUCAAAUUGCCCGUGAAAUUGAUCAAAUUGUCAAGUUGUCAUCCUAAAAUUGACUAAACCUAGUUUGUAAAAAUGAGAAACGACCGUCACUAGCGACUAACAUCUUCUCAAGCUAAGUAUUAAUAGAUCCAAUCUGAGCAUAAAGGGCAUCUUAAUGUUGCAGGUUCAAUGCUCAUGAAGCAUAAUAUUUUGGAUACUUGGUGUGAGACACCUCAGCAUAAGUCUAAUCCAUAAGGAUAGUCUCCUCAGGAGGUUGAGAUGUGGGCAAUUGAAUGGUGGCAUCCAUGCCCUUGGUUUGCAUCUCCUGUUGAACAUCCUCACCCCCUAAUCCUUUAUGGUCACCCUCAGUCUCUAUCUAUAGAAUCUCUGCCUCUUACUCAACCCGGUCUUCAUUCAUAGCAGGACCCUUUCUUUUUCUUUCCAAUGAUCCAUUAGGCAAUUUCUCAAACAGCAUUCGGUCUGGAUUUUACGUUAUAGGUAUCAUAGGAUGAGGCCUGAAUGUUUUUUUCUCUUCUUAUGUCCACAUUGAAUGCUUUCAGGAUUUUUGUGAUCAGUCUUCUUCCGUUGGCCACUACUUUAGAAUUGCUUUUACAACAGUUUUUCAUGUGUUGAAAGAUGAUAAGGAAACCUUAGAAUGGAUCGGAGUCAAUAGAAAAUGCUACAUAAUAGGACACCUUGUCUCUAUGUCCACCCUUAGGUAGAAAAAUAUGUUUGAUCAUGUGGUGGUGCACCCUAGAGAUAAUGCUCAAGGCAUGGGCAUGGAGCUUUGAAGUCACUGUGUCGAUGGGUAAGUUACAUAUCCUCUAGAAAGCCCUACCUAGGUUAAAACUAGACACUAUAGGCCAUCCCUUCGUCUCAAAUAAACAAAGUCCCCCACAAAGGAUCUCCAAAAUAUCACAAAGCAUAUCAAUAUUUAGUUUAAUUCAACUCCUCUAACAAAUGUGCUAAUUGGCCUUCAUAUAUUUUAGGUUCAAGUAAAAUACCUGAACAAGGUUGGGGUAUGUAGGCUCUCUUGAUGAGAUGGUAUUGGUGAGUAUUUUUUUUUCUUCAAUACAAAACUAUUACAACACUUGGUUUUUUUUUUUUCUAAAAAAAAAAGAAAAAUAAAAAUAGUUUUAUAUUAUACUUAGUUUCAAGAAAAAUAAUAAUCAAAGCAAAAUGAAAAAAAAAUUCUCAUAUUGGUUUCUCGUGAAAAAUAUAAAAGCAAAUAAAAUACAAUUAAAAUUAAUUAAAAUCUUAUGUAUUUUUAAAUUAUUAAUUUUUAUAUAAAAAAUGAAAAAUAGUAUAAUGAAUUUAGAAGAAUAUAUAAAAAUAAUGUAUUAACUUUAAAUCUUUUUUUCUUUAUAUAUAUAUUUUCCCUUCAAUUUUCUAAUACCAACACAUAAUAAGGUUAAUGUCUUCUAGCCAACCAAUUGUAAGUCAAUUUUCAUAGAGCUUUUUUUUUUUUUUUUUUUUACAUGCCACCAAGUAGUUAUAUAAGCAUUUUUGCAUGUUAUUGUUAUCCAACAUACAAUAACUAUAACAUCCAAUUAUUAUGAACAUGAACAAUAAAAUUAGAUGCAACUAACUAUUUAGUGUAUAACAAGAAGUUGGUGAAGUAAUUCAUCCUAACAUGAUUCAACAAUUUUUGUUUAUUUUUCAAGAUUAAUUAUAACAUACCCAUUCUAUUAAAGUUGUUGAGAUAUUUGAGCAAAACUAAAAAUCAACAUUAAUUCAUUUUAUACCCACAAGAGAAAUAAGAUUUGUUUUUUUGUUUGAUAAUAAAGUAGUUGUAGUUAUUAAUGAUAAUUUUGAUCCUAAUUUAAUAGGUAUCCAAAAAAAAAGGAAAAAUGCAAGUAAACCAAUUCUUAUCUAACACAAUUAUUACCACCUUAAAAUCCUGAGGGGUAGCUCAGUUGAUCAGUUCGAGUCCCUUUAGGACCAUGAAAAGCUUACCCGAUGGUUCACCUUAAGAAAAGCAAAGCAUUUAUAUAAUUCAACUGGUAGUUGAUAAGUCUUAGAAAGGGUUUUGCCAUCAUUGGCUUCUCAGUAAAGGGCAAAUUUGGGUUGUGGCUGACAAUUAUUGAAUUUGUGAAGAAAUAUGUGAAGAAAGGAAACAAAAAGAGUUGAGGACAGAAUUCUUCAAUUAAAAAAUGGUUAGCCCAUGAACCCAUUCUUCAAACAGUAAGCCAAUGAGCCAAUGAGCCAAAAAGAAAGAAGAACAGCUGGUUUCAUCUUUUUAUCUUAAUGACUUUGACAACCCAUCUUUCUUUUAAAUACUUGUGACUUUGGAAUAUAAUUAAAAUGAAACUUUGGAAUGCCCACAUCUGAUUCACGGCCUUUUUACCUGUUUUCUUGUUUAACAUUUUUUUAAAUAUUAUAACAGAUGGAAAAACAUGAUUCUAACAGGCUGGAAAAUAGUGGAAGUUGGAACACCAACCAUAACCAAACUAUACCUUCCAUCUUUCUCCAACACUCGGAAUUAUUGAUACAAGUUGGUGGUUUUAUGAUUGUUUCUAUUGAGGGGACCCCUCUCCAUUUCCAAUUUCAAUGGAAAGGUUCUUCUUUCCCUACUUUUUUUUUUUGUUUUUCAAAUUCUUGUAGUUUUGUCUGUCUCUCUCAACAAAGCAAACUGCAAUCACUAAUUCAAAGAAAAGGAAUCCUAAAUGAAAAGAAAAGAAAGGAAAGGAAUGGUAAUUUAGGCUAUGAUGAUGCUCCUAUAUAAUGGCUGUAAGUCAAUAACAACACACUGGACCCGCCUCCUAUCUCAAAAGAUCACAAACCCAAAUAUCAUAUACUUCCAAAUUUCAAUUUGGUUCCCUGUUUAUAUCACAAUCUGUCCUAUAUCCUCUUAAUACAUCUAAAAUCUCUCUAUAUCAUAAAAAUAAUGAUGGAAAAAAAAAUUAAAAAGAAAGAAGGAAAAAAUGACAAAAAAAAAAAAACCUUGGUGCUGCUAUGGGUCCAUAGGAAUUGGCAGGACUGCACUUCUGGAUCCCCUUCCAUGGCCAAAAGAAAAGAAUGAUCUUCGGAAUCUGCUGCUGCAACCUUCACUAGGGCUGAAGUCACUGACAGGCCUGUUCUGUUGCAAAAUCUCUUGAAUUGCUAAAUACAGCUGCCUGUCGUUGGAUGAGUCCAUUGAAAAAGACCUCCUGAUGGGUUGGAUUGAGAACUGAUCAUCUUUGCCUCUAGUGUCAAUGCACUCAUCACCCAUGCUUGCAACAUGAUGAAACUUCCUUGCCUUUUUAGGCACAAUUCUCUGCUCUAGCUUCCUAGGUGAUGGACUAAUUGAUGGCGCAGAUAACUCUCUGGAAUUCAGUCUUUCUGGUGGCCUAAGCAGUGAUGAAUCAGCAGAACUAUCAUUUCCCAAUUCAAUUACUACAAAAUCUUCAUCCCCUCCUAUGUAAUUAUUGGCGUAGGGGCUUGGAUCUUGGGGGGAAGAGCUAGGAGCAAUGAUUUGGUGAACAGGAAACCGGGGUGUGGUUGAAAUGCUUGUUCUGCAAAGUGGGCAAUUAGCAUUGCUUUGAAGCCACACGUCUAUGCAAUCUAUAUGAAAUAUGUGACUGCAGUUUGGUAUGAUUCUUAGCUUCUCUUCUUCUUGAAACUCAUUCAAGCAAACCGCACACUCGCAAUGGCUUCUUUCUCCAAACUCUCUGCCACCUCCUUUCCUGAACUGGAAUAUUGGGAUUGAUCUGAUGACUGACUCGUCCAGGCCUCGACUCUCGAUUGCUGGGGAGUACACCAUUAAAGGGUCUUCCGGGUGCCGACUCCUUGAGAAAGAAAAUCGUCUCAGCAGAUCAAUCCGGUGCCAAUUGAGGCAGCAUUUGAUUACAAAGAUGUAGUAGCUCACCAGCAAGAAAGCAGUGGCCAGGAUUCCUAUUACGGCAAUGGCUAUAAUGGGGAAACUGGUGUCCGAGGAAUGAGAGGGAGAAGGAAGCACUGAGCUCGCCUGGCUUUUGAUGGGAGAAAAGGCUUGUGAUCCAUGGAUGGAGGAGUCUGUGCUCACAAGAUCCAUGAGAGAGGCUAUGAAAAACAUUUAGAAAUGAGUCUAUUCGGAUCUUCAAUUCACAGAAACAUGCAAAUGCUAGAAUAAAAUCGACAGACACUCAGAUAUAGACCCUACAGUUGUAAUGCAGCAUACCAUAAAUGUGAUUGAGUGAGUGAGGCUGAAACAGCAAAUGGGUCACUUCAAGAUCUCAACAAGACAGAAAACCCAUGUUGAAUUCACCAGGAGAGUAUUGAAAAGGGAAAAAUUAAGGACAUAUAGCUGUAUUGAAAGUUGAAACAAAUGCAGAAACAUAGAGAAGAGAGAGAGAGGGAGAAAACCCAGGAGGGUUGAAUGAGAGCGCUGCUGGGGAAGACAUCAAAACGCUUCAAAUUCAAUGAGAAUCUGUUGGGGACCUCUUUAAGAGGACUGCACAAAGCCUGAGCGUAGGGUACGUGGUUGGUUGGUGAAUUUCUCGGCUUCCAAAAGAGAAAUUUGGUGAGAAAAUUUUCAAGUCUCUUGAUUAUAGUAACGUAGCGUUUAUUUUAAUUUUAUGUAACCGAAACUAAUGGGCUGGUUCAAAAAAAUAAAAAAUAAAAAAAGGAACUUUCUAGGAUAGGCCAGCAGUCCACCGUUGGUCAUGUGGUUUCUUUUGCAUGUCCACAUCUUCCAACUAGUGGAGGUCCCUGUCACAACAGUAAGAAAACACCCAAUUGAAUAAAAGUAUGAACUUUUGGCUCCCAAUAUUACUUAUGCCCUCAUUCAAUACCUCAAAUAAAGCAGAGAUUUUGUGUCCCAACUUUUAUGAUUUCAUUUCAUCUUACUUCAAAUGCUAAUGACAAAAGUCCAAGUAUAUUCUGUAAUCACCCACACCCCAAUAGUUUUGAAUCACACUUGAAAUAGUUCCCAUGCUUUCUUAAUAAUUUAGAUAAUUAUUUACAGAAAAAAAAAUUCAGAACAGGAUGAUAAUCAUUUUGUGAUAGCAUGGAAGAAACUUUACUAGCCACUUUGGCCCCAUGAAGUUGAGUACUUGAUGCCAAUUAAUGGCAGGGUGGAAAAUAGAGAAAAGGGAUCAUAGUCAAAUCUAGAGUACAAGGCAUUGAAUCUUUGUUAAUAAUUAACAAAUGGGUAAAGCAUGGGUCACAGGGUCUACAGUUUGGAUUGCAAAAACCUCAGGCUUCUAUAAAAAGCUCAUCCAUUAUCAAUCAUCAAUCUGAAAGCCAGAAAGUCCAAGGCACAUGCAACCCACGACAGGGGUAAGAUUUCUGCAUCAUGUCCCUGAGUUGCAUUCACAUCAUAUGUUUCCCUCCGGGCCGUUCCAAUUUGAAAUCUCAUGGAAAUCUUCAAGAGCAAGGCUACAGAGUUUAAGAUAAUACUAGGGGUGGGUCCUGAUGGGAAAAGAGGUAGUGUAGGAUAGUCAAUAAAGGGCAUGUGUCUCUGGUGUGAAGUCAAAUCCAGUGUACCAUCCUCAAUGGAAAAUUUAGAAAUAGAACCGACACUCUACAGACUGCCGUGUUGACAGAUUAGAGAAAGACAAACCCACUUACACUUGCCUCAAAACCCAGUCCUGCCAUUUCAAAGGCAAAAAAAAAGGGUUUCUUUUUAUAGUCAAAGGUUGAGGCCUGGCCUGGCCUAGCAAAGAAACUUCACCUACUCUUUUCUUAUUUUUCAAAUUAAGGCCAUUCAACUUUUCCUGUUUGCAGGCUUGCUGCCAUAUCUUACUCCAAAAAAGGUGAAAACCCAAAAGAAAAAGAGUGUUUGCUUCAAUGGAAAACUCAUGUUUAAUAAAUUCACCGCACGAGUUUUGUUCCAGCUUUUCCUAUGAAAGCUGUGAUGCGUUUGGUAUGAAGUUGAUUUUGUUCCUAAAAAUUUUGAUCUUGGCGUGGAAGGCAACUUUUUCCUUUUCCCCCUUUUUCUUUUUGAAAAGUUCGGCAUUAGUUACCAAAUGUCCUUUUACUUGCAUGUAGGACAGCGGAAGCAUUACACAUCGCAGCAAAAUCCCAUUUACCCGAAUUUUCCACUAACUCUUUUUAUUUUUUACCAUCAUUUUUUAAUAGAAGUGAUGCACUCUUCAAAUUACAUGAAGCUUUUAAGAAGGUAAUAACCCGUUUCAAAGCGAACUUAACCUACAGAGUAUGUUUUAAAAAUAUUUAGGUAUUUGAUAAAAUUUAAAAAAUAUUUUUUAAAAUCUUUAAAAUGAUUUGUAAUAUUGAAAAUUUAUUUAUACUUUUUUUAAUAAAAAAACAUUUUAUAGGUAAUUUUUCUAAAAUACUUUUAGAGAAAAUGUCUUCCCUUCACUAUAAAUAUUAUAUACUAUCAAAUACACUUUAAAAAUCUGUUUAACAAUAAUUUUAUAAAGUGUUUUUAAUUUUAAAAAUAUUUUUAAAAACAAAUUAAAUUUUUGAUAAAAUUUAAAAAAUCUUUUUAAAAAUUUUGAAAAAUAUCUCGUAAUAUUAAAAAAUAUAUAUAUUUAUAAUGUUUUUUAUAUAAAUACUCAAAAUUCAUUUAAUAGUGAUUUUAGGAAAUGUUUUUAAUAUUUCUAAUACUUGAAAAUUUUUUAUCAUUUAAGUAUUAAAAAUAUUAAAAACACUUUAUAAAAUCACUUUCAAAUGGACUCUUAAUGAUUUUACUAAAAACACUUUUCAUAGAAAACAUUUAUAAAAAAUAAUUAUGAAAUACACUCUAAAUUAAGUAAAAGUUGUUUUUAACAUUACCACUAUUUAUUAAUAGUGCAUUUGUUUAAAAUAUUUAUAUGAAAAAUUCAUUAGGGUGGGAUAUAAAUAUAGAAGUGUUUUUCUUUAUAUAUUUUUUAUAAUAAAAAAUGAUUUUUGAAAUUAUAAAAUUUGAAUUUAAGAAUCAUUUGAUAAUAAUUUUUGUUAAAGCACCUUUAAUACGUGGUGCUUCUAUUGAUAGCGCUUUCAUUUCUAUGAAUGGCUAUAAAUUAUAUUUGAAUAAAUUUUUUAUAAUGUAUUAUAUAAUAAAAAAAAAGUCAUUUUUAAAAAAAUUAUACAUUAAAUGAUUAUUCAAAUAGUAUUUCCUAAAUUUUAUUAAACAUUUUUUUCAAAAAAAAAAAAAAAGUUUUCAAAUACUAGAAAACGUUUUUAAUCUCUCACACGAUCACAUCCAAACAAGUCCUAAUGCUACUCCUAGAAACACUCCAAAACAAAAGUCUUCCUCUAUUAAUGUUCAUAAAAUCCACAUAUAUUCUUCCAUCGUUUUUUCAAAAUUCAAAAUCAUUUCUAAAACAUCAAAUCAUGUUCUUUGGAUUGGCUGACUUGUUUUUUGAAAAUAGAAGGCUCAUUAUUGACGUCCGUUGACUUCAUAACCCAGUCUUGAUCUCUUGAUGGAGGGCAUAAAUGUAAAUUGGACGAAACCCUAGGGUGCGCUAGAGUGUAGAGGAUGAAAGGUUGGAAAAAGGAUGAGGUGGGGGUGUAAUAAAGAGGAGGGUUGGGAGAAUGGGACAUGUGUAGGUGAAGCAUUAAAUUCAAGACUAUGCUUACCAACAACAUAUAAAUAAAUAAAUAAAUAAAUAUAGGAACAGCACAUGGGGUGAGUAGGAGACAUCAGAAGAUGUGAACAACCCCUUGUCAGUCCAAUUUGCGUCUUUUAUCUACUCUAUUAUCUAUAUCGAUUUUCGUAUUUAUUUAUUUAUUUAUUUAUUUUUACCAUUUGAUUUUGCAUGGAUGUCGAAGGGUUUAUUGGCUGCCACGUGUAGGGUUAUGGUCAAGAUCACGUGGGGUGCCUACAUGGGAGUCACGUGAGUGCAUGAGGCAGGCUUGAAUUGCAGGAGGAGCAGGAGCAGAGCAGUGGCUGUUGUCUUAAGACUUUGCUCUCUUGGUGGAACUGCAGCUUAAGCAGCAUCCACGUGUUGUCACGUGCAAUGCGAGCCAUCCACACCACCAGUUUCUUUUUAGUGAUUUUCUAAAGUCAGUUAAGGUUGCAGUCAAUACCUUCAAAUGUUGACAGAGUUAGGGAUCUUUGUUAAAUGGAUUUUAUUAAGAUAUUAGUAAGUUAAUUAAUUGAGGGUCAACAUAACAGAUGGGUCGGGUUGGGUUGAAUCUGAAUUUAAAACGAUUUAAUUUAUGUUUAAUCAAAUUUAACAUUUAACUCGAAGCACUCAACUUAAGUUUAAUUGAAUCUUAGUUUUCAAAACAUUAUUUAAAUUUGGGUCAUUUGGAUUAAAGUCAAAUGGGUUAGAUUAAUCGGGUUAUAUGGUUCAAAAUCCACUUACCUUAUUUUUUAUACAUUAAUAUUAAAAUUUAAAUAAAAAAUAUUAGAAGAAAUUUCAAACUUGGGAUUAGUUGAUUGUAGCCAUGCAUUUGGAUGUUGGUAUUCUUGUUUCUUGUCUUGUUUCCAAAUACCCUUUCAAAUCGCUUUGUUAUUCAAUAGCAUCCUCCCGAUCAUUUAAAAAUUUAAAGAGCAUUGGUAUGAUGGAGGAAUUCAGAAAUUUUAGUUGAAUAAGUAAAAUUUUUCUCUCAUAAAACCAAAUAGCCUCUAUAGCUCAGUGGUAGAGCGUCAGUCUUGUAAACUGAAGGUCUGUAGUUCGAUCCUGCAUGGAGGCAACUUUUUAUAUUUCAUGAUCCAUUAUGCUCUAGUGAUUUAGUUUUCAUUAUAAUUUUAGAUUAAAAAAUUACAUCAACAUUUGAUAAGUUGGUUAUGACUUUGAUAUAAGGAUGAAACUAUCAAUAAUAUAUAUAAAUAUUUUGACACAAAAUAUCUAAUAUAUUAAAAAAUUAAAAAAAAACUCUAAAAAACAUUAUAAAAUUAUAUAUAUAAUUUAUCAUAUUUAAUAAUAAUAUCUUCUACCCUAAUAAAAAAUAUAAAUUUUAUAAGCAUACAUUUAUUAUUACAUUGUAUUAUAUAUUAUUUUACAAGAAUAUUAUGAUAACAUGUCUAAUUUUAAAAUAUAUUUAAUAUUAAAAUUAUCAUCAAUUUUAAUUUAAAUGUAUUUAAUGAUAUCAAAUAAUAUAUAUAUAUAUAAUUUUUUAAUAUUUAUAUAUUUUUAUAUUUAAUAAAUAUAUAAAUUAUGUAAAAAAAAAAGACCUAUUAAGAAGAUUAUGUUUUUAUAUUUGGAUCAAAAUUAAGUUUUUCCGAUAAAAUAUAUGAAACUAUUGAUAAAUUAUUGAUUGAAACGUGAAAAAAAAAAUUCAAAAAAUAGAUGAGAUAUUAGUAAAAUAUCCGAAAAUAUUGAUUGAUGAAUAUAUCAUUUCAAAUUUUGCAUCAACAUCCACAUAUGUUGGAUAUAUUGGCCAAAUAUAUUUAAACCUUGUUUCCAUGAGAAGUCUUUCCUUCAACAAUUUCAAAAGGUUAAUGAGGUGGUUUCCAAGAGAUGUGUGUAGGGGUCUCCAACGGGCGGGCCGGGCCAGCGGGCUUUUUGAAAUAAGCCAAAAUGGCUUUCAAAAAAGGGAAGGGAGAGGAUUUAAACCCCUUCCUUCAUGCUUAAAUUUCAAGGUUCUAACCAAUUGAACUACAUUCCUUUAAUGUUUAUUAAUUGAGUUAGUUAUAUAUAUAUAUAAAAAUAAAGUAUAUUAUUUUUUAAAGGGGCGGGCCUACGGGCUGGGCCGGGCCGAAAGCGGGCCACGGGCCACGGGCUUUUUGGAGACCCUUGGAUGUGUGCAAUCACAUUUGGUAUUAUAGGUGACAAAGUUUGAUAAAUGAGUAAUUAUUAGGUUAACUUAUAAAAUCCGAAUUUGAUUUAAAUUGAUUCAUUUAAUAAUCCCAUUUAUUUACCCAAUUAAAACUUUAAAUUAUUUAACUUAUAUUUAAUUUAAUUAAAAUUUGUUUUUAAAUAAAUAGAUCAAUUAAAACAUAAACAUAUUUGAUUGAAACAUUAAUAAUAUAGAUUUAAAUAAGACCUAAUUCAACCUAACGAUCAAAUAGAAAUAUCUAAUUAUUAAAUAAAUUAAACAUGUUACUUGCUUAAUAAUUAUGUGACAUUUGAAUUUAUGCUUUUGAUAUAAUUAUUAUUUAUAUCAGGUUUAUAUAAUGAAAUAUCUAGACUUUGACACCAGUCAACAUUGUCCACCAAUACAGAUUGCAACUCUUAUAUGCUACAUCACAUCAUGUUGAAGGAAGAGGAUGACGUUCAUUGGCAGCAGAGCCUCCAAUCAUAAGGAGCUUGAGCAAAUUCAAUCUCAACACUGAAAUUCACUAGAAAAAAAGUUUAUUAUUGAUACUUCAUUUGUGUAAAAGCAUUAUAUUUCUUGCAUCAAUCGUAAAGCAUGACAUUCCAGUAGGUACGGAAGAGAAAAUUUGUUAUGAAUUGAAAAAUCUGUCAAGCUUAAUUUGGAGGGCCCAAAAUUGACACGUUUAAGAGCUCUAUCAUUAGCCCAAUGAUAAGAGUCCAUUUCUUGAGUUUCAAGGAAGGCCCAAGUUUAACUUAGAGGGCCCAAUCUUGGUACCUUCUAAAAGGUGCAAACUUUGGCCCAAUUAUAAAAGCUUAUCCUUGCUUCCUAAGCAUCAAUGAUAUAUUUGAUCGAAGUAUUCACAUAACUAUCACGAAAUGAAAUGAAAUGAAAAUGUAUAAGUAAAUGAUGAUUUUGAGUUAUUUACUGACAAUAAAGAAUUAGGUGGUGUUUGUUUUUUUUUUUUUGGCUUUUUACUAAAAGCAAUUUGUUUUCAGAAUUUAGGUUAUUUAUUUUUCUAUUUUUUCAUGACUUAUUAUAAACUUUUUACUAAAUAAGAAAAUCCAAAAUAUAUAGUUUUUUCUAAAUAGAAAAAAUAACAUAUUGGUUUUCUUUUUUUUUUACUUUUUAAUAUUUAAUAGAAAUAAAAUAUUAUAAAAACAAACAACCUAAUAUUUAACACUAUUAAGUAUUAAGGUUUUAUUUAGAAUUAAGUAAAAAAACAAACACUACCUUAAAAUGAAAAGUAUGUAUAAUGACCUUAUACAAAAAAAGUCUCAUUAUUUUCUUCCAAAGAACUCAUACUUUUGUUUUUCAACUAUUACUUUGUUUUUAUUUUUUAAAUAAUAUUUCAAGUUUUUUUUAAUAAUACCUUUCUCUUUAUUAGAUAAUUUUAAUGACUUUAAAAGUAUUUUAAUAUAUUAAUUUAUUAUAUAAUUUUAAUGAUUUAAAAAUAUUUAAAUGUUGAAAUAUUUAUUUUCAAGUCUAAUUUUAAUUAUUUAUUUUUUGAAGUAUUUAAAUAUAUAAUAAAUGUGGGAUUAUGUAAAUCUAGUUGUAAUUAUUUAUUUCAUUCUAUUCAUGUUUUUAGUUGAAUUUGCUCAAAAUUUACACCUCUUUAUUUAAAGAUCAUGGAUUAGUUAGGUGUCUUGAGAUUUUUUUUCUCUCAAGACACUACUUGUUACACUAGAAAAUAAUUUGUGGCUAUAUUUUUUAGGCAAAAAGAAUUAUAUGUUAAAACUUCCUUUAUUGACUAGUUUAUCAUAGGGUGUAGAGGAAAGUUUGUGAUGUCUUUUUAUGUCAACUUUGGGAGAAAAAUAUCACUUUAGCAUUUUCCUUAGAAAAUUUUCAUACAUAAUUGAUUUUGGAACUAUGGAGGAGCAUAAGUAGGGAUAGAUAAUUCGAUUUUGGAAAAAUUAUAAUAGCUUUUCAACUUGGUGUUAAUGAUAUAUUGUUUAUUUCUUAUUUUUUUUCCAUUUUAAUAUAUAAUUGGGGAUUUUAAACUUGUAGAACAAGGCUUUUUCAAUUGAAUUGACACGUACAUAUGAAAGUUCUCUUUGGUUGCUAAUCACAUUUUUUUUUCUUUUGCUUUUUGUUUUUAUCAUAAUGAAUAUUGAACUCGAAAUUCAGUUUUUAAAAUCUUAUGAUGUUUUAAAGUUUAUAAAUAUUAUUGAUUUUUAUAAAUGAUGUUAUUCAUAUCUUGGUAAAGACAAUAUUUUCAUAUCGGUCAAGAUGAUUAAUAACAUAUAAGUUCAUAAAGAAAAACCUAUUGAUUAAUGGAUAUUUAAUGAUUUUUAUUAGGAAUGUUUUUUAAUUAGUUUCAAUACUCAUCUUUUAGAGCAUACAUAUAGGGUUUUAGAUGCUACAUUGGUUUUCAGCUUGUGAUUUAAAUUAUUGAAGCAAAAAAUGAGGGUUUUGCUUUAUGGAACUAUCUAAAGGGAGGUGAAUUAGGCGGUCUUCCUUUUUAAAAUCCAAAAAUUAGAUUUUUAAUACUUAUAUUAGUUAUACAUGUGUUCAAUAAUUAAAACAAAGAACAAGUCCAUAAUUUACAUGUGAUGUGCAUGGAAAAACACCUACAAAUUCUCUCAAAUACUUUACAAAUGAAAAAAAAAUCAAGGAUCGAUCAAUCACAGAGCAACUUCACUAAAUAUGAAAACAUGACUAUACAAUUUUACUUGGAUGAGGUGCUACCUUCUCUUAAGGGUUUUUACACUAGCCAACAAUUACACUCACCUUCACUCUCACCAUGCACCUCUAUUGUGCUCCAUAGUAAACACUUUAAUGACUGUAGCAAGAUUGCGAUAAAUUACUGCGAUUAAUUUGAGAGUGUUGAUAAUGAACAAAAAAUAAUGAUAAUUAACUAGAGAGCAUAUGAUUUUGUAAAAACACCAAAAAGAGGCAUAGUUAUAAGUGAAAACUUUAAUGGAUUGGAUUGAAUAUAUAAUUGAAGUAUGAAUGAAAAAUUACCAAAACAAUGUUCAAAACCGUGCUAAUCAAAGCACAAUCACUUGAGUACUCUCAUGGGGCACUUGAAUGCUCCUUUUAAUCACCGUAAUGCUGAAAUUAAUAAUUUGUCUCAAAUUGUUUUUCCAAAACAUAAAGCAAAAUAUUAUAAAUUUAUAUAAUCAAACCCAAUUUCAUCUUAAAGCUAGCCUACUUAGUCUUAAUUCAUGUCCAAAAAUACUCAUACUUGUCAAAGAAUGAAUAUGGUAUAAACAAAUUCUUUAUUUUCAAUUAUAUUCAAUUAUUGAAAGAAUAAAUCGGUUUACAUACAUUUUGAACAAAGGUAUAUACACAUAGACUAAAUCAAGGAAAUGAGGAAAUCAAUCACAAUCAAAUCAAAAUCAAAUGAUAGGUUGAUAUCUAGGAGAAGGUUAAGUUAGAACCAACUCAUGUAUUCAAUAUUCCCCCUUAAGAUGGCAUAUGGAGAUCAUGAAUAUCAAACCUAGAAAGUAAGGGAUAUGAAAUAUCUAUACCAAGGGAUUUUAUGAAAUAUCAACCAAUUGUUGUUGUGAUUAAACAAAUUGAAUAAGAAUAAUUUCAUUUCGAAUCUUUUCAUAGAUCAAGUGACAAUCAAUUUCAACGUGUUUAUUCUGUUCAUGGAAAAUUAGAUUAAUAGCAAUGUAUAGAGUUGUAUUAUUGUCACAAUAUAGAUGCAUUGACCAAGGAUGAUGAACUCCAAAAUCUAUAAGUAAAUAUUGCAACCAAUGCAAGUAGUAAUCAUUAAAUAAUAUUUCACUUUUCUUCAUGAGUGUUAUAUCAUUGAUUGCUUUUUAGAUCUUCAAGAGAUUGAUAGGCCACCAAGUAAAAUACAAUACCCUAUAAUUGAACAUCAAGAUUAUGCACAAUAGGCAUGGAGGAAGGCAAAAGAAUUCCUUGACCUAGACGAUUUUUUAAAUAGUAUAACACUCAUGUACUUGUGAGAUAAUUGAGACUACAUUGGCUUGUCAAGAAUUUGAACAUAAUUAGCAAUAUUAAGCCCUAUCAUUAUGAGUCAAAGUAACUUCCCAAUCAAAUGCCUAUAAUAAGAAGCAUCCAACAAAGGUUCUCUAUCUAAUUUACUCAAUUCCAAAUUUUGUUUCCUAGGAGUUUUUAAAGUUACAUGUUCCAAGAAAACCAAAAUCUUUUAGUACUUCUAGAGCAUGUUUUCAAUAACUUAAAUAAAUCUCAUUCUUAAAAUAUGUCAUUUCAAUGAUGAUGAAGUACUUUAAUUUUCCAAUCUCUUAGUUAGUUUGAAAAUGCUAUAUAGGUUUUCCUUGACCACCUUAAUUCCUUUAAGAUCAUUCAUUGUAAUAAUUAUAUCAUAAAUGUAAACAAGAAUGAUUGUGAAAUAGUUAUUUGAGGCUUGAGCAAAUAAGAAGUAAUAUGUACGUCUUGGCUUGCUUGUAAACCAUAAACAUCAAUGUGAUAGAUAAUUUGGCAAACCAUCAACGUGAAGCUUGCUCAAGGCCAUAAAGGGAUUUUUUAACUUUGCAAAUCAUAUUUUUGGUUCUAGAUUUCCUACAAACUUGGUGGAAGCUGCAUGUAUACCUCUUUAUCUAAGUCUUCAUAAAGAAAAACAUCGUUGAUGUCAAGUUGGUGAAGAUGUCAAAUUCUAAUUAUACAAUAAUUAGGGGUGACAAUGUGUCUUAUCGUGUUGAGGUGAGAAAUAGUGAAAAUUUACUUAAUCCGACUAUGACCCGUUUGAUAAUCGUGUCAAAAUAACCUAACAUGAAUACAAUUAGUUUAUUUCAUGUAACAUGACCCUUUUAACAUGUUUAAUAAAUAUAUUAACUUGGAUUAUGUAUUAAUUGACAUGAAUAACUCAUUAACUUGAUUUCAACCCCUUAAACUCAUUAACACAAUUCCAACCCAAUAAACUCGUUAAUAUGAUUUAACUCAUUAAACUUGUUAAUAGGAUUAUAACCUCUUUAACCUAUUUAAAAUUUUAAAUUUAUAAAUAAUAAAAUACUUCUAGAAAGUUUAAUUUUUAAAAUUUGAACUAUAAUACAUGUAUGCACCAAUUUCAUGAAGUCCUGAAAAAUUAGCAAAAUUAUAGAAAAAUAAUAUAAACAAAAAUUUGUAUUAAAAUUAAUAAGUAUGGGCUACAAUAUUAGUCAUAGUACUGCUUAUUUCUGAAUGACUUUAUUAAAAAGCGAAGAAUACAUGUGUAGUUCUUAUGUGAUUUCUUAAACUUGUAAGGCGAUUUUAUAAAGUUUUUUUUUUCUUUGUGAAACCUCUUUUUCUAUGUGAAAUUGUUUUGCCGAUUUGAAAUCUUCAUUAAAGGAAGUUACUAUUAUUUAUAAUUGAAAUUAGAGAAUGAAAUGUGGAAUCCCCAUGAUUUAGUUGCUUAAUUCAAGGAAUUUGAUUAAUUGAUUUUGGUAACUUGUCUCAUAAAAUUUUCUAACAAGAAUAUUUAUUUUUAAUCUCUUUUAUUUCAAUUGGAAUAUUUGUUUCCUUUGUAAAUUUGUCAAUAGAAUAUUUAUUUAUUUAUUUAAUUCUCUUUUGACUACAAUGAGAAGAUUUGAUUUUGUUUGUAAGACUAAAUUUUAUAACCUUUCAAAUUUGGCCAAGUGACACCUUUUGAAUAUAUGUCACAUGUCAAAUGUGUGUGACUCAUUAGUUGUUGAACCUAAAUUUUCUUGAAUUAGAAAGCUAUACUUUUGAAGACUAAUUUAGUGAUAAUUUAAUUCAUUAAAUUUUUUUGGUGUCUACAGUAUAUUUAUAAUAUGAAAAGUAAAUUAAAAUUUUAAUUUUUUUACUUGUUUAUUAUUUUAUUUAUUAUUUAAUGAUAAAUAUUUUUAUUCUUUAUUGAAAUAUAUAAAAUUUUAAUUAAUAUUUUAAUUUUUUUAAUUUCUAUAUAUAAAAUAUAUAGAUUUAUAUGGUCUAAUUGAGUCAUUAAAAUAAAUAGGGUAAAUAACUCACACAUAAGUGAUGGAUCAUUCUAACAUGAUUAAAUUAACAAGUUAGAUGAAUUGAGUAGUCAAAUACAAACAUGAUUUGUUUAUUAAAUAAGUUAUAUGAAUUGAUACGAUUAUGACAUCAACUCAAUUAAACUUAACUCAAAUAAGCUUUGUCUUUUAUUUUAAGUUGUCUAGUUGUUCACACAAAUUUUCUCAAAAUAAAGAAAUUAUAUAUAAAAUUGUAAAUUUGAUUAUUUGAGGGGACCAUUUUCAAUACUCUUUUUUAAGUAAUCUGGUGUUUAAUUUUGAAUCAAAGGGGCUUUCAUUAACAAAUAAUAGACUGUAGUUUUCAUAUAAGAAGAAAUCUCAAGCCUUUUUUUCUUGAAGGAAUCUUUAAAUUUUCUUUGAUACUUUAAAAAAUCAAUCUUCUUUGAUUUUUUAAGAAAUCUUUGAAUUUUCUUAAAGUCUUCAAAAAAAAAAAAAAAAAAAAAACUGAGUUUAAGGAAUUUUUUUAAUAACUCUCCAAAUUUCUUUGAUAUUCCAAAGUGUCCUUUAGAAGGGGACAAAUCCUCUAUUUACAGGAUUGAGAGUUUUAUUUUAAUAUUAUCUCUUAAUUUUUAAGAAAUAACUCUCUUAUUUAUGAUAAUUACUAUUUAUUUUAUUUAUCAUAAUUAGUUGCCUAUGAUAAUUAUCAUAAUUAAUUUUUCUAGAGAUAAAUAAUUAUAUAUAUUUAAUUAAUCAUGAUAACUAUAAUAUUUAUUUAAUUUUUUAUUAAAUUAUUUUACAUAACAUAUCAAUAUAUAUUAUUAGUCAAUUAUUAACACCGAAAAUUAAUGAGUUGGCAUAAAAUUUAUCUCUCUAUAAUAGUAUCAAAGCGAGCCUUAAUAAUAACAUUGCUUAUAGUCAAUUUCACAUGCCAACUUUUUACUGGGCAUUGGCGAUUUCAAUUUUGAUAGUCCGGUUAGAAAAAGUAGGUAAAGAUUAUUUGAUGUGGUAGGUCAUUUCUUUCAUAAAGACGAUGGCGGUGAAUUCAUGAGACAGGUGAUAAAGGAGAGAUUCUUUCUUUUGGCUUUGGAAUUUUAAUGAGGUCCUCGAUCCUCAUCCAAAAUACACCUCUCCAAUUAUAAAAAUCUUAUUAAAAAAAAAAAGAUUUGACAUGUGCCUUUCGAACUGCUGGUUUUCUGUUCCAAAAAUGAGAAUGGUUUCAAGUGGAUGAAGGAAGGUGAAGAACCCUUGGUUUUGUUAAGCGAAAAGCCACAUGAUUAAAUAAACAUAAGGCGGCAAAGGCUGAAAAUUUAAAAUUAUACUAAGGAACCCACCCCACAGGGCGACUACACUUUUGGUGAAGCCACGAGAAUGAAAGAUAUCGAAGGUGACACCAAGACAUUAAGCAGCACCAAGGUUUCGAUAUAUUAUAAGAUGGGAUCUUAUGAAAGACGAUCUCUAAUCUCUCUCCAAUCUCUUCUUUAACCUUUUCUUACUUAAAUCCAUUUCCAUGGUAGGGCACAUGUCCAGCUGACCCUACCCCCUCACCUACCUAUACUGCUAUACCCUUUUGUAUAAUUUGAUAUGGAUUGGAAGCCACCCCAACAUCUUUCUAAUUGCUCGUAAAUGUUGAGGUGCCUUUCCAUUUUGAGGCUGCCCUAAUGUGUGGCUGAAGUACGUAGGAAAAAAAAAUUGUGAUACAUGCACUGACGAAUCAAAUCCCAAUGUCAAAUUAUUAGACUCACCUGGUUCUUAAAUUAUUGUGAAUGCCGCUGGCCAUGGAUAAAUGGAAUUAGUGCGUGGCUUAAUGAAAAUUUAUUUUGAAAGGGAUAUUAAUUUGAGAGAAUUUUGGCUGAUACUUGGAGUUGAACGUAAGCAUAUAUGACCUCAUUUCGGGUGUGAUAUUGUGCUUAUAACGAACCUUUCGUUCUUUCCAAUUCCAGUGGGUAUUAAAUAAUUAAAGAAUUCAUGGUUCGAAGGCGAAAGGUAGAAGACCAAAAAGGGAUUACAAAGCCAUCGGCUUGACCAUCCAGAUGCAAUGGAUACAAACUUUGGACUCUAUCGAAAGUUCUUUGGGCACGUGCCCAAGUGUCCUACCCAUAUGAUAAGUUACACGUGGCUAAUUGCGGACCGGUUGCUCGUGCUAAACAGGGUACUUUUUCUACGCAUAUAAGAUGUUUCACUAGUGGGGCUUCACCAUGCAAACUCAUGGAUGAAGACCCUGAGGCCAAGAUGAAGGAACAGAAAGAAGGCGGAGGAGAGGUUCGGUAUCGAGGCGUUCGGAGGCGGCCAUGGGGGAAGUUUGCUGCGGAGAUACGUGACUCGACUAGGCAUGGAGCGCGCGUCUGGCUCGGGACUUUCAAUUCUGCGGAGGAGGCUGCAAGAGCAUAUGACCGAGCUGCUUAUGCCAUGAGGGGUUCCUUGGCGAUUCUCAACUUCCCUAAUGAGUAUCAUACACCCGGCACGGCUAGCUCUUCAGCUUCAUCCUCAAUGCCCGAAGGUGAUCAGCAGGGAAAACAAGUCAUUGAAUUGGAGUACUUGGAUGAUAAGCUGCUAGAGGAUCUUCUCGACUCUGAAGACAAAAAGAACAAGAAAACCUGAAGUUUCUGCUGCCUCGAAUCCCCUGAAAUCUAGUGCUUCAUCGAAAAAAAAUCCCCUCGCUCCUGAUUAACAACAUUUUUAUUUUAGUCAAUGAAUGUGUUCUCGGAUCAUUAUAAGUAUUUCUGCCGAAGUCCAUUGAUUUUUGGAGACUGAAAAAUGUCAGAAAAAUUGGUGCGAACAGGUUUACUCCUUUCUAAAUUAUGCAAUUGAAGUAUUUGGAUUAGUGCGCAGUGUAAACAUCAAGGAAAGCAUGAUCCACUAUUUUAAGGAGCCUAAGUGCUUUCCCCUUUACUCUUUUAGGAUGUCUUUUCAGUGAAGAAAGUUGGGAGACCACCACUUACCCUUUUGAUUGGUAUAUAACUGCCAACUAAUAACUGGACUAACAUUUGGCCCGUCUGGCCCUACUUCUUUGACUUUGUUGUUAAUUUAUAACUUUAUGUGAAGUGGGGGCUGUUUGGGAAUGUGUGAAGCAAGGAUUUGAGCCGACUUCGCCUAAUCUGAUUCUCCAUAAGUGACUUCAUUUUAUCAUAUUGGUGUUUUUUUUCUUCUUCUUUUUAAAUGGCUGGGGAGGAGGGGAUUUGGGAGGGAUGCAAUGCCAUGGUUGCAUGCUGGAUUAUCCUUCCAAAUGAAACAUCCAUUUGGUUUCUAGUAACUAAUUGCAAACAAUUAAAGAGAAUAAAAUUUUAAGAUGAUUAAACAAUAAGUACCUAUGUCCAUGAAAAGGAGAGAAGUUCACUCAUGGGUGUUCAUGAAAGACAUCACAAAGAACCAUCAAUAUGAGAAGAAUCCUGAUACAAUUAACUUUCAUGCAUAAGAAAAGACGCUCAAAAAAGAAUAAUGCUUACAAGGAAAGAAUCUCACUACGAUCAACUGAAAAAAUAUUCCAAUUUAAUUGGAAAUCCUUACAUGGGAAGAAUAUCAAUAAAAUCAACUAAAAAAAUAUUUUAAUUUUAUAUCAAAAUAUUUGUGAUUUAACCCGUAUCAUUUCAUCAUGACUUCUUAUAAAUUUUGUUCCUUUUUAUCAACACCACCCCUUGAGUUGGAGCAUAAAUAUUUAUUAAGCUAACUUGAACAAGAUCUUGAGAAAUUUUGUCGCAGGAUUUGUUUGCACUUUUUUUUUUCAAAUAAAGUCAUAAUUAACUUUAAUAUGUUUAAUCAUUUCAUGAAAUACUAGAUUUUAAGCAAUGUUGAUAGCAUACUUAUGCCUGAAAGCUUUAUCCCAAAUCACAUGAGUACAUGAAGUGAUUGCAUCAUUAAUGGUAGUAUUAUUACUUUAUAUUCAACUUCUCCACUUGAUAGGAUGCAUGAAAGCAUUGUGCUUUCUUCUGUUUCAAGUAAUAAAGAUUAUCACCAAGAAAGGUGCAAUUAAUACCUAGUAACAGAGUACCUAGUGGUAGCAUGCACCUAUCCACUGAACUUGUACUCGACUCUAUGAGUGUACGUUACAUAGUCCUUUUUUCGAAGUCUAAAUGUCCCUUGAUAAAACCUUCUAAUAUUUGAGGUUUUGGUAACAUUCAUGUAUCAAUGAACAAAUUAAUUUACUAGCUAAACUUUAAAAUUAGGCAAUGUUUUUCAAUGGGUGAUCAAGAUCUUGGAAUUUUCAAUGUUGUUUGAAUAGCUUCCACACACAAGCAUAUUUUCUCCUAUUUAGGAAUAAUCCCUUUUUUGAAGGUGUGAUCUUUAUGCUCAAAAAAUAAAGAUACUCAAAAAUUUAAUAUUGACCUUCUCGUGAAGGAAAAGCUUUAUAACUAAUUUUUUUUGUGCAUUAUAUAUAUCCUCAAUAUAGACUUUAAAAAAAAAAGAAGUAACUCCCUCUACAAAGAGUGAAGAGUCAAUUAAACUUUUUUUUUUUUAAAAAAAAGGAACCAAUUACUCGUAAAAGUAAUGAUUAUUUUUACAUACCAAACUUGAGGAGAUUACUUAAGAUCACAAAAGUUUUUAUUAAAUUGCAAGCUAGAUGCAUUUGAAACGAUCGUUGAUGUCUUAGCAACACCUUAUGUAACUCAUCAAUCUUUAUGUAAAAAUGCAUUUUUAACACCCAUAUAAAAUAAUGAUCAAUCCUAAUUUAAUAGAAACAAAUGGUAAUACAUGAAUAUCAUUCAUAUUAAUGAGAAAAGUAAAUAUUGAUUUAUAAUCAACUUCUUAAGUUUGUGUCAAUGCCUUAAUCAUUAGUUUAACUUUGUCAUUCAAUGAUACCAUCAUUACGACAUUUAAUUAACUUAGAUUUGCGUAAAUCCCUUAAUCACUAGUCUAGCUUUAUGUCAUUCAAUGGUACCAUCAUUAUGGUAUUUAAUUGAUCUUAUACCCCCAAUUUGUAUACCCCAUGUUUUUCUUAAUUUACCAUACAUCACUUAACAAUGUUCCAUGCAUGGAUUUUGUUAAGUGCCUUAAGUUCCUUUUGCAUAGCCUUUCUCCAAAUUGGAUGAGGAUUGGCUUCAUUAAUGUCAUUAGACUCAUGAUAUAUGGAACUCAAACAAUUGUUAAGUGAUUUUGUAUAUAUAUAAAAAAAAAAUUGUAAUUAAUGUGGUAGGCAUAAAAAUCUCACAAAUGAGGAUUGAUUAAUUGUUAUAAUUGAGCAACAUGCUUGAGGCUUAGUCACAAUACUAGAACUUGAAGUCAGACAUUCUCUUCAAAUAAGGACGUAUAUACAUUAUAUUGGAUCUCCAUUAAACAAGUAAAGAACUAUUUAGUAGACAAUGAAACCUCAUUGAUCAAUGGUGGUAGAGAGACACAUGAUGACCAGACUAUUCCCCUGGAAAUGAGAAUAAAAAAUAUCAUUAGCCGCAAAAAUCUCAAAAAAAUUUAGAUAAUGGGAUAUAAAGAGUUUAUGAAUUUUACAAUCAUAACUCUUAUACUGGUUUAAGUGGUAGAGUAAUCAAGAACACAAAACGAGUUUGAUGAGUGGUUGAGAUAUGAACAAAGCAAAGAUUUCCAAAGACACCAAAAUCAGAAAUCUCAAUUUUUGGGCUAAGGAUUUCAAGAAGAAAUUUAAAAUUAACUACAUGACUAGAAAAUUUGUUCAUCAAGGAAAUAGAAGUAACGAUAUCAUAACAUCAUAAUUAAUCAAUAUUUUUAAUAACAUGCAUUUGGAACAUGAUAUACCGGCUUUCUAAUAAUCAAUGAUUUUUGGUUCAACCACACCAUUUUGUUUUGGGAUGCCAAUACAACAAGUUUAACGAANNNNNNNNNNNNNNNNNNNNNNNNNNNNNNNNNNNNNNNNNNNNNNNNNNNNNNNNNNNNNNNNNNNNNNNNNNNNNNNNNNNNNNNNNNNNNNNNNNNNAUGUAAGUGCCAAAUUAGGUAGUGUCGACAAUGAAAUGGAAAUUUUGGAAUAUAGAAACAACCUCAUUUUUAUGUUCUAAUAAGUAAACCUAUGUAGCAUAAGAAUAGUCAUUAAAAAAAAAGGUAACAAAAUGUUGAUUUCCAUCCUAUGGAUCAAUUAGGACACAACCCCAAGGUAAACUAAUUUGAAAGUUGCAACAAAAAUGGAAAGAGAUGAAAAAAUAAUAGAGGAAUUUAAGGUUGUUUCAAAAUUUCAAGACAUGCUAAGAAACACAUGAGAUUAUAGAUGAUUAGGUAACAACCUUGGUUAAGUAUAUUCAACAUAUAUAUCCCACGAGGAUAAAUAUCUUCACUAAACUUUUCCUAUUAUUCAAUCCCCUAAUACCAUACAAGUGAAAAAUUAAUGUCACGGUCAAAAAUUUUAAUAAGCUUCCAAAGAGAUAAUAAUUUUGGGGAAAAAAACAACCUAAGAAACCUAUGAAUUGAGAUAAUUUAGGAAAAAACUAAAUGUUCGUUAGCUCUAGAAGGGAAUUGAAGCUCAUCAUCAAUAAAGAUUGUUGCUAUCUCGAAUAAUAUCAAGUAAACCAUUAAGAUCGCUAUUAAUGGUAUGAUUAGCAGCACCAAUUAUCGACAAAAAAAUUAUUAAAAAUAUAAGAAAUGAGAGCUUUAAGAUUAUCUAAUUGAUUUGUAAACCUAGGUAAGUGAAUCAGUAUUACGUUUUGUUAAGGAAGCUUAGAUCCAAUUGGUAUCAUUCACCAAGUUAUUGGAUUAAAUUACACUAUCAAACUUUGGCUUUAAAUGAGAAUGAAGAAUCUAACCACAAUCCUUAUUGGGAUUAGAUAUGUUAUUGCAAUAAUGUUUACAAUCGGAUGAGUGCUAAUUUCUAUUGAAAUCAUGAAGCAAUCUCUGAUCAUUGGUCUUCUUUGUAGAAACAUGAGCAUUGAAUUUAAAAUUAAUAAUUGUUACUUGGGAUUCAACCUUCAUAAUCAUUGCCUGGGUUUCCUAAUCACUUUCAAGAAUUACUUAUAUAGUGAAGGCACUCGAAACUAAUCAAAUUUGUCCUCUUAUAAAGUUGUCAUAUUCAAGCUUCAGAAUAGCCAAUAAUUGAAAAACUUAUCAUACUCCGCAAUUUGUUGAAGAAUAUUUGGGUCUAUUGAAGGGGACAAUAUAGGGAAUAUUUGUCCCAUAUGCUCAAAAUGUUCAAUUAACAAAGUGUUCUGUAUGUUUAGGGAUUUGUUAGCUUUAAUUACACAAAACAUUAGCAGUUUUAGAGAAAAUUAAUUUUUUUUUGCAAUCUUAGGUUCCAUGAAAUUAAAAAGCCAAUAACAAGUCAAUAUGGCUUGAGACCCAGUCAUCAUAUUCAAAGUCAUCCAACUUAGAAGCAUUCAUUUUGCCACUAACAUGUGCUAAUUUCCAUUUUCUAUCUUUCAAGAGAAAAAGACUGCUCUUAACCAUGGCAAAUAAUUGAACCCAUUAAGAAGAUUGAGGAAAGUAUCAUAUGAGGGUUGUCAUUUUCCUCCAUGACAAAGAAAAAGCAACAGAGAAAAACUCAUAAUAUUAGAAAGAGAAUGAAAGAAAUUGAGUCAUAGAUACACACAGAAGAAUCCAAAAAUAAAGCAAUAAUACAACCACAAAUAUGAGAAGAAGCUCAAUUACAAAGAAAGGAACUCAAUACAAUCAACUAAAAAGCGUUCCGAAGUUCAUACGAAAAUAUUCAUAAUGUGAAGAUCAUUUCAUGAUUCCUACAAUUUCUUCCUUCUACCAGUCCACUCCAUACAAGGUUUGAUCAACAACUUCUUCAUUGAUUUUCUGGUCUCUCUCCGGUGUAUCAUAGAGCAUUUUUGACAUGUUUCUGCAAGAUACACUUGUUAACUUUAAGCGACAUAAGUGCAAAAAAAUAAGAUCAUGUUGUAUUGCCUGUGCUUCCACUCUGCCUUGUUUAGUACUAUUAUGGAGCAGUACUUCCAUAUAGAACCAGUGAUCUCCAGUUCAUUAUGUUGCCUUCUUUAAACUAACUUUAAUUAUCUAUACAUAUAAAACAAAGUGGUCCCAUCAAGGGGCUAAAUCAAGAAUCAAGUGGGGCGAACAGGAAACAGUGGCAUCAAUUUUUAAGUCCAUAAGCUUUAAUAAAAGGAAUAAAACCAAGGAUAUGAAUAUGUUAUUUUUUCAUUUGUUCAUGCACUGGAAGAUCUUUCCUCUUCAAGCAUUGAACCAGCAUCCUUCUGUGCAAGUUGCUGUCGGAACCUUCUAUAAUUGUCAGAAGUCUGUUUCUGAAAUAUACAGAUAAAACUUUUAGCAAGUCUUGACAUUGCUCAUCACUAGGACAUUGUACUAGGAUACCAAUUCAUCUAAUUAGGGUUAAGUUGGCAUCUCGUACACUAUUUUUUAUUUUUCCUUCAUCUUUUGUUCCCAUUUGCAGUGGAAGUGGCACUUAGAAUAUCUGAUCAUGAAGAAUUAGCUUUCGGUGAGAUGAUACUAGGUCAAUUGCCAUUAUCUUUUUGAGUUACUGUGCGAGCAAUCUUGAAAAUAUUUUGGGAUAAAUAGAAUUUGUGCUUAUCAUAAACAUGCUAAACAUCCAAAUCAAGUGCUUUUACUAUUGAUAUCAAAUCAGUAAUUGAUUUUAACCUUUAUGCUUAUCUUUCAGAUUCUCAAUUAUGUAUCUUGAAUAAUGAUAUUAAGCAGAAAUCAUGAAUUGAAUUGCUUUAAUUAACUGUGCCUUAUCAAGCUUGUCAGCAGUGCUAUUGCUACCGCGAAUCAAAUUCGCUGUGCUUCCCGCCUUCUCCAAAUAAGCCACAAGCCCAAUUAUAUCCGCCCUCCUCCCAUCUCCAAGGGAUCAAAAAAUAAAAUGACUUCAAUCAAUUUUCAAGUUUUCCAUCUUGAUCAGUAGACCACCCGGCAUGAAUGUUACCCUCAGUUUAGGAAUAGGAAUUCCUUUUACUAAUCAUUUGGCACUAAAAACUAUGACCCCUAGCAAUUCAUUCCCUCCAUUAGAUAUCUGGGGGCAUCUUGGCUCAGCCAAAAAUGAUAAGUCAUUGCAUUUCACAUUGCAUUCAUUUGUAUUAAUGAGCUAAUUUUUUUUCACAGAAUGUGAUGUGAAUCGAAUUACUUCCAACCAUGUGUCUCUAUAAGGGUUUAACAAAUGUAAUUUGCAUUGUCUGUACACUUUUUUUUCGGUUUCUUUUCUUUUUUAUGCAUGAUUCAUUAGUCCACGGAUCUUCUAUGCAAAGUGUGCAGGCCAAACACCUCCUUCAAUGCAUUAUUCUAGAAGUUAAGACUCAGUUUACUCCUUAAUUGAUCUGUUCCAUUUACUUCAAAUCAUUUGAUUACAUUAAAUGAAUCUUGAAAUUCAAAAAUGCAUCAAAGUUAAAAGACCUUCCAAUGCAUUAAGAAAUCAUCUGAUACAAAUAUAUGUGAACCUGCAACAACAAUAAUGUCAAAAUGGAAAACUUAGGUAGAAAAUAUUAGAACGGAAACUUACGACGAACUCAAUUUUUGGCGCCUUUCUUCUUCUCAUCUUCUGAUCCAAGAAGCUCUUCCAACACCGUGUCAUCCAAACACUCGAACUCAAUGACUUGCUUUUCUUGCCCAGAAGAGGAACCUCCCAUCUCUAAACUCCUACAAGGCCCAGAAGAUGACGAGGAAGACGAUGAGGAUGGUGAUGGUGGGGGGCGAUGGGAGCCCAUGAUUUCAGAAUAGUACUCAUUAGGAAAGUUAAGAAUGGCAAGAUGACCCCUUAAGUUAAAGGCCGCUCGAUCAUAGGCGCGAGCUGCAUCCUCCGCCCUGUCAAAUGUGCCUAGCCAUAGACGAGCACCUUGCCUAGACGGAUCCCUAAUCUCGGCUGCAAACUUCCCCCAUGGCCUCCUCCUCACCCCUCGGUAUCGAACUUCUUCCUUUUCCUUCCCUUCCUGCUCCUGCUUCUCAUUCCCUUUCGAAUGAUCUUCCAUGCUAAACGUGUCGAUUUGCUAGGCGCAAUUUUUUUGGUUUCAAAUGUGCUGGUUUACGAGAGGCAUGGAUGCUUAUGUAUAUAUAUGGUUGCCACAGUCAGGUCUGACGUCACCGCUCAAUGUAUGUUCCACAGCGUGGGUUGACGAGCUUUCUGAGGGGGUUUCCUCGAAUUCAAAGCAAGUAUAAAAAUUCGAUUCUCCGACCUUUCCAAUGAGGAUCGAACAGGCCUUUUAUUAGAACCGUAUGAUAACUCCACACUGUUUUCAAAUAGUCAAUGUGAUCUAGAUUCUUCGUUAAUUUUUUCCACCUGACUGAUUGUUUACAAUUUUAUUUUUCACCGUCCCAAAUUUAAACCAUUUACGCGAUUCCCUGGAUUGCAUUUUUCUUUAAUGUUGACUUUACGAGGCAAUAGGACCCCCCAGCAACCCCACUAGGGCGACUUCAUGGGAACCAGAUUACUUUUGGAUCCAGAUAUGGUCCAGAAGAAAUAAGACAAAUCAAUUAAUGUCCACUAAAGUUUUGAUGGAACCCUUAGUCCGUGUUUCCUGUGGAUGUAUGUAUUGUAUGCACCUCAAUUUUCACCAAUCCCUGCUACGAGUCCCUUUAAUUUUGACGUUAUAAAUGUUUUUCCUGACAUUAGCAGAGUGUUUUUCUGCCGUCUUUGAGGACCUUCCACGGCCCAUAAACUAAUAAGGAUCGUCCAGUGAAUUUAGUCUUCCCCAGUUAAUUAUCCUGCGAGGGAAACUUGGGCAGUAAGUUGCCUACAUGAGUGGCUCCCGCCUACAUGAGUCAAGGGACCAUACGUCAGGACGACAACCAGUGUGGUCACACCAAAGUGGGUUGCCUGGACUCCAGGGUGGUCGCUUCAAAGUUGUCAAAUGAAGGCUAGCUUGGCAAGUUUUGGAAAACAAUUAUUGAAAAACAUUUUUCAUGAAUAACAGUUUCUAUGAACAGAUUUUAAGAAAGUUUAUUUUGUGAUUUUUAGGAAUAUUUUUAAUUUAAAUUUUUAUAUUUUUAAUUUUUUAUUAAUUUAUUGAUUAUUUAAUAUUAGCUUAAUUAAUGGAUUUUUCUUGGUCCCAAAUUAUUAAUUUAUCAAGAUUUAAUCGCAUCCAUAAUUAGUCUAAUUUCUUUUGGAGUGAGUGUGACAAAGUGCAAAUUUCUAGAGUUUUAUUAAUGUUAUUCAAUGUCAUAAUUUAACUAAUUAUAUUAAUUAUUUAUUAAUCAAAAUAAAUCAUUCACUUGAAAUAUGAUAAUUUAAAUUAAAAGUUUCAAUUAUUUAUUAAUUAGCAAAGUAUGAACUUUUCUUCUUGUUUUAUUAUUGUUAUUCCAUGUAUAUAAUUUAAUUAACUGUUUCCAAUAUUAAUCAAUAAAAAUAGAAUAUAAGCAUGAGAAGAAUUAGUAAAAUUCAUUGAUUUGGAAUUAGAUAGCUAGAGGAAGAACUUCAUCAUCUUCCCAUUACUUAAAUUUGUAUAAAUUCUAAAUAUUUAAACCCCCCCCCCCCCCCCCCCCCCCAAAAAAAAAAAAAAUGGUAAAGAAAGACUCCCCAAGCUUUCUUGGUUGGUGUUACCCUAAAAUUUGUACAAUAAGAUGAACCAUUUGGCUUAAAGCUUGGUGCGAAACCCCUUAUCAAUUGAAAAUAUCAAUGAAGUUGUUGAAUGGUUUUAGAGGACUAUUCUUAUGCAGAGUGGCAUAAGAAGCGAGGAGAUGAAGAGCGGAGAGACGUUAACAUCGGAUGCUGCUACGAAGGUGGGAAUACGGUUAAUUAAUUAGAUUUUGUGAUGGCUUUGAGUUUGAAGGAGUUAGUUUAAUGGGUAUUAUUAGUGAACUGAUAAUUGGAUUUGAUGUAAAGAAGGUUGGUCCAUUGGAUUAGCAAUUGGUUUGGCCUUUUGGGGGCCCCAUUUCCAAAUGCAUUGCCUUUUACAAGCAUUCAACAUCGCUGGACGUAACCAGGCUUGGUUCACCUAAAAGUAUCGCAUGGAUUGAAUUGACUAAGUUUUCAUUGUAGACUAGCCUUGAUUUUCCCUUGACCUGCCCACCAAAUCCUGAUGCCCACGCGAGGGAAUACCUCAAUUUUCUAAUAAUUUAUGCAGUUUCUCUUCAAAGCUCGUGUGAUCACUUGGGUCGGUAAAAUAAUGCAUUCCUCUACUUUUUCUCCCUUCCUAGAUGCAUGUUAUACCAUUAAUUCAAAUGUGAACAUGGGCUUGGCUUUGAAACUUGGUUCAAGGCCCAACAUGUUGACCCACAAUUGAGGUGUAAUUGAAUUUGUACACUUUUCGACUUUGAUACCAUUUGUCAUUACCAUUGACAUUGGGUCAUUGUUGAUUUUGAGUCCACAACUUUUAAGGUUGUUAUUACAAUUUUAAAUUGCGCCCACCCAAUUUAUAUGCAUUAUCCCUUAUAAAUACCGAUAACCUCUCUUUCUUCGAUAAUAUAAAAUGUCACAUAUAUUAUAUAUCUCAAUGUUUUCUUUUACUUUUUUUUUUUUUAUCGAUCGACAUUCUCUCUCAGAUGAUAUGAGAUGUCACAUAUAUUAUAUGUUUCAAUGUUUCUUUUACUUUUUCUCUUUUUCCUCAUGAUUGACAUUGUCUUUCUCAAAUGAUAUGAGUUGUCACAUAUAUUUUAUGUCUCAAUGUUUUCUUUAACUUUUUUUCUCUCUUCUUUAAUGAUCGACGUUCCUUUUCUCAGAUGAUAUGAAAUGUCAUAUAUAUUAUAUGGCUUAAUGUUUUCUUUUACUUAUUCUUUCUUUAUUAAUAAUCGACAUUUUAAGCAAUAUGUGAAUAUAAAGCAUUAAAAUUAUCUCCAUCGUUUUUGGAUGUGGUAUAAAUACACAAUUCUUAUUUUUGUUUUAAAUAUUUCUAUUGCUAUCUAUUGAAAUUUUAUGCAUGAAGCUACCAAGUUAAUUAUACAUAUAUCUUAAGAUUUUUUUUUUUUUUUUUUAUAGGAUAUAUUGUCCAUGAAUAUUUUCUGCAAUGGUAUCUUGUUUGAUUACUAUAAGAAAUAAUAUAUAUAUAUAUAUAUAUAUAUAUAUAUAUAUAUAUAUAUAUAUAUAUAUAUAUUAUAUUUCAAUGUUUCAUAUUUGCUUAAAAUAAAAAUUAUAUUUUAUCACAAUAUUUGGUAUUAAAAAAAAUGAAAUCUCUCUCAUUUAUUAUUACAAAAAAAUUAUAAUUUAUAAUUUUCUAAAUAAGUUUUAUUUAUUUGCUAACUAUAUUCAUGAUUAAAAGAUUUAAAAUUUAUAAAUAAAAAAUAUUAUGUCAUGUCAUUAAAUAAAUAAAAAUAUAUGUAUAUAUUAAAAUUAUGUUUUAUUGUAGCUUUUAAUAUUUUUUUUUUUAUUCUUUUCUUUUUUGAACUACAAUUUUAAUUUUUUUUAAUCAAAAUUUUUUAAUUUACAAAACGAGUAACAUAAAACUUGCCUUUGAACUUUAUUGGAAUGUUAUAUACUACCAUUUGGCUUUCAAGACAUUAGAAAAGGCAUAAGUGUCCCUUUUAUUUUUCCGAAAGGCAUAUUAGACUAUAGUAGGAAGUGUUGUAUAGAGGCAACUAAAAGUUGCCUUUAACUUUAUGAAGUCAUAUACUCCUCUUUGGCUUUGAUGACAUCAACUAGCAAAUUGGAUUUUGUUUCCUUUGCAACAUUUUUCCAUCCAUUAGCCAGUUUUUUUAUACUGUUUGGUGCUUGCCAACAUGGCACACACUAUGGUUCUUAAAAAGUAUUUUUUUUUUUAAGAUACUACGAAAUAAAAUACACGAUUGAAAGAUGAGUCACAAUAAUUUUCAAAACUAAAUUUUUUAAUAUUGUUAAGAAAAUUUGACCACCAAAUGAUUGAUUUUAAAUUACAAAUACUUUUGUUAGCUAAGAAAUUUGUUGUUCUAUUUGUUUCCCUAUAAAUAUGACAACAAUCAUAAAUAUUUUCAUUUUAAGAUAAUUUUCAAAUAUCUUCCAUUAAUAAUAUAAUAGAAUUAGGAAUUUUUUUUUUAGUUAUAACAAUCUAUAAUUAUUUAAGAGUCUUCCUCAAUCUCUAGGUUUAAGAACUUAUUGUUCUUAACAACUAACAUGUCAUCUCUUAAAAUAAUACAUUCUGCAAUAAUUAUUGAAAUAUGAUAUAAUAUAUAUAUCUACUUACAACCAUUUUUGUAGUACCAUUAGAAUUUUUAAUUACCCAUUCUAAAGUAUUUUUAUUCUCUAUUCUUAAACCAUCAAAAUUUAAUUUAAAUCUUUCAUUAAUUGGAUAAAUCCAAUGAAUCUAACAAGUUAAAGGAUUAUGAAUCCGACAAAACAGUUGAUAAUAAAUUAAUAAUGCCAUUAAUAUGAUUUUAAUGUGAAACACAAUUAUCACAUUUAAUACAGUUAGUCCUUGUAUGAUUAAUGUUUUGGAAGCUAAAAUCAAUCUUUUGACUAUAAUAAGAGUUUCUACUAUUUCUAUUUUUGGAUGAUUUUAUAUUUUUCUUAUUGUUUUAGUUUAAUACAAAAAAUAAAAAUAAAAUUACAUUAGUAGAAUUUUUUUAACUUACUCAAAAACCUAUUUUAGUUGAAUGAUUUUUUUAAAAAAAAUAUAAAUAUUUUGUUAAAAGGGAUAAAAUAACCUUACCUUGUGAAAAAGACCUCUUCACCCAAGAUUACUUGUUCAUAAUCCUUUUAAGACGAAAAUGCCCCCUUCCUAAAAAAUAUUUCAUCUUAAACUUAUUUUUCUUUUUAUUGCCCUUUGUUCCAUCCUUCCGGCUUGGGAGAGAAAUUCAUUCUUCUUUUGCGAAGAAAAAUUCCUAUUGCGAUUUUUCAUUUCAAGUGGAAAAAAAAAUUCUUAUUUCAUUUUAAAGAAAUUGUACAUUUUCAAUCUUUCUCUUUGUUCCUAGUUGAGGGUUUUUUUUGUAAUUUUAUCUUAACACUACAAAUUUAAAGGUGAGAUUAAAUCUUAAUGGUUAUUAGUUAAAUCACAUAUCUAACUUUGUUUUUGUCAGGACCUAUAAUAUGAUUGGAACCACCAUCCAAACUUCAUUAGGUGGGAUACUCCCCACCCUCCCCCUCCCCCCGCGAAAUCCUUGGAUUUUAGUUUUGACUUGGAUUUCAAUUGCCCGUAUCAAUUUUUCUUUAUUUAUUAAUUUAUUAAUUUUCAACUUUAACAAAAGCCUUGAAUCAUAUUUAAAUUCAAAUAACUUAAUCCUAAUUAAGUUCUUUUUAAAUAAAAAUUAAUCAUUGAAAAGUUCAUGUGACUAUUAUAAUUGAGAAUUUAUCCCAAGUUGGGUUUUUUGCAAAUAAAAUUUUAUUAUAGGACAUCAUGAUGCAACAUAACAUAAGGUUGUUACUUAAGUUUGUUUUGACCUUGUAAUAUGUUAAAAUGAAAAUGAAGCCAUUGUAACAGGAGAGAAUGAUGAAGCUGUGGAGAGAGCUUAACAAAGCUUGGGUUGGAGAGACUUCACAGGAAGAGAGAGAGAGAAAUAAAGGGUAAAAUUAUCAAAAGAGAAAAGAAAAAAAAAAAAAAAAAAGAAGGUUAUGUCUUCAAAUAAUCAAUAAGAGAUGUCAUUUUUCUAAUUUUCAAAGUUCUUUUGGUCCUUCUCUACAAAUAUCCCUAUAAAAAUAUUAUAAUAUCAAGUUAAUUUGUCAAUACCAAAAUUUAUAUUUUAUAUUAGGGCGACUAAAUAACAUAUAGAAAGAAUUUUAAAUGAGUAAAUCAAAUCAAUUUUGAAACCAAAACUUAAUAAUUACCAAACUUGUAAUCUUAGUCAUUAAAAGUGUACGAUGAAAUCUAAAUUAUUAAGCAAUGAAACAAAAAAUUAAGAUUAAAAUACAAAACGUUAAAAUCAAGAUACAAACUAUUAAAAUGUAAGUGGGAUAUGAGAUGAUAUUAUAAAAAAUAGUGUGAUCCAACAAAAAGUCUAGUACAUCAUUAUCUUCACUUCCAACCAUGUUUAAAAGGUCACAAGUUCUAGCGGUUUCCAAGGACAAUGUUAAAAAUAAUAAAAAUAAAUCCAAUUAAAUAUUAAUUAAUUUAUUUGAAUUUGAGUCCGACAAAAUAGUUGGUAAUAAGUUAAUAAUGCCAUUAAUAUGAUUUUAAUGUGAAACACAAUUAUCACAUUUAAUACCCGUUAGUCCUUGUAUGAUUAACUUUUUAGAAAUUAAUAUCAAUCUUUUGAUUAUAAUAAGAGUUUCUACUAUUUAUAUUUUUGGAUGAUUUUAUAUUUUUCUUAUUGUUUUAGUUUAAUACAAAAAAAUAAAAAUAAAAUUACAUUAGUAGAAUUUUUUUUAACUUAUUCAAAAAACCUAUUGUAAGGUGAAUGGUUUUUUUAUUUUUUUUUUAAAUAUAAAUAUUUUCUUAAAAGGGAUAAAAUAACCUUACCUUGUGAAAAAAGGCCUCUUCACCCAAAUUUACUUGUGCAUAAUCCUUUUCAGACGAAAAUGCCCCCUUCCUAAAAAAUAUUUCAUCUUAAACUUAUUUUUCAUUUUUAUAACCCUUUGUUCCAUCCUUAUGAUUUGGGAGAGGAAGUCAUUCUUCUCUUGUGAAGAAAAAAUUCCUACUGCCAUUUUUCAUUUCAAGUGAAGAAAAAUAUUUAUAUUUCAUUUUAAACAAAUUGUACAUUUUCAAUCUCUCUUUGUUCCUAGUUGAGGUUUUUUUUUUUUUUUUUUUUUUUUGUAAUUUUAUCUUAAUUGUACAAAUUCGAAGAUGAGAUUAAAUCUAUAAUGGUUAUUGGUUAAAUCACUUAUCUAACUUUGUUCUUGACAGAUCGUAUAAUAUGAUUGGAACCACCAUCCUAACUUUAUUAGGUGGGAUCCCUUUUUUUUUUUCCCCAAACCCUUGGAUUUUAGUUUUGACUUAUAUUUCAAUUGUCUGUAUCACUUUUUCUUUAUUUAUUAAUUUUCAACAAGUUCUUUAACAAAAGCCUUGAAUCAUAUUUAAAUUCAAAUAACUUAAUCCCCAUUAAGUUCUUUUUAAAUGAAACUUAAUCAUGUGAAAGUUCAUGUGACUAUUAUAAUUGAGAAUUUAUUCUUAGUUGGGUUUUUUGUAAAUAAAAUUUAGUUAUAGGACUGUGAUGAUCCGUUCUCAACCGUAUAAAUAUUGUUCGUUUUGAAUUCAAAAUAACUUUUACGGCUUUAAAACAUGUUUACAAGAUUAAGAGGAGUCCAUAUUUAUAUAGCUUCACGAACUUUCCCCCCUAUUCGAUGUGGGAUGUCACAAGGACAUCAUGAUGCAACGUAUAACAUAAGAUUGUUUCUUAAGUUUGUCUAACCUUGUAAUGUGUUAAAAUGAAGAUGAAGCCAUUAUAACAGAAGAGAAUGAUGAAGUUGUAGAGAGAGCUUAACAAAGCUUGGGUUGGAGAGACUUCAUAGGAAGAGAGAGAGAGAGAGAGAGAGAAAUAAAGGGUAAAAUUAUCAAAAAAGAAAAAAGAAAAAAAAGAGGGUGAUGUCUCCAAAUAAUCAAUAAGAGAUGUCAUUUUUCUAAUUUCAAAGUUCUUCUGGCCCUUCUCUACAAAUAUCCCUAUAAAAACAUUAUAAUAUCAAGUUAAUUUGUUGAUACCAAAAUUUAUAUAUUAUAUUAGGAUGACUAAAUAACAUAUAGAAAGAAUUUUAAAUGAGUAAAUCAAAUCAAUUUUGAAAUCAAAACUUAAUACCUACCAAACUUGUAAUCUUAGUCAUUUAAAGUGUUCCAUGAAAUCUAAAUUAUUAAGCAGUGAAACAAAAAAUAUAAGAUUAAAAUACAAAACGUUGAAAUCAAGAUUCAAACUAUUAAAACGUAAGUGGAGACGUAAGAUGAUGUCAUAAAAAAUAGUGGGAUCCAACAAAAAGUCUAUUAAUCAUUAUCUUCACUUCCAAUCAUGUUUAAAAGGUCACAAGUUCUAGCGGCUUUCAAGGACGAUGUUAAAAAUAAUAAAAAUAAAUCCAAUUAAAUAUUAAUUAAUUUAUUUGAACAAUAGAUAGGACCAAAAUAAUAUUCUAAAAGGAAUCAUAGGGAAGUCCUUGGACAACCUACGACAUUGAACAAAGGUACAGUGAGACAAUGCACUUAGCCCUUCCUUGUCAUUGCGAUGAAUAUAAAAAGACACCCUGAUUGAGGGUGCCCCACUAAGCCAAGAGUGAUUCUUUUGUAUUGUAUAACGUGAAUAUUUUUGAACUUUGAAUGACCCUUCCUAUAGUCAUCAUUGUCAAAACUAGAAAAUCAGAAAGAUGCGAUGUACGAAGGCACCAUUGAAUAAGAGGCUUAAUUCUCUUUGGCAAUUAGGAUAAAGUUUCAAAAUAGAAAAAUUAAACAAAUGUACAGUGUACGGACACUUGGGCAUUGCCUAUUUGUUUUGUUCUUCUAGAGUUGUAUAUGGUAAAGGUCAUAUUGGGUUGGUUCUAUUUGGUUAUUGAAGUCGGCUAGAAUAUUAGAUUUGGUUUCAAUCUAAUCCCAUAUGAUAUUAGAAUACCAGCCCAUACAGAAUUUUUGACCAAAUAUAAUAUUUCUUUUAAAUAUAAAUAUAGUAAUUAAUUUUAGUCUAAGAUUAAUUAUGUAGUUUCCUAAAGAGACCACUUCCUAAACGGUAGCUAUGUGGAAGUUGGGCCAGGUCCUGCCGAGAAGGUUUCCACGAGCUGAGCCCAAAACUGAGUAGCUGUGAUGGGAUCAUUCUAGCAUUCAGCCUGAAACUUGUAACAUAACGGAUCGAGAGGCCUGAACUCCAAGACCAUGGUUCGUCAGCCCAUUAACUUCAACAGCACGCAUUUUAGAGGACUGGGCUUGCAAGGGGUGAGGUUUCCGGGCCGCGACCCCAAAUAUGAACAGCCUCAGAAGUGAUAUUGCUUACUGGCACGUGAAGAGCGCAAGCGUAACUAGAAGAUUUGUAAUGCCGCUUUAAUUGUUUGAUUAUAGAAUCCCACGCAUUACGCAUGGAAAGUGUAAAAGAUAAAAGAUGUAGAAUUUUUUCUUAGAGAAAAGUUCGUUUGGAUAUAGUUAUUGUUUUUUUUUUAAAUAAUAAUUGUUUUUUUUAUAAAUUAUAGAUAAUCUUAGAAAUUUAUCUUUAAAAAAAUAGUUUUUAAAAAUAUUUAAGGAGAAUAAAAGUGAUAAAAAAAAACUUUACAAUUUCAAAUUUUUAAAAAAUGAAAAUUAUUUUUAAGAAUAUAAGUUAAUCUCCUGCAUUUAAAUCUUAGGUGGUUUUUGUUUUUUUUACUUUUCGCUGAAAACAAUUUGUUUUCAAAAUUUAGGUCAUUUGUUUUUUCUAUUUUUUCAUGAUUUAUUAUAAAUUUUUUACUAAAUAAAAAAAAUCAAAAUAUGUAACUUUUUCUAAAUAAAAAAAAUAACGUAUUGAUUUUUCUUUACUUUUUAAUACUUAAUAGAUAUAAAAUACUACAAAAACAAAAAAUCUAAUAUUUAACACUAUUAAGCAUUAAAGUUCUAUUUAGAAUUAAGUAAAAAAACAAACACCACCUUAUAUUUUAUAUAAAAGUUACUUAUAUUUUGGUUUUUGGAAAUAAAAAAUAUAAAGCAUAUCCAAACAUGAGCUUAGCUAUUUUAAAUCAUAUCAAAAUAAUAAUCCCAAUAAGGUAAAUGGACUUUUAUACGGAGAAUAAUCUUUAAGGUUUUCAUUUUUAUUGGAUUUUUUUUUUGUGGUGUUUUUUCAAUCCAUCUUCUCAAUUAAUUCCUUAAAAUUAUUUUACUGUUUUUUUUUUUUUCAGUUUCUAAAUAUUUGAUUUUUCCAAAAUGCUUAAAUGGAAGACACUAAUUUUUCAAGAUAUUUGGUAUUACAAUUUUCCCUGUUCUCCCUAUUAUCUAUCAGAUUCAUGGCCCUUUUGUUUUUUCAUUGGUUUUCAAUUUAAUUUUCCAAAUAUUACAUUGUUGUGUUUUGAAUUUGUGAAACCAAUUUUAUAUAUAUAUAUAGUAUGUAAGUCUACUUUGGGUAACAUGUACAGAGAGGUUUUCAUGUGUUUGAAACCUUUUACCUCAAAAAUUAAUUAUUUUUAAUUUUAUAAUAAAUCUUUUUUUAUUUUUUAUUUUAUUUAGGAAAGCCUAUAUUUAAACUACAUGUUUGCAACGCAACACCAUACAUACUCCUAGUGGAACUUACCUUAGUGCUUGAGGGGGAUGCAGAUCUUCUUCUAAACCUAACUAAUAAGCAUAAAAUUGUUCACUAAUUAGCAUAUCUAGUAAAUCAUACAAAUUGGCAAUAUUUCAUGUUUUUCAUGUUUUGUCAAUAAAAGGCGUCUUGACCAUUUUGUGAGUUUUGUAAUAAAUAAAAAAAAAAAAAAAAAAAGGGCAAAAGGUGACUAAAAUGAGGCACUUUGGAAAGGUUAAUAACCUAAAAGGAAGAUGAAUUAAUACCCCCUUAUUCCUCUUCAAAAACCAUUGAGAAAAUGCAAGAAAUGCUCUUAGUUGUAUGCUAGGCUAACAGCCUAGCAACCAUAAUACCCUUCUUUGCAAUUGUAAGCAUUUUUUUUUUUUUUUUGAAGGCCAAACAACGUUGCAAACUUCCCAAAUCCCUUCUUUAUUUUUUAUUUUUUUAUUUUUGUUUUUAGAAGGAGAAUGAAUUUGAUGACAAACUCCUUGUCAAUCUUAUCCAAACCACGAUCGAACAGAACUCCUUGUCAAUCUUAUCCAAACCGUGUUCCACCUCAAAAACAUGUGUAGGACUUAAGGCAGCAACUGGCAAGCAUGACUGAUAGGGCCAAGUGCCCUUGUCUCUACAAUCCAUUAAGUUAACCAAGGGCAGUGAACCAUCAUUCUUUUCAAAAGCUUCAUUCCGUGUUGAAAAUGUGAGACUGAAGCAUGGUGCCCCCAAAAAUAACGAUCUAUUUACUAGCAGCAUGCCUGGACCCAUUAAAAAUACUCUACUUUAGGAAUAGAAAAAAUUACAUCUUUAUCCAAUAAUUUUAUAACAAUUCAGACGUUUCAGUCUAUAAAUAAUUGUACAUAGUUGCCAACGUUUAGCUAGUUUCAAAUGAAUAGCCUAGGUUCAUGCACCAGUUUGGCUGGUGGAGGAAAGGGAUUCGAGACAUUGAACCCUCUUUUUAGUGUGCCAAAUAUUCCACAAAAAUCACUACCUUCUCUUUGUGUUUGUUCACUUUUAGUUUAUAUUUAAUAAAUCUAUGUUUUCGAGUAGAGGUUGGGUUCAGGUGCGACCCACGUCACCUCUCGGACGGUCUUGAAAAAGGAGACCGGACCACGUAAUUUCAAAUGUAGUGACCAUCUCACUUUUACCUCCAUCCUUGAAGAUGGUUUCCCAAAUCAAUAUUAAUCUUUUGUUUACGACAAUAUCGAUCACUUUAUGUCUAUAUCGUUGUUAAUUUACCUUUUUUUUUUAGCCACAUUAUUUGAAAAUUGAUGCAAACUUUACCAACAUCUUGGUACCAUUUUAAAAUAUUAGAGUUAUUUGAUUAAAAAAAUAAAAUAAUCUCGAUAACUUGUUUAUAAAAUAAAUAUCUUUUAACAUUUAGACUAUUCUCACGCAUGCUUUAAAAUUGUAAAGAUAUUCAUAAAGUGGAACUUUAGACUUAAUCAAUAUCGAUCACUUUAUGUCUCUAUUGUUGUUAUAUUUUUUUUUUACAACAUUAUUUGAAAAUUGAUGCAAACUUUACCAACAUCCUAAUACCAUUUUAAAAUAUUAGAGUUAUUUGAUUAAAAAAAUAAAAUAAUCCCGACAACUUGUUUAUAAAAUAAAUAUCUUUUAAUAUUUAGACUAUUUUCACCAUGCUUUAAAAUCAUAAAGAUAUUUAUAUUCAUAAAGUGGAACUUUAGACUUAAACAUGAUAAUAGUUUUUUUACAAUAUUAUAAUUAUUUUAUCGUUUUAAUUAAGCCCUUUAUCAUACAUAUAAAUGUAAAUUAAUGCUAAAUUUUUAAAGCAACGUAUAACCUUUUACAUCUUUUUUUAAGAUGGUGCGAAAAUCCUAUGAAAAAUAAUAAAAGUCGAUGCAUAAGAAGAUUGUUUUGAUAAUUCAAUAGAAAAAUUCUUUUAAAAUGAUAUUAAAAAAUACCCAUAGAGCCUUUAUUAAAAAAAUCAAUUAUUUUCAUAAUAAAAAUUAUAAUUUUUUAUUAUGUAUUAUUAUUUUUAAGUAUCUUUAUUACAAAUACUUUUUUUGAGUUUAUGAGAGGAAUCAACAGGUUGGUACAAGCUUAGGCGUCCUCGUACAUGUUCCCGCUGUGCAAGGUUUUUGUCUUGUUUCGAGCUAGUCGGAAUUUACGUGUUUGAUAACGUUUUGUCCUAUUUUUGUAACGCUUUAAAGGGCGGCCCACCGUUGGAACAGUUCAAGCCAUCCAAAUCAGCCCGGAGGGUUAUGGCGACGUGGCAUGACGCCUACCACCUUAGUUCACAUGAACCCUAUGAUCGUACUACCCUCACAUGACAUCUGUGAUUCUUCACCUCCAAACCCUCUUUAACUUGGUAAUGUAUUCAAAGCUUCAUCAAAUCAUAGCGAUUAGCGACCCUCUUCCACCCUAAUUUUAUAAUAAAAAAUAAAUCUUAGUGGACAUUAAAGUAGUAUUUUGUGGGGGGAAAGAAAAACUCUAUGGGCGUAUCCACUAAAUACGAGCCAAGUAUAAGAGUUAUCACCAUGGAAUCAAAUUAUGAAGCAUUGACAUUUUAAUUGUAUUCAGAUUUGAGGAGGGCACCGCGGCACCAGCUGGCCCAGUGUAGUCUGCUAGCCUACCCGCCAUAAUGACCAAAUUAAUAAAGUAAAAAGGAUUACAGGGAUAUUCCCAACUUUAUUCUGGGUCUGAGCUGGAACUUGGGAGUUAUCACGAUCAACGGGAAAGAUGGUGGGUAGGGGACGAGGAUUGAGGGCUCCAUAUUCACAUCAGUGAAAAACGAAAUGUAUUGAGACAAGUCUUCUAAGGAUUUUCUAGCGUAUUAUAUGGUUUAAAUGAUUAUAAAUCUGUAGUUACUGGUAAAGAGUAGAGAGUGAAGACGAAAGACGUUGAGUGAAAAGGAAGGAGGAGAGGGGAUGGGGCCAUCUUACCGUGUCGGGGAGGAUCCAUAAAAGGACUACGUUCCCUGAAUCUGUAGGCAUCAUGCCUCGCCUAACGGGUUAGUCAAAAUACAGUGAUGUGUGUGAGUUGGGGGCCUCACUCCUCAUUUCUUUCCUUCUUUUCACCCCCACCCCCACUUUUUUUUUUUUUUUUUCGAAUUUUUCUUUGUCCUUUUCUCUCACUUGCGCACGCGGGAGAAGGACCACAAACUAGACAAUUCCUCUGCUCACGUGACCCCGAGUUUUUAAAUAUUUGCCUAUUUGGAAAAUAGUCAUGAAUCAUGAUCGUUAACAAACAAUCUUCACUUUAUUUAUUUAAGAUCUAUUUUUUGGAGCUCUAGUUUAGUUUAUUAUUAUUAUUAUUAUUAUUAUUAUUAUUAUUAUUAUUAUUUAGUAACUCCUCUUAUAUUAAUGAAAAAGAGAGGAGGAAUCCAAACUUGUUUAUUCUUCCUCUUUUAAGGUGUUUGUUUUUUUUAUUUUAUUUUUAUGCUUCAUAUGUCUUCAAUUUCUUAGCAUUUGUCUUAUAUUUCUUCUUAUCCGAUUCAUUAUUGCAUCCUUGGUCAAUCUUUCACGAGGAGUGCCUACUUUUUUCCUUUUUAUUAUUUAAUUCACUUUAUCUUUAUAUUUUCCUUUUACACUUUAUUUCCAAUUCAAAACGUGUCAAAAAAAAAAAUUGGUAACAAAAAAAAAAAAAAAAAUCAAUUGUAAUGAUUCUUAUAUAAUUUUAUUUAAUUUUUAUUAAACAAUAAAGAAAUUAAAAAUAUAUAAAUUUUUAAAUAAUUAUUAUAGUCUUUCAUUUUUGUGUAUAAUUUCUUUUGCAAGAAAUAGUGUAGGCUUUCCACGGUCUAAAGGAAAUGGAAUAUCAAAUGAGAAGGUAAUAAUAAUAAAGUGAGUUAUAGAUACUAAUCAAACUAAUCCACUAAUGAAUUAUUUAUUUUUAUUUCACAUGGACAAAUCCUAAAAGUUGGAGUUCUAAUUUACUUUUAUGUUAAGCUUUUUUAAGUAAAAAUCUUUUAUUAUUAUAAUUUAUAGACAAAAAGAAACCCAUUAAUGUGAUGGAUAAAAAAUUUCAAUUUAAAAAAAAAAAAAUUAAAGUUGCUAAAUUUUUGUAUUUAUUAUUUCAAACUCAUUUAAAUAAUUUAAAAAUAUGUCUUCAAUUAAUUUUAAUGAAACAAAGCAUGAUUUUUUUUUAAUUUUUUUUUCUUUACCAAAUAAAGCAUUAUUAUAAUACGUUGAUUAAAUUUUCAUCAUGUCUCUCAAGAUUUGGAUUAAAUAUACUUAGUUGUCAUAAAUUUGAAAUUUUAUUUAAUGUAUUUUUUAUUUUAAAUUAAAAAGAUGAAUGCAAAUAAAAAAAAUAUGUAUAUUUUAUAAAAUUUUAAAUUAAACGAAGGAUACGUGUAUUUAACCAAGGUGAAUGAAAUUAAUCCAAAUACUUUUUGGUAACUUGCAAAAUAUCUUGACGAAAUCAUUAUGGCAGGCAUCGUACAAGCUCAACCCUUGUCGCCUUGCUAGAAAUAGAGAAACAAAAAGACCCCCAAAUUGGGUUGCAUCCUAAAUAUGAAGAAGUGGUAACAAAGGAAGAAAAAAUGCUGUGUUAUUGAAUAGUUAAUACAUUGAACAUGAUAUGUUACAUAGAGAGCCAGAUUAAUCCUAGUGGAAUUCCACUGUCACGAUGGUAACCUAGGGUUAUGUUUGGUUAUUGAAAAUACCAAGAAAAGAAAAAAAAAUAUAAAGGAAAAUAAUUUUUUCAUUUUUGAUUGUCUUAUAAAAGAUAUAAAAAAAAAACAAAUAUAAUUAAAACUAAUUAAAAAUUUAGGUAUUUUUAAAUUAUUUAAUUUUUAUAUUAAUGAGCGAAAAUAAAUAAAAUAAGUUUAAAAUAACAAAAAAAAUAAUUUACCGAUUUUUAAUCUAUAUUUUAUUUUACUUUUUCUUUGUAUUUUUUUUUUCUUAUAUUUUCCCUCAAAUUUUCUGAAUCAAACAUAGCAAAAAAGGAGCUACCCCUUUCGAAAGAAACUCCCAAGAAUUUCAAAGAAACCUGCUGAGAUAAUGAAUGAGGGAUCACUGUCGGUAAACAGUAUCCAUUCUUUUGGGAGGACUUUCAAACUGAGAAGUUGUUUUCAUGACUUGGAAACAAAAUUUUGAGCUCUAAGGGGGUCUGUAUUUGGGCCCUAAAAUUCAAUCCAUCAAUCUGAAAAAUGCUUAGGAUAAUGAUUUGAUUUAGCCACAAUCACUAAACAAAUUCCAGAGGAAAAUUUCGCUACUCAUAGGUGGCUGAUUCUCAUAAAAAGACAUCGUGGUAGGGUGUCUCAAGUGCAGGCUCACCAUCAACUUGCUGCCCUUUUUAGAUUAUUGUAAAAUGAUUUCACAUGAAGCCCAAUGCAAAACUUUGAAAGAAAAGGUUGGUGGAGACGUGAAGAAUAUGUAACCCAUAGGCCAUAACUAGUACCGAAGAUUAUUGAACAAACAUUCAAGGUUUUUGUAUAGACGAAACUGAAAAGAAUGUGUACCAGACUCAGGCGUUCAGAUCAGAUGAUGCCGUAAUGUGGAUUGUGGAGGAGCAUUGUGCAGACAGAUAAUGAGAUUCUGAAAGCGAGGCCACUGAUGGGCCCUUGGAAGGGGGGCGUGCCUUCAAAAUUAUAUAUAUAUAUAUAUAUAUGUCAUUGAAAAUUGGAAGCAACUUUUCUUCUUAAGUUAUUUUAAUCGAAGAAGAAACAAAAAGUUAAAAACAUACAUUAUUCUUCCUUCUUACGAGGUUUCCGGGUCUAAAUUACUAUGGUCUCUGCAACUGGCGUCGUUUUCUCUCCCCUCUCUCUAUUUUCCCUUUAUUUUUUCACUUUUAGAAAGAAGCAUCCCAUCAAGAAUCUACUACAACCCUACGCUUCCAUUUUGAUUUAGAAAGUUAAAAAUAAGUUUAAGUUAAAAAAAAAUAUUUUCUUAUAUAAUUAUUUAAACUUAUUUCUUUUCCUUUUUAUAUAAAGAAACAAAUAUUUUGCAAAUAAAUAAAUUUCUAAUUAUUUUCAUUAACAUAAUAAUAAUAUUUUUCAUAUGACUUUAAUCACAAUUUUUUUUACCACUUGUCCAAGGCGGUGAGAGGUGAUAAAAUGUAUUAAAAAAACGAUUAAAUUGCAUUAGGUAUAGAAGUUUUGUGCUUCAAUUAUCACUUAUAAAAAUAAAAUAAAAAUAGUCAAAUUUGAGUGUGCAAGUUGGUAUUCGUAUGUAGAAGGAAUUGGGGGAUUUGGGGGUCCUAACAAAUUUGAUAUGAUUGAUGGAAGGAAAUGAUUAUUAUAGGAUAAAGUCCGAAUGAAACGCUGACGAGGGGGGAAAAACAACAGUGGCAAUGCACUAUCCACAGAUCCAUGAUUGAUUUAUGUUAGCAAUAAUGAAUUAUUUUGACUUUGAUAACCUUGGUUAAGAGAAUUUGGUCUUGUUAUUAUCAUUUUUUCAAAAAAAAAAAGUGUAGGUAACUAGGUAGUUGAUUUAUUAGAAUUUAGAAAUGAGGAUCCCCUCCUCCUGCAAGAGCCGUGACAGACAUGCCUGCUUUCUUGCCAGAUUAUACCAAUGUGCCCAAAUAAUCCCCCAUCUAUCAUCUCUGCACCCUGGAACACGUCACUCCCUCCUUUGAGCAAUAAAAUAUCUCUUUUAUUUUCUUUUGAACCACUCUUCUAUUUCUUUGUACCAGACUGGACCCAUUUAAAUUCUUCGCUACGCUGUUCCCAAGGACUACGAGAAUCAAAAUAGCAAAAUUCUUGAAUCAUUUUAAUGGGUUCAGAAACCACAUGUUUCUCUAGAUCAUAAGAGGAAAAUCUUUUUGGAUGGUGUUUGUGUUGUGUUGUGUUCAAUAUUAAAUACUCAAUUAAAUAAGCUAAAUCAAAUAUCACAUGAAAAAUAAUCAAAUUAAAAAUAGGGAGAAUUAUGUUUUGAGGGUAGAUGGACCCCAAAUUAACAAAAGGUUCAUGUAACUCUUCAAAUUGAGCCCAGACCCAAUGAAAAUAUGGAAAUUGAGUUGAAGUAUAUCAUCAUUCAGUAUUUCCAAAAAUGUCCUUUGUUGAUUUUGAGAAAAAAAUUAAUAUUUUUGAAAAAUAUUUUUAUGUAAUUUAAUAUUUUUUUAAAUACUUUUAUUUAAUUUAAUAUUUUUAAAAAAUAAAUUUAUUUAAUUUAAUAUUUUAAAAAAUAUUUAAUUUAAUAUAUUUUUUAAAUACUUUAAUUUAAUUUAAUAUUUUUGAAAAAAAUUUUAAUUUAAUAUUUUUGAAAAAAAAAUUAUUUAAUUUAAUAUUUUUUAAAACUAUUUUUAUUUAAUUUAGUAUUUUUGAAAAAAAAUUAUUUAACUUAAUUUUAUAAAAUAUUUUAUAUGUGUUCUUAAAGGGUAUAUUUGUCCGUUACUAUUUCAUAUCCUUCAACUCAAUUUAAAGAGUUAUAUGGACCUUUUGUUAAUUUGGGGACCCAUCUACCCUCAAAAGAUAAUUCUCCCUUAAAAAUAUAAAUUUAAAUAUGACAUAAUUAUUAAAUAUGUUAGAUCUUGUAUGAGUUUAUAAGAUUUAUGUUUCAAAAUAACAUGUUUAUAAUUCAUCUAUUGAUUUAUAAUCAAAUUUUAAAUAAAUUAAAGUUAUUCAAGUUAAUAAAUAUGAUUUAUGUUAUAAAGACUAACUAAAAAAUAAUUUAUUAAUUAAACGGAUCCUGGUCAAUAAAAAUUUGAUUUAAAUACGAUCAUACUUAAUCAAAACUUAGGUCAAAUUGUAUUGAUAAAUUACAUCAAAACCUUGUUGUGUUCAAUAUUUUAUAUUAAACUAUUUUUUAAUAAAAUUAUUUUUAUAAAUAUAAUAUUACAUCAUUUGGAGAAACAAAAUAGUAUUAUAUUGAUUUUACAUAUAAAGCAACCAGUUAACCCCUCAUUAUUUUGAUCCAUUUCACAUCCAUAUCAUUCUCAUAAUUUUUUUAUAAUAUAUUAACAUGAUGGACGGUAAUUGAGGGUAGAAAAAAAAGAUGAGAAGAAUAAAAUAAUGUGAAUCCUCUCUAAAUGUUACAUCUUCUGACAAAUGAAGUCUAUAGAAAUGUGUAAAAAAAAAAAAAACACUUAAUUGUGAGGUUCACUUGAUUUAGCAAAAAAUUAAUAUUUUAUUUGUUGUGUGAUUUAAAAAUAAUAUUUUAUUUUUAAAAAUAAAAAAUUAUUUUUAAAGUUUUUUAACACUAUUUUACUAUUGUUCUUUGAAAUAAUUUUUAAAAUUAAAAUGAAAUAACUAAUAAUUUUUAGAUAAUAAAUUAAAGUUGUUUUUAUUAGAUUUUAAAAAUAAAAGAAAAAUAUAAAACCAUUUGAUCAAAUUUUUUUAAACUUAUUUUUAAAAGGUUUUUUUUUUUUUUUUUUUUUUUCUAUCCUAAGUUAAAAGAUAAAAAAUAAUUUUUAAAGAUAGGUUACGAGCAAAUGCCACAAACUUUUUUCUUCUCUUUCCCUUGUUCGGAUAGAAGUGAAAAAUAUCCUCCCAUGGAUCGACAUUACGUGAGCCAUCACCAUUCCCCAACUGCAAUUCAACCGCCAAAGCUGAGGUGUCAUUAUUAGUUUGAACAAAAGUCAGCAUUGUCCACGUGGUGACAAGCGGAACUGACCCAACUUGCAAGGCAAAAAAAUAAAUAAAAUAAAAUGAAAAAAUCAGAUCACCAUUAUGACGUCAGUCCAAUUGCUGACCUGGCCGCCGUCCCCCAUUUGACCCACGUGUUCAUUUAACCCAUUCGCCGUAUGCCGUGGCUCCCCACCCAUAUGGCCAUAUCUGCCAUUUAUUUUAUCCGUUGCCUCCAUUCGGUUUUUGGAUUUUACCCAUUCGCCCUCGUCUAUUCCCAUUUCCGUAUUUGCCCACCAAGGAAAUUCAAUUCCCAUGCUUUUGUUUUACAUUCAAAUCCUCCCCCCUCUAUAUAAAGGAGGGAGUAGGGCUUGAAAGUUUCUCAAGCCAACAUGGACUGUUGAGAGUGAAAGACAGAGGAGCCACAAACAAAUAUCACUCACUCAAACCAAAGCCAAAACCAAUACCGAAUUCAAUUCAAAUGACUUCUUUCUCUCUCAUCAAUUCCCUGAAUUCCGAUUCCGAUUUCAAUUUGUUAUCGGAUUCUUUUUCCUGGGAAAACUCCCUACCUUUCAAUGAAAACGACUCCCAGGAGAUGCUCCUCCUGGGCAUGCUGGCCAGCUCCACUCAGGAAACCUCAGAAACAGUUUCUUUGAAUCGAGUGAAGGAGGAAGAAGUGACUUCCCAGGAAAAUCCCGAGAAGGAGAAGUCAUACAGAGGCGUUAGGAGGCGGCCAUGGGGGAAAUUCGCAGCAGAAAUAAGGGACUCGACCAGGCAUGGCAUAAGGGUGUGGCUGGGAACAUUUGACAGUGCAGAGGCAGCUGCUCUGGCCUAUGAUCAAGCUGCUUUUGCGAUGCGGGGCCCUGCGGCAGUCCUCAAUUUCCCGGUGGAAAGAGUGAAGGAAUCGAUGCAGGAGAUCAAGUGCAUCUUGGAGGAGGGGGGCUCACCAGUGGUGGCCCUCAAGAAGAGGCACUCUAUGCGGAGAAAAAGUCCUUGCAAGAAACAUAAAAGUGAAGAGGUGAGGUUAGAAAAUGUGGUAGUGCUGGAGGAUUUGGGUACUGAAUACUUGGAACAGCUCCUCACUUUCUCUGAGACCUCUAGUCCUUGAUCAUCAUCAUCCAUCACCUGGAUAGCUUCUUCUCUUUGCUCUGUUUCUUACUUUUCUCUCUCUCUCUCUCUCUCUCUCUCUUUUUUUUUUAUGUAAUUUUUCUUAAUGUAUUUUUGGAGAUGGCGGGGGUGUAGUGGUGGCAAUUAUCCAUCUAGAAUUUUUCAAAAGAUAUGUUCUUUUGUUUCUUUGUAUAAAGUUGAAAAGUGGGGAUCAAUUGUGAUGGUGCUCUAUGUUCAUCCACCCAAUUUAUAUAAUCAAGGUGAUUAAUGUUUUUUGAUAUCAACAAUUUGUGAAUGACAUAGAGAGAGAGAGAGAGAGAGACCUUAUUUUCUACACUCAUUACGGUGGUUUCCAUUUGGGGAAGGAAAAGGAAAUGGCUAAGAAUGUUACCAAAAGAAGUGGGGUGGCUUUCAUAUGCGUGGUGGCAUACUUGCAUACAAACUUUUCAAUUGUGUUCUGCAUGCCACUCGGGUCAAUUUCAUUUCUUUUACUCCUAGUAGCCUAAUUGGAUUUCCUUUUUCUCAUGAGACAUCAAAUAAAUUUCAUUUUUUUAUAUUUAAAUAGUUAGGUAAGUUUGAUAGUGAGUUAUAUUUUAUACAUUAAUUCAUCUUUUAGAAUGUUGUCUACAAUAUAAACAGUGUAAUUAAUUUCAUCAUUACAGAACAGUCAUCUUAUAAAAUAACAUAAAAAUUAUUGGAUCACUUGUAUGGCACCACUGAUUUGGACUUGGUAUGGCUCUGUUUGGCUUCAUAGAAAAAAUUUGGACCCAAUUUGAAUGUCUUGCAUAAAAAGAGAUACGUCCCACUUUGAAUGAUAUUGAAGAAAAAAAUUUCUGAUGAAGAAUAUAUUGUUGGCAGGGUCAUGCAGGCCAAUAGGGAAACGAUAAAUUCAGAAGAAUGAGUCCAAACCAGUGGGCUUGAAAAUUAAGAAGAGAAUUGCUGUAUAAAACAAUCAUUUCUUAAUCGAGUUCACUUUCUGAAUAAUCGUCACUUUGAGAAUGCAUACUUAGGAAGAUGAUGAUCCUUAAUGGGAAUAAUCAAAGGCAUCAAAAAAUUGUUCUGGAACAAUUCUUGAUUGUCUCCAGUAAAAUUCAAAGUCAAAAGUCAAAAGUCCAGUCGGUCAACACCAAACCAGGCCAGUCCAAAAGACAUUAAUUUGCAAUCUAGAAUCUAUGAUGAGGUGGCGAAAUCAAACCUUGGCUUUUCACCAGGGAAUGGUACUCUGAAUUUGGUCAGUUCACUGUUUCGAGUGAAUAGGGUGUAGUAAUUAGUAAAUCAUAUUUUAGAUUUGUGUCACAAGUUACAAGGGAUAUGGGCUGACGUUCAAUUUUGGCGACAAUUUGUGGGCCCGUAUAUUUGUUGAGAUGUGGAAAUUGGGUGUGUGCUUUUUUCUGCUACCACAUAAAUAUAUUUCUUUGAAUUGAAGAGUGUUUCAGACCAUUUUUUUUCAAGUCACAAAUGGACAACUGAUUGAGAUUGUAUUGGUGAGAGUAGGAGUUUAUUUUGGGCUGGUUGAGCGAAGUUGAAAGUCGAGUUGGACCUAACCCUUGAAUUCAGCAGACUACAGUCCGAUCCUGUAUUUUGGAUUUAGGGAACCUUCUUUCCCAGAAGCUUCGUCUGGGUUUUAAAGUCUAAAUGUGGCUACUCUUAAACAUUGGAGAAAGGAUGAGCGUUCACAAGCAAAUGGGUAAUUGUGGAUGGUUCAAGGACCUGGCCAGCUGGUCUUCAAGUUUGGAUGCCGGUUUGGGCCUGAGAGAGUCUUUGCAAAGUGACUUCACUUCAGCCUAUGAGAUCAAGAUAUCAUGGUGAUGUCCGAUCACUUAGGUUUCAUUUUCACCUCGGAUUACCGUUACCAUGUUCAUGAAUAAAAAUAAAUAAAUAAAUGAAGCCUUAUAGAGAAAUUAAUGAAGUGAGCUAUACAAGCAACUGGGCCAGGAGCCUACAAGGCAGAAAUUCCCUGCCCUAGACUAGGCCGAAUAAAUUAGAUGAAUGAAUUGGGGAAACCUGGGCCAGCCACACAUCCUCCUGAAGGCUGAUGUCGAACUCGCUUACGAGGAAUGGACAUGGGAGAUUGGGCUGGGACCAAAUAACCAAUUGACAGCCCUAUCCUUGUGGCAAGACGUCAGUAAAAUGGUUCAUUCUGAUUUUACGCUGCCAUUCAAUUUAAUUUUAAUUUUUGUUUAAAGCGAUGUACAAAUUGAAUGGUGUCUAGUCACUUAAAGAGUGGUUCAUAAUACACUUAAUUUAAACAAAAAAGAAAUUAUUAGAUAGGGGAUUCUCCAAUAAAAACCACCCCAUCUUGUCAGCAAGUCCGGAAACUUCCUUCACUUAGGGCGUAUUUGUUUUUUUAACUUUAAUAUUAAAGAAAGUUGGUUAAACCUUAUGACACUUUUAUAUUAUUUUAUGAAUUUUUUUUAAUUUUUAUUUUAAUGGAAUUUUAACUUUAAUACAAGUUGGAGUAAUUCUUAUCUUAAAAACAAAUCAAAAUUACUUUAAUUUUAUAUAGAAAUAAACUUACAGUAAAUUUACCAUGAAAAUUUCUAAGUCAAAUACACCAUAAGUGCUAGUAUUUUAUAAUAUUUAGAAACAUGUUAAAUUAUUAUUAUUAUUUUUUAAAAUUAUUAGUUUUCAUAUUAGUUUUAGGGAAACUUGUGCUUUAGGUCUUUUAUUUGCAAAUAAUAUGGUUUUCAAAUCCUAAGAAUAGAAAAUAUGAGAAUCAACUGUUAAUGUGGAAAAUAAUAUCAAUUUUGUGCAAUCUCUAUUGACUCAUUUUUUUGUGCCUAGAUUGCCUUCACCCACUUCCAUGUCAACAACCACAUUAAUAGAUUGUUUUUUUUUUAUAAAACAAAUAAUUAUUAUGUUUAAAAUUUUGGGGAAACUCUCUAUCUCUCUUACUUCUUCACUACAUCCGAGACCCAUCUUCCUUAAACGUUUGCCUCUCAUUUUGCCCUAACCCCAAAUCUCAUAAAUUUCUCAUUUUCUUGCCUCAUUUGAAAUAUGAAGAUGACCGAUUCUCAAACAUCUCUGUCUCUCUCUUCACGUUUUGACCAGUCUAAUUGGAAACCCAUUUUCCAAAAACCUUCUUUCUUUCAUUUUGCCCUAACCCCACUAUCUCCCUCUUCAAGACCUAAUCACCCAAACUCGAUAUCUAUCUUCCCAAAACCUUCAAGCAAACUGAACUAGACCCAUAUCUUCUUUUUUCAUCAUCAAAGGUGAAAUUUUUUUAAGGCUUUUGGAAACCGAAUUGGAGCUUUCCCUUCUUCUGGGAUUAAUCAUUCGCAAGUGAGUUUUCCAUUUAAGGCUUUGUUUGGCUGUUGAAAUCUUGGGAUCAAAGGUCUUUUAUUUUCAGGUUUCUUGUAUUUUGCUUUAUUUUCUUGUAUAUAACAAUAAUCAUUGUAACAUAUGCUAGUAGUUACCCUUGGUGCAACUUUACAUUUCCAAAUACCCUAAAGUCCAAAGCUUUUAAUUCCCUUUUCAAAGCUUUCAACUUUGAAAGCAGACUAAACCAUAAGAACUAUGAAACUUAUAUCUCUAUCACCACUAAUUAAGCAUGUCUAUGAAUCCUUCCACUUUAAGUCACUUAUUCUCAAACCAAGAAGGGCUCCUCUCAUUCUCACCCCACCUCAUCUAAAUGAGGGAAAUGAUCAAUUGCAGCCAUGCUUUGCACCAAAUUAGAGAAGUGAUCCUCCCAAUCAUCCAUUACCAAAAAUUGAUCAUGCUGAUGAGAUCAUAAGAGUCUAUUCGGAACUCCCAGUUUACUUGCCUCUUAUCUCAGGAUCCUCCAUUACCCCCUGUCUUUCCAACAUCAAAUCAACUUGCAAACAAUUCCUUUGUAGAUAAAAUGUUUUUAAUAUUGCAAAAGGGGACUUAUCAUAAUGGUUGAAUCGAUUUAUUUGAUAUAAUCACUCAAAUUCAAGCUUAAAAUUGAUCAUAAUAAAAUGUUUUUAAUAUUGUUAAAAGGAGAUUAUAAUGGUUUUAUUUGAUAUCAUUACUAAAAUUCAAGCUUUCAAACAUGCUCUACAAAGAAGUUCUAAAAGACUACAAGAAAGAGUUUCCACUAAAGAAAAACAAUGAAACCAUUUCUACUAAAGACAAACAAUGAAACCACAGAUGCUUUGUGAAAUAUGUACCCGCACAAUCCAACAAACUUUAGAAAUUCACAAACACUACCUAGAAUUUUUGCUGACCAGCAAAAAAUUUAUGCAAUUUAAUUCUUAUUGUUAUUAUUAUUUUCAAUGUGAACAAAUAUGAUUGAAUUAUGAAGUAUUUGGCCAGAAGAGGAUCUUGCCUAAUUAUAGUCAUUAAACAACCAUUUAUACCAUAGCCUCUAGACUUUAAAAAGUUUAUAAAACUCAAGGGCUUCCACCCAAUUUCUAGAUAUCUCCAUAACAUUCUUCUGACUAUUAGAAAGCAAUUACCACUUUAAUUUUUCAUUUCAUGAGUGUUCAAUUCAGAAAAAGACCAGGAUCGAACUUGCGAUCAUGCAGUCGAAAAUCCACCUGUGCAUGAAACUAUUGCCUCACGAUUGCAAACUCAAGUUGGAGUCCAGUAACAACUCUAGGUUUGCUGAUGUGCUCCAUUUGAAAUAAAGGAACUAAAGAAUACUUUAUAAAGAUUAAUUACCUUCAUAUUUUAGGUUGGGGUUAAGGCAAAAUGUGAUAGAUUGAGAGGAAGAAAAUAUAUCUUGUUCAGGAAGCCAAUAUUUUGGAGUUCACCUUUCCAUUCGAGUCCACUCUGCUAUAGCAAAAUCAGAGUCACAACUAUGCCUCUUUAAGCUAUCCUUUAAUUGGAUGAAUUGCAGAUUUGGUUGCUGAGAAAGUGGAUAAGAAAGAAAAAUGCAUACUGUAGCUUGAGAUUAAGAGUUUGUUUUCUAAAAUGAGAGAAAGGGAAAGAGAAAAAAUGCAUAUUGUAGCUUGAGAUUAAGGGUUUGUUUUCUAAAAUGAGAGAAAGGGGAAGAGAAAUGUUCGACAACUUUGAGAUGACAAAUUUUUAGAUUUGGAAAAUUUGAGAUGAGUCUCAGGUUUUUUUUUUUUUUUUUUUGUCUUUGUCUUUGUUUUUUUUUUUUUUUUUUGUUUUUUUCCCAAAAACAACCUGUUAAUGUGGUUGUUGACAUAGAAGUGGGUGAGGGCAAAAUGGGCAUAGAAAAAAGAGUCAACACAAAGUGCACAAAACCCAUAUUAUUUUCCACAUUAAUGACUGAUUCUCAUAUUUCUUGUUCUUGGGAUUUGAAAACCAUAUUAUUUGCAAAUGGACCUCCCAAAGCACAGGUUUCCCUUAGUUUUAUGUCUCCAUCUACAUUUUACAUAUAAAUAGAUUAUUUUAUAAAAUUUGUUUUGUAGAUAUAUUAGUUAAUAAUUAUAUAAUUAAUGAUAUAGAAAACAUAUAAAAAUCAUAUUUAAAAAAGAUAAUUACAUAUUCCUCAACAAUCCAUCCCAAGAAUUCGAGGUUGAGUUGAAAACAUGUAGAGUCUUUGAUGUUAUUAUAAUCAUAUCCAACACAUAUGAUUAUUGUUUAUGAGAUAUUAUUAGAAAGUUUGUCUUAAAAUAAUUGAUUUAUUACCCACCUUUAGCAAAUGCCCAUUUUUGCGUCUUUCAAAAUUUUCAUUUUUUUUUUGUUUAAAAGAAGUAUUGUAAAGAAUGAUGAAAUAAGAAAUUUGUUGAGAAAGUGUGAGUAAAUAAUUUUACAUAAAAAGAGAUUUAAUACUUGAUAAAUAAAAUAAUAAAAUCAUGAUUUCUAGUUGUAUAGGGCCGGGUGGAUGGAGUGGCUAAGAUGUAAUUCUUGAAAUAGAGGAGACAACAUCAAUGUAUAAAAGUUUAACAGAGAAGGAAAGUGUGUUUGAAUGACUUUAUUUUCUUCAUUUAAAGUUUUGACGAUGAGUGUUUAUACAAGAUAAAUUUUCAAAUGAUAGGACUCCUAUUUACAUGGAGUUUGUGAUAUACUAUGAUUAUACAAAUUUAAAAUUCAAACAGAUUCAUGAGUUGAUAGGAGUCUGCUCAAUACGCCCCUUCAAAAUGGUGGGAGAUAGCACACCAAUCUUGACUCGAAGGGCCUAAACUCGUGCAGAAGAUGAGGGCUUUGUUAGAGCAUCGACAAGUUGAUCCGUGGUUGACAUAUGGGACACCUUGAGCUCACCUGAUUAAACCUUGUUUCAAACAAAAUGAAAAUCAAUCGCCGAUGUGUUUCAUGGAGAGUGAAACAUGGGAUUUGCACAAAGAUAUGUUGCACCCACGUUAUCACAAGAGAUAGGAGGUGGUGAUAAAUUUGAAACACUAAGUUUUGAGAGAAGAGAAUUAACCCAAAGAACCUUUGAGGCUGUAGAGGCCACGACGUGAUAUUUCGCUUCAGUGGAAGAGCGUGCUAUGAACUUUUGUUUCCUCGAUGACCAAUACACAAGAUUGUGACCAAGAAAAACAAUGGGAGCAUUGGUGGAGGAUCUGACAUAAGGAUUCCUUGCCCAUUCAACAUUCGAAUAUGCAUGUAGAUUGAUGGGCGAUUUCUUAUGCAAGAACAGACCAUGCACCAUUGUGCCGACUAAGUAUCUAAGCAAUCUUUUAACACAAGACCAAUGUGUUGAUGUUGGAUGGUGCAUAAAUUGAGAUAAUUUAUUCAUCAAGAAGGUGAUGUCAGGGCUAGUAAGAGAGAAGUAUUGAAGGCUUCCAACAAUUGACAUAUAUUUAGUGGGACCAGGAAAAGAGGUGUCAUCACACAGAUUUGGAACAUUGUUGAGGAACAUCAAUGAUUGAACUGGUUUGGUAGCCACCAUUUGUGUUUUCUUAAGAAGCUCUCGAAUGUACUUGAGAUAAAAAUAAUCCUUUGGAAGUAUGUAUCAUUUCAACACCAAGAAUAAAAGAUGAAGUCCUGAGAUCCUUAAUGGAGAAUUUGACUGCUAAUUGAGAGAUCACGCGAGCACGAAAAACAUUAUUGUUACUUGUUAAAAUAAGAUCAUCAAUAUAAAUAAGUAGGUAAACAAUGAGACCACUCUUUUUAAAAAUGAAGAGGGAUGUCUCGGUUUAGGAGUUGACGAAGGCUAUUGAGAGGAGAAAUUGGCAAAGUUCAUGAUACCAUGAUCGUGGAGCUUGUUUAAAGCCAUAAAAAGCCUUACAAAGUUGGCAAAUGUGAUGAUGUGUGUAUUCGUGAACCCAGGAGGUUGAAUCAUGUAAACAUCUUCAUGAAGUGUCCUAUGCUAGAAUGCAUUAUUAAUGUCCAAUUCAUGAGUUGAUAGGAGUCUGCUCAAUACAAUGUGGGAGUGUGAUUUCAAAAUUAGGGUAAUUUCGAAAUGGAUUUUGUAUUCACAAGUUGAAUUUCAAAAUUAUUUUGAAAUGGUCUUUUAACUUUAAGCAGUUGUGUUCAAAAGGUCAUAACUUCUUCGUUUCAAUUUUGAUUUACACAUUGUUUAAAACAUUGGACUCUUUACUUCCCGAGCUUCAAAACGAUAUAUAGUAUGCUCAAAAAUGACAUCAGGAUUGGUUCAAAUUUCAUCUUGAUAUUAGAGUACAUGUUGUGAUUAGAUUUUGAGUUCCAAAUUUCCAUGUAAACUUGAUUGCAUUUGCUUCAAACCUCCUUCAUUAUGGUUGCUUGCCCUCUAUCUCACUUUGCAACAUUUGUUACUAGUAUUUUAUGUCCAUGACUUACUCAUUUCAACCUUUCUUGGAUUCUUCAUGGUUCACAAAUUAUGGAUUCUUCAUGGUUCACAAAUUGAGUCUUUCAAUUAUGCAUGUUUAACUCCUAUUUCCUUGGUUGAUAAUGACUUUUACACUUAUCAUUUUCUUUUAUUCUUUAAACCUGAAUUUAGACUUACAAAAAAAAGUUAGAUCCAUAACUAGGGUCUUAGCAUCAAUUUGAGUUAAGUUGGAUGAUUUGAAAAUUUUAUAUUACAUAAAUCAUAUCAUACAUGUGCCAUUGGAGUGCACAUUUUGGCUCUAAUCAUGUUCCAACCCAUUGUUUUACUCUUGCAUGAAGUAUGUGGCCAUUGAUUUUAAUUUUAUUUGCGAUUAGGUUCAAAAUGGUGCUUUUGUGUUGCUCAUGUGUCAUCAGAAGAUCAACUAAUGGAUUCUCUAACAAAACUACUACAUCAUAGUCAUUUUUUUUUUUCUUAAGACCAAGAUUGAGAUCUCCAAUCGGAGCCAACUCCAUCUUGGGGGCAUGUUAGUGAAAGAUAAAAUUUAUCUUUAAUUUAAAUAUUAAUAUUUAUCAGUUAUUAGUUUUAAUUAGAGUAAAAGAUAGAGUUUAAAUUGGAGUAGGAGAUAAACUUGUGUUUGAACUAGAAUAGAAGAUAAAGUAUAAAGAUUUAUGUUUGAAUUAGAAUAAAAUAUAAAGUUUGAAUUAGAGUAGAAGAUAAACUUGUUCUUUAUUUGUAUAUAAAUAUUCAUCAAUUCUUGAGAAGAAGAUUAUUUCAUAGUUUUUCUAUCUUCUUUUUUCUUCAUACAUAUCUGCAAGAAAUUGAAGAUUUCAAGUAAAAUAUUUUCUGUUUUAAAUAGUGAAAAAAGCUAGAAAUUCACUUUGUUAUCUCUUGGGGUAAAUUGACAAGGUUUAACGUUAAGAAGGUGAAUUAUUUUUUCAGAAAAACUGAAGUAGCUAGGAUAUCUGGCCAGUUGUGAUCGAUAAAAAAGUUGUAAAAUCUCUCAUAUACUAAACAGGUUUUGGAUGUUGGUAUGGUAAAUCCAUCUGCAGUCAUUCGUCAUCUCAUCUAGUGAGAUGUUUGGGAGGUGGUGACCGCCGGAUUGGGUUUCAUUUGGUUAAAUCUGUCAGUGGGUUGGCUACUACCCGAGCCUCUUGCUUUGGGGGAGGUGGGUUCUAGAUAUAAUGUUCAAACCAUUUUAGUUAUCAUAUGCAUGACAUGUAAGCAUAAUCUCUUUAUCACUUCUUCAAUGGGAGUUCAUGGUUAGGAAUUGACUUCUUUUCUUCUGGGAUGCUUGGCAUGUAAUGGACAAAGUUACUUUUAUAUCGAUCGAAUUUCUAGUAUUAUAGUGAAGACUUACCCUUUUGACAUUUUAUAUCGAAUUAUAGAAGAUGAAAGGGACAUACAUGCAAUCGACUGACGCUUUAGUGAAUAUGCUGAAAAUAUGCUGAUGCUGUGGAGAUCGUAUGAGGACAGAGGAAAAAGAUAGAAAUGGAUAUAUAAUUAGACCUAGGUUUUUAUUAAAUGAGAUGGGGAACAUAGAGUGAGGGAAAAUCAAAAUUUUUGGCUGCAGUUCACAUUGGUGAUAUUUUGGAUUGACAAAGACUAACGACUUUUCUAUUUUUCUUUUCGGCCUGACUGGAUAGUUGGACAUGGACAAUACAGAAUCCACAGAAGGAUUGUUGGGACCGCUGAAAAUUAGCUAGAAGAAGCUGAGGAAGUAGUCUACGUAGUCAAAUACCAAACACAAAGAAAGAAAGAAAUGGAUAUCAUGGAUGCCUAGAGUUAUACUCCUAAUACCGUCACAGGUAUUUUUCUUUCCUCCUUUUUUUUUCUACGAUAAUUAGAGCAUUUCUCCUCCUCCUCCUCCUCCUCCCCCCACCCCACCACCAAAAAAUAAAAAAAUAAAUUAUUGCAAGUAACACUUCAAAUAUUAAUUUAUACAUUCUAAAGUAUAUAUUCAUGAAAUAACUUGAGUAUCAUACAUUAGUUCUCAAAAAAAAAAAAAAAAAAAAAAAAAAAUUACUGGAAGAGAAAAGUUUAAGAAAACAUAAAAAUAUUCAACUACUAUUUUAAAGAGAAAAUUUAAUUUUUACACUAUAAAUUUGAAGAGAACUUUUACAUGCAUCUUAUAUAAACUACCAUUUUUUGCUAAAAGGCUUAAAUUUGUCAAAAAUACCCCUUAGGUGCUUAACGUUCUGGUCAUAAUAUAAUUGGCAUCUUUUCUCAAACAUAAGGCCUGUGUGUGGGAACAAGAUUUAAUGUUAAUGAGCUUCGCCACCGACAUUUAGUUCCAGAAAUCAUUAUUUUAAUAGAGUGGGCUCAAUUUACAACUUUAAUUAAACUCUAACCAACUGCAUUGUGAAAUGAAUAUGUUUCUUUCGUGGUGAAUCCAAUGAGUUGGGAGUCAAACUUUGCUUCAUUGUGUAUAGAUGAAAUGUUAAGACUCCAUGUAACCUCAAACAUUUCCGCAAUNNNNNNNNNNNNNNNNNNNNNNNNNNNNNNNNNNNNNNNNNNNNNNNNNNNNNNNNNNNNNNNNNNNNNNNNNNNNNNNNNNNNNNNNNNNNNNNNNNNNUUCUUUCGUGGUGAAUCCAAUGAGUUGGAGUCAAACUUGCUUCAUUGUGUAUAGAUGAAAUGUUAAGACUCCAUGUAACUCAAACAUUUCCGCAAUGAGCGGGAGUUCUAAAUUUAAUAAUUGAAAUUGUCAGUGGAACCAGUGGACAAGAGUUGGUUUGUGGUUGACAAACUUAUCCGUUUGAUCUUUACUUGAACAGUUCCAGUGUGUGGAUGGGUACUGAUGAAGUGUGCGCAUUUAUUUUGAGAAGCCUGCUUGUUCGCAUAGAUUUUAACGACAUGAACAUUGUGGUAAGGUUAGAGAGUAAUGCGAAUGUAGGAGCUUAUAUUAGAAAUGACACAAACACGUAAAUAGAAGUAAUCUAUAUAUGAUAUUACUCAUGGACUACAAGCAAAGAAGUACAAUACAUGGAGUAAGUGAUGAAAUGAGCAUUCCUCACUACUACUGCUUGACUGAUGGAACAUGAUGCACGAGAUAGCAUAAGUAGUAGUAGGAAGCAGCUCUUAUUUGUGGCGUCGGUAUACAUCAUACUAGGUAGAUGGUUCAAUUGGCAUGGAUGGGUGGUGGAGCCUUGAAGUGCUUGUGAUGGGGAGCCCACGGCUUCUUCUCAGGAGUUGGUGGCUUCUUGUAUGGAGUUGAUGGAGGUGUUUCUACUGGAGGGUGGCCAGGGUAGUGACCCUGGGGUGGUGAAGGUUCUUUUGUCGGUGGUGGCCUCACUAUUAUUGGCGGUAGAGUUGGUGGCUUGGGCGUUGGCGGUGGUCUCACUACUCUUGGGGGUAGAGUUGGUGUCUUGUGUUUUGGUGGUGGAGGUGGCUUAACAGGAGUUGGUGGCUUGUAUUCUGGGGGUGGUUUCUCCACCGGAGGUGGCUUAUAAACUGGAGUUGGUGGCUUGUAUUCUGGGGGUGGCUUCUCCACUGGUGGUGGCCUGUAAACAGGGGUUGGUGGCUUAUAUUCUGGGGGAGGCUUCUCCACUGGAGGCGACUUAUAAACAGGGGUUGGUGGCUUGUAUUCCGGGGGUGGCUUCUCUACGGGAGGUGGCCUGUAAACAGGGGUUGGUGGCUUCUCCACCGGAGGUGGCUUAUAAACGGGGGUUGGUGGCUUGUAUUCUGGGGGUGGUUUCCCCAGUGGUGGAGACUUGUAAACAGGAAGAGGUGGUUUGUGCUCAUAUGGGGGUGGCUUGUGGUCAUUAGCAAGUGAGGGAGUGGUGAGGACCACCAAUCCAAGGAACAACACGAGUGAGCAAGCAGAAGACAUGUUUGGGCUCUGGUGAUGCACAAGUAGAAGAAAUGGGAACCAUUUAUAAUGCUUCGAGACCUUGGUUAGCACCAAAAUAUGUCAAAAUCUUGAUUACUUCAUUUCAUACAUAGAUUUAAAAUUAUUUCAAUCAACCAUGAUCCUUAAUUUUCUGGGUGGUCCAUAAAUGUAAUGGGGUCAAUUUGGGACCUAACAAGCUGAGAAGUUUGACAAUGCUGCAAGGCUUCAUCCGAAAGUCCGGGGAAGAAUAUUAGGAGUUACACUCCGUUUCCUUUUUUGGGUGCAUUUUUCUCCUUUAACAUUCUAUUCCCUUUUACAUUAGCAUUUGAUCUUAGCUCAUUUCAAGUACAAGUUUCUUGAACCCUAUACCAUUGUCAAAGUUGAGUAACCAUCUCUACUUUGCUCAAGAAACAUAAAAGACAAUGACAAUAAAGAAAAAGGAGAGAGACCAUACGUGACUUGGUUUAUAGGUGGCUUUGUGUUGACAUUUGAGUAUGGAAGCCGACAUGCAUCUUAGCUUCGAUUUUAAUUAAAUUUGUACAUUAGUGUCUGUGUCAUUCAUUUUGGUAUAAAAGGUCUCUUGAUUUCGUAAGUUUGGUAAGAACCGUUGAAAAUAGCAGUAGCAGCACAUGGUCCACUUUCUUUCACAAAAUAAUUUUAAAAGUUUAGAAGCAUAGGAGGUAACAUUAGUGGCCUUGUGGCUCAGCCACGAGUACUAUGUGGUGCUCGAGAAAUUGAGUUUAAUUUCCUUCCGAUAGUUCAUGAUAAGGUCCGUCACUGUCCUGAGACAGAUUGCGUUUUUUCUUUUUUCCUUUUUUAGUGUUUUAUUGACUAGCUAGGUGUGACUUUUCCUACUUUAAGGCACGAGGCAGAAAAGAAACUGGGAUUUAGUGCUUAAGAAGGCAAAUUUAAUUCGAUUUGGAUCUAAAAUUUGCCAGCAACAUGAGAUUUUCCAGCCUAUCGUUGCUCCACAUAUAGACAAGGCACUUGUAGAAGUGGCUUGUUUGUAGCCAUUCCCGAUAUUUGGACUCACUUGAUUCACCGGACACUUUGAUAAAAUUUAAUAUUUAUUAUUUAAUAAUUUAAAUUGAUUUAAAAUUAAAUUAUACCGAAGUUGUGAUUUAAAAAUUAUUAUUUAAUUCUUACUUUUAAAUAUGAAGAUUAUUUGAUAAAAAUAAUUUAAAAUUUAUUAUAAAUUAUCAAAUUAACAUAUUUAUCCUUAUAAAUUAUAAUUAAAACAGAAAAGGUCAAAUGAUUUGAGUAUCCAUAGAUGUGGUAAAAUAAUAAAAAAGAUUAUAAAAACAAUUAUGAUAAAUAAAGAUAAAAAGUAAAAUGAAUAUGUGAAUUUAAAGAAUAAAUUAAUUAUUUUUAUUUAUUACUUAAAAUUAUUUUUGACUUUAAAUUAUAUUAUUAAAUUAUUUUACCAAACAUACUUAAUUUAGUUAAUAAUUUAAAUUUAAUUUAAGUUAUUAAAUUGAUUCACCAAAUACCCACUUAAUCAAAGACUGAAGUAUACAUUAUUUGGCCAAAUGCAGCUAUUGAAAUUUAACUUUUUCCAAACUUAUUCAUUUUGUGGAAAUAUUUUUAGAAAUGAUUUUAAAAAUGCACUAUUCUGUGUGUUGAUUUUAUAUUUUGGCAUUAAUCCAACAUAGAAAACGGUUCUUAUUUUCGCUGUUAAAUAGGUACCAGAUCCUUAAUUAGUGCCGUGAAUCCGGCAGCUUCCAAUGAGUAAUUUGGACUUGGGUAUUGACAAUGUGUGGCCAUGCUUCUACUAUUUUAUUAUUCUUGAAACAUAUAUGAUAUAUUGGACUUUAUACAGGGAAAAAAAAAAAAAAAAGUCUUCACCAAAAAUGAUUCCUCCUAAAAAAUAGACUCCACAAACUAGGUUUAACAGGAAAAUGAUUCUAAUCUAGUAGUUUCCAGCCACAUGAGCAUUUACGUAACAAUAGUAUAGUUGAUAACGACUUUUAUUUUAUUUAUUUUUAAAUAGUUAAAGGGAUAAUUUUUGAGCUUAAAUUUUAUUUUUUUAUUUAGAAACAUUUUACUUUAUUUUUUAAUCAUAAUUCUAUUAUAUUAAUGUUUUAUUUUCUAUUUUUUAAUAUAUAAGGAGAUACUAAAUUUAUGUGAUUAUUUUUUAAAAAUUUAGUAUAUGAAAUUAAAUAAUUGGAUAUAUAUACAUAUAUCAUAUAAUGUUUUUUAAGUGUGAUUUUUGAACUUUUUAGUCAUUUUAUAAGUUUAAGCUUUUGAUUUUUUUUUUUAAACUUUGGUAUUUUUUAUUUUAUAUAAAACUAUUUUGAUUUAAUUUUAUUAAAAAAUAUUGGUAUUAUAAAUUAUUGUAUUAAUUAUUUUUUUAUAUUAUAAUGUAACUGGUAUAUACUAAAAAAUGUAUGCAAGUUCAAUUUAAGUUUCAAAUUAAAAAAUUUCAUUUAAAUAUUUAAUAACUUGUUCAUAAUAAAAAAUUAAACAACAUAAUACAAAUGAAAAGAAACAUAAAAGAAAAAGGAAAAAAUGGUCCUCUCUGUGUGUCACAUUACUAGGUCAUCCUCUUUUUCUAUGACCCUUACAAUAGAAUGGCAUAUUUGUCAAAUCUACUUAUGAAAGUUGGAAUGUUUCUACAUGUGUAGGGUCCAUUGGAACUAAUGGAGGAAAGGCUUAACGUCUAUGUAAAUCACAACGUUGCCUAGGUGGGCAUAGAUCUAGUUGUGUAACAUGAGAUGGUGUGAGAGUACAAUAUAUGCAUUGUAGUCUCUAUGGGAAGAGAGAUAGGUAAUGGUAGGGUGGUAGACGGUAGGGUGAUCUCUAAUAUAAUGACAUUUGAUGUGGUGGCUUCUAAGAGAGGAGAUAUAAGAGAUGGUAGAAUGACAUUUGGUGUAAUGGUCUCUAGUGCAAUGACAUGUGAUAUGGUGACCUAUAAAGAAGAGAUAUAGGUGAUGGUGAAGUGGUAUGUGGUGUAGUGACCUUUGAGAUAGAAAAUAGAGGUAAUGGUAGGUUGGCAGGUGGAGUGGUCUUUGGUGUAGUGACAUCAAUUAUAAAUGUCUCCAAGGGAGGAAAUAAAGGUGAUGGUAGGUAGUAAAUGUUGAGGUGGUCUUUGAUAUGUUAUGCUCUAAGAGAGAAGGUAUAGGUAAUGAUAAUAGGGAAUUUGACAUAGUGGUGUUGGAAAUAAAAAGUGAAAGUGACCGUAGAGGUGAAAGGGCAAGUGUAAAAGCCUCAAGUACGAAUGGAGUAAUUAAUGUGGAUGGUGCUAACAUAGUCUUAGGUGGAUACACAAAUAGUCAUAGUCAUCAACUAGCUUGCCCACCAUCUGUCUUUCUGCUAGUGAUAGGUUACAUCUUAAUAGUAAUGGCCAACAUAAGUGGUGUGGAUCCGAUUUUUUUACGUGUGUCCCCACUCAAUCGACAAGACUUAUUUUUUAUUAGUGAAAAAUUAAUUUUGGAAAAGUUGGAGUCACCACUUAUUUUAUUUUAUUUUAAAAAGGAAAGUAAAACAAGAAAGAGAACUCUAAAGAAGUGACUUCAUAGUUUUGGAAAAGUUAGUCUUAAAAAAUCCAAGUCUUGGUCCGGAGAUCAGGUUACUUAUUGGGAAGAUACCUCUAAGAGGUAAUACCCCUCUAAACCCUAAAGAAGUCUCUAAUGACUAAGUUGAGGAGAAUGUGGUAAUUAAUUAAUUGAUUGAGGGUACCUAGGUAGACUAAGGUGAUUUCAGAAUUAACAUACCAAGCUAGAAAGUCCAAUCAUGAUCAUAAAAGAGAGUCAAAGUAUGUACCUGAACUGCUUCUCAAACGCUAUCAUAAAACAUCAAAGUUAGUAUAGAAAUAUAACACAUAAUAUUUGUUUUAUCCAAGCAAAUAAAGCAUACAUCUAAGCACCCAAGAAUCACAUCAAGUAUGGAUAUAGUCAUCAAUAGCAUACGUGUCCAUAGAACUAUCGAAAGUAAAUGUGGAGGAGCGUAUCUGGACAACAUAGAUAACUUAUAAUGUGCUUCCACAAGACAUGGGGGUUAGAUAAAAGUUAUAAUAAUAAUUAGUAAAUGAAAGAAUUCUAGCAUGUUUGGUAUCUAAAUAACAUAGCAAAAAUGAACAAGAGUACACGAAAACAUCAAUUAUCACACGAGUCAUAUUGGCUAGUAUUUAAUCAAUAAACCAACAAUAAAUGACUAUAAACAUAUAAAAUGACAUAUUCAAAGAGACCCAAACAUAAAGAGCCUAGAACACAAGCUUACACUAAAUUUAGAAAACUAAAACAUGGAAUUUUAAAAGCAUAAAUUAGCAAACAAAUUGAUGGAAACUAAAUUUAGAUAACUUAAGAAUAUUUUUCUUAUCCUUCAAUUUAAAUCAGUAAGCCAACAAUAAAAAAUUAUAGAAACAUGGAAUAUCAAGAUCAAUGGGAUACCUAAACUAUAAUUUUUAAAAGAAAAUAAACUAAGCAUAAUAUCUACAAAGCAACUAAACUAACAUUUUUUUAAAAAUAAAUUAAACAUGACAUUAAUGGAGUAACCAAACUAAAUUAAAGUAAACUAAAAACAUUUAUGAAUUUUCAAACAUGGAAUCAGCUUUCUUAGUAAAUUAAAAUUAUUAAAAUAAAAUCUAAGCUUAAAAAUGAAUUAAAUACUAACUAAAGCAAAUCUAAAACCAAAUAUUUAACACAUAGGAUCAAUUAUAUUAACAAACUAAAAUUUUAUAAGAACACUUAAACCUAAAGUUGAAUUAAAAACUAACCAAUUUUUAAAACUAGAUCUUUAACCCAUAGGAUCAAUUAUAUUAACAAAUAAAUAAUAAAUAAUAAAUAAAUAAAACUCAAACCUAAAGAUGAACUAGAAAUGUACCAAAGUAAAUUCAAAACAAGAUCUUUAACACAUUAGAUCAAUUAUAUUGACUAACUAAAAAAAAAAAAAAAAAACACUCAAACCUGAAACGAUGUAUUAGAAACUAACCAAAGCAAAUUUAAAAUAGAGUCUUUAACACAUAGGAUCAAUUAUAAUCACUAACUUAAAUUACAAUUUUUGAAACAUGAACUAAUUAGUGUUGGAUUAAUUAAACUAAUUAACUAAAAAAAACUAUAAACUAGAAUACGGUGAAUCAAGAAUUCAAAUCAACAAACAUAAAAUAUGGGUACAAUGAAAUGAAAAUCUAUUAAACUAAUAAGACGGAAAUAUGACAAACUCAUGAACCCACAUUUUGAUCAACUAGGAAAUAGAAAUUAAUAGACCUGUAGCAUGGAUACAAUGAAAUGAGAUCAGUUAAAUUUAUUUGCCGAAAUUCUAAAAAACACAUACACUCAAAUAAGAUCUAAAUCUAAGACCAAGCAAAACUCAAACUUUCUCAAUCUAAUGCAAUGAAUCAAAACUAAAAUUAAAUAGAAAUCAAACCAUUUUUUUUUUAUCUAAUAUAAUAAAUCAAAGCUAAAACUAAACAAAAUCGAAUUUUCUUAAUUUAAUAUGAUGAGUCAAAGCUAAAAUUGAACAAAGUUCAAACCUUUAUAUAAUGGAUCAAAGUUAAAUCUAAAUGAAAUCCAUACUUCCACAAUUUGAUAUAACAAAUCAAAAAUAAAACUAGAUAAAAAAAAAGUCAAAGCCUUUCAACUUGACAUAGUGAAUCCAAACUGAAACGAAACAAAAUUUUAACUUUUCCAAUGAAACCCAAUAUAGAAAAAAUUAGCUUACCUUCUUUAGAAUAUAUGUAUGGGCCAUAAAGAAGUCACCUUGGUGCAUGUGUUCCUCACUUUGACGCCAAUGGACGACUUUCUAUGGUAGCAAAUGGAGAUCCUUUUUGGUGGUAACUUGCGUGUGGAAACCUAUGGUACAACCAAUGUCAUCUUUUAUUGUGCGUGUGGACCAAUUUCUUCUCGAGAACUCAUGUGUGUUGUGCUCAAAAUAUGUUGCCUGUGAGAAUCUAUUGGUAUACCCCACAUAUGGUUUCCUUGAGAGAAUCUGUGGUUGUGUGUGGGCGUUUUCUUCAUGACAGCAUGUGGAUGUUCCCAUCUAUGGUAGAUUGGUUGUGAUGCUUUAGUGCAUGGUCUCCAUAGGAAUAGUGUGUUAUGGAAAUUUGGUUUUUUUAUUGGUGCAUGUUGUCUAGACUUUCCCAUAUGCGUGGACUGUGUGUUCAUGCUUUUCUUUUCGGAUGGUCGCCUGUGUUAAUGUGUGGCGGUGUCUACAAUGAAAGAUACAACCCUUUCUCUCCUUCUGCGUGAUAGAAAAGUCAAUCCCCCAUGGUGCGACUAUGUUCCCUCGUCCUUUUUGAAAAAUUUUGGUGUUUUCCCCCCAAAAAAUCCCCUCCAAAAAUCUAAUUAUAAAUGUCUGCUUUGGCCUAAUGUGUGUGCUACUUUUUUUUUCCUUCUUUUUAUGGUUGUGCGUGCUUUUCUUGAUACGUGGCUUAUUUCUUAAGGAUAUGAUUCGCUCCCAAUUGGUGUCUCAGCUGAUUCAUGUCCUUUCAAUGGUCCCUGACAGUGGUGCCAUUUGAUUCGUGUCCAGCUGGUGUCCCUUGAUUGUGGUCCUCAGAAGGGAGUAAUCAAUAAAAUUUAUAACCUAUUACACCAUGUAUUAGGAUAGCCUUAGCUAGCAUAGCAUAGUGGCUCUAGGGUCGUUUAUUGGGAUGAGUUUUCACUUCACAAUUGAUAUUAAUUCAAGAGCUGAAUUGGUGCCUUUUCAUUUCAAGGUUAGCUUUAAAAGAAAACAUAAUCUUUGGUGGAAAAAGGUUUGGUUUUAAACUAACCAAAAAUAGUAACUGAUUUUACUUACAAAGAAAAGUGUUCUUUGGAGUUUAGAUCACUAGGCUCAGGUUCCUCAUACAAAAAGGAGAGUUCCGAUCAUUUGUUUCUUUUCCUCGCAUUAGAGAAUUAACAUAUAGUUAAUUCUCUAACCGGUGCGGUACAUAUGCUUCCCAUUAAUGGGUUCAAACACUAAAUACCUCUCACUGAUGCACCUUGCAAUGGCUCGUGCCUCUCACCUAGCAUUUAUCAUUCAAGGUGAUCUUUAACCUUGGAUUACCCAUCAAAAGCUCGCAAGAGAUAACUAAAGGAUGUCUCCUUAGAGUCCAAAAGCUUACCAAGUGUUGGUUAUUCUAGAAAAUCCUACCUUCAAACCACCUCCCAAAGGCUCGCAAGAGAUAAACAAGUGCAUCUCAAUGGAUGAAGAUCACUUGCCUUACCAAGUUUUGGCCCAGAUGAUUUAAUGACAUUUUAAGUUAACUAAAAAGAUAAAAACCAUUAACGGGUCACACUUUCUCUUCAUUAAAAACUAAAACAACAAAACUUCCAAUUUAUGCAUGAGGAAACUUACCUGGCUUUCUUCACUUCAAGAGAUGAAGAGCCUAGCCACUCAUCAUUUGAGGAAAAAUCCUCAGAGUUUGAUUUGCUAGAAAUAAAAAUAAUGAGAAAACAAAAAUAUAUAUAUGAAAAACAGAGCAAGUUCUCUGUAAUAUAUUUUUCUUCCUUAUACAAAAGGUUGUCUCUAAGAACAAGUUCCCGAGAUCUAUCUGAUUGUAAAUAAAAUUACAACUAUAUAUAAGAGGUUAUUCACCCCUUUGUUCUUUCUUAAAGACUAAGGAAUCCUAUGAUAGGUGGGUUACAAGGAGAGUUUGGGGAUUUAGACAUCAAAUAUCUAAAGCAAAAUAUCUCAAGAUGUUAGUCGGAAAUAUCAGGAAGCUUCAGGAGAACACCGCGACACUGUAUACUGAGAGAAAAACUCUCCGGGUAAGCUCUAUCAAAGGAUCCAGACAUGUCUGACUGGGAAAGUUGAAACGUCCUUCUCUCCCAUCCGGAUGUGAGAUAUCCGGAGAAAGUGAAAUGUCGGUCGGACAGAAUUCUUUCCCCGGGUGGAAUGAGUUGUGUUGCGCGUCGCAAGGGGGACCGUCUGCGUGUACAAGUUGUAGGGACCCCUCUCCCGGAUGACACCGAGCGCGUAAGGCUAUCCGGAUCAACUCCAUUCGGAUUCCCCAAGAGGACAUGUGGCGUGCUCCCCUAUCAGGACUCCCUUAGGGAGAAGCACACGACACUCGUGAACAUCAUACCCGGACGAUAGCAUGUCCUAUCCGGAUGUGUUGUCCGGAUCAUUGACUAAAGUGAGCAAGCCUUGCUACGUCAUUCGGACAGCUUGCCACAUACCAUGUUCCGUCGCCAUCUGAUGGUGUGUCCGAACGCCUUGUCCGGACAUCUUUUGCUCCUUGCAUUCCGGAUUUGCUUAUGACAAAGGACUUCAAAGCUUCGGUUCUUCAUGUUUCUGAGCUUUCCAUUGCUUUGCCAUGGAUUCCAAAGAACUCUCCUUAAUCACGGAUUGCUUUGGUGAUCAAAAAGUUAUCAAAACACAAAAACUUAACAUAGUUUGAUUAGAAUUGAUUGCAAGGGUUCUUAAUAUGUUAAUUGGGUUAAAAGGUGAUAACUACUACUCAAAAGUGUUUAUAAGAAUUAAUUACAAGCUAUGAAAUAACACUUUUUGAGUAGUAAUCAGGAUACAUCCUAGUUUUUCAUGGAAUUGAUAGUGGGUUGUUGUGCAUGAAUGCCACCAUUUCAACUAUGCUGUUGUUAUUUUUAAAAAAAAUAUGGAUUAUGCGCGAGUGGCAAUUCUCCACUAUGGAAAGUGGAUUGCUCCUUCAACCCAUGCAUGGCUACGUAUUCCUAUGUCUUUCUACUUGUGUUUGAUCCUCCAAAAAAAAUUUCGGUUUAGUGCUAGUAGAUUUUAAGUGGUGGAUCCCCAUUUUUUGAAAAUGAAGUGGCAGCCUCCCAUUUCAAGACAAAAUGGUAGCCUGCCUUUAAUCUUUGGAGAAAAAUCUGUGCAUGACCUUUUUUUUUCCCAAAAAAUCCGUGCAUGGUGUCCUUUAAUAUUUGGAGAAAAAUCUAUGUUGGAUCUUUUCUUUUCUAGAAACAUUUGUGUGGUCUUUUUUGUUAGCCCAAGGGUUCUUCUAAUCAAGUUUUGAUGAUAACAAACCAUGGUUAAGUGACUAAUUGGUUUAAUGAUUAAGAAUCUCAAACAUAAAAUCGAAAAUUCAUCAAAGGACCAAAUGGAUACAAGAUCGAGACGCUUGGAAGACUUGUAAUCAUAGGAAACUAAUGUAAGAUGAAUGCAUGAGUGCACUUAGGAUUUUCACACGUUUCAUGCAACUUAGAAAACCCAGUUUAUUCUUUAAAACUUCAUCCCAGUUUAUUCUUUUUAUGGUUGUGUGUGCUUUCCUUGAUACGUGGCUUAUUUAUUAAGGAUACAUCCCAGUUUUUCAUGGAAUUGACAGUGGGUUGUUGUGUGUGAAUGCCACCAUUUCAACUGUGCUGUUGUUAUUUAAAAAAAAAAAAAAUGGAUUGUGCGCGAGUGGCAAUUCUCCACUAUGGAAAGUGGAUUGCUCCUUCAACCCAUGCAUGGCUACGUAUUCCUAUGUCUUUCUGCUUGUGUGUGAUCCUCCAAAAAAAAUUUUGGUUUAGUGCUAGUAGAUUUUAAGUGGUGGAUCCCCUUUUUUUGAAAACUAAGUGGCAGCCUCCCAUUUCAAAACGAAGUGGUAGCCUGCCUUUAGUCUUUGGAGAAAAAUCUGUGCAUGACUUUUUUUUUCCCAAAAAAUCCAUGCAUGGUGUCCUUUAAUAUUUGGAGAAAAAUCUAUGUGGGAUCUUUUAUUUUCUAGAAAAAUUUGUGUGGUCUUUUUUGUUAGCCCAAGGGUUCUCCUAAUCAGGUUUUGAUGAUAACAAAUCAUGGUUAAGUGACUAAUUGGUUUAAUGAUUAAGAAUCUCAAACAUAAACUCGAAAAUUCAUCAAAUGACCAAAUGGAUACAAGAUCGAGACGCUUGGAAGACUUGUGAUCAUAGGAAACUAAUGUAAGAUGAAUGCAUGAGUGCACUUAGGAUUUUCACACGUUUCAUGCAAUUUAGAAAACCCAGUUUAUUCUUUAAAACUUCAAUUUCAUUAAAACCCGAGUUUUUAACUAAUGUACCUUAGGCAAAAUGUUUUAUAAUUGGCUUAAUAAUUCACCUAAAUACAUUUUCUAAGUGUUAGAAAAGAAAGGAAUUAAAAAAAGGUUUUCGGGGCAAAAAAGGCUCAACCGGUCGAGGCUAUGGUCAACCGGCUCAACCGGUUGAGGAACCAAUCGAUCGGUUGUGCUUGUCCGAUCGAAGACCAAUCGAGGGAUGCCAAAAAAUUUCUCUCUCUCCUAGUGGCCUUCUCUUCCCGGUCGAGGUUCGGUCUAGGCAACGGUAACAUGUCAAGCAUUAAAUGCUCCGACGACUAGUGAAUCGGUCGACCCCUAGCCCGAUCGGACGAGGUUGCCUUUUGCUGUUUUUGACUCCCGAGCUUAGAAACCUAUAAAUUGAGAGCUCCACUUCAUUUAUUGAUAAAAGAGAACACUUGCAUUCAAUAGUCUACCUACCUUUUCUUGAUCAAAAAGCUCUCAUUUCCUUCAUAGUGCAUUAAAUCAUCACUUGCAUAUCCUUUAGUGCACUAUUGUGUGUCAUCCUAGCUUUGUUUUGUAUUUGAGCUAUCCUUAAGCUAGGUUGAGGGAUUAUUUCUUAUAAAAAUCUGAGUGUUAAAGCCUUCAAGAGAUUUGAAUCUUGAAGAGAUUGUGUAAGAGCCCAUUGGAGCCGGAGUCCAAGUGUAAGAAGAUUGGAAGCUUGGUUGAAGCUUCAAGUUAGUGGAACCCUCACUCGGUUAGGAGGUUGAGGAGAGUGGACGUAGGUAAGGAAGUGUCGAACCAUUAUAAACCCGAGUUUGAAUUCUCUAACUCUAUCUCUUUAUUUUGCUUAUAUUGUGUUUGAAUUUGUUGUGAUUGAAAAGAUUUUAAAAACCUAAUUCACCCUCCCCCCUUUUGGGUUUUUUUUUCUUAAUUAAGCAUAACCUUUGUUUUCUAAUUUUCUUUUUAGGAAAAUCCAUGCGUGGUAUGUCCAAACUCUCCAAGUGGCAGUCUGCCUUCUUCUAAAAAAUUUGUUUCUAUUUCUUUAUUCGACUACCUUCCAUGUCUUCCUAAUGAGUGCUUGUGCUCAAUGGUCAAUCCCUGGUGGUUGCCUCCUUUUCCCAUAUAUACGUGUUGCAAAAUCAACAUCCCACUAUAUGUGGGUUGCCUCUAUGGCAAGUUCACAUUUCCCACAUGAAACCUAUGAGUUUCCACCAAAAAUUGCCAUGAAAAAGUCUUUAUAUGCAUCUCAUGCAAUAAAAAGUCAAGCCAAUACUCAUCUUAUCUCGAAAAAUAAGUAACCAAAAUCAAGAUCAUGCCUAAGUGAACUAUGCCAAAAGAAGUGUCCAAGUGACCUAUUAUGAAAAAAGUGCCUAAGUGACCUAAGGUGAAUGUGUGUAAGCUGGAAGGUGUCUAGGAUGUUUAGGACAAUGCCUAAGCCUAAAAUAGGGUUGCCAAGGGUCACAAUGGGGUUAGAUAAAUCUCUCAAUCAGAGUCUCCAAGGUGGCUCAUAAAAGAUAAGCUACACGAGUAAUGAUGGGCCACCAGGGAAUUAUUGUAAAGCACCAAACGAACACAUAAUAGGACAUGUGUUAGAAUGAAAAAAUGGAGGGUUUACAAGUGGUCUCAUGGAUGAGCUUGAUAAUUUAAAUGACUCACAUAAUGAACGUAUGUGAUGUUUCUCUCCAAUAACAAGCAAAACAUCACUAGCAAUAUGAUGAAUGUCUCCUAAAUCACUUGAAGUAGUCCUAGCAAAUCAAUUAGAAAAAUCACACAUAUUGCUCUAAUGUAAUAUUAUAUACAUCUGUCAAUGAAUGGGAGAACUAAUGACACAACCAUCAUGUUGAUAUCUCGAACCCUCUAAUCUCAUAUGUAGGUGGGAUCACACUUAGAAACUCAUAACACAGUAAUGACCAAUCUAAGUCAAAAUGUGUUGGUGAUCGGAGGCCCAUGAAUAUGAAGUUCUAGGAUGAUAAUGACAUCUUAUAAAGUAAUGAUCAUCUCCUUAAUAGAUAGGUGAAAUGUGUGUGUCUUAGGACACCAUCUCUCAACAAGACUUGUGAUCAAUCCCCAGUCUAGUGUAACAUGCCUAUUAUGACAUCCAUCGUAAAAUCUAGACUAGAUAAUAUAAGGACAAAUGUGAGGGUUCAUCUCCCUUUCCCACAUAAAUUUAAAAAAUUAUUAUUGACAAGUUAAGACCAAACUAAGUUGCAAAAUAUAAAUAAGUCCAUUAGAUAACAAAUUUAUGUUUUCUCAUUUUCUCAUUUUUAAAGAGAUAUUAUGUGCUUCCAUGUACAUACAUGCUAAAGUCAAUUAUACGAGACUUAUAUCCAUCUUGUAGAACCAAAUCGAACCUAUCUAAUAGAUCCAGAUUAGAAGUAUGUCCUCUAUACUCCAUAUUUAUAACACAUUUAUAAAGAUAAAUGCUAAAAAAAUGUUAAAGAUAUAAAUUUAAUGAACCAUACUUUAUGAUUUUAAUUCUCAAUUAUUGUUCAUAUUUAUAAGAGAAAAGUUAAAAAAAUUGAUAGAGUUUUCCCUCUAUCAUGGACAUUAUCCCAAAUAAAAAUAAAUUGAUUAUGCAAAUUACAUUAAUAUUUGUAACCAAAUGAUCAAUAACUAUCUUGUAUCAAUUUAGUAAAUAAAUUUAAGUAUAUCUUUUCAUUUAUGACUAACAAAUAACUCAUACUUGUCCAAUAAAAGCCACACCUAAUUUCUAAAAUUUUGUCUUCACCUCAAGUGAGUGUUACAUUGAGAAAGAAAAAAUAUGAAAGAAAAAAUGAACACCUUUUUCUUUUAAUAAAAAAAGGCCAUAACGAAACAUUAAAUCUCACUGUUACACCUAUCUUCAAUGGAAACAUGAGGAUGUGAAUGGUGGCGGUGAUAUUCUUUGCUUGAAGCUCAUAAACAAAUAUUCCUUACUAAGCCUAUGCCAUUUAGUAUUUCAAUAGUGGACCCCCCCCCCCCCCCCCCCCCCCUCCUUGCAUUUCAGAUUUAGCAAACUUAGAACCAAAUAACAAAGUGCAUUUGAACCCAUAAAGAAGUAAUGAGACUCUCCUAUAUUGGCAAUAGAAGAAAUUUUUGGAGGUAUAGGAGAUUCACGGAUGAAGAAGUUGGGCCCCAAUUGAGAUAAGACCCAAGAAAAGAUGGGGUAGAGAGGGAUGGUUGGAAAUUGUAAAGUAAGAUUUUCAAAAUGUAGUUGAUGACUAAGAUUUUGACAAUUUAAAAAAGGUUUAAAAAUGUAGUUAGCAAUCGGGGUUUUGUAACAUUUAAAAAAUAAAAUAAAAUCUCAGGCCACAUGGUAGCCCAUGUGAUUCAGAAGCUUGAGAAUUAUUUUAUAAGAAGACUUAAUUUGUGAUUUUUUUAUAACUAUAUUAUUUUUUUUCUUAACACACGAAAAAAAUUAUGAAAUAAGACAAUUUUCCUAAGAAAGCAUGUAAGUGACUCUUGGUUAUUUUAUUUAACUUCUUCUAGUUUGGAGAGGAUUAAUACCUUUGCUUUUACUCACUUGCUUGGAUAUGUACACGUUGUUCAUGUCACUUUUCAUUUAAUUUUCUGAUUAAGGGAAUUGGAACCGUACGUAACUGUCUUUAUUCCCUCUGAAACUUGGACUUGGAGUUGGACUUUCAAUCUCAUCAGUCGUGUUUCCAUAAAAAAGAAGAUGGAUUAACCAAUUUUCCUAUGCCUACUAAUCAUACACAAAACUCCACUUCCAAAUAAAAAGGAAUGGGAUAUCACUUGUUAAUAGUGGCUAAAGACUAUUAAUAACCAUGCAAAGAAAUGUCACAUUUUUUGUUCUACGCAAAUUUUAUUCAUCAACUACUAGAACCAUUUCAUACAAUAGUAGCUUUUCGAUCCUUUGAUAAAUGGACACUUGAUGUGAUAACACCAACUACACCUAUAUAUUCAAGCAAUCAUGCGUAUAUAAUAGUGGAUAUGGAUUACUUCUCUAAAUGGGCAAAAGUUUUGUCAUUCAAGGAAAGUGAACGAGGAAACACAAGUUUACUUUCAUCGGAACUAAUAUUAUAUAUUGAUAUGACUUCCCAUUAUUACUUACGAUGGAAUAUGCUUCCAUAAAAUGGCCUAGAUGAACAAACUAUCCAAGAAGUUUGGGAUCAAAUAAUAUAUAUAUAGUUCAUGUGUGAUUCUUUGGUUGACAACCUUGUUAAGGGGUGAGUGAAGCACUUUGGGCAUACCACAUACUACAUGCUAGACUUCCACCCAAGCUACCCUAUAUUCCUUAUGAACAAAGUAGAAGUUGUCAUCUCUCUUGAAUACCAAAUCCUUUCACCUAAUAAUGCUAUCUAAAAAGGUCUUAAAAAGGAUAAAAAUGCGCAUAUUUGAAUUUUUGAAUUAGGAGUGCUACUUAAAAAGAAGCUAGAUAUACAAUAAUAGAAUGUUAUCAAGCAUAUCUCUUCAAAGUUUUUGACCAAAAAAUAUAUGAUUUCUCAUUUUAGGUAGGAGACUUAGUACUCACUAUUCAAAAACCAAUUAUCAUUACUCAUAAAAACUAAUAGAAAGUUUGGGCCAAAGUAGGAUGGACCUUAUAUUAUGCAACAAUUAUGCCUAUAAAAUUGUUGCAAAAGAGGUUUUAGAAUCAAAUCAAUGAAUGAAAAAUUAUUAAAGCAUUACUAUGCUUGAAGGCUAGUCAUUUUCCCUUAAAGUGCAAUAUUAAGUUGCAUAGUACUAUGUGGAUCCGCAUUUUUCACAUGCGUUCCCACUCAUUGUCGAGACUCACUUUUUAGAAGUGAAAAAUUAGUUUUAUUAAAGUCGAAGUUGCCACUGGGGAUUUGAACCCUAACAAAAGGUUCAAUUUAAGGAUAAAAAUAUCGAUAAUCACAUAUAUAUAUAUUGGUACUUUGAUUUUAUGAAUAUAUUGAAGAAAUAUGGACAAAUAUUUUGACACAAAAUAUGUACAAAAUAAAAAUUAUAUAAAAAGUAAAAAUAAAUAUUUUAAAAUUAUUUUUUUAAAUAUAUAUAUAUAUAAUUUGACAUAUUUGAUAAUAAUAUAUAAGGGUCUCCAAAAAGCCCGUGGCCCGCUUUAGGCCCGGUCCGACCCGACAGGCUAAAGCCCGGCCCAAGCCCGCCGGGCCCAAGCUCGGCCCGAGCCCGUUUAUGGGUGGGCCGGGCCGCGAGCCCGUAGGCCUGCUCCUUUAAAAAAAAACUACAAAAAUAAAAAGUAUUAAAAAAAAUAUUCAUUUCAAAAUUUUAUUCAUUGAAUGUAUAAUUACAUUUGAAAAUGUGGGAAAAGUUUACAUCACUACAAAAUAAAUACAUCCCAACUAGGUUGGCACCUAUUUAUUUGUCAAUCAUCUGUAUUUUUCAACCACAAAAAAUAAAAAUAAAAAUAUAAUAUACAUUUAGUCAUUAUUUUCUGGCGGUGAUGGCGAACUAUCAUGCAUCCAUGAAGAUCUUGAUAAUUUUAAAGAUUCCAUAUCGGUAAGCAUCUUUGUUUCUCGAAUGGAAUCAUACAUCCUUUUAUCUGCUAUUUCCCAAUCUUUCACACAUAUCCCUGCUUUAAUAACAUCUGACGCUAAGUUGCAUCGUUUUUUACUAACUACUCUUCCACCUGCACUAAAAGCAGCUUCUGAUGCAACUGUACUCACAGGAACUGUUAGUACAUCACGAGCAAUUAUAGAAAGCACAGGAUAUUUGUGUUGAUGUGAUUUCCACCAUAUUAAAAUAUUAAAAUCUUCUUGAUCUUCAAAUGAAAUUAUAUCAGUAUUAAGAUAUUUAUCUAAAUCAGAUGUAUUAUUUGGAGAAUUAUUUGUUGUCUUUUUUCGACUUUUCAACAUUUCUAGAGCUCCUUUAUAAAAAGAUGAGGAGUUUGUAGAUGUAGGUGGUAAUUUAAUAGUAUUAAUAUCAUUACCAUAUUUUUCUUUAUAAUAGUUAUAUAAAUUAUAUAAUAAUGAAUUUAUUUCAUUUUUAAUUUCUUCAAUUUUUAUUUGGUCAUUAAAAUAAAUAAUUGUUAACCAUUCAUCCAAAGCUUCAAAUUUCAAUCUAGGGUCCACAAUUAAAGCAAUAUAAAAAAUUAAAGGUAUUUCUCCCCAAUAUUUUCUAAAUUUUUAUAUCAUUACAAAUAUUGUAUCAUUAAAUAUUUCAAAACUUAAAUAUUUUUGAAGUACAAUAAAAAUAUUAGUUAUUUGCGUAAUAACUCGAUUUGAAGUUGGAUAAUAUACACCACAAAAAAUGUUUGUUGAAGUAUCAAAAAUUUCAAAAAGAUCUCUUAAAACAUCCGCAAUAUGCCAAUCAUAAUCAUUUAAUGCAUAAAUAUCUGCUUCAUAAUCAUUGUUAAUUAAUUGUAUUUCAUAUAAUUCGACUACUUUUCUAUAUUUUGUAAUAUUUUCUAAAAGUUUAUAUGUGGAAUUCCAUCUAAUAGCCAUAUCCAAAUUUAUAUUUUUUCUUUUCAUAUUUAACAUUUUGCAACAAUCAAAAAAUAAUUCAUGUUUUGCUUGAAAACUAUUAAUACUAUAUGCAAUGCCUCUAAUUUUUUUCCAAUGUACUAUCAACAUUUUUUAAUCCAUCCUUUACAAUUAAAUUUAAAAUAUGUGCACAACAACGCACAUGAAAUAUUUUAGCAUGAUCUUCUUUUACUUGCCAAUAUCGUUUUAGUCUAUGUAUUGCUGCAUCAUUAUUAGCAGCAUUAUCUAAUGUUAUUGUCAAUAUUUUAUCACGAAUGCCUAAAUCUAUAAUUUCAUCAUUUAUUAAAGAUGCUAUAUUUUUACCACUAUGUGGAGUAUUUAUUAAUUUAAAUAAAAUUAUUCUUUUAUUUAAUUUCCAUUCAUUAUCAAUGUAGUGAACAAUUAUAUAUAAAAAACCAGUAUGAGUUAAAGAUGUCCAAAUGUCAGAUGUUAAACGAAUAUUUCCUUCAAAAUUUGCAAAAUUUUUUUUUAAAAUUUCUUUUUGUGUAUAAAUUUUUUUCAUAAUAUCUCUUUUAACUGUAUUUCCAGAUCAACCUUUAAAUUGAGGAUUAAUACCUCGUUGAAUUGUUCUUGCAAAAUCAUGAGUUUCCAUCAUGUUGAAAGGUUGUUCUGCUCUUAUUAUAUAAUCAAUCAUUUCUUCACAACAGUUAGAUUCAUCAUAAGAAAAUGUUUUUAAAUUUCCACUUUCAUUUUUACUUAAUUGCAUAUAAUUUCUAAUAUCUACAUUAUUUUUAGUUUUACAAUUUUCAUGAUGUCUUUUUAAAUGACUUGUAUCUGCAUUUGAGCCACCAGUAAGAAAUUUAUUACAAAUUUUACAUUUUGCUUUUAUUUUUUUUUUAUUAUUUUCUAAAAUUAUUUCUAUUCUAUCAAAAAAAUUCCAUAUAUUUAAAGUAAAUUUUUUGUUUGAUGAUAUUUCAUCACAUGGACUAGACGAAGAAGCACUUGUCAUAUUAUAAUUAUUGAUAAAAUAUUAUGCCAAAAAUAAUAAAGUAAUAAAUAUAAAAAAAAAUGUAACAAAAAAAAUAAAGUAGUAGGGGUGAAGUAUGUUACUCAAUUAGAGAACCUAUGCAGAAAUUCCUAGCAAAUUUGAACUCUUGGAGCCACCAAUGCUUGUUUUGCACCAUCAACAAUAUUGUAUAAUUUGAGGGAAAAAUAAAAGAAUUUAAAAUAUUGUAGAAUGUGAGAGAAAUAGAGAGAAUUUGAUGAAAAAAUGAAAAGGAAGAAAAUGUAUUUAUAGGAAGGUUAAAAAUAAUAAUAAUAAUAAUAAUAAUAAUAAUAAUAAUAAUAAUAAUAAUAAUAAUAAUAAUAAUUGGCCAUGUGACCGUUGGAGGCUUAGCUCCAACGGUCACAUGGGCUGGAGCUAGGCUCCAACAGUCACAUGACCGUUGGAGCCUUUAAUUUUUUUUUUUAAAAUAAUAUACUUUAUUUUUAUAUAUAUAUAACUAACUCAAUUAAUAAACAUAAAAAGAAUAUAGUUCAGUUGGUUAGAACCUUGAAGUUUAAACAUGAGGGGAGGGGUUUGAAUCCCUCCCUCUCCCUUAGGGGCUUUUUUAAAAGCCAUUUUGGCUUAUUUCAAAAAGCCUGUCGGCCCGACCCGCCCUGCAGCCCGCGGGCCUAGCAUUUUAGCAUGGCCUGGUCUGUUGACUAGUCAAAUGGCUCAUAGGCUCGGCCCGAACUGGGCCGCGGGCCUCUUAUUUACGGACCGGCCCGACCCGGCCCGCCCGUUGGAGACCCUUGAUAAUAUCUUCUAUAUUAAGUUACAUUAUAGUUUAUUUUACAAUAUUAUUAUGAUAAUAUGUCUAAUUUUAAAAUAUAUUUAAUAUUAAAAUUAUGAUCUAUUUUAAUUUAAAUGUAUUCAAUGAUAUCAAAUAAAUAAUAAUAUAUGUAUAAUUCUUUUAUUAUUUAUAUUUAUUAUUUUUAAUAAAUAUAUAGAUUAUAUAAAAAAGACCGGAUAUAUCUUUUCAAAUUUUGUAUCGCUCUCCAAGGAUAUUAGAUGUAUGGGAAUUUGUAUUGCUAUCUACGGAUACGUUGAUAUAUGGGUGAUUUAUCAGGAUAAUUAGAAAUUCUAAUUAUGUAAGCAGGUACGGAGUUCUGUGUCGGUGCGAUCUUGUCGACAACAGCUCCAAAUUGUGCAUCUUGCUCAUAGAGAGUAGCGGAAUGCACCAAUCGUAGGCUCAGAGUACCACUGAGUCGUCUGGCAGAGACCCAACUGAAGGUGCCUGUGUUGUUCCUGAUCUGAUCAGGCUUCAAACUACAAGGUGGAAUACUGGUUCCCCUAUAUCAGAAGCUGGAGAUACCCACCCCAUAUGCUCGUCUGGAUGUGCUCCUACCCUUUGAAGCCUUCUUCCGAGUCAAGUCCGAAUUGAUAAGGCUAGUGAGUUCCCAACCAACUGUACUCAGCAUGCUGCCAGGUGGAGACCCUCCAUAUUUGAUGGCUUCCUAAUAUUAAAAUGCUGACCACUGGUCUUCAUGUUCCACAGGCUUAAUUGUGUCCUUUGCUGAAAGAAUGGAUAGUGAUCCAUUUUAACACAUGAUUCACGCCGUCUUUGCCAUUCUUCAUGGUCUAGCCCUUUUAUAUAUAUGCUUCCUGAACUGUUGCUAUUAAUAAAAUGUGGUAUCUAUCCCGUACACCUUCCUGAUGGCCAGCGAAUGCAGAAGCUACAGAAACGGUUCCAUCUUUUGCUUCCGCCACUUUGGCAUCCUCCAUGAUGAGAUCGAAGGUGAAUAAUCAUAUUCUGGGGAUUUAUGUCCUGGAUAUUCUCAGUAAUGCCCAAUUUCCUGGUGCCGGCCUCAUUUCCAUGGGAACUGAUGGAUAACUUAAGGCUUCUACCAUCUGCGUGGUUCGCUUCUAACACAGGAAACUUCACGGCUAAAAGCAAGAUACCAAGAACAUCAAGGCUGUGACAAAAAUUAGUAUUUUUAACUUGUAGGAAUUUGAAAGGCAACCAACCAUCUAGCUCUGUUCUUAAAGCUCCCAUAGGAGGAUCAGAGGCUGGAUUGCUCAAGAUGAACUCAUCCAUUGUUGCACUUAAAAAGAAUUGGCAUGAAUUGUGGCCGCUCUAAUAGGUUCCCUAAACCAUCAUCCAAGUGGGCUUGCGGAAGGUAGCGAGUUUAAAACACCUAGGGCGAUGAACAGUGGACUGUGAUGCUCACAAAAGAGAAAAGGAAGAAUUCAAUAAUUCCUAAGAAUCCAUUUGCCUGUCAUCCAAAUUUUUAUAUUCUCUUCAGUCUGACGCGUUAUGCCAUAUAUUAAAAAUAGCGGCUUCUUCCAAGCCGAGACAGACUGUGCAAAGUUCGCAAGGCCAAUCAUCACCAUAAUCUGAAGUUGGCCUCCUCAAUCGCAGCUUGUAUCCGAAUGCUCACUUCACGGGAUGGAUUGUAAUGAAAACUAAUCUCAGUCCCAGCUAUGGCAGCAUCCUCACUUGACAGCAUUUUCUGCAUAUUCUAGAACAAAGCAAUAAACCCUCAAAGGCUCCUUCGGAUCAGAGUUAGAAGACUGUCCCUCAGGAACGUGAACACUAUGGUGGUUCUGAUAAGCAGUGAUAUUGCAUUAGAGCCUUUUGGAACAAGAGGAUCUUUUCAGGUGGAAACUGUAAACUGCUUCAUGUUGGGCUGCAACCUUUUCUUCAAGCAAUACUUUCUUUCUGUAUCACGACUUAUGUUGCUUCCGGAGCCAUCCCGUGUGGACUGCCCUUCAGUGAAAGAAUAUGUGUGUUGACAUGUUGGAUUGUAAUCUUUGUUCCACUCUAAUGGCUUUUGGUCCUCCUCUUUCUCUUUAUGACAGAGAACCAUUUAGUGAUCCAUCUCUAUAUUGUAGCAUUGCUGGUGCUUUGCAAUACUACACUCUCACCAAGCAUAACAUCUAUUUUUCCGUGACCAAAGUAUGUCGGUUUAUGCAUGCGCAAACUCUUAUUCAUUGGCAAGUUGUCAAGCGUAUCUCAUGAUUUCCCAAAGCCACAAGUUCUUAUGGUCUUUCUGUUCAAGCUUACAAUGAUCUAUCUUUUCUUGGUUAUACUGAUGUCGAUUGGGCUAGUUGCCCUGAUAACAAGCACAAUACUAGUGGGUACAACACUUUUCCUGGUCCUAAUCUCAUUUCAUGGGCAUUUUCAAAGCAGAAGGUUGUGUCUCACUCCAAUAACGAAUCUGAAUAUAGGGGACUCACUAAUUAAUGUUGUUGCCAAGGUCACUUGGAUUGAAUCUGUCUUACGUGAGUUGCGUGUUUCUCUACCCCAACCACCAAUUUUGUUGUGUGACAACAUUAGUGCUACACACUUGGACAAACCAUGUUGAAAUACACUAUCAUUUUAUCCAUGAAAGGCUUAUGCAUCACACACUCAAAAUUCAAUACACCUCUUCUAUAGACCAACUAGUCAAUGCUAUGACCAAAGCUCUUCCUUCAUCUCACUUGUACAAUCUUCAGUGCAAGCUGAUUGUUCUUCCCAAACCACUCAACUUGAGGGGAGAUGUUAAGCCAAUUUAAUAAAUUGAUUUCUUUUGGUUAAUUUGUUAGAAUCAUUUUUAUUAGAGGUUUGUUUGUACAAUUACAUCCAUUUAUCAGGAGAGUACACGUGUACAACUCCUCUUUUAAUCUCACCAUUGUAUAUAUAUGAUACACGACCUUACUCAGAAUUGCAUAACAUUUCCUCUGCUCAUUCCUUUUCUUCUUUGAAUUUUCCCUUACCUCACUGAUUUUGAUUUAUACCUGGUGUUUUCACCUUUGGUCUCUACCUUUCUAGCCAGUUUUCUAAUUAAUCCGUAUAUGGUAUACCUGUCAACUAAUGAGGAGAAAGAGAAAAGGGGAUUGCUGUUCCACCAGCUACAUAUAAUAAUUAAUUACAAUCAUGGUAAUGGAUCCUGAAAUCCAUCCUUUGUGGAUUUUGUACGGAAUAUUGUUGUUAUGUAUGUGGGCUCACUUAGAUGUAUAUUGCUAGCCUGUCUGGGAAAUGUGAUUGCAGGUCCAGAUUAUGAUGUUGAUAUUAGUGGGAUAAGCAAGAGAUGCAGUUAACACGUAUGUGAUGGACUUGAGUAACUUUUCCAUUUCAGUCCAUUUUUUAAGAUUAUGCUUAGUCUUAUUACAAGGAAAGACCAUAAGAAUCAUGAGUCAUUGGCAAGGUAAUAUCAUUCCCUCUUUACAGGCUUCUUCACCUUUUGGUUUUUUUAAUAUCCAUCAAGAUCUUUUAAUUGGAGGACAAUUACAAGUAUAUAUAUAUGUAUUAAAAGGGGAAAAUAUUAAAACAGGAAAUUUUAGGGAAAAUAUAAUAAUUAUUUCUUCCUUCUUUCCCAUAUAGAACUACACAAAAUAAAACUUUAAUAAUUUUUUCUUAUCUUUUUUAUUAUUAUUUUUUCUUAGAAACAUCCGUGGUCUCACAAGCUUGUAAUCCUAGAUUGUUAGGCUCCUUUAACAGUGCCCCAACAUCGUGGUCCAAUGACAAGCUUCCACGCCUUAAAAUCAGAAAAUGCCAUUAAACUUUAUCAGACAUUACAGUUCAAGACAAAGCUUUCAUUUGCUUAAUGUGAUAAUGAAAUUGUUAAUUUCAUUUCGUGGGCAUCUAAAUUUGGACGAGCAAGACCUCUGAAUUCCCUGUUUUUAUCACCAGCAGAGGAGAUAAAAUCUUAAUGGUGAGAAUCUCCACGUGAAAUUUAUGUGUACUGUCAACAUAUUUUUGUUUAUAUAGUCCAGUAGCUGCAGGAAGUCUAGAUUAUAUAGGUAGCAGUAGCACUAUUUAUAGCACUCGAUAUUCGCUGUAUGAAUACAUUAAACCUUGUUUUCAAUACGCAUCACAAGCAAGUACUAGAUACUACAAGGAGUGACAGUCGCAUCAACAUUUCUUGAUAAUAGCAGUGACUGAUUUAUACACAGAACAGUACUGUACACGUACCAGUCACCAGAGAUAGGAUCUUAUUCCUACAUACGACUCUUAUUGAUCGAAGUCACUCAGUUGGGGUAGCCUGGAGUUGGAGGUUUGUGUGGUGGCUUCUUCUUUGGAGGAGGCUUUAUCUUUGGAGGCAUCAUCUUUGGAGGCAUCUUGUGUGAGUCUUCUUCAGCAUUCUCUACAGGAGGAUGGCCAGGCUUAUGACCCUUAGGUGGUUUGCCAACUGGGAUUGGUGGCUUGUGUCCUGAGAGUGGCUCCUCUUCUUCGGGAGGUUUGCCAACUGACGUUGGUGGCCCGUGUCCUGGGGGUGGCUUGUGUUUUGGGGGUGGUUUCACUCCACCGGGAGGUUUACCAAUUGGUGUUGGUGGUUUGUGCUCAAUCGGUGGCCUCUCAACUGGGGGGCGCUUGGGGUAAUCAGCGAGUGAAGAAGUGGUGAGAACCACCACUCCAAGCAACAACACUAGCAAGUAUGUGGAAGACAUCUUUGAGUUUGGCUCAGAUGGUGUAGAACUAGAAUCCUGGGUGGCCUUUUAUAUUAGUUGGGCCCUAUGCCCGAACGACAAGUGUCAUGGUGACACAUAAAGUGAUGGGGUCGAUUUGGGCCUACCGGAUUUGAAAACUUGGACAAUUCGAGAAGCGUCUCCUGACUCCGGGUUGUAAAGUGAAAGAUUAGGUAUCGACCAUUGAAGUAUGAUCACAACUUUUGGCCUUUGGCUCUCUCUACUGCCGUAUAGCUUUUUUCCUUUGGAUAUUUUUCUUAGCUAGACACAAUUAUUGAGCAGUCUAAUCUCGAAAUGGGAUUAGUAUAGCUUUAAGCAAAUUUAUUAUAGUUAGUGGAGGACUUUUAAGAGUGCAGACGACAUUUAACACAUGCAUGCAGUAGUAUAGGGGACAUAACACUAUUCUUUUUCCAAAGAUUCACAUGAUUUUUAUAUUAUAGUAUUGGCACAUUGUAUGUAGCUGGUUUUGUGGUUAAAAUUCCAUAUGUAGACACUGGCGUUUCUCCAUUUCUCACAAUUGAUGUUUACCUCCACGAUUACUAGAUUAGAUAUACCAAACAAUAACACAUUGUAUAAUCUAUCCGCCCUUCAAAAUCUACUGUAUGAUGAAAUGUUUCAUGUGUGUGUGAAGUGUUAGAAAUGCACUAUAGGCAACAUCAUCUUCUUUUGUCUAGGCUUGGGCCUCAAAUUAUACUCCCAUGCCAUGAUAAAUUUUCAUGUGCAUUCUCUAAAGAAGAGUGUCUUGAAUGUGCCAAAUCAUUUUGAUUGAUUUUAUGAUGUUAAUUGCUCCGCAUAUGGAUGGGUAUGUGCUUUAUUUGCUUAUUCAAUCCACAAUUACCUUGAACUGAAGUCCUAUUGGAGCUCUAUUAUUUUAGCAACGUCCUGUCAAAUAGGCUGCUAACUUGGGGUGGUAUGGACCCAAUGAUCCAUCUUAAUCUUGGGUUGAUUUUGUCUGACUCUAUCUAUCUCAGAGAGAACCAGGAUCACCAGUGCUGGUCUGCUUAAAGAAGACUCAGUACUGGAUUAAUAUUGGUUUGGGUCAAUAGCUUAUAAUGCAUUGAAUGCAGAAUAAACAAGAUCAAUGAAACCCAAAACACACUGCCCACACAACUUCACUCUGGUGUCUGUUAUUCAUCAAUUCUAUUCCCACAUGAACUGGUUCAAGUUUAAGAAAAUGACAACGGAUCCACUGUAUUAACUUGGUUUUGCUUGGUUUUGAGCUAGUUGCCAAACCAGCCAUGAGUUUUACCUCUAAUGUCAAUGAACAAACCCCAAAUGAACAACUGCAACAGCUUAAAGAGAAGGAAUGGAGAUGAAAAUCCCUGUUUCUUCUCAUUCUGGGGACAAAUUAGAACAUAACUACAAAGGUUCUAUUAAUUGACUUACUCUACCAUGAAUUAUGGUUCUUUGGUUUUCCAAAUUUAAAUUGUACAUGAGAUUAUUUUUUUCCUUUAUAUAUAAACAUAUUAAGGUUUUCUUAUUUCGUGGGCAAAUGCGCUAAGGAUGAAAGUCAUUUCAUUUGGCUGCAACAGCAUCUUAUAAUCAACAUGCAUAAGCAGCAGUUUUAAUUGAUCGAUUGAACACCGACUCACAAGAAUAGAUAGAAUGGUACAAGACAGCUCUUAUUAAUUUAUACUCGUUACUCAUUUUAUGUAGCCCCAUUAAGAUGGCUGGCUGGACCACCGAGGUCUGGGGGUGGUGUUGCUUGUGUGAUGCAGCGGGCCGGGCAGACACUUCUCUAGUUGCUUCUAUUUGGAGUUAGAGGAUCAGUCUCUGCCAACCUUGAGGACUCUCUACCUCAGAGGGUCCAGGUGGUGGACUCUGGUGUCGGUAGCUUUGAACUCUCAGUAGACUAGUGUGUCUUAAUCAGUCACUGCCAGAGGCUGGCGUAGGCAGUGACGAUAAGGUGAGACAAAUUACCGAAUAGUCAAUAUCGACUGCACUUGACCAUUAUAGAUUUGUUCUGACAAAAGUGAGAAAAGGGAGAAAAUCGGAUGUUGACCUUUAUAGAAAAAGAUAAGAUUUACUGCAACACAGAGCACUGAUUUGUUACUUGGAAACCAAGUUAUGCUAUUAGCUAGCCUCCAUUAGCAGCAGGGUACCUUGCUGCCUGAUCCUAAUCUGAGUUCCCAAGGUUUCAAUCUUCGUUUGUUAACGCUUCAGGAUUUGGAUAUUUCAGCUUCGUUUCUCCAUUUAGCCAACGCUGCCUGGUUUGGAUUUCAAUCCUCAUCUGGAACAUUCUUUUUUCGGUCUGAUUCAGGAAGUGUUUGGUGAUAGUUGAUUAAAAUUAAACAGUACUAUCAUACAAAUAAAGCUGAUCUAAUUUUGGUGGGCAAUAUACCAACUCAUUUAUUCUUGAAAACACCAUGGGGAAUUGGAGGUCCAUCCGAAGUACUAUUUGAUGGGACUCACAAAAAGAACAGGUGCACAUUUAUGAGAUCCGUGGAAGAGAUAACUAUGACAGCUAUGCAUGUACAACAGAUUUAUGUCGAGUUCACCUCGUAGAUAUUUUGUUUUCAGUGUCGGUGGACCCCAAAAUGGAAAUCGGAAAUUAAGGUUAUAUUUAUUUUUUUAUUUAAUUUUAAAUAGAAUUUUAAUUUUUAAUAAUAUUAAGUAUUAAAUUAUUUUUUUAAGGGUAUUUUAUUUUUAUUAAGUAUUAAAAAGUAAAAAAAAUUAAUAUGUUGCUUUUUUAUUUUAAAAAAAUUAUAUAUUUUAAUUUUUUCUAUUUACUAAAAAGUUUAUAAUAAAUUAUAAAAAAAUAAAAAAAUAAAAAACUUAAAUUCUGAAAAUAAAUUAUUUUUAAUAAAAAAAUCCAAAAAAGCAAACACCACCUAAAUUUGAGAUGACUCAAAAUUUUAUAUUUUUUUUCACCUAAAUUAUAUUCAUAAAUUUAAAAUUAAAAAAUUAGGAAGUUGAAUUUUAUUUUGGAUAAUUGGAAACUACAAGAAAUCAAUAAAAAUAUUUGGAAAAAAAAGAAAAAGAAAAACUAUCUAUAUAUUCACCCCCUUCUAAGAAACAUAACUUUAGUUUUUAACUAUUUUUUAAAAUAAUUUUUGAAAAAUGUUAUAUAAUAUUUUAUAAAACAAAAAAUCUGUUUGACAAUUUGAUAUGUCUUUAACUUAUUUUUAAUAUUUAUAUAUAUAUAUUUUAAAAAUAAUUUUAUAUUUAGAACUUUAUCUUUAAUUAUUAUAUAUAUUUAUAUAAUUAUUUUUUUUAAAACAACUCUUAAAAAAUAAGUGAAAGUAAUUGAAAACAACUCAAAGAUAUUUGAUGAAAACACUCUAAUUUGUAUUUUUGAGAAUAAAAAAAUAAAUAAAUAAAUUUCUAGUUAUCAAAUGUAUUUUUUAAUUCUUUUAUUCUAAAAAAUAGAAAAUCGUUUUUGAAAAUAAUUAUUAAACAACAUUCUUAAAAAUUCACUCGUUACAAUCUAGAUUUAAUGCAAGAAUGAUUGAAGGAGUCCUCCAAUAGAACCCAAAGUUAUAAACAUGAACAAGAAGCCCUAGAAACACCAAAGAUCUCAUAUGGUAUAUAUAUGAGCUUGAUUGAGAACUGUUUUAAAUUCAGUUUUUUUUUUUUUUUUUUUUUUUUGUUUUCAAAGUCAAAACAAGUUUACUUUUAAUUUUUACUUCUUUUUUUUAAUUUUAUAAAUAACAGUUUUUUAAUAAUUUAUUUUGAAAACAUGAUUAUUUUUAAAACUUAUAAUGAAAAUAGGAAUUUUUUUUUUAAUAUCAUGGUUAUUUUCCCUUCUUUUAAGGAGGGCUAUUUUAAAAAUAAAUUUACAAAUAUGAAAAAUGAUUCAAACUAAAGCAGUACAAAUAAAAAACAUUUUUAAGAAAUAUUUAAAAAUAGAGAAAAUUAUUUGAGAACAUUUGAAGUCCUUAAAUAGACUUUUGUUUUAGAAAAGGCAAGAUAAUUAUUUUUGAAAAUUGUUUUCAUAAUGAUAUGCAAAAACCUACGUAAAAACCAUAAUUAUAAUCGGCCACAUAUCAAAUCUACUAAAUAUGAAAAGUAAGUACAUAAUUAUAUUUGACUUAGAUGCAAGGAGGAAAAUGUCGCGAUAUUAUCGCCGAAAUAUCGUGUGUCGAAGGGUAUCGACACGAUUUUUCUUGCAGAAAUAUCGGCCAGUCGAUUUUUCGGGAUAAAUCUCGAGAAAUCGGCAAUUUAUCGCGAUAUAUCGGCGAUUUUUCCUCGAUAUAUCUUCUGGUCAACGCGGGUCAACGGAGUCAACACGCUACAGUGAAAGUCAAAUGUGCUACAAUGUCCCCGCUACAAUCACCUCCCCAAACAAAUUGCCAAAUUGCUUCCGAGGGGAUUUGAACCAGCCUUCUUGCCAUUUGGGCUAACUCGCCCUUAUGAUAUAUAUUGCAUUAAACAUAUAUAUACUUAAAGUCCUUAUAUAAAGAAAAUGUUAAAAAAAUAUUUUAAAGAGCAAAUUAAUUAUAAUUAUUUUAUAAUUAAAAGCAAAAUUUUCUUUUAAUUAAUUACCAAAAAUAUAAAAAUUAUAUAAUUUUCUUCAUAAUGUUUUUAAUAUCAUUAAUAAUUAAUUAAAUAUUAAAAAAUUAUAUAUAUAUAUAUAUAUAUAUAUAUAUAUAUUAUAAUUUAUUUUAUAUUGUUUAAUACAAUUGAAUUAAAUGGAUCAUAUUUUAAUAUUAAUAUAUAUUUUAAAAUUAGACAUAUUGUAAUCAAAUAUCAUAAUAUUAUAUGUAAUUUAAUAAUAAAUGUACACUUAUAAAAUUCAUAUUUUUAUCGAUGCAUACAAUAUUAUUAUCAAAUAUGAUAAAUCAUGUUAUACAUAUAUCAAAAUUUUCAAUAAAAUAACUUUAAAAUGUCUAUUAUACUUCUAAUUAUAUUAUUAUGAGGUUUUCUUUACAUUUUCAUGAGUUUUAAACAAUUUUAAGCACCAAUAUUUUUUUCCAAAAUAUCCACCGAUAUAUCUCCGAUAUAUCCAAUAUAUCUCCGAUAUCUCCGAUAUAUCCGUAAAAUCGAAGUACCGAUAUAUCCGUGAUUACCGAUAUUUUCAUCAUUGCUUAGAUGCAACCUUCUUCCAAAUGACAUACUUUAGUCAAUACUUAUAUUUUUUCGUUUCACUUCUUUGAUACAACACCUCAUGGAUUUAUUGUUUAAUUUAUUUGUAAUUAUAAAACUAUUUUUCAUUUUUAAUAAGACUUGAAUUAAUUUAAUAAAUAUUAUAUAAUUUGAAUUUAUAAUUCUUUUUAUAAAAUCAAAGUAUAUUAAAAAAAAAACAAUUUAUCCGAAGAAAGUUUUUUAUUUUUUAUUUUUUAAAACCGAUUUUAAAAAUAACUAGCUAGACACCCUUAUUUUGAUAAAAUACGAAAUAAAAGUGUAAAAACAACAUGGCCAAAUAGGGGCUUAAAUUUUAUUUUUAAAACAUUUUUUUACACUAAAGUGCAUUUUAAAAACACCAUCAAAACCAACUACAAGUUAUGCUUCUUCCCGUAAUAGAAAUAUUUUAGGCCAAAAUAGAACCUCCCCAAAUAAAGACCCUAUACUAAACUCCUUUUCAUUUUAUUAAUACAAAAGUGGGGAAAAAAGGUCUAUGCUCACCUAAAAAACAUGAAUAUUGUGAAUUCACCAUUUCUAUAAGGAAGUUGAAAACUUCAAAAUUUUAUCAACAAAUUCUCUAAAAUCCUCAAAAUAUAUAGGGCCUGUUUCACAAAGUUUUUUAAAAUUUGUUUUUAUAAAUUGCUUUUAAAAUAUAGAAUAAAUAACAGUUUUUUAGAUUUUUUGAAAAAUAAGAGUGUUUGGUAAGAUGUUUUUUUUUUUUUUUUUUUUUUUAAGAAUUAAAUAAAAAAUAAAAAAAUUGUUUAGAUAAAAGAAUUUGUAUUGUUUUUAAAAACAAUGUCUUACUUUUAUGUUAUAAAAAUUUUAUUAAUUUAAUUUAUAAUAAUAUGAAAUGAAAUUCAAGUUAAGUCUUAUUAAAAAAUACAAAUUAAAUCUAUAAUUAUGCAUGAGUUAAAGAUAAAUAUAUAUUUUUUAAAACUAUAAAAUAAAUUUUCUAUUAUAGUGAAACAAAAAUUACUAUAAAAUAAAAAUAAUUUUAAUAUUCAUUUUUAAUACAAGUCAAAUAAGUACUUUAAUUAAUUUUUUUUAUCAUGAUUUCUUAUGUUUUUUUUUUUUUCUAGAAAUUAUUUUAAGUAAUAUAACUAAUUUUUUUUUUAAUGUUUUAUAAAAAUAAGGAUAUUUGGCAAGUUGUUUUUAUAAAAGGAUUUUAAAAAUAAAUGGAUUUUUUUUUUUUUUAAAAAAAGAACAAAAUGAUUUGUUUGAAUAAAUUGUUUUGAUUUUGUAAAAACAUUUUAAAUUCAAUUUAUAUAAUAUUAAUUAAUUAAAUUAAAUUGAAGUUUUAUUGAAAAUAAAAAUAAUUUUGUAAUUAAAAUUAGAUUAAAAAAUAUAUAGGUUUUAAUAAAUCGUAAAUAGUAAUAUUAUAAUAAAAUUAUAAAUUAUAUUUUUAACAUAAAAUAUACUAUUUAUUACAUAUUAAAAAAAAUAUUUUAUUAUAUUAAUAAUUUUAUGGUAUUAAUGAGUUUAUUAUUUAAGUUUUAAAUUAUUUUUAAAAAUUAAUAAAUUUGUUAACAAAUGCAAUGUACUAAAUGUGGUUUAAUUUGGAGUUAAUUUGUUUAGGGAAAAAAAUAAAAAAUAAAAAUCUUAUGUAAAAGAGAAAUAAUAGAGUGUGUGUGUUUUUUUUUAUUAUUUUUAAAAAUCAGUAAAAAGAACUUUUACUUAUUGCCUAAAAAUUAUUCUCUAUUUUAUUUUAUUUUUUAAAUCUAGAAAUAGAUAACAAUAAUAAAAAAAAUUAAAAAAGAAAAAUGUUUUUUAAAACUCAGACUUAUAAUUGCUUUUGUUUCUCAUUCGCACCCCUGGAUUCCUGGAUUCUAAACACAAAAUUAAGUUGAAUCGUCCAUCUAUCUUGUAAGCCAAGAAUUCACAUAGAAGAAAUAAUCGGAAUUUGAUUUGAUAUCAGAUUUAGAGUGGCUCACUACUCAUGCAUUGUCCCACAAUAGUAAUGCUUUGGGCCGAGAUAAACCCAUUUGUGGGCCCAAAUAAAACCCCUGGUUUGAAAACAUCGAUUUUACAGUGGCCCAAAAGAUUAUCUAUGAGGGGAAGAUAACUUGGAAGUCAAGCAAACACAUUUAUCGCUAACUUUUCUCUAAUUAUAAAAUUAUAACUUGGUCUUCUACACGUCUCACUUAAGAGGCGGAGCCACUUGGCACUACCUUUCCAUAUUGUAAAAGGAGAAGAAGCAGAAGGAGAAGAUUCUUAUGCCAUUCCACACACCAUGGCUAGUACUGCUAUGCUGCUUGGCCCGCCGGCUCUCCGCCAUCCUAAUUCUCCCGCCGGCACUGUCUUUGAAGAUGGGGUCAUUCUAACGGAUUCCCUGAUCGUCCGCACCAGUAAUCUGGAGCUUUCUGAAAAACCGCCACUGGAAUCCCUGGCGUAGUGCUCUGUCAGUGGGGAUAUUGCUAUGGAUUGUUUGGAUUCCCAAGCCCACAAUCUUCAUCUUCCCGGGAAACCGCCGAUGGGCUUAACGGAAAACAAGUCUCCGACCUUUUUGUCUUCCGGGAACCCGUGCUUGGACUUCUUCUUCCAUGUGGUUCCCGAUACGUCGUCUGAUGAUCUGAUCCGACGGUUUGAGUUGGCUUGGGAAUUCAAUCCGCUGACGACGUUAAAACUGAUAUGCAACUUGAGAGAGGUGAGAGGCACCGGAAAAUCUGACAAAGAGGGUUUCUACACGGCGGUUCUCUGGCUCCACGACCACCAUCCCAAAACCCUAGCCUGCAAUGCUAGGGUGUUGGCCAGCUUCGGUUAUUUCAAGGAUUUUCUCGAGAUUCUCUACCGGCUUCUGGAGGGCCCUAAAAUUCGAAGAAUCGAAAAGAAAGACUGGCUGGAUCGAAAAGGAAGGAAGAAAAAUUCCCGGAAAAGGAACUCAAUAUUCAAGCGAGAAAAUAGGCCUGGAGUUGAAUUUCCUGUAGAAGAGAAGGAUGUGGAGUAUAUGGUGGAAGAAUUUGUGGAUAAAGAAAAGGCUAGGGUACUGAGAAAGGAGAGAGAACUUGCUCUUGCCAAAAGAGCCCUGCACAAGUAUUCUACUGAUUCUAAUUAUCAGUUCUUACAUGAUCAGAUUUCAGAUUUAUUUGCUGAACUUCUGAAAUCUGAUAUUCAGUAUUUAAACUCCGGUGAGCUUUACAAGAUUAGUCUCGCAUCCAAAUGGUGUCCCACAAUUGAUUCUUCUUAUGAUAAAUCCACCUUGAUAUGUGAAAAUAUUGCUCGAAAGGUUUAUUCUCGCGAGGAAUAUAUAUCCAGAAUACCAAGGAAUUGAGGAGGCUCACUAUGUUAAUAGAGUCAGGGAUAGGUUGAGAAAACAAGUACUUGUUCCAUUACGUAAGGCCCUGGAGUUGCCAGAGGUUUUCAUGUGUUCGAACCAGUGGGGAUCACUUCCCUACAACCGUGUGGCUUCAGUGGCCAUGAAAUCAUACAAGAGCCUCUUCUCAAAACAUGAUACAGAGCGGUUUGGUGUGUAUCUUGAGAAAGUGCAAACUGGGAAGGCUAAGAUUGCAGCUGGUGCAUUACUUCCCCAUGAGAUUAUAGCUUCAUUGAAUGAGGAGGAUGGCGAGAAAGUUGCAGAGCUUCAGUGGGCGAGAAUGGUGGAAGAUUUAUCAAAGAAUGGGAGGCUCACAAAUUGCAGUGCGGUAUGUGACGUAUCAGGAAGUAUGAGUGGAACUCCAAUGAAGGUGUGUGUGGCUCUGGGGCUGUUAGUUUCAGAGCUCAGUGAAGAUCCAUGGAAAGGUAAUGUAAUUACUUUCAGUGCAAGUCCUGAGCUUCACAAGAUCCAAGGAGACAGCCUUGUAUCCAAGACUGAAUUUGUGAGGAUGAUGGAAUGGGGUGCGAACACUGAUUUUCAGAAAGUUUUUGACAGAAUCUUACAAGUAGCAGUGGAGGGAAAUCUGAGUGAAGAUCAAAUGAUAAAGAGGGUUUUCGUUUUCACUGAUAUGGAGUUUGAUGAAGCUUGUGGGAGGUAUAACUAUUGUGAAUAUGACUAUGAUAUGGAGGAAAUUGAUGAGAGUCAGAAGGCAUCUCAGAAGUGGGAGACAGAUUAUGAAGUGAUACAGCGGAAAUUCCAGGACAAAGGAUAUGGAAAAGUUCCGGAGAUAGUGUUUUGGAACCUUAGAAACUCAUCAGAGACUCCAGUGAUGGCCACAGAGAACGGGGUGGCCUUAGUAAGCGGGUUUUCGAAGAAUCUGUUAGACCUUGUUUUUGGAAGGAGGUGGAAUUCUGACCCCUCAGGAUGUGAUGGAAUUAGCCAUCUCUGGUGAAGAUUACAAGAAACUUGUUCUAUUUGAUUAAGAUAUCAAGAGAUUUAUCAAUAAUAAUAUGUUUUUUUUUUUCUAUGUGAAAUACAUGUAAUAUUAACUAUGGAGUUAUCAAAGUUCUGGAAAUUUAAUUAUUUCUUCUUUUCAAGUUUUGUUUGUCUUUGUUAGGAAUUCCCCUUGGGCGGACCCAGCUGGGGACUUGGAUUGAGGAAGUAAGGAGGCGAAAUUGUGUUCUUCUAUGGACAGAGAAAAAAGAUAAAAAUAAAAAAUAAAAAAGGAGGUUAUUUGCAUUUGGAUGUCAUGUGGUUUCAGGGUACAACUACAAGUUCGAAAUUGUACAUAAUGUGAAAAUUCCUGUGUGGAGAACAGCAUAAAUAUGUAUCUCAGUGUGUUUUGUUUGAGCUAAUUGGCAAAUUCGCUUUAAACAUGGUCACAUGGAUGCAUAUUUAUUUGUGAAAUGAUAGUAGUCGAUUACUUGGUCAGUAAGGUUUGUAUCUCUAACUCCAACAUCUUAUUGUAGUCUUUUAAAAUGUCAAAAGUUUAAUGCUAGCUUGAGAAAUUUUGGAAUGGAGACAUUCUAAACAAAGUUAAUAAUCCAUGAGACUUGGUAAAACCGAUCAGAUGAUGCUUACGUACAUGAAUGCCUUCUUUAAGCCGUAUCCUAUUUUCAUUGAAUGAGACGUGCCAUCUAGUUUUGUUCUUGUCUUGAUUGGAUCAUGAUCCCGGGAAUUGAUUACUGUUCUGAAUUUGCGAAUGUUCAAGGUAUUAGAGAAAGUUAAUAUUAUCGUUAAUUUACAUAUUAGUAUUUAUCUAGUUAUUAUAUAUUAGUUUGAAUUAUAAUAUAAUAUAGAAUUUGAAUCAAGUUUACUAUUAGUUUGAAUUACAAUAGGAAAUAAAGUUUGAAUUAUAGUAUAACUCAAAUAUAUUUGUAUAUAAAUAUCCAUCUUUAUCAAUGAGAAUAGUAAACCAUAUUUUUCUCUAUCUUCUUCUUUCUCUAUAUAUAUGGUAUCAAAGCCUCCAAAUCCUAAACCUAGUCUCAACUUAGAGCAAAUUUAGGGUGCAGGGUUUAGGCCCCGCCUCCCCCAACCCUUACCACAAAUGGUAGUGACCUUGUUAUGCCUAUGUAUUGUCAAUGCCUCAUUUUCUAUGGUCUUCAAUACAAUAUCUAGUUUCAAUGUCUCUUUCCUUACUAUCUCCAAUGCAAUAUAUUGAUUUCAAUAUCUCUUUACAACCAAGAGCUCCAAAUUUUCCUGGUUCAAAUCUACCAUAAUUUUUAUUCUCCUUUGCUUUUUACCAAUAUUAGUUCCCCUAAUUUAAUAUAUAUCUCUUUAUUACCUUCAACUCUACCUCUCUCUUUCUUUAAAAGCUUCCUCAAAGAUUUGAUUGCUUUCUUGCAUGUUUUGGGAAAACAAACAUGCUCAUAUUCUAUUACCUCUACUUGAGAUCUGCCUUAUACUCUACCUUCUUCUUUACCUCCUAUAUCAUCUACUACAUUAGCUUCAAAAACAUUAUUUAGUUUGAUGCUAAAUAAGGCUCCUAAUCCUACCCUUCCUUCAACUAACUUUCUUUUACAAGUCCCUCAAAGUUUUUUUUUUUUUUUUUUUGGAAAUUUGGCUUAGAAAGAUUUCAUUACUCUUACCUAAUCUUUCAACCAUCAAGUCGAAUCCACUUAUCUCUUGAAUCCAAGGAGACUACCCUCCACAAAAACAAGGAGAUUGACCCCCACAAUAACAAAGAGAUUGUCCUCCAUAGAAACAAAGAGAGCUUCCUUCAUGGAAGCCGAAUACAUCGCAAUCUAUUUUCUUUCUCUCAAGAUCAAAUCUCCAAUCGGAGCUCCAUCUUGUGGGGAUAUAUUAGAAAAAGUUAAUAUUAUCCUUAAUUUACAUAUUAGUAUUUAUCUAUAUUAUAUAUUGAAUUAGAAUAGAAUAUAGAAUUUGAAUUAAGUUUACUAUUAGUUUAAAUUACAAUAGGAAAUAGAGUUUGAAUUAUAGUAGAACUCAAAUAUAUUUAUAUAUAAAUAUCCAUCAUUAUCAAUGAGAAUAGUAUUCCAUAUUUUUCUCUUUCCCUGAGGCUUCAGAAUGUGAUCUUGAACAUUUGAUCUUUUGGAUUCUUCUUGUUUCGGUGGUUUAAUAUAAUGGAAUGUUUAAUUAUAGCCUACUUUAUCACCAUGGAUGUGCUCCUGCAGAUUUCUUGAGGGUGAUGGUUAUUUUGUCAUGUUUCUUGAAUGGUUUGCAUCAGCUGCCUGAGCUGUUGUUGCUGGUCACUUUUGCAACCAGGGAAAGAAUCAUGGCUUUGGAGAAGCCAGCUUCUGUUUUUGUUGCCCAGCUGUUAGUUCACUAAGAUUGGGGGUCCUAACAUGUAUGUAUAAUCAUAAGCAAGGAAAUUUUAUGUCUUACGCUAGAUAGGUACCAUGAUAUGAUGUUUGAUUGAUUUAUUAACUCUACCUGUUUCAAAAGGCAUCAACAUUAAUUUUACCCUUUUAACACAUUGGAUUGUUUGACCUUACGAGAUUUUCUAUUUCUGUACUAUUUGAACUGCAAUCGUUAUGGUCCUUAGGUCUCUAAACCUUCGUUUAAAAUAAAAGUAAGGAGCACACAUAGUAAAAGUUAAUUUUGGGUAACUUUUAAAACAAAGAGAAAAGUAAAAGUUGUUUUUGAGAAAAACAUAUAGAAAUUGAAAGAUUUUUUAUUUUGAGAAAAAAAAGUCAUAGAAAAGAAAUAAUAUCCCCAUAUAAGUAGAUAUGAUCUAUCCGAAGUGUAGCUACUCUCCUGGAUUUAUUCUAACAUUUUAAAAUUUUUCUCAAUGGGCAAAGGAAUAUCAAAUCAAGCUUGAGUAGGAUUAAUUUCUUAAUUUUUAAAAUAACUUAUAAUUAAAAUUUUUUGGUGUUUUCUUUUUUGGACAAUUUUUUAUGAAGACUCUGAAUCAUGCAAGAGAUAUGGUUAUUUUAAAAAAAAAAAUAAUUUAAAACUCAAAUACAUAAUCAAUGUCACAAAUUUAUAAACAAAAGGUUUUUAAAAAAUACUAUUAUUUCCCCUCUACACAUAAUUUUACUUUUCCGAUUUAUUUAUUUUUGUUGGAAAACAGUCUUCAAAUCAAGUAAAAUUAAUAUGUUAAAUUUGUUAAACAAAUAAAUUUUAAAAUACAAUUUGGAACUCAAAAAUCAAUUCAAGUAAUGCUAAAAUUCAAAAAAUCAAAUUUGGAAUAAAAUGACUUUGUAAAUUUUUUUACUAAACAAAUGAAUUUUAAAUCAAGUGAGAUUUAAUACAUUGGAUUUUUAUGAGAAUAGUAAUUUUAAAAAUUAAUUUGGAACUCAAAAAUAGACACAAUAAAUACCAAAAAUCAAUGAACCAAAAUUGGUUUGGAAUAACUCCAUAAUUUUUUAUUUAUUUAUAUAUUUAUUUUUUUGUGCACACGAAUUUCUUACUAAGCAUAUUGCUUCCAAAUUGAGAAAAAUUUACUAUUUAGAUUUUUUUAAUGAGUUUAAUGGUAUUUAAAAAUAAUUCAAAAAUUCGAAAAUUGACUAAUUUAAUAUUAUAAAUUCAUAAACCAAGACUAAUUCAAAAUGCAUUGGGGGCUAAGGGGGUUGAAAUUAAUGCUCCAUUUGGUUGUGGCCACCAAUUGGCAAUGGCCACCAAUCAACCAAUCAAGGUGGCUAAGGGGGUUGAAAAUAGGGACAAUGGGGUGGGUUUGGGACAGGACACUCAUAUCCCAUUCCCAUCCCAAUUACACAGUUAUUUCCCAUCCUUAUUCCAAACUUGUGUUGGGGCAAGUUGAUUUGUUCCCAUCUUUGUUAACGAAAUGACUAAUAACCUCAUCCUCUCCUUGUCUUAGAUGUACAUUUUCUCAAAUUUGGUCAGGUAUGAUUGAUUCAAGCCCUAACCUUAAUUGGUAAUGAGUGGAUACCACACCUAAUUGCAUUCUUCUUUCGUUGCAAAAUAAUGAGAUUAUAAUAAUCUAGCAAAUAAGAAAAAAUAGUAUGGAAGUUCAAAUUAACACCAUAACUAUCAAUAAUUUUAAGCUUAUAGAUGACUUAAAUGAUUGAAAACUAAUGCAAAAUACUAAAAAAAAAAAAAAUCAUCUAAAGAAUUCACAAGAGAAUAGAACGAACAAAACCAAAUAGGAACAUGGGUCAACAUUAGUUACAGAUUUUGAUCCCUUUCAAGGCCAAUCUUUGAACCAAGACUUCAUCAAAUCUACUACUUCAAAGGCUUUUGUGUUCUUCUUGAGUUGUACUCUGGAACAAAGACUUCGAGGUGAUGCUUUAGAUGAUUGCAUUACACAUAUUUAGGGUAGGGAGAUUGGAGAAGCUUGAAGAUGCCAACGAUGGGUACAAUUGAGUGGUCAAUAAGAACAAUGUGGCCUAUGACUAGUUUGAUGUCAUGGUAUAGGAGUUUUGGGCAUUGAGGUGAAAGCAAGAGCAACAUGGAAUUGAUUUCAAAGUCUUUCAAUUAGUGUAAAGGAGGAAGAAGAAGUGGUAUUGAUCCUAGAAAUAGUGUUUUAGGUGUUGCAUUAGAGGAAAAGAAAAAGAAAAAGAAGGAACCAUUGGAAUUAGUACGAGUGUGAAGAGAGAAGUGUAUACAUAAGGGGAAGUAAAAGCAAAGUUCUAAAAAUUUAUUUUUUUAUUGGUGGUGUAUGGUUGCAUGAUUAUCCCUAUAAAUAAUAGGAGUUUUUUGGUGUUCUACUAGUAGUUGAAGGAUAAUUUCAUAAGAUAAUAUUUAGAGCGGGGUGGGGUGAGUUGUGACAAAAUCCAUACCCGUCCCAAACAUUGGUUCAGGUUUUUAAAAUAUUUUCAAACUUAUCAUAUACCCAAUUUUAUAUUUCAUACUUGUCCUAAUAGAGACAGGUUAGUCAGGGUUACUUGAGUAGCCUACAAAACUAUCAUCCCUAGUUGAAAUGCUCUUUUUGGCAGUGGCAGCUAGAAGCUCGAUCGAUUGACCUACAAGACUAGUUGUCAUCAUUUUAAAAAGAGUUUUGGCUUUGGUUGUGAGUGCAAUUGAAUCUAAACUAACAUUUCCUUAAUGCAUCUACUUCAAUCCUAAACUUCUUACUUAAGCCUCAAUUGUUGUUAAGAUUUUGGAAAACCCAUUUCCUUAAAUUGUAAAUUUAAGAAAAAAAAAAUUAAAAGUGAGACAUUUCUUGAUUGAAUGUUGUUAAAGGUCCCUUGGAAUUAAGACUUGGUUGAAGCCUUGGAAGAUUAGCAGAACUCUCAACUUAUGUUUGAACCUUGAGGAGAGUGGACGUAGGCCAAAAUUUUGUCAAACCAUUAUACAAAUUGAGUUUGAAUUCUCAUUUCUUGAUUUCUUAUUUAUUUGCUUUUUCUUAUUAUUACUUGAAUUGUCAUUUGCAUUCAUUAAUGUUAAAAUUGGUUAUAAUUAGCCAACACUAAUUCUCUUUCCCCUUCCCUUAAUUUCUUGGGUGUAAACCUAGGUUGGAUUAACUAGAUUUUAUCAAAUCUAUUAAGAUGGUAAAAGAAUAAUUAUUCUUAACAUACAUAAGAUCAUCUUCAAUCAAAUGACUCAUUGGCUGAUAUGUUGAAUUUGCUUAUUACUUGCAACUCAAAAUUGUGUUCUAGUUGAUAUGUCAAGUCCUGAGUGUAUGGACAUUAAAUUUGUAGUACGUGAUGAGUAUUUAGAUGGUCCAAUUCCAAGAAAGUGAUUGAAAACUAGUUCAAGAAAGGUGCAAAAGGGAAUUGUUUUGGUAUUUUCGUUUUUAUUCUUGAAGGUGGCAGAGCUAAAAUUUGAGAAAUCAAGCAAAACAUACUGAAAUUACAUUGAAAGAAAGAAAAUGGGAGUUAAUGUCUUGCAGUACAUGAUAAGGACUUCAUGCAUGUAGUGUGACCCAUGUCUUGGACUGAUGCCACACUCACGGUUACACUUAUACCCUUAGUUCUCUCUUUACUACCUUAGCUAACCUAGAUCAGGUUAUGAGAUAGGCACCUCACCACACCAUUACUUGCCCAUUAAUUAGUGACAUUUUCAAGCAAUGAGGUAACAUGGUGACACCAAGAGGGUAUAUUCCUCACCCCCAACAAGCCUAGACCUGGUCUAAAAAAAAUGGAGAAAAAUGACGUGUUGUUAUGCAGAAAUAUAGCAACCAUGCCUUCCUCAUUACUUAGAUUCAGAAUGUGAAGGUGAAAUUGAGAAACAGAAACUCUUGAAACCAAAAUGAAAAUUGAUACUUUUACGAAGAAUUACAACAACAUUAGAGGAAGACUACAUUCUUCCUCUUUAUUCCUACAUUUCUACACUACUUCUACUCCACUCCAUAUUUCUACAUACAUCUUUAAUCAGUCUUCCCUCCUUUAUAUAGAGCCAUCUUCACACAAAUUCCGCAAGGUAGAAAAGAGGAAUGAAACUUGGAGCAAGGUUCGACUACUGGCUGUAGCUUGUCAAGGCUGAAAGUGAACUUUUUUUCUUGGCUUUUCUGGGCAUAGGUAGUAACUUGUAGGUUCCUUUUUGGAAUGAAAAUGGUACGGCUAGAACAUGUGGCACUCUCUUGUUGGAUGAUGUGUCAAGCAUGUGGCAGCCAUCUAGUGGAGAUUAUGUCAAUUUUGGGAUGGAGAGUUGGCAUCCAAUUGCAAAGAAAUAUGACAUCUACCAACAUGCAAUGUCAACCUAUGUAGAUCAUAUGAAGAUAGAGAGGAAAAAUAUAGAAAUGGAUAUAUAACUAGAACUAGCUUUUUAUUAAAUGAGACGGAGAGCCAACAAUGAAGGAAAAUCAAAAUUUUUGGCUCAUAUCAAAGAAUUCACAUUGUGUUACCCUAGGUUUUCUUAAAACUUACUUUUAUGAUAAUAAAAAAUCAUUAUUGUUUAAUCCUUUGUUUUAAACGCAUGUUUAGCAGGUUGUAAAAUGUAAAUAUCUUUCGAAAUUCAAAUAUGAAGAUAUGACAUCAUUUCAAGCAAUAUAGUCUCUAGGAAUUAAUGUAAAGCUAAAUUAAGGUGCAAUUAAGUUAGUUCAAUGCAUUAUUUUAAGAAACUUGACCUAUCAAAACCUUGUCUUACUUCAAAGCCUCUUUUUCUUUUCUUCCAACUAACAUUUUAAUAAGUGAUCGCAAAAGUACAAAAUUAGAUGAAAUCCAUUUCAAUGGUUAAAAUGAUCAAAUUCAAACUUUUUCUAAGUAUCUUUUAAAAGCAUCAAUAUUGAAAGACAAUUUUAUAUUUAGUCAAAGCUUGGACAGAGCCAAAAAGCACACAAAAAUUUAUAUUUUCUAGCUCUCUACCUUGGAUGGUCUCUUGAUCCUACUUGGAGAUGUGCAUAAAUAAAAGGAUUUGAAAAUGACAAUUGACUAAGUAUGUAGUCAAUCAAUUACUCAUUGAUUGACUAGUUGAUCAAUUAACUUUGCAACAUCAUAUGCAAUCCUAAUAGCUAGUCAUCUAAUCAACUAGGUAGUAAAUCAAUAGGCCAAAAAUAUGUUUAUAAUGACUAUUUUGUACAAAAACCACUUAUAUAGUUAAAUAUAAUGCAUUUCAUUUAUAAAUCUUCUAAUUCUUGAAUAACAAUCCUAUCAUCCUUUGAAAGUUUUUAUUACACCUUUUCUACAUUUGUUCUAAAACUUAUACAUCACCCUUAAUUGUACCAUGAGAACCUAGCAUUUUUUUUUUUUUUUUUGUAUUUCAUCAAAGUUAGCUCUUGUACUCAUUGUUGUAUUAUUUUUAUUGUAACUUAGAGAGCGAGUGUUUUCAAGUGAGUGAAAUUGACUUGUAAAUAUUGUAAAGAUUCAUUGAUAUGUAUCUCAAACUAGGUGUACAAGUUGAAACAUUUGCUAGUAGAUUUUCUCAAGAUUUAGAAUGAGCUUAAGGCUAUCGAAUUAGGUGGGGUUGCGCCAAACCAUAUCACAUCGUUGUUUGCACCUUUUUUUUCACUCUCUUUUACUUAGUUGCUCUAUAUAUAUUGUCUAGCAAUAUCCUAAAGGCUUGAUGGGCUAGGGAGCAUCCCUCUGAAUGAAAAAUUUUCAUUCAAUUCUUAGUUGUAUUACGCAUAUAUAAAAUGCCUCAUUGUUUUAAUGGUAUUCAGUCGUGGCACCACAGAUAUGGACAUCUAAAUUUUAAAAGUUUGAAACUUUUAGCUAAAGAAAAUAUGGUGCUUUGCCUUUUUGGAAAGCAUGUUGAUGAAAUCCAUGAGAAUUGUAUACUUGGAGAGCAACAUCGAGAUAACUUUUUUUUUUUCUUUUUUUAUAAUGCAUUGUUUGUCCAAAUUCCGUACAAAUUAGGCCACCACAUGUUCAUAAUUCUCCCUUCUUGAAUUUGAAAACUCGGACAAUUUGACAAUGCGACACCUAAGUCCGGUUUUUAAAUGCUAAAGUGAAAGGGCAGGUAUGGACCAUUGAAAUGUGAUAACAACUUUUGGCCUUUUCCUUUUCUCUGUAGCCAUGUUGUCUCUUUUUAAUUUCUUUUGCAUGAUUUUCUUACCUAAACAGAAUCAUAGACUUGUUUAAUCUCUAAGUGGGAUUUCAUCCACCUUAAGCUACUGUAUUAUAUCUCGGUGGAGGACAACCGACAUAGAGCACAUGCAAGUGGGUAUAUGGGACAUGAAAUAUCUUCUUAUAAAGCUUGUUUUGCAGUUAAAUUAAUUGGAUAAGUAGACACUGGCGUUUCUAAAUUUCCCACCUAAGAUAAUGACCUUAUCCUUGACUGCUAGAUACACAAACAAUUAUACCUUCAAAAUCUACUGUGAAGUGCUUCAUGUAUGUGUGAAGUAUUAGAAAUUUCUUUCUUGGCAACUUGUUUUUUUCUUUGCGGUCUACUGAUAGGUUUGACUAAAAUUAUAUUCCCUGUCCUGCUAAUUAAUUUUCACGUGCAUGCUCAAAAGAAGAGUAUGACCUUAGUGCACCAAAAUCACUUUCAAUAAUUUGUGAUAAGUUUUUUUGCAUGACAUUAACCUUAUUCAUUUAGAUAAUGUUUAGUUCUCAUAAAUAUUAAGAAAAUGAAAAUAAAUAUUAAGAAAAAUAUUCUUAUAUUUGAUUGUAUUAUGAAAAAUAUCAUAAAAAAUCAAAUAUAAUUAAAAUUAAUUAAUAAUUUAUAUAUUUUAAAAUUAUUUAAUUUUUAUAUUAAAGAUAUAAUAUAAAUGAAAUGAGUUUUAAGUAUUAUAUAAAAAUGAUUUAUUUAUUUAUUUAUAUAUAUAUAUAUAUAUAUAUUUAGUUUUUCUCUUUAUUUUAUUUUCCUUAUGUUUUCCUCACAUUUUCCGGAAUCAAAGAUAGGGAAAUCCACAAUUACCUUCAACUGAGUAGAUUCUAUUGUUUUAGCAAUGUUAGGCUGCUAACUUGUGGUGGUACGAACCAAAUGAUCCAUGUUAAUCUUGGCUUGAUUUAAUUUGGCUCUAUCUCAGAGAACUCAAGGAUCACGUCAACUCUGGUUUCUACUAUUCAGGUCCAUUCCCAGAUGAACUGGUUCAAAUUUGAGAAAAUGGUAACAGACCUUUAGUGAUAUUGGUUUGGAGCCAGUUGCCAAACCUGCCCUGAGCUUUACCACUAAUGUCAAGGGACAAAGCCAUUUGAACAAAAACAAUAGCUUCAAGAGACUGAAUCGUGGAUGAAAUCUGAUCCACAUUUCUUCUCAUUUUGGGAAAAAAUGAGGACUUAACCACAAAGAUUCUACUGCCUCAUAGUGCUUUUCCUGAUCUAAGGUUGGCUCGUUUCCCAAAUUGUGAGGUGCACGUGCCACUCUCACGCUCAGGAGUGUAUCCACGUGGUGGACAUAAGAUGGUGGCUUAAUAUCUGGUGUCGGUGGCUUUACUUUACUAGGAGAGUAGUGUGUCUUCAUCUCAUUCACUGCCAGAGGGUGGCGUAAGCAGUGACGCUAAGGUGGGGCACAGUCAAUAUCAUUUGCAUUUGACCAUUAUAAUUUUCUCCCGGCUUUAAAGUAACCUUAUCGUGAUAAUGGAUUACUAGCACUAGUUCAGAUGACAGUCAUGUUAAAUUCGGACCAUGUUUGUGUCACAUUAUCAGCAACCAUGUGCUUGUGGUUCAUGCUAUCUGCAACUAAACUUGAUAUAUAACCAGGUGAACUUCAAUCUAAAUUCUGGAAGUACUCAUGUGAUAGAUGGUGCCUGUCUGCAGUGAGUGUAUCUAUAAGAGGGAAGGCUUGGCAAAUGUUCAGUUUUCUGGGAAUUCAACAGGGAUCUAAAAUAGAUUGUUUUCUUUGCUGAUUUCAAUGGUUGAAAUUUGAGAAGAUUGUGUCCACAUAACACAACUAUUACUGGUCCUUCUGUUGCAAUUUAUCCUCUAAGGCUCUAACAUGUCUUCCAAUUCCCACUUCCCACUUCCCUGUUACUCCAGGAAAGCUGUUUCUGUCAUUGUGAAGAAGAAAAGAGACUGUACAUAUCGAUGCUUUUAAGUGGACUGGAGAAUUCAUAUCAGGUGGUCUGCAGCCAUACAUGCCACUUUGUGAAGGUUGGAACAGUCAAUCACUAGGCUAUAUUAGUGGGGCCCAGCCACUUCAAUCAAGGACAAGUCUUCAUACUUAAAGUCAAAUUCUGCCUUUAGUCUCAUUAUAAAUUGCUGUUUAAAUAUCAAGCAAACAUUUGUUUAAUGCGAUUAAGACAGCACUAACUCAAUACUUGUUCUAUUUUUGGAUGCAAAUGCUUGAUAGUUUCAUCAUUGGAGGGGAUAAAGGUGCAUUCAUGAUUAUGAAUACUUGUAGUUAUAUUUUCAUUCUCUUUUUUCUCAAUGGGACUUGUUGGCACAAUUUUGCUGUUCAGAAACCUACCUCUCCAUGGAAAAUCAGUUGUGAUUGAUAUUACUGGAUAUAUUCAAGAAAGCUAAAUGUAGAUAGCACAAAAUAUUAUCGACAUAAAUAGCAUUAACAGCGUACGUAUGUCUCAAUGCUCAUCAGCUAUAAGCAAGGGGCAAACACUUACUAUGAGCAACUUACGUCAAAAUUCCGGAAUAGGACAUAGAAGUGACAGGUCAGUAAAUAUAGAACACUGCAUAUGAGUCACAAGAAAGGAAAUUACGGGUACAUAGCAGCUCUUAUUUUACAUCCUACUCAUACUGAUCAAAGUCACUCAGUUGGGAUGGGUGGGAGUGGGAGGUUUGUGGGGUGGCUUGUGCGGAGGAGUUGGCAGCUUCUUUCCAGGACCUGGUUGCUUCUCUGCUGGAGUUGAAGGAGGCUUAAUCUUCCGAGGUGGCUUGUAUGAGUCUUCAGCAUUCUCAGCAGGAGGGUGACCAGGGUUGUGACCACAAUGUGGUGGCUUCUCUCCCUUAGGUGGUUUGCCAACUGGGGUUGGUGGCUUGUGUUCCGGAAGUGGCUUCUCUUUGUGUUCAGGAGGUGGCUUCUCCACUGGAGGCUUGUGUUCAGGAGGUGGCUUCUCCACCGGAGGCUUGUGUUCAGGAGGUGGCUUCUCCACCGGAGGCUUGUGUUCAGGAGGUGGCUUCUCCACCGGAGGCUUAUGCUCUGGUGGUGGCUUCUCCACCGGAGGCUUAUGCUCUGGUGGUGGCUUCUCCACCGGAGGCUUAUGCAAUGGUGGUGGCUUCUCCACCGGAGGCUUGUGUUCAGGAGGUGGCUUCUCUACCGGAGGCUUAUGCUCUGGUGGUGGCUUCUCCACCGGAGGCUUAUGCUCUGGUGGUGGCUUCUCCACCGGAGGCUUGUGUUCAGGAGGUGGCUUCUCCACCGGAGGCUUGUGUUCAGGAGGUGGCUUCUCCACCGGAGGCUUGUGCUCUGGUGGUGGCUUCUCCACCGGAGGCUUAUGCUCUGGUGGUGGCUUCUCCACCGGAGGCUUGUGUUCAGGAGGUGGCUUCUCCACCGGAGGCUUAUGCUCUGGUGGUGGCUUCUCCACCGGAGGCUUGUGUUCAGGAGGUGGCUUCUCCACCGGAGGCUUAUGCUCUGGUGGUGGCUUCUCCACAGGAGGCUUGUGUUCAGGAGGUGGCUUCUCCACCGGAGGCUUAUGCUCUGGUGGUGGCUUCUCGAAUGGGGGAUGCGUAGGGUAAUCAGCUAGUGAGGGGGCGGUGAGAACCACCAGGCCAAGCAACACUACUAGCAAGUAUGUAGGAGACAUCUUUGGGUUUGGGCUCAGAUGGUGCAAAACUAGGAGAAUUGGCUAGCCUUUUAUAGCGGAUCGUACCCAAUAAUGAAAUGACACGUGUCAUUAUGACCCAUGUGUCAUGUGGUCGAUUUGGGUCCUACAGUGUUGAAAACUUCGACAUCCACUUUUUUGGCCUUUUGCUUUCUCUACAGUCGCCUUGCUUUUUCCCUCUUUUCUUUUGUUUUCCUCCUGCCCCAUUCUAUCAACUAAUCACAAUUAUGUAGUUGUUUAAUUCUUAAAUGAGAUAUUAUCCGUCAAUCAUAUUAUCUUUUAUCAAGAGAGAACGGAGUGAAAAGUGGCAAUCCAAAGAAAGAAGAUCCAUAAUGCAGCUGUAAUUUUAUCGUUUACUUUUAUCUCUAGGACCACUGCAUUUUUGUUGAGAGGUGCAAUAAUACACGUCUUUAUCUGCCAUUCAAUGUUUACAGUAAAGAGAGGGCACAAAACUCUUCACUGCUCUGCAUGUGCCCCAAAAAUGCAAUUGGACAAAUUAUGAUUUGCAUGCUAAAAAGAGGCAAAUGAGGUUAAUUAGCACCAAAAUUAUUUUGUUUUCUGGACACCCCGGGGCCCUUUGGUUGGUUUGGGGGUCAGAAAAUGAACAUCAUAGGGGGUUUUUCCCUAAUGUGCAUUUGCAUUUGUAUCUGAUGGCUUUAACUCGCCUUGUUACUACAAAGAAAUUGUCACAGAUAGGAACUUAUUCCAGGCUGAGUAUCUCCGCAUGGACCCUAUAAAAGAAGACAAGUCAUAAUGAACAUCUAACCUUUGUUCAAUUUGAUUCAAUGCCCCUAUUGUGUCCAUCUCACAAAUCUGAAUUAUUAUAUCCAUUGAAUACAUAAAUUAAUGAAGAAAAUAUGAAACCCAAGAUACAUCUCUGCACAACCUCAACCCUGGUUGCUAUGUUUCACUUCUAUUCACAUGAGGAUAUUGAUUACGGAAUAAGGAAACCUAGCAAGGGUUUACUCGGCUCUGGUUUGAUGCUAAUUGCCAAACUUGCAACAAGCCCUGAGUUUGACACCUAAUCGAUGGGCGAAUUAAAAGUCUCCUCCAAACAUAUAUUCCACAGCUUGAAGCUCACAGAAGAUGCUAUACAGGCAGGGAAAAACCUUCAGAGUUAGCUACCAAAGAUAAUUAUCAAGGAGAUAUCACCAAGAGAAUUCCAUGGAGUCUGAAUCAAAGACAAAUUGCUCGCUCGUGGGGGUUCUUACUUAAUUUCUUUUGGGUAUAACUCACUGAGGGCACUGGCUUUGUUAUUUGCAUUUCGCAUUUAGAGUUCUGUUCUGGAAGGUUUGUUCUGGAAACAUAUAAAAGGAGCAUCAUUUUGUUCUAGGGUAACCCAUAGUUGUGAGUGGGUCCAUUUGCAUGCUACUUAGUUGAAAAGUUGGACAAUUUGCUCCGACGCCUACCUCCUGGAUUCCAUGCUCGGAUAAAGCAAGAAUAAUAAAAUAUUUAUAAUUUACAAAUGGGGGAAAGAAAAAAAUGUCAACAACAAACUAGGAAAAAAGAGUAGUAAAAUUUAUGCCACAUGCUAUUGAUAGAAGGGGCAUGUAUUAGAUCCAUCACCAUUUGGUAAGAUUUUAGUAUUAUAUUUUUCAAGGUUCAUUAUUUGAGGGUGUGUUCUUCAUCUCUGUUGCAUUGCUUCUUACUAGGCCCACUGAGGUGGGUUCUUCACCUUUUGUAUAUUCUCUGCACUAGAUCAAUGAGAAAGGGGGAAUUUUGGUGAAUUUGCAGCCGUUGGAUGAUUGAUUCUAGGCUCAGUCCACCAAUGAUGCUCUCUUCACUCUUUCUCAUCUAGUGUCAUUCACAACUAUGUUUUGAUUCAUAUUUGUACUAUCAAAGAUAUCUCAUUAUUCUAGCUCAUUAGGUAGAGUUCCUAAUCUUCCUCCUUUUUGGUCUAUGGACAGUAUUGGCUUCAUAUUAAGAUCAUGUUUCAAUAAUUGCACAUUAAUGAAUGGAUCAUGACCCACAUAAACAGAGUCAGGGUUGAGUCAGUGAACCCUAAAAUUUCACAAUUCUAAAUUUGGGUUCUUUAACAAUGCAGGGUCAAGGACGCGUGGUGAUGAAGGAAAGCUGGUAAGCUCAGUGUUACUUCAAUUCCUGCCAUGUAGGAUGGUGAGGAGAUAUUCACUAUGCAAUUAAUAAUAGACAAUAUUCACUAUGCAAUAAUAAAGCAUAAAUUAAGUUGAAUGAAAAGCAUUUUCUUUGCAAGGAGUUGAUUUUGGUUUCAUAGUUUGUUCAACUGCUAUUUUGGAUAGGAAAGUGUGAGGAGAAGAAAAUAAAAAAUAAAAAUAAAACAAAAAAUAAAAAAUAGAUUUUAUAAAUUCAUUUAAUUUAUUUUUUUUUUAUAAAAAUUAACUAAUUUAAAAUAUAUGUAAAUUUCUAAUUAAUUUAAUUACAUUUUUUUUUUCAGUUUUUCAUAAUAAACCAAAUAUUAGAAAAUUAUUUUUAUUAAGACACCCAAGAUGAGGUAAUAUGCAAUGAAAACAUGAAUUAUAUUAAAAUUCAAAACAAAUUAAGAGAAAUCGGAAAAUAUACAUAGAUAUCUAAACAAAGAAAUUUAAAGAGAAGGAACCACAAACUUUAUUUACAUAAUUUGAAAAUAAAAAACAUAAAACAUACUUAUAGUAAGGAGAAAUUGAAUAUCUUACAAUGGAAGAAGGGAGAAAAGCUUUGAAGAAAGCUUUUGCUUGGAAGCUUACAUGGUGAGAGGUAGAGAAAGGAGAGAGAGAGAAGAAAAUGAAAAAUGAGAAGUGGAGAAAAUUGGAAGUUUUGUGUGCUUACAACUGAGGAUAGAGCCUCCUUAAAUAGCAAAAAAUGGAAUAUUAAAUAGUACCAAUCAGGAGACAAAAUAUUGUUUGCUUUUGAAACCCGUGCAUGAAUAGUAAUCCCGUGAGUGAAUAGUGAAUAAUAAAAGUGAAUAGUAAAAGUCACUUUCUACUAUAGCACUUUAGACUUUUUCAUCGAGAAUCUUACUUUCGGCUGAGUGAUGAUAGCUGAUAGGUUGCUUUGGAUUGUGGAGUCAUAUGUUUGAUGUUUUCGGUGCUGAAACCGCUUAGUUGGAGAAUAAUCUCGUCAGUAGAGCAUCAUGAGAAGCUUGAAUGGAGAGAGCUUAAUGAUGCCAUAUGAUUGGAAGGAAUCCUAUUUUAAUUUCCUUAUUGGAGGGAGAAUACCCUCACAAUCAUCUUCAUUAUCUUGAAGGUAGUUUGAUAUAGAGUCAUCUGACUCAGCAUAAGAGUCCUCUUGGGAGAAGCUUGAACUGCUUUUGUCAAGGAUUUUCUGAAAUUCUUGAGGGGUUUUUGCUAUUGCUAACAUGGUUUGGAGUUGCUGUUUCUUAAGAAGAAACUGUGCAAUAUCAUAAGAUGAUGAAGCUUGUGUAGGAUGCUUUAGGAAAUAUUGCUUUAUUGCUUGUAGUGAGGUAUCAUUUUUCAAGGCAUCCCACCACUUAGACUUGAAAGUCCUUCCAAGGGUUGGAAAGGCUGCUGAUUCAUCUGCUAUAAUGAUAUAAUCCCACUGGACUAUCCAGGCAAGGCCAAAUUCACUAAAAAAGAAUAAUAAUUGGGGAAAACUGAAAGUUCUCUAGGGAUAACAAAAGAACUUUGGAAUAGCUCAAAGCCAUCCAAAAUGGGUUUUGGGAGAAUUUUAAUAGUUGGACCAAAAUAUGUCCACCAAUUGUGGAACCAAAAUGGAAAAGAGGGGAGUUGAUGCUUAGAUGGGAAAUAGAACAUCCCUGAAUGAUGGAAGUCCUUGUUCUGGAUCAGAAAAGCAUUGAACCAUACUCUUUGGUAGUCUCAAUAAUUGAAAAUUUUAGGUUUUGAAGGCUUAGAAAAUUCUCUUGAAAAAUUAGGAUUCCCACCCCACUGCUUAACUGUAAGGAUUUUAUAAAUAUGGUAAGUGGAGAAUGCCAAAUCCAAAUUGCUGAAUUUAUCAGCAUUGUGCUUGAUUUUAACAGAGCCGGUUUCCAUAAGGAUUGCUUCAUAAAAUUCUCUUGUUUUUAAAAGAUCACCAAAGGGAUAAUGAAAAUUUUCAUGAAAAGCUUUUGCUGCAAUAUCUCUAGGGUUUUUAGAGAAAAACUCUUUUUCAAUAACCAAAAGAGGUUGAUUUAAAUCUUUUUGCCAAUAUCUUGCUUUUGCUGAAAGAGGUGUGGGGUUGGCUACCACCACAAUUUGCUUAUUUGAAAAAGAAGAGCUUGAUGCUAAUUCAUUUUGAGAGGGAUUAGCUUUAGUAACCUGCUUAAAGGUCUGAGACACAGUAAUAGUUGGAUACUGAGUAGCCUUGACUGGUUUAGAAGGAUUCGAAGGAUCAUAGUACAAGGACAAAAUCUUAUUAGGCAUAUGGUCAGAAGAAUGAAGCCUUGCUUCUUCUUCUAGCUCAACUUGUUGGCUCCAAAGUAUUUUAUGGGGAGAAGGUUCUUUGCUGGUUUUAGAAGACUAGGAUUCUGGAAGUUUAGGAGCUUGGGUAUUCUUUUUAGGGGCCAUGGUUUCGUGAAUCCUGUAAAAUUCACAAGUUAAGAAAUCAGGGCUCGAAGAAUGUUCUCCUUUAAUAUACUCAAUUUGUAAAUUAAAAUUGCUUAAAAUAGCUUGAUAUAUAGCAAAAAUAUGCUUAGAAGUUAUAUUCUUAACAUCCUUUUGUAAAACUAAUUUUGCAAAUUUACAAUCAACUCUUAAUAAAAACUUUUGAUUCAAAAGAUCAUCUUGAAAUUUUGAAAUGCAUAAAACAACGCUUAAAGUCUCUUUUUUAAUGAUGUUAUGAAUGAGUUGGGUAGUAUUCCAGGUUCUUGAAGUAUACCUAACUAACAUCUCAAGGUUACCAACACUUUGCUUAAGAAUCCCACCAUAACCUAUGUCUGAGGUAUCGAUCCCAACAAACUCAAAGGUUUCUGGAUUGAUAGAGCCUAAACAUGGUAGGGUCUUGACUUUGGACUUAACAUCAAUAAUGAAAACAAUGGUGAAAACAGAAAACUGGUUAAAGUUUUCAUCCAUUAUAUUCUGGAAUUCUGAGGUGCAUUCUUAAGAUCAAAGGGCAUUAUGAACCAUUCAUAAUGUCCAAGAGAUACCACAAAGGUGGUCUUAUUUGGAAUAGGACACCUAAUCCAACUUAAUGUAUCAUUAAGAGGCAUGUAGUUGACGACUAGUCUAGGUGUUCCUUUUUCUGAUUCAACUUGUUCCUGAACAUAGAAGGUUGAACAACUCCAAAGGGACUUAGACUUCCUUAUCAACUUUUUAUCAAGAAGAUCCCAAAUCUCCUUAUCACAAUAGCUUAACAAACCCUUGUUCAUCUGGAUAGGUCUUGAUUUAGUGGGAAUAUUCUUGUCACUAAAGUCUAGUUCAUAAGGUAAUUCUACCUCAUGUUGUUUCCUAUGCCAAAAUGCAUUAGGAAUGUUAGAGCAAACUUCUUCAACAAUCAGAUUAAUUUCUUGCUCAUGACUUUCCUUAGCUUGAAUCACCUGAUCCCUUAAGGUGUUUAUAUUUUUCUUAUUAGGUGGUUGGCAAAUUCAAAAAUAAUUUCCUUAUCUAAGAGCUUUGUUCUUAUACUUUGGUCAUCUACCCACAUGGGAUAGAUGGAGCUUAAAAAGGGGAUUCCAAGGAGAGCUUUCUCCUUAAGAUCCUUAACUAGAAUGAAGGUUUGCUUGAUGCAAAUGCCUUGGUUAUUUAUGUGAGCAUCUGACAGCUUAUACUCAAUGUCAAGCCUUUUACCAUUAGCUCCAAAGAGAGAUUCUUUGGUUUUCUUACAAAACUUAAUAGGACCUAGACCUUCUUGUAGGCAAUUCAAAGCUGUUCCUGAAUCAAUCAAAGCAACAAUAUCAAUGACAAAUUUACUCUUAAUUACUAUAGUAAGGGAGACUUUCCACCUCUGGAAAAUAACCCUACUAACAGUAUUUAAGUAUCCAUCCGUCUUUUCAUCAUUAGCAUGUGAAGAUUCUAGAACCUCUUCAAGGUUUUCCUAGUUAUCAACAAGAUUUUCUAUAACAAUCCUAUUUAUUUGUUCUUGGAGAUCUGAAAAACCUAAGCUUGUGUAUUGUCUUAAAUCUUUAAUUUCCUUCUUAUACUGUCUUACUUCUUCUUGAAGAUCCUUAAUGGUUACGUCUUUGGUAGACUACUGGUUAAAUCUUCCUAAGAUUUCAUUUAAGUUAUAAGAAUUUACUGUCUUCUUAAUCUCUUGCUUAUCGACAAAUUUCUUAAAAACUUCAUAAAGAUCUUGUUUAGUUUUUUCAUCUUCAACUUUCCUUAAAACAUCUAGGACAAGUUCUUGAUCUUGGCUUAUGACAUUUAUAGUCUUAGGUUGGCAAUCACAAUUAUCCUUAAUGUAUUCUUCUUGGUCACUAGAAGUUUGGCUUGAGAUUUCCUCACCACUACUAUCUAGUUGGUUAAUACCAUUUUCAUUAUCUGAAUCAAUCCUUGAUUCAGACUCUGUGGAAUUUAACAUUACUUUACAAAGCAUAUCUUUUAAGUCUUCUGUGACAUUUAAGUUAUUAAUUUUCUGCUUAACCCUACAAUCUUUCUUAUAGUGGCCUAUCUUACCACACUUAAAACAAACUGGCUUAGAUUGUGAAGGAGCUUCUAGCUUUUUAUGGGCUUCUUUGUUCAUCAUUCUUUGGAUGUGCCUUUGUUUCUUAGUUUCAUUCAUCCUAUAGUUGCCAUGAGUUCCUCUCUUGUUGUGAUAGGACUUUUCCUUACUAGGCUUUGUACUUACUUGUUUCUUACGUUGCUUAGAGGGGGGCUUAGUUUCUUUUUGGUUGAAUCCAAACUAGCUACAAAAUGAACCAAACUCAUUCUUGUAGAUCCUUUGUUCAUUUUUCAUCUGUUGCUUAAGCUUAAAGUCAUUGCACAGUUUAAUUGCUUCUGAUGUGACAAUGCUUAUAAUUUCUCCAUAAGAAAGCUUAUCAUAAGGGAUUUGUCCAUUAAACUGUUCCCUUAUCUUAAUCCUAAUCCUCUCAGAGAAAAGUCUAGGUAGUCCUAAGAUGAAUUUUUCUUUCCAAAAAGACUGGUUAUAGUUUGAUCUUAGUAUGACUUUGGUUAGGAAAACUUCUCUAUACCAUCUAAAGUCAUGAAGCUUGGGACACUUAAGGUUGGUUAAGAGAUCUACAAUCUUAUCCUUAAUCUUUGCAGGAUCUCCAAUGAAGUGCUUUGAAAUUGAAUAGAUUAGAGUAGCCACUACAUCCUCUAUAUCUUGUCCAUCUUCAUCCUUAACCACUUCAUUUUCCUCAUUAAUCCUAUAGGCUUUUAGGAUACCAUUUCUAUCCUCAAAGGUGAGAUAAUUAUCCCACCAACCCUAAAGUUGACCUGUAAACCCAACAACAAUUGUUUGAGCUACAGCAUGGCCUGACAAUCUAUUGUUUAACUUAUAGGUUGUACUAACCAUGGUCAUUUCUUGAAGCUUAGUGAGUAUGUUGUACUCAAUCAUACCAUCUAUGUUCCAUUCAUAGAUAGUGUCACUAGUGUAGGAAGCUUGAGUAUGCUGGUUUCUUUCCUCAUACUACAUAUCAGGAAAAGUUGGUCUAGGGUAGUAAUUCCUAGUUCUUGGUUGUUGAUAAUCCUCAUAACUGUUUGGUUAGGAGGUUCCUUAAAAAUCUUAAUUAGUUCAUCAGCCUCUGCUUCAGAACUAAUUUCUCCUUUAACCAUAUUGAUUCUCUUGUGAGAUGGUUGAGGUGUCUCAGAGACAACAAGGCUAUCCUUAACCUUUUGGCUUAUCCUAUCAAUGAGGGCUUGAUCAAUAUGGAGAUUCUCUAGGAAUUUCUUAGAGAAUUCAAAAGGCUUAAAUAAAGACUUAUUAUCUUUCUUAACAAACGUAGUCUUAAUGUAGUCUUGUGUUUCAAUGAUAUCCUCAAACUUGUUGAGUUGAUCGCCUGUAGUCUUAAGAAACAUGUUAGUGUAGUUGUUUUGUUCCAUGAUUCUUCUAACGUCAACAACACUAUCAAUUCCUUUAUUCUUUGGCCUAGUCUUAAAAGGUGAAGCUUUGACUAUGGUUCAAUUAAUGUUCUUUUAUAUCUUAGCUUCUAGAGGGUGGAUGGAUUCUAUGAUAGUAUCGUCACUAGUUUUCCAUAUCUUAGUUUUUUUGGAUGUGUCAUUGACACGCUUACUAGGGUAAUCUAGAUAUUCCUCUUGUUUGAAGAGUUCAAACCAGAUCCAAUACUUAAUGUUCUUCUUUUCUUGUCUUAAGUAUGUGUAGAAUUCUUCUUGGUAGAGGGUUCUAAUGUCUUUAAGGACCUUGCUAAAGAACCAAACUCUCCUUUUCUUAUUGACUUCAGAAUAGAAGUCUUUCCUUAAGAGGUCCUUGUUGAUUCAAAGUCUUCGUUAAUUAGGCUUACAGUGUUAAUCAACUGAGAAUAAGUAGGAGACAUAUCAGGAGAUUCGUCCUGAUGUGAUUCUUGAGUAAACUCAUUUUCCUCCAUGUAAAAGGGUUUGGCCACGUUGGUGUGACUUCUAACACCUGUUAGCUUAAUAUUCUUAGGAUUUGCUGAACUAGAUCCUUCCUCUAUCCUAGUGGUUCUUAUUGGGAUAGAUGAACUUGAAGCUCUAGAGGGCUCAUAAUAUGAAAUUCUAAGGCUGCUAGAAUGAUGAAAAGAGUUGGAGAAAAUUAGAUCUCGUUCUCCAUCAGGAUAUUGAACAAUCUGUUCAAUUCUUUCAGAUCUUUGCUCUAUGGCUGGGACAACAUUAGCAAAAUGCCAAUUUUCUGGAAACUCAACCUCAUUCCACUUGAUUUUCAUGGGGACUAUGAAAUUAGACUUGUUUAUCAUAUCUAAGUGGAAGAUAGUGGUUUCACCCUUGGGACUGGUGCACAAUGCUCCAAAUCCAACGCUUAUGGUCAUGCUCUUAUAGGCAAAUCUGGUGAUGAUGGAAACAUGAUUGUUUCCUUGCUUGAACUUAAAGUCAUGGGUCUUAACAUGAAGGACAACUGAAUCUAAGAUGUUGACAUCUCUUAGUCUAACUGUGAAGUUAGGGAAACACUGGAAAUAAACAGGACCAUCAUUUAAUCCUGCUUGGGUAGCUCCAAUAAUAGAAUCUCGGUAAUCAAGAUGUCUAUUAUCUCUUAAACACAUGACAAUAAAGGUGUUUAGACCUAGUCUUGUCAAGGGCUUAGCUGCAACUUGAAUCAUGCCAAAGUGUAUGAAGUUGUAGUCUCGCUUAUGCUUAUCAAUGGACUUACUAUCCAAGAGUCUUAUGACUUGAUCGUCGUGUUCUAAACUUACUGACAUUUCAGGGGUUUUAAUGGUGUAAUCUGUAAAGAACUUAAAGGUUCCUUUCUUAUAAAUUUCUUGAUUAGGUACCUUGGGUAACUUCCAAUCAUCUAAAUCAUCUUGGAUCUUAGGAUAAUUGAUCUCUUCAUUGUUUACUCUUGAGAAUUUGUGGAUUUCCUAGACAUGGUUCUGAAAAUCAAACUCAUUUUAAGGUUUUAAUCUAGAGCCUAAUAGCAGAUUAACAGACCUAGUGAGUAAUCACCCCAACCCUUUUCCAACCUUAACAAACGCCUAUCUCCAGCUAACAAUGGGCUCAACUCGGCAAGGAUCGCACUCAGGCACACUACUAUCUUUCCUAGGAUAGAUCAAAACACCCAAAACAAACCCGACUUCCUUUUCCUAGGAUAUAUAUAGUAUUUUGGGUUUGAGUAGGAGUUCAUGUUUUGUAUGUAAUUGUAGUCUACGUUGGACUAGGUUGUUUGCUCCUAAUUGAAAUAGGAAUGGUUGGUGUCACAUCUCAUUCAUUUUCUCAUCUAUUUCCAUGUUUAGAUAACUCAAGUAAUCAUAGGAAUGAAAUUAAGAAUGAUUUGAGGGAAAUGAAAUCUCACUUGUAAGUGGGAUCUCAAUUCAUCAUUAAUAGAAGGUAUUUUGAUUACAUAGUGCAAGUUAUUUUUAAAAACACUUUUCAAAAAUUGAAAAACCAAAAACUCUCUUGGAUAAGUUGUUUUUAAAAAGAAUUUUUGUAUUUUUAUUUUGUAAAAAAAAAAAAUAGUAAUUCAAUUUAUAUAAUAUAAAUAGACUUUAAUUUUAUUAAAAAUAAAAAUAAUUUUUUAAUUACAAAUAAAUUAAAAAAUAAAUAUUUGUAAUAAAAUAUGAAUAGUAAUAUUAUAAUAAAAUCAUAAAUAAAUUAAAAAUAUUUUUAAAAACAAAUAAGUUUAAUUUUUUUGAGGUACAAAUGAGCCAAAUUUUUCAUUAGGUACACAACCAACAAUUUUUAUUGGAAACAUUCCUCAAAAAAGAAUUCGUUUCCCAUAUAGCAAAGAUAUUUAUUAUUUAGUAUCUAACCAUCCGUAGUAAUCAUAUCAAUUCUACUAAGUUAUUUAAUAAUUCAUUUAUAUAUAGUACUCAAUUAUGAAUUUUUUUAUUUGAUGUAUAAUUAAUUAAUCAAUGUUUUGAAUUUUGAAUUAUUCUUAAAAUUUAAAACAUUAAUUAUGUCUAUUACUUUUUAUAGUCAUUAUAUAUAUAUAUAUAUAUAUAUAUAGAGAGAGAGAGAGAGAGAGAGAGAGAGAGCUUAAAUUUAUCUUUAAAAAUUAUUAAAUUUAUUAAUAAAUUCAAUACAAAGACUCAUUUGAUUUGAAAUUCAUUUCUUUAGUGAAAAUUUUGAAACUAAAUAGUACUUUGUUUUACUUUGUUUUUAAAUCAUACUCACAAAUAAGUUUUUAUCAUUUAGCCAAAAAAUCUCAAAGAUGUUUCUAAUUUUAUUUAUUUAUUUAUUUGUAAAUGAAAAUAAAAAAUUAGUUUAAACUAAAUAUGCGGAUAUUAUUGUUAAUUUAUUUCAUUUUUUAUUUCCAUUGUUAUUUAACAUUGAAACGGAAACAAAUAAUCAUUCCAAUCUUACAUUCUUAUAUGCAUCUAAACACAAGAAUUGAAAUCACCAAAUUCAUAUUCAAGGCAAAAUAGAAAUGGAAAAAAAAUAUUCAUUUUCAUUCCUCAUUCUCAUGUGCUAAACAUGACAUUAGUUCUACUACCUAUUUCACCAUUCUUCUUGAUAAAUUUGGUAUAUGCAAUAUUGAUCUAAGUGUGAGGUGAAUAAGAAUGAUGAUGGGAUGGGCUUGGAAAUAAGGGCAAAGUUUCUAGGUGCUAUCUAGAGGGGCAACGCGACUUUUUCAAAUUUCGAAUAUUUGUUCUCAACAUAAAGCAAAACUUUACUCACACAAUAGAUAAGACUCUGUUUGUUUUCUUCAUCCACGACUAUAUAAUGUAUAGCUCUUACUCAAGGGAUGAGCUACUUACUAUUAAGGAUUGGGUAAGAUAUUGCCUAAUGGCCAAGAAGGCAUGUCAAAAAAUAAAUCUAAUCACCAUAAAAAAUAAUAGGGGAAAAUUAAUAUAUUAUGAAUGAUGACUUUACUAUUUCUCUAUAUACAUAAUUAUAUAUUUUGAAUUUUCUCACUAGGUAAUGAGAUUCUAAAUCAACUGAAACAUAAUUAAUAAUUUAUAUUUUUAAUGAAUCUUUUAAUUUUUAAAAAUAAUUUAAAAUUUUAAAAAACAAUUCAAUUAAUUACAUAUUAAAUCAAAACAUUUCAAAAUAUUGUGUUUGUAGAUGAGUACUAAAUGCUUGCAUAUAAUAAUAAUAAUAAAAAAAUUGACUCAUUUAGAUGUUAAAAAAGUUAAAUGUUUUUCAUUAUUCAUUUUAAGUAAAAUAUUAUUGACAUUAUUAUUAUAAAAUUAUUAUUAUUCAUUUUUAACAAAAAACAAAAUAAGUUAUUCUUUUACCAAGAUGUCAAUAUCUAUAUUUUUCUAACAUAUAUUAAAAUAGUAUACUUUUCUUUUAUUAAAAAUAAUAAUUAUUAUUAUAUUAUUAUUCAAGUUUUAUUAAAAAAAUUUAUCUUUUAAUUCAUUUGUAAUUACAAAAUAAUUUUAUUUUAUUAAGAAUUUAAUUUAAUUACGCUUUUUUUUUUUAUAAAAAAAACAGUUAUGCUUUUACCAAGAUGUUAAUAUUCAUAUUUUUCUAGCUAACAUAAAUAGAAUAGUACACUUUUUCAUAUAAAAAAAUAAUUUAUGAUUUUAUUAUAAUGUUACUAUUCACAUUUUACUAAAAAUAUUUAUUUAUUUUAUUUAUUUUUAAUUAUAAAAUAAUUUUAUUUUCAAGAAUUUAAUUUUAAAAAAAUAGAAAUCAUUUAUUCUUUUACCAAGAUGUUAAUAAACAUAUUUUUCUAACAUAUACUAAAAUAAAAAAGUUUACUUGUUCAUUAAAAAAUAUAAUUUAUGUUUUUAUUAUAAUACUACUAUCUAUGUUCUACUAAAAAUAUUUAUUUAUAAUUAAAAAAUAAUUUCAUUUUUAAUAAGACUUGAACUAAAUUAAAUUUAUAAUUUUUUUUUAAAAUAAAAUAGAAAAUUAUUUUUUAAAAACAACUUAUUGAAAGAAAUUUUUUAUUCUUUACUUUUAAGAACUGUUUUUAAAAGCAACCUAUAAACCCCUUUGGGUCUGUUUGGCUAUGUUUCAUGCAACUUGUUUUUAAAAAUUGUUUUUUAUUCUUUAAUUUAAUUUUUUUUAAGUUAAAGAAUAAAAAACAACUUUCUAGUGUUUUAUAAAAAUGAGAGCUUUUGACAAGUUGUUUUUAAAAACCAUUUUUAAAAAUAAAAAAUAAAAAACUUAUUUAGAUAAAUUGUUAUAUAUAUAUAUAUAUAUAUAUUUGUAAAAACAUUUUAAAUUCAAUUUAUAUAAUAUAAAUUUAAUUUAAUUUAAGUCUUAUUAAAAAAAAAUUGUUUGGAUAAGUUUUUUUUUUUAAAUAGUUUAUUAUUUUUGUUUUGUAAAAACAUUGCAAAUUCAAUUUAUAUAAUAUAAAUUAAUUUAAUUCAAGUCUUAUUAAAACCAAAAUAAUUUUAUAAUUACAAAUAAAUUUAAAAAUAAUUUUUUUAGUAAAACAUGAAUAAUAAAAUUAUAAAUUAUAUUAUUGUGGACCCUGCAUUUAUGCUCAUGCGCUUCCACUUGUUGGCGAACUCAUUUUUUAUUUGAAAAUGAUUUAUUUUUUUAGAAAAUGACUUAGAGUCGCCACUUAUUUUUGUUUUAUUUUUAAAGGGCAAGCAAAAUAAGAAAGAAAACCCUAAGUGUGACUCCUUAUUCGAAAAAGGUAGUCUGUGUAAAACCGGAUCAGGGUUCAGGGAUCAGGUUACUUAUUGGGAAGGUAUGACAAUGACCGUAGCACUCCUCUAAGUCCUUAAAAACGGGCCUCUACUAAAAAAAAUAAAGUAAUCAUGGCAAUCAGUAAGGAAAUCACUGGAUACCCAGAACAAUUAUGCACAUGUGAGAAUUAAAACAUGCAUAAGAAUGGACAAAGUGAGAGUGGGUGCGUACCUUGACAACGAACCACAAUGCGUUAUCAAGAAAUGGGGUUAGUGCACGAUCAAUGAACAUAAAACACGUCACACAUGUCACUAAGCAGAGUGAGAAAUCAUCAGAUAUUACAAUUCAAUCAAAUUUAUUUUUAGAAGAAACAUCUGUUGAUGUAGAGCCCCUACCAAAGCCUAAUUUAUUUUUGCAUGAAUCAAUUUCAUAAAUUCAAUCGCUUGGAAUUACAGAAUUAAAUUCAUGCUUAUUUUAAAACAUCUUUUUAAAAUCAUGGAAGAUGUGAAAAUGGUUUUCCAAAGAGAAAAUGACAACUGAUUUUAUUGAAAAUGGGAUUUUGGGGACCUAAACGUUAAAGAGGGAUUAGGAAUUGAAAAUUAAAUCAUUUGAAAAUUGAAUUUUUCAAAAAUCAGUUUUGAAAGCAUGCAUGCAAGUAUGGACUGUGAAAGUGGGCCUAGGGAGGGUGGCCAUGCAAAAUGAGGUCAUACACGUGGGCCUUGGGUACAAUUGGGACUACUUUGCUGGUGCCAGUGGUGCUUGCAGCUGUCAUCCAUGAUUUCUUCAUUGGGAUCAAUUUCCAUUCUUACUGCCAAACAUUCCAUAACAAUUGACCAAACUAGUAACCCUGACCUUGCAUGAAAAUGAACGUUACCUAGAAACUCACUGCCAGUGAGAUUCAUUGCUCUUUCAAAAGGUCUCAUUUUCUUUCUCAUCCAAUUGCUUUAAGGAGCAUUCUAGCGUCACGAUUGGUGACUGCGCAUCAUCUAGAGCCUUCUUUCUUCUCAGAAUCAGGUUUGCGUGCAGAGGCCUGUGCUUGUUCAAGGUUGACCUAAAUUCAUCUAGGUUUAGAACCGACCAGUUGAGCUUGGGGAGCAACGACAAGAAUAUCAGUCACUUGCGAAGAGAAAACUCGAGAUCUUUCAAGUAAUGCCUGACAUAGAUUCCUCCAACCUGUGGCCAAUAUCUCAUUCCUUGUUGGCCAGACGCCUAUUAGGGCGUAUCUCAAUCAAUAAUAUGAUUUUUCGUUUGUUCACAAUAAAGACCGGAAGCCAUGGUUGUGAUUUAUGCAGUACAGAAGAAGUUGCCAUGGCUGGUAUCCUUACAAAUUCUGGUGUUUCUGCUAUCUGUUCAAGUGCAAAACACAACAGCUUUAUCAAGUUUGUCCCUAACAACUGAUAUUGAGCCCUCUGGAGGAAACCUUGAUAAAUUCAUAAUCACUUUUGACUCAUGCAUGGGCUGCCCAUCAAAUUUUCCUAGCAACGAGACGACUGCUGUCAUCUACUGCAAAGAGAAUUUCUUCUCGCAAAGACAAGAGGAGUUUAAGAAUACACACUAUUCUGCCAUUUCAUUUCCUCUUUCUCCACAACCAACAUAAACCAUAGUGUCUACAUUAGAGUACUUAGAAAGAGCUUAACUGAUGACCGUUUUUCCACAACCAAAUGCCCCAGGUAUGGCACAAAUUUCACCGAAAACAGAAGGGAAAAGGGCAUCAAGAACACGCUGUCCUGUAAGUAGUGGGGUAUCAGGACUACUCUAGGGAAGUUAUUUCUGUCAUUUUGAAAAAGAAAAAUUAAAGAAUGUACACAUGCUUUCAAGUGGACUGGAGCAUUCUACAUAUCAGGUGGUCUGUAGCCACAUGUGCCACUUUGUGGAAGUUGGAACAGUCGAUCACUAGGCUAUUUAGUGUGGCCAAGCCACGUUAAUCAAGGACAAGUCUUCAUACUUAAAAGUCAAAUGGUGCCUUUAGUCUCAUUACACAUGGCUAUUUAAAGAUGAACUAAUCUUUAGUGUAAUGUGAUUAAGACAGUACUAACUGAUCAAUAUUUUUUCUAAUUUUGGAUGCAAAUGCUUGCUGGCUUCAUCAUUGGAUGGGAUAAAGGUGCAUUCAUGACUCUGAAUACUUGCAGUAAUACUUGCAGUAAUACUUCAUUCUCUUUUUUCUCGAUGAGACUUCUUGGCACAAUUUUGCUUCUCAGCAACCUACCUCUCCAUGGAAAAUGAGUUGCGAUUGAUGGUACUGGAUAUUUUCUAGGAAGCUAAAUAUAGAUAUAUAGCACUCAAUGUCAACGAUAUAUAUAGCAUUAACAGUAUAUGUCUCAAUGCUCAUCAGCUACAAGCAAGGGACAAACACUUACAAUGAAUAACUCACGUCAACAUUCCUAAACAGGACAUAGAAGUGACAGAUCUAUAUAUAGAACACUGCAUAUGAGUCACAAGAAAAGAUAAUACGGGUGCAUAGCAGCUCUUAUAUUACAUAUUACUCAUACCGUUCAAAUUCACUCAGUUGGGAUGGGUGGGAGAAGGAGGCCUCUGGGGUGGCUUGUGCGUGUGAGAAGUGGAAGAAAGUUGAAUGGAAUGAAACUGAAAAACAGGGUAGAAUAGAGGUUUCUUGAAUCUUCUGAAAUCUUUAUUUUUCUGAGAUUUAUUCUCUGUUUUUGUGAGUCGUGACUCUACAUAUAUACAUGUAUUUAAAGUUAGUUAUGCCUUAUAACUAAUUAUCUAACAGUACCAAAACUAAUCAUCUAGUUGCAUGUUUCUAAUUAAUGCUAUUUAGUUACAACUAUAUAUGGCUUAACAUCCUCUCUCAAACUCAAAAGUCUAGCUAGAACAGUGAGUUUGCUUCAUAGAUUGAGAAAUUGUUGAAUAGGUAAGGCUUUGGUAAGAGCAUUAGCAAUCUGGUCAUAAGAAGGAAUGUGUUGAACCACCAAAGUCUUAUUGAGCACCUUUUCCUGAACAAAAUGGCAAUCUAGUUCCACAUGCUUAACUCGAGAAUGAAAAUAGGAUUGGCAGCAAGAAAGGUGGCUGAAAGAUUGUCAUAGAACAAAACAAAAUAGGAGAAUAAGAAGAUGAGAUAGAAAACUCCUGAAGAAGAUGUUGAAUCCAUUGAAGUUCAAAAGCAACAUUUGCUAAGGCCCUAUACUCAGCUUCAUUGCUGGAACGAGACACAACUUUCUGCUUACUGGAGUUCCAGGAGACUAGAUUAGAGCUAAAAAAGAUGCAAUGACCACUUGUACUUCGACGAUCAUCAGGGCAACCAACCCAAUCAACAUCAGCAUAAGCAGUAAGUUGAAAAUCAGGAGAAGAAUAAAAGGAAAGACCAAAGGAAGUAGUGCCCUUAAGAUAAUGCAACAAUCGUUUAACAACUUGCCAAUGAAGAUCAGUUGGUUAUUGCAUGAAUUGGCAAAGUUUAUUGAUAGAGAAAGAGAUGUCAGGCCUUGUAAUGGUACAAUAUUGCAGGGCUUCAACAAUGUUGCGAUAUUGAGAAGGGUCAGCCAAGAGGGAACCUUUAGAGGCAGAUAAAGUGUGAGAGGUAGUCAUUGGUGUAUCAAUAGGUUUAAAAUAUGGAAGACCAGCACGAGUUAACAAGUCCUGAAUAUAUUUGGUUUGGGAAAGAUGAAGAGAAGAUCCUUGCCAACAUACUUCUACACCCAAGAAGUAAUUCAGAAUACCAAGGUCCUUGAGAGCAAACUGAAAGUGUAAAGACGAAACCAUUUGGUGGACUAGCACGGUAUUAAGACCACUAACAAUAAUGUCAUCAACAUAGAUGAGAAUAAUGAUCAUGUCAGUCCCUUUCCGAAGAGGAGCUUGCUUCAGACCCUACAAGGCUUUGCGAAGUUUACAGAAAAAACCGGGUUUAGAAUGAUCAACAAAGCCUGGAGGUUGAACCAUGUAAACCUCUUCUUCUAACUCACCAUUGAGAAAGGCAUUAUUAACAUCUAAUUGUUCCACUAACCAACCAUGAGAAAUAGCAAGAGAAAGAACAAUUCAUAUAGUAGUUGGUUUAACAACAAGGCAAAAGGUUUCAAAAUAAUCAAUACCAUAUGUUUGAUUAAAACCCUUUGCAACUAAGUAGGCUUUAAAACGAUCAAUUGAGCCAUUAGCUUUGAGUUUCAGCUUGUAUAUCCAUUUACAACUAAUAAUGCGUGUAUUAACAGGUUUAGGAACCAAUGUCCAUGUGGAAUUGGUGAGAAGAGCAUCAUACUCAGUCUUCAUAGCAGCUUGCCAAUUAGGAUGCAAUAUUGCUUCUUUGAAAGAGGAGGGUUCGACAACAGUAGUUUGGAUAGCAAGGCUAAAUAUUUUUUUGGGUUUAAAAAUACCAUUUUGGCUACGAGUAACAAUAGUUCGGUUUGGAAGUGAAAGAGGAUCAGUGGAGGAGGCUGGAACAAGGGAUUGUGGUAAAGUAGGAAAGGAAGGUGGAUGAGAUGGAACAAAAUCAGUAGGGACAAUAAUGGGAGAAGAAAAAUUAGGUGGAGAAUGAUGAGGAUUCCUUGAAGAUGGUGUAGGAAUAGAGAGAAUACCAGAAUCAAGAAGUGUUAAAGAAGAGUUGGAUGAUGAUACUGGUUGACAGGAUAAAGACUUUGUUAAAAAUGGAAAUCGAGUUUCAUCAAAUACAACAUGACGAGAAGCAUAUAUCCGAGAGGAAGCCAUAUCCAAACAGAGGAAUCCCUUGUGUUUAGCACUAUAACCCAAAAAACAGCAAACAACAAAUAUAUUUGCUAGCUUGUGAGAAGCAUAAGGGCGAAGAUAAGGAAAACACAAGCAUCCAAAACUUCAAAGAGAUGUAUAAUAAGGUAAACGAUUAUAAAGAACUCCAUAAGGAGAAUUUUGUGAAAGAACAGCAGAGGGAAGGCAAUUUAUGAGAAAAAUGGCAGUUUGAAAUGCAAAUGACCAAUAUUUGAGAGGGUAUACCAGCUUGUAUUAACAAAGAAAGACCAACUUCCACAACAUGACGAUUCUUUCUUUCAACUCUUCAAUUUUGCUAAGGAGUAUAAUGACAAGAGACUUGAUGAAGAAGACCAUUUGUAGCCAAAUAAUUCUGAAAAGCUGAAACUGAAACUCAUCAAAUUGAUUUUUAGUAUCAAAUUUUCUUCAGACUGAACACAUUGAUUUUUAGUAUCAAAUUUUCUUUCAACCAUGGCUUGAAAAUGUUGGAACAUAAGUAAAGCUUCAUCUUUAGUUUCCAAAAGGUACAACCAUGAGAAUAUGCUAAAAUCAUCAAUUAGCAAGAGGAAAUAUUGAGCAUUACCAUUGACAGAAACUAUAGGAGUUGCACCCCAAAGAUCAACAUGGAUGAGACCGAAUGGUUUUAUUGCUCUAGAAGUGGAUAUUUCAAAUGGAAAACGAUGGCUUUUAGCCAACUGACAAGACUCACAUACAGAGUUAUUAUUGUCAUGUUUCAAAGGUAUUUUAUAAAGAGAUAAGAUUUUGGAAACUACAUUAAUAGAGGGAUGACCAAGUCUAUUAUGCCAAAGCCUCAAAGAACCAACGGCUAAAGUACUACUAGUAGAGUAAAAUACUAGUGGAUGACCAACAACUCUUGGUGUAGCAAGAAGUUUAUAGAGACCCUUCUCAAUUUUUCCUUGAAGAAGAGCAAGUCUCGUUUCCUGAUCCUUUACCACAAAAUGAGAAGAACGAAAUUCAAUAAAGGUGCCAUUGUUUGAGUAAAAUCGUUGCACGCUAACUAAGUUGGUGGUAAUAGAAGGAACAUGUAAGACAUCAUUGAAAAACAAAGAACCACUUGAAGAGGCAAGAGAAAAUUUACCAAUAUUUGCAAUGGAUAAACCCUUACCAUCUCCAACAAUUACUUUGUCACCACUGGUAAAUGGAUUAUGGAUUGUUAAAUUGUUAAGAUCAGAUGUGAGAUGAUGGGUAGCCUUUGUAUCAAGAAACCAAUAAGUGUCUCCCAUUGUUGCAGAAGUUGUAGUCAUAGCCUCAGGAUUGUUAGAGGUGGAAUGUUUAGAAUCUUUUGGCUGAUAAUCAGAGUUAAACCGAUACCAGCAUUGUAAAGCGGUGUGUCCGAACUUACAACCGAGAGAAAUAAUCUUUACUUAUUCUCUAAAAACUGUUCUUUAUUCCACACAUUAUUUCUAAAAACUGUUUCUAGAUAACAAUGACAAAAUAGUAUUAGGAAUUUUUAAAAAUAAAAAUUGUUUUUAAAUUACAUGAUCUAUAUCAUUCACAUUUGACCAUUAUAGCUUUGUUCAGGAAAACACUUGAAAGUAACCUUAUCGUGAUAAGAGAUAUAAGUUGGCUGUAGUUUCAAACUGAAAACAGAGGAUGGCAAUAGAAAGCAAAGCAUUAGUUAUCUGCAAUCAGUGGUGAUCAUGCCCCAUGUCAAUUUCGGACCCAUAUCUUAAAACCGUAUAAUUUGCAUUUCAACAUUUCUGAUUUCUCAGAUGUUUCAUACUCCACAGAAGAACAUUGUUUGUGAAAGCAUGCAUUUAUGCUGGAUUUUGGAUGAUGUGGGAACUGGGGCAAGGAUCAUAUGGAAGAGUGGUCGAUUUUUUCUGUACUUUAACAUUUGAAAUAGGAGCAGCACGGGCAUUUGUGGGGCUUAAUUGAUUUUGAAGCCUGAAAUUGCGUUUCUGUCAUUUUGUAAAAAAUAUGGCAGAUUCCAUGCUCUCAUAUGUUUGGUCUGUGGCCAUGUAUAGAUGCCACUUAGUGACCAGUUUGUAACUGUCAAUCAUAGUGUUUUGACUCUGGCUCAACAACAUCAGCCAUUGACGGAUUUUCAUACAUGCAAAUCAAAUAGUCUUCUUCCUCCCUUAGGAAUUUCGGUUUAAAUGUUAUUAAGCAUACAUUUGGCUGACAAUUAUUAACCACUUCAUGAUAUGGUUUCUUACCCUUAAUCAAUGGUUUCUAAGUGAAUAUAUGCAGAAGGAAAUCUGAACUGUAGACAGCAGUAUUGAUAAUUAUCAAUAUUCUUUAUAUAAGAGAAUAAACAACGUCAUAGUGAUCGUCGCCUACAAGAAAGGUACAUUUCCCAACAAGAUGUAGUUGUGACUGGUACAUGGACGUAAUUAACUCGUAGAAAAGGAUAAGACCAGUGCACGGCAGCUCUUAUUUUACAUGCUAAUUAUGCUAACCAAAGUCACUCAGUUGGGAUGGGAGGGAGAUGGAGGUUUGUGCGGUGGCUUGUGGGGCGGAGUUGGUGGCUUCUUUUCAGGAGCUUGUGGCUUUUUCGGAGCUGAAGGAGGCUCAAUCUUAUGAGGCGGCUUGUACGAGUCUUCUUUACUCUCGACAGGAGGGUGGCCAGGGUUGUGACCAUAAUGUGGUGGCUUCUCUCCCUUAGGUGGCUUGCCAACUGGGGUUGGUGGCUUGUGUUCAGGAAGUGGUUUCUCUCCCUUGGGAGGUUUACCAAUUGGGGUUGGUGGCUUGUGUUCUGGGAGUGGUUUCUCUCCCUUGGGAGGUUUAGUGGGUGACUUGUGUUCUGGAGGUGGCUUCUCCACCGGAGGCUUGUGCUCCGGUGGUGGCUUCUUGGUUGGAGGGGGCUUGGGGUAAUCAGCAAGAGAUGGGGGGGUGAGAACCACCACUCCAAGGAACAACACUAGCAAGUAUGUGGGAGACAUUUCUGAGUUUGAGCUGAUCAGAUGAUGCAAAACUAGAAGAAUUACGUGACCUUUUAUAGCAAGUAGCUCCCAAUACCCACAUGACACGUGUUACUGUGACCAUAAAUAUUAUAGGGUCCAUUUGUGCCCUACCGGGUUGAAAACUUGGACGCUUGGCCGAGGACACACCGAACUAUGGAGGACUAUUGACGUGUGAUCACAGCUUUUGGAUUUUUCUUCCUGUGCAGCUGUCUAGCGGUUGGCAUUAUUUUUUUAAUCUUAAAUAAAGGCAUAGUUAUAGAGUACAUUUAUAUAUCUUCAGAUAGCCAUUAAUAUAUUUGAUGAAGAAAGACAAGUGCAUACAACAUGUAUACGGCUUGCUUCAAUCGAGUACAUUUAUGAUCAGUUUUCCAGUGCAAGUAAACCAGUUUUUUGUUCCACAACUAUUUUGGAAUCUUGUUUAUCAGUUUCUAUCAUUAUAAUGUCACAUAGGCUGCAAACUUGGGCACCCAAAGAUCUAGUUGGGCAAAUUUGUUUCAGAAUUUCAAUGGUGGAUUCAGUAAUUGUUAAAAGGUGUUUCUUCAUUAAGGAAAGAGUCCUGUAAAAAUAUUGUUAAAAGGUGUCAUAGAAACUAUAAUAAUUAAAUAACUUCUUUUCCCCGUGGGUGGUGUUUCUUCUGGGGAUACCCAAAAUGAGUUCAGAUUAAAAUUGGUUCGAGUCAAAGCUGUCUCUUUUGUCCAGAAAUCAACUAUUUUGCGCAUUGCAUGAAUCGAUAAAGAAAAAAUGAAAGCCAAAUCACACCUCCCCUGCAAAACCUAAACCCCGGUUGCUAACUUUCUAUGUUUCAGUCCUAUUCAUACAGGAAUAUUGGUUCAAGUUUGAGAAAAAUGGCAACUUACCUAGGGAUUACUUGGUUGUGGUUUGCGACGACUAUUUACGCAACCAACCAUGAGUUUGACUUUAACGUCAUGGGUUGAAGCCUCCUACAAUCGUGUAUGAUAGUUCAAAGCUCGUAGUAGAAAUUAUACAGGAAGGAAGAAACCUCCAAAGCUAGCUCCAAAAGAGAAUUAUCACAUCGAUAGCUCCAGAGAUUCCCAAGGGGACUGAAUCAAAGACAAGUUCCUCACUUUUUCUUCUUUUGAGGCCAAAUAUGAACCAAGGAUCACACGACCUCAUUCAACUUCAUAAGUUUGAUUUCAUGCAGUUGAACACUGGGUGAAGGCCAUGACAAGAAUUGAUUAAAAAAUUCUACCACUGUUUUAAGUAAUGGAAGAUUAUUAUCUCUGAUUGGCACCACAACAGCACAUGCUGCUAGAUCUUUCUAGACACUCCAUGCAAUGAAAGUACAAUGGAUCUUGUAACGAUAGAAACUAAGCCAUGCUACAGUACUAGAUGACGAGGUAAAACUAUUAGACAUGGGUGGCAGCCUAUAUGGGAGGGACACAAGUCUAAUUGAUUUGCAUUUCAGCGUUCUAGAUGGGUAUGUUUUGGAAGAUUUGUUCUGGAAAUACCGCACCAAGUAGGAUUCUUUUUUCUCUUGAGUGGGUCCACUUGCAUGCCAAUUAUCGAGUUGAAAAGUAGAGCACCUACCUCGUGCUCGUGGAACCGAAGGUCAGUGAAGUGGGGCUCCUUUUGGCCUCUUGUGUUUCUGUUCCAACCAAGGCGGCGGAGGGAAAAACAGCAAUAUGUCUCCGCUAAAUAUCAACGCAUGAUAGCGAAUGAGGGAGAAAAAAAGUAAUUGGCAUCUCAAUCUCACAAACUUGGUACAGUAGUGACAUUAAUAGUCUUCCACAUGGUUUUUAUUUUAUUUUAUUUUAUAUUUUAUAUUUUCCAUUUUUUUAUUUUUUUGUAUGUCAAGGCUAAUGAAUAAAAUGCGUUAGCUUGUUUUGUGAUUGGAACUGCAAAUGUCCAAAUUGGAGUUUCUCCAUUUCUCAGUUCGGAUGGUUAACUUUAUAAACAAGAUAUAGGAAACAUGUGAACGUCUUGAGGAACAAUUCGAAUUAUUGAUUAGAACUCCUAGGUUGAGUUCCAAGAUUUAAAUCAGACCCCUCUAGCAGCUUCAGGGGUACCUAGCAAUUAGAACAUAUUAAUGAAGAUUUAGGAUUUAGACUCCGGAAUACAAAUUAAUAUGUAUCUUAUGCUCUGACUAGCUUCCCUGCAUAUGCACAAAAUGGAGAUGACCCAAAAAAUAGCAGAAUCGCCUUAGUUUAUGUGGUUAAGGUGAUUCUCCGGUUAAUAUCCACAUUGGCUCAUUAUGCAAAUCAACUGAGCUAUUUUUUUUUUAAUGUCAAAUAGGAACUCCUAAUUAACCUAACCAUUGGCCUGUGUAAAUUGAUUUCACAUGCACAAUGUUGUAGUAGAAGUCCACAUUUUGAAUUUUAUUUUUGGAAAGGUAAGGAAAAUGAAGCAUUGUGUAAUUAUAAAAAUAACUUCAUUGGAAUUCACAAGGUUCACCCAAAAUGGAGCUACAUCCGUAUUCUAUCUUACAGUAGACUAUAUAGAUUGUACAAUAGUAAAUUGCAAAUACAAUUAAUAAGUCUUGUGUUUCCUUACUAAUAAUCCUUUGACAUAAACAUUGCAGCACUAAGGUCCUCUUGGGCAGACACCUUGCACCCAUGAGAGCACUAAGAGGAAGCAAGGCGGAGUCAUGGGUGCAAUGUCAUGACUUGUUGCACUAAGAGAGGCUUGGUGAUGGCAUAGUGCUGCAGUAGCAAGAAUGUUGCCUUGGCAGGGACACGAUCUAGGGACAGAUGCCAAGAAAGGCUUAGCACUCACAUGAGUUGCACAAAGAUGAAUGAAAUAGAACAUCAAAGAGACAUCUUGGCAAGCUCAAGAAAGACAUGUGGGUUGGUAAAUGAAUGGAUGCAAGAGGCAACAACAUGAGGAGUUUCAAAUGGAUAGGGAAUGAGUCAAAGACAUUUGAAAGCUACAAGUUGGAUUCUAAUUACGAUUGCAAUUUGAGUUUGAGUAGGAGUUUAUAUUAUGAUUGUAAUUGUAGUAUGAGUUGGACUAGGAUUGCUUAUCCCUAGUCAAAAUAGGAGUUGUUCAUGCCACACCCUAUGAAAAGAGUUUGAGUAGGGACUAGGAUUGCUUGCUCCUAGUCAAAUAUGGAGUAGGUGGUGCCACACCUAUAAAAAAAAAAGGGACAACAUGAGAGAGAGAGAGAAUGAAUUCACCAAAGAUAUUGUGGGAGUUUUGCUUUGUUACAUCUUGUAUUAUUAUUUAGAAUAGUAAUAAAAUACAAGUUGGGGCUAGAGCCCCAUAAUCUCGUGUGCCUUUGUGGGUUAUUCUUUAUUUGCCAUCUCGUGUGGAUUGGAUUAGAUUGAUGAGGCGAAAUAUUAUGUGGGAAAUUUAUGUUGGGACACUUACCAUAACCAGGUAAAAUCUACCAAGUCUUUUGUAAUAUCUUCUACAAAUAUUUUAGACCAGUUCUUCACAAAACAUCAUAAUAUGUUUUGUGUUUCUCUUGGAUUUUGAGUUGAAUUGUCUUAGAUCAAUUGAAUGCAUCUCAAUAUUAUUAUCUUGUUUGAAGGCUUGAUGAUUUUCCAUUUAACUUUACUUUCUUUAGGUUAUGCUUGAUUCCUUAAAAGUACUAAGGAAAACAAAAAAUAAAAAAAAAUAAAAAAUGCAGAGGGUUAGGACAUGUGUUAUCUAAUUGUCCUAUCCAAAGAUAUUAAGAAAGUCAUGUAGGAAAGUAAUUGAAAACUAGGUCAAGAAAGGAGCAAAAGGGAAUUGUUUUGGUAUUUUCUUUUUUAUUCUUGAAGGUGGCAGAGCUAAAAUUUGAGAAAUCAAGCAAAACAUACUGAAAUUACAUUGAAAGAAAGAAAAUGGUAGUUAAUGUCUUGCAGUACAUGAUAAGGACUUCAUGCAUGUAGUGUGACGACCCAUGUCUUGGACUGAUGCCACACUCACGGUUACACUUAUACCCUUGGUUCUCUCUUUACUACCUUGGCUAACCUAGAUCAGGCUAUGAGAUAGGCUCCUCACCACACCAUCACUUGCCCAGUAAUUAGUGACAUUUUCAAGCAAUGAGGUAACAUGGUGACACCAAGAGGGUUUAUCCCUCGCCCCAACAAGUCUAGACUCGGUCUCAAAAAAAUGGAGAAAAAUGAGGUGUCGUUAUGCAGAAAUACAACAACCAUGCCUUCCUUAUUACUUAGAUUCAGAAUGUGAAGGUGAAAUUGAGAAACAGAAACUCUUGAAACCAGAAUGAAAAUUGAUACUUUUACGAAGAAUUACAACAUUAGAGGAAGACUACAUUCUUCCUCUAUAUUCCUACGUUUCUACACUACUUCUACUCCACUCCAUAUUUCUACAUACAUCUUUAAUCAGUUUUCCCUCCUUUAUAUAGAGCCAUCUUCACACAAAUUCCGCAAGGUAGAAAAGAGGAAUGAAACUUGGAGCAAGGUUCGACUACUGGUUGUCGCUUGUCAAGGCUGGAAUUGAACUUUUUUUCUUGGCUUUUCUGGGCAUAGGUAGUAACUUGUGGUUCCUUUUUGGAAUGAAAAUGGUACAGCUAGAACAUGUGGCACUCUCUUGUUGGAUUAUGUGUCAAACAUGUGGCAGCCAUCUAGUGGAGAUUAUUUCAAUUUUGGGAUGGAGAGUUGGCAUCCAAUUGCAAAGAAAUAUGACAUCUACCAACAUGCAAUGUAAACCUAUAUAGAUCAUAUGGAGAUAGAGAGGAAACAUAUAGAAAUGGAUAUAUACCUAGAACUAGCUUUUUAUUAAAUGAGACGGAGAGCCAACAAUGAAGGAAAAUCAAAAUUUUUGGCUCAUAUCAAAGAAUUCACAUUGUGUUACCCUAGGUUUUCUUAAAGCUUGCACAAAGCCAAAAAGCACACAAAAAAUUAUAUUUUCUAGCUCUCUACCUUGGAUGGUCUCUUGAUCCUACUUGGAGAUGUGCAUAAAUAAAAGGAUUUGAAAAUGACAAUUGACUAAGUAUGUAGUCAAUCAAUUACUCAUUAAUUGACUAGUUGAUCAAUUAACUUUGCAACAUCAUAUGCAAUCCUAAUAGCUAGUCAUCUAAUCAACUAGGUAGUAAAUCAAUAGGCCAAAAAUAUGUUUAUAAUGACUAUUUUGUACAAAAACCACCUAUAUGGUUAAAUAUAAUGCAUUUCAUUUAUAAAUCUUCUAAUUCUUGAAUAACGAUCCUAUCAUCCUUUGAAAGUUUUUAUUACACCUUUUAUACUUUUGUUCUAAAACUUACACAUGUACAUCACCCUUAAUUGUACCAUGAGAACCUAGCUUUUUUUUUUUUUUUUUUUGUAAUUCAUCAAAGUUAGCUUUUGUAUUCAUUACUGUACUAUUUUUAUUGUAACUUAGAAAGCGAGUGUUUUCAAGUGAGUGAAAUUGACUUAUAAAUAUUGUAAAGAUUCAUUGAUGUGUAUCUUAAACUAAGUGUACAAGUUGAAACAUUUGCUAGUAGAUUUUCUCAAGAUUUAGAAUAGAGCUUGAGGCUAUUGAAAUAGGUGGGGUUGCACCAAACCACAUCACAUUGUUGUUUGCACCUUUUUUUCACUCUCUUUUACUUAGUUGCUCUAUAUUUGUUGUCUAGUAAUAUCCUAUAGGCUUGAUGGGUUAGGGAGCAUCCCUUUGUGAAAAAUUUUCAUUCAAUCCUUAGUUGUAUCACGCAUAUAUAAAAUGCCUCAUUGUUUUAAUGGUAUUCAGUCGUGGCAUCACAGAUAUGGGCAUCUAAAUUUUAAAAGUUUGAAACUUUUAUCUAAAGAAAAUAUGGUGCUUUGCCUUUUUGUAAAGCAUGUUGAUGAAAUCCAUGAGAAUUGUGUACUUGGGAAGCAACAUCGAGAUGACUUUUUUUUUUUUCAUUUUUUAUAAUGCGACACCUAAGUCCGGUUUCUAAAUGCUGAAGUGAAAGGGUAGGUAUGGACCAUUGAAAUCUGAUCACAACUUUUGGCCUUUUCCUUUCUCUGCAGCCAUGUUGUCUCUUUUUUCUUUUGCAUGAUUUUCUUACCUAAACAGAAUCAUAGACUUGUUUAAUCUCUAAAUGGUAUUUCAUCCAGCUUUAAGCUACUGUAUUAUAUCUUGGUGGAGGACUUUUAAGAGUGAAACCGACAUAGAGCACAUGCAAGUGGGUAUAUGGGACAUGAAAUUUCUUCUUAUAAAGACUGCAUGGUUUUUAUAUUAGAGUUGUUGAGGCGCAAUGUAUUUAGCUUGUUUUGCAGUUAAAUUAAUUGGAUAAGUAGACAUUGUCGUUUCUAAAUUUCCCACCUAAGAUAGUGACCUUAUCCUUGACUGCUUGAUGAGAUACACAAACAAUUAUACCUUCAAAAUCUACUGUGAAGUGCUUCAUGUAUGUGUGAAGUAUUAGAAAUUUCUUUCUUGGCAACUUGUUUUUUCUUUGCCCUCUACUGAUAGGUUUGACUCAAAUUAAAUUCCCUGUCAUGCUAAUUAAUUUUCACGUGCAUGCUCAAAAGGAUCACGUCAACUCUGGUUUCUACUAUUCAGGUCCAUUCCCAGAUAAACUGGUUCAAAUUUGAGAAAAUGGCAACAGCCCUUUAGUGAUGUUGGUUUGGAGCCAGUAGCCAAACCCGCCCUGAGCUUUACCACUAAUGUCAAGGGACAAAGCCAUUUGAACAAAAACAAUAGCUUCAAGAGACUGAAUCGUGGAUGAAAUCUGAUCCACAUUUCUUCUCAUUUUGGGAACAAAUGAGAACUUAACUACAAAGAUUCUACUGCCUCAUAGUGCUUUUCCUGAUCUAAGGUUGGUUCGUUUCCCAAAUUGUGAGGUACGUGCCAUUCUCACGCUCAGGAGUGUAUCCACGUGGUGGACAUAAGAUGGUGGCUUAAUAUCUGGUGUCGGUGGCUUUACUUUACUAGGAGAGUAGUGUGUCUUCAUCUCAUUCACUGCCGGAGGGUGGCGUAAGCAGUGACGCUAAGGUGGGGCACAGUCAAUAUCAUUUGCAUUUGACCAUUAUAGUUUUCUCCCGGCUUGAAAGUAACCUUAUCGUGAUAAAGGAUUACUAGCACUAGUUCAGAUGACAGUCAUGUUAAAUUCGGACCAUGUUUGUGUCACAUUAUCAGCAACCAUGUGUUUAUGGUUCAUGCUAUCUGCAACUAAACUUGAUAUAUAACCACGUGAACUUCAAUCUAAAUUCUGGAAGUACUCUUGUGAUAGAUGGUGCCUGUCUGCAGAGUCCAUCAAUUGAAAAAUGGAGUGAGUGUAUCUAUAAGAGGGAAGGCUUGGCAAAUGUUCAGUUUUCUGGGAACUCAACAAGGAUCUAAAAUAGAUUGUUUUCUUUGCUGAUUUCAAUGGUUGAAAUUUGAGAAGAUUGUGUCCACAUAACACAACUAUUACUGGUCCUUCUGUUGCAAUUUAUCCUCUAAGGCUCUAACAUGUCUUCCAAUUCCCACUUCCCUGUUACUCCAGGAAAGCUAUUUCUGUCAUUGUGAAGAAGAAAAGAGAAUGUACAUAUCGAUGGUUUUAAGUGACUGGGGCAUUCAUAUCAGGUGGUCUGCAGCCAUAUAUGCCACUUUGUGAAGGUUGGAACAGUCAAUCACCAGGCUAUAUUAGUGUGGCCCAGCCACUUCAAUCAAGGACAAGUCUUCAUACUUAAAGUCAAAUUCUGCCUUUAGUCUCAUUAUAAAUUGCUGUUUAAAUAUUAAGCAAACAUUUGUUUAAUGCGAUUAAGACAGUACUAACUCAAUACUUGUUCUAUUUUUGGAUGCAAAUGCUUGAUGGUUUCAUCAUUGGAUGGGAUAAAGGUGCAUUCAUGAUUAUGAAUACUUGUAGUUAUAUUUUCAUUCUCUUUUUUCUCAAUGAGACUUGUUGGCACAAUUUUGCUGUUCAGAAACCUACCUCUCCAUCGAAAAUCAGUUGUGAUUGAUAGUACUGGAUAUAUUCAAGAAAGCUAAAUAUAGAUAGCACCAAAUAUUAUCGAUAUAAAUAGCAUUAACAGCGUACGUAUGUCUCAAUGCUCAUCAGCUAUAAGCAACGGGCAAACACUUACUAUGAGCAACUUGCGUCAAAAUUCCAGAAUAGGACAUAGAAGUGACAGAUCUAUAUAUAUAUAGAACACUGCAUAUGAGUCACAAGAAAGGAAAUUACGGGUGCAUAGCAGCUCUUAUUUUACAUCCUACUCAUACUGAUCAAAGUCACUCAGUUGGGAUGGGUGGGAGUAGGAGGUUUGUGGGGUGGCUUGUGCGGAGGAGUUGGCAGCUUCUUUCCAGGACCUGGUUGCUUCUCUGCUGGAGUUGAAGGAGGCUUAAUCUUCCGAGGUGGCUUGUAUGAGUCUUCAGCAUUCUCAGCAGGAGGGUGACCAGGGUUGUGACCAUAAUGUGGUGGCUUCUCUCCCUUAGGUGGUUUGCCAACUGGGGUUGGUGGCUUGUAUGAGUCUUCAGCAUUCUCAGCAGGAGGGUGACCAGGGUUGCGACCAUAAUGUGGUGGCUUCUCUCCCUUAGGUGGUUUGCCAACUGGGGUUGGUGGCUUGUGUUCUGGGAGUGGCUUCUCCCCCUUGGGAGGUUUUUCCAAUGGGGUUGGUUUGUGUUCAGGAGGUGGCUUCUCCACUGGAGGCUUGUGUUCAGGAGGUGGCUUCUCCACCGGAGGCUUGUGUUCAGGAGGUGGCUUCUCCACCGGAGGCUUGUGUUCAGGAGGUGGCUUCUCGAAUGGGGGAUGCUCAGGGUAAUCAGCAAGUGAGGGGUUGGUGAGAACCACCAUGCCAAGCAACAGGACUAGCAAGUAUGUAGGAGACAUCUUUGGGUUUGGACUUAAGACAGUGGAAAACUGCGAGAAUUCUCUAGCCUUUUAUAGCGGGUCGACCCAGUACUCACAUGACACGUGUCAUUAUGACACAUGUGCCAUGGGGUCGAUUUGGGUCCUACAGUGUUGAAAAGUUGGGCAUUUGAGGUGUGAGCACAACUUUUGGCCUUUGCUUUCUCUACAGCCGCCAUGCUUUUCCCUUUUUUCCUUUUCCUUUUGUUUUCCUCCUGCCUCGUGUUCUCAACUAAACACAAUUAGGUUGUUUAAUUGUUAAAUGAGAUUUUUGUCUGUCAAUCAUAUUAUAUCCUAUCAAGAGAGAACAGAGUGUAAUGUAGUACACAUAACACGAGGCAGUAGUAAUUUUAUCAUUUAUUUUUAUAGCUUGGACCACCGCAUUUUUUCUUCUAAAAUAUUCUGUCUUGUUAAGAGACGCAAUAAUACACAAUUUUAUCUGCCAUUCAACAUUUACUGUAAAGUUCUUUUAUCUCUUUGUAGUUCUAGAAAAGUACAAAAUGGAACAUCAUGUAUAUGGUGCCUUCUGUCCUAAAAAAGAAACUGGACAAAUUAUGAACUGCAUGCUAAAAAGAGGCAAAGGAGCUUAAUUCGCAGCAUAAUUAUUUUGGUUUCUAGAGAGCCCGGGGCCUUUUGGUUGGUUUGGGGUCAGAAAAUGAACAUCAUAGGGAUUGUGCCCUUAACUGGCCUUGUUACUACAAAGAAAUUGCCAUAGAAAUUUAUUCCAGGCUGAGUAUCUCCGGAUAGACCCCAGAAAAGAAGAGUCAUAAUGAGAAUCAACCUUUGUUGAGUUUGAUUCCAUGCCUCCAUUGUGUUCAUUUCAUGAAUCUGAUUUGCAUUUAACAUUACAGUUUUGUUCUGGAAACAAUCAAAGGAGCAUCGUUUGCUUCUUGGGUGACCCAUAGUGGUGGGUGGGUCGAUUUGCUUAGUUGAAAAUUGGACAAUUGGCUCCAUCGCCUACCUCUUGGAUUCCAUGCUCGGAUAAAACGACAACAAAUAAAUAUUUAUAACUUACAACUGGGGAAAGGAAAAAAUAGUACUAAAUUCAUGGUACAUGAUAGUGAGAGAAGGGGGUGUUACACUCAGCUAAAGUUCUUUUCUAAAUAUUGCAUGGUGUUUAAUUUUAUGUGUCGGCGCGCGUGUGAAUGGAACCUGCAAAAGUCCAAAUUGGCGUUUCUCCAUUUUCCACAUAGGAUGGUGACGUUAAUAGACAAAGAUACAAUAUCUGUAGACAUUGCUUAAAAAUCGAUGUGAAGUAUUAGAAAUUACAGGCCACUGUACUGGGGGAGCGGCUGCCCCGCCAAAGGAAGAAUGUAGCAAUUUCUUCUGUUAGCCAGGCCUUAGGAUUUAUGCAUGGGAUGCCUAAUAACAAACAGAGAAAAUAUGCUUUUGGGGAAGGUAUCCAACAACAGACACCAUCAUUCAGAUGGUGGGAAGGUAUCCAACAGAUGCCAUCAUUCAGAUGGUAACAUAUAUAUACAUUUAUUAGUGAGUUUUUUUAAUACCUAUAAAAAAAAUAUACACUUUGAUAUUGUGGCUGAAUCCAUUACAUACUCAACUAACCUUGCUCAUUAGGGAUUUGACGUAACAAGGGCAACGUUGCAGUAAAAGCUCGAAACUUUAUGCAGGUGACAUUACAUUUGGUAAAGAAGAGGAAAAUAAGGAAAGCCAUCCAUAAAAGCAAAAUUCCUCAUGGGAUGAAAUUCACAAACUUCAUUUACGUUAGAGUCGCAUCCAGGCAAUUAAUUCCACAUUAGACCGCCUUUUGACAUGUGUACGGAUCUUUUUUCAAAAAUUAUUUAUAAAUAAUUGAUACUUACAAAAAUAAUUUAAGAUUUAUAAAGGAUAAAAAAAUAUUUUCAAAUCUAUGACAAUUUAUAAAAUAUUAAUAAAAAAUUAUCUCUUAAACUUAGUAUAGUUUUAUCGUAUUAAACUUUUAUUUUGAACAAAUAAUUUUAAUCUAAGUUUUAAAUUCUAAAAUUAUUUCCUUAAAAUAAAAUUUUAAAAUUCAACACUUCAAUUGAAAUUGUCUUUUAAAAAAAAUAUCUUCUUAUUUUAAUCCUUAUAAACUAUAGUUGAUUGAAAAUACUAUUGAAGUUCUCUCUUCAAAAAAAGUCUUAUUUUAAUCUUCAUAAAUUGCCCUUGAUUUGAAAAUAAACUUUGGGUUAUCAUAUUUUAAAUAAUAUAUAUAUAUAUAUAUAUAUAUAUAUAUAUAUAUAACAAAUACUCUAUUUUUUUUUUAAAUGAACUAAUUUUAAUUAUAUUUUAUUUUAUUUUUUUAUAUAUUUUUAAUGAUAAACCAAACAUAGAAAAUCAUUUUUCUAAAUAUUUUAAAAUUUCUAAGCAACCAAACAUAAUCUUCAAAAUAAAAGGAGAAUAAGGAGGGACAAGUGAGAAAUGGCGAUUAAAAAAAAGUGUACAAAAGCUCAAUUAAUUUUCUUCUAGUCUUUUAUAUAAAAAAGUAUUGGUAUGUAAAUUAAUAUUUGGAUUUUAAUAGUAUUUUAUUUGUCUUUCUCUAUCUCAUGUAAAAGAGAAUUUAAGAUAUUUCCUAAAGCAAAGCAUUAGUUAUCUGCAAUCAGUGGUGAUCAUGGUCCAUGUCAAUUUCGGACCCAUAUCUUAAAACCGUAUAAUUUGCGUUUCAACAUUACUGAUUUCUCAGAUGUUUCAUACUCCACAGAAGAGUAUUGUUAGUGAAAGCAUUUUGUAACUGUUACUCAUAGUGUUUUGACUCUGGCUCAACAACAUCAGCCAUUGACGGAUUUUCAUACAUGCAAAUCAAAUAGUCUUCUUCCUCCCUUAGGAAUUUCGGUUUAAAUGUUAUUAAGCAUACAUUUGGCUGACAAUUAUUAACCACUUCAUGAUAUGGUUUCUUACCCUUAAUCAAUGGUUUCUAAGUGAAUAUAUGCAGAAGGAAAUCUGAACUGUAGACAGCAGUAUUGAUAACUCUCAAUAUUCUUUAUAUAAGAGAAUAAACAACGUCAUAGUGAUCGUCGCCUACAAGAAAGGUACAUUUCCCAACAAGAUGUAGUGGUGACUGCUACAUGGACGCAAUUAACUCGUAGAAAAGGAUAAGACCAGUGCACGGCAGCUCUUAUUUUACAUGCUAAUUAUGCUAACCAAAGUCACUCAGUUGGGAUGGGAGGGAGAUGGAGGUUUGUGCGGUGGCUUGUGGGGCGGAGUUGGUGGCUUCUUUUCAGGAGCUUGUGGCUUUUUCGGAGCUGAAGGAGGCUCAAUCUUAUGAGGCGGCUUGUACGAGUCUUCUUUACUCUCGACAGGAGGGUGACCAGGGUUGUGACCAUAAUGUGGUGGCUUCUCUCCCUUAGGUGGCUUGCCAACUGGGGUUGGUGGCUUGUGUUCAGGAAGUUGUUUCUCUCCCUUGGGAGGUUUACCAAUUGGGGUUGGUGGCUUGUGUUCUAGGAGUGGUUUCUCUCCCUUGGGAGGUUUAGUGGGUGACUUGUGUUCUGGAGGUGGCUUCUCCACCGGAGACUUGUGUUCUGGAAUUGAUUAAAAAAAUUCUACCACUCUUUUAAGUAAUGGAAGAUUAUUAUCUCUGAUUGGCACCACAACAGCACAUGCUGCUAGAUCUUUCUAGACACUCCAUGCAAUGAAAGCACAAUGGAUCUUGUAACGAUAGAAACUAAGCCAUGCUACAGUACUAGAUGACGAGGUAAAACUAGUAGACAUGGGUGGUAGUUGAUUACUACUCAAAAAGUACUCUUUUAUAGUUUGAAACUAACUGUUUUAAACACUUUUGAGUAGUAGUUAAUAAAUUUUAACUCAAUUGGCACAUUAAGGAACCUAGCAAGGGUUACUAAUAAACUUUUGGCAAGUUUUGGUGUUUUUGGUAGUUAUUCGAUCAUUGAAACAAGCCAAGAAUGAGGGAGAAUUUUGUGAAGUCCAUGGCAAUGCAAGUUAAAGCUCAAAUACACGAAGAAUCCAAGCUUUGGAGCACUACAUAGCCCUUUGCCAAGCCAAUUAGAGAUGCAAGGAACAAAACCAAAGGAAGAAAUCCAACAACCAACAUUUUCGCAUGGUUGUGUGAAAUUUCGCACACCAUGCGAAACCACAAGAGGUAGCCAAAGAAUUUCACAUGGUAUGCGAAAUCUUCUCAUGCACCGACUCCGUUAGAUUUUUAUCUUCAGAUAUUUUGUGUAAUUUCCUAGUUUCUCCUUGUAACCAACCUAGAUAUUUUCUUUUAUAUCUUUUUUUAUAUUUUUUAGGUAACAUCAUAUAUAAGGGGAGAGACAUAAGGAGGAUAUGGAUGUUUUUCAUAGAACACUUGUAAAUUUUCAGUAGUAAGAAAUAUACAAAGCUUUUUGCUAUGCCUUACCUUCUCAUUUUGUUUUCACCUGUCUUUCUAGCCAAACAACCUCUAAGGAUGAUUUCUCAGGGGAUGAGUGGCUAGGUUUUACGUUUCUUGGAGUGAGGGAAGCUAGGUGAAGGACCUGAAUGCAAAGAUGAGAGUUUUCCUUGCUUUAAAUGAAAGUAGUUGUUAAACAUUAAUGGUUUUUAUUUUAAGGUUUAGCUUUAAAUCCCUUAAAAACACCUUGAAUGACCAAUACUUGGUAAGCUUUUCGGAUUCUAUGGAUGCUUAUUGCUAGAUCCAUGGAUGUCUAUUAGUUAUCAUUUACGAGCCUUUGGAAGGUGAUUCAAGGUGAGGGUCUUUAGUGUUUGAAGCCAUUAAUGGGAAGCAAUUACCAUUUUUUCAUGAAUCCUUUGGAUCAAAUCUUAAUUGCUAAAUAUAAAACCGAUUUGGGAAAUAACCAUCCUUUAUGUUAUUAUCCCCAACGCAAGGAGAAGAUCCGGAAUCUUCCCUUUUGUCUAAGGAACCCGAUCCUAGUGACCUAAAGCUCCAAGAGACCUUUUCUUUGUAGUUAACUUCAUUUAUUGUUUUUGCUUAACUUAAAAUCAAUCUUUGCAACCACAAUUCCAUUUUCUUUAAAAGCUAAUUUUUAUAAGGAAAAACACCAUUUUAUUUCCUUCACUAAGUCAACUGUACGAUGAAAACCCAUCCCUGUGGACGAUCCUAGAGCCAUUAUACUAUGUUAGCUAUGCUACCCUAGUGUGAGGUGAUUUAGGUUUUAUAAAUUUUGUUGAUAACACCCAUCUGAGCCAGAAUCAAAUGGCACAACUGAACCAGGGACGAAUCAAAUGGCGCCGCUAUCGAGGAUGGUGCCAAAGUACAUUGACAUGACUUUUGGUGAACACUUGUGAUCUUCAUCACAAGUUUGGUGAUUUUUCUAUUACUAAUUUUUUUCUUUGUUUUUAUUUUAGCUUAUCUUUUAUUUAGUUUUUAGCUAACCUUAACUUUUUCUUAGAAUUGUAUUUCUUCUAUUUUCUUUGUUUUUGUUUCAGUGAUCUUUAGUUGUGCAUGCCCUAUUGGAUAAGAAAUAUUGAGGGAAUACUUGUGAAGAUUGAAAAUCCUCGAGAAACUGAGUUGGAAGUGUGAUUGAACAUCAUGGAUGUUCCACCUGAAGACCAGAAUAGCCAACAUGGUUAAGAGGAUAAUUUCAAAGCAUACCGAUCCAUGAGGGACUGCAUGCAUCCACCUCGUAUGAGUGCACCGUCAUGCAUAGUGCCUCCCACUGAGCAACUAGUAAUCUGACCUCACAUUGUGCCACUCCUACCUACUUUCCAUGGGAUGGAGAGUGAGAAUCUCUACUCGCAUAUUAAGAAAUUCGAGGAGGUUUGUAAUACAUUCCAAGAAGGAGGAGCUUCAAUUGACUUGAUGAGGCUCAAGCUAUUUCCUUUCACUUUGAAGGAUAAGGCUAAGAUUUGGCUUAAUUCUUUAAGGCCAAGGAGUAUCCGAACUUGGACUAAUUUGCAAGCCGAUUUUCUUAAGAAGUUCUUCCUUACCCAUAGGACCAAUGGUUUGAAAAGGCAAAUUUCGAACUUCUCAGCUAAAGAGAAUGAGAAAUUCUAUGAGUGAUGGGAGAGGUACAUGGAAGCUAUUAAUGCUUGUCCUCACCAUGGCUUUGACACAUGGCUCUUAGUGAGUUAUUUUUACGAUGGUAUGUCUUCUUCAAUGAAGCAACUCCUAGAAACUAUGUGUGGAGGAUACUUCAUGAGUAAGAAUCCGAAGGAAGCCAUGGACUUUUUGAGUUAUGUGGCUGAAGUUUUAAGAGGAUGGGAUGAACCAAAUGCUAGAGAGGUGGAAAGAAUGAAGUCUCAACCUAAUGCUAAGGGUGGGAUGUAUGUUUUGAAUGAAGACAUUGACAUGAAAGCAAAGGUUGUAGCUAUGGCAAGGAGAUUGGAAGAGCUAGAAAUGAAGAAGGCACAAAAAGUGGAAGCCAUUUCUGAGACAUCAGUGCAAGCUAUGCCUUGUUCCAUUUGUCAACCUAAUGCUAAGGGUGGGAUGUAUGUUUUGAAUGAAGACAUUGACAUGAAAGCAAAGGUUGUAGCUAUGGCAAGGAGAUUGGAAGAGCUAGAAAUGAAGAAGGCACAAAAAGUGGAAGCCAUUUCUGAGACAUCAGUGCAAGCUAUGCCUUGUUCCAUUUGUCAAUCUUAUGAGUACCUAGUGGAGGAGUGUCCUACAAUUCCAGUAGUGAGAGAGAUGUCUGGUGAUCAAGCAAAUGUUAUUGAUCAAUUCAAGCCUAAUAAAAAUGCUUCAUAUGGCAACACCUACAAUUCAAAUUGGAUGAACCAUCCAAAUUUCUCUUGGAAACCAAAGCUACCUCAAUACACACAACCUGCUCAAGCACCUUAGCAAUCCUCGAAUCUUGAACAAGCUAUUGUGAACCUUAGUAAGGUUGUGGGAGAUUAAAAGUCCAUCAAUGCUCAACUGAAUCAGAGAAUUGACAGUGUAGAGAGUACAUUGAACAAAAGGAUGGAUGAGAUGCAAAAUGAUCUGUCUCAAAAGAUAGACAAUGUCCAAUAUGCAAUCUCAAGGCUUACCAACCUCAACACAGUGCAAGAGAAAGGAAAGUUUAUUUCUCAACCUCAUCAAAAUCCCAAGGGUAUCCAUGAAGUGGAGGCUCAAGAGAGAGAAUCUUCAAAGGUGAGGGAAGUCAAAGCAGUUAUCACCUUGAGGAGUGGUAAAGAGGUUGAUCAACCCACAUCCAAGCCAAAGCAUAAUGAAGAGAGUUUUGUAGAAAAAGAAAAGAGAGGAAAAUAAAGGAAAGAGAAUAGAGAAAAGUACAAAGAAAGAUGACCAUGAGUCUAGUGUGGAUGAAGAGCCCAAGAGGAUAGUGAUCAAGGAAAAUAUGAUGAAGAAACACAUGCCUCCACCUUUCCCCUAAGCUUUGCAUGACAAAAAAGGAACCAAUAAUACAUCGGAAAUUUUUGAAGUAUUGAGGCAAGUGAAGGUCAAUAUCCCUUUGCUAGAGAUGAUCAAACAAGUGCCGACAUAUGCAAAAUUCUUGAAGGACUUGUGCACUGUAAAGAGAGGGUUGAAUGUGAACAAGAAAGCUUUCUUGACCGAGCAAGUGAGUUCCAUCAUACAGUGCAAGUCUCCAGUGAAGUACAAAUAUCCGGGCUACCCUACCAUCUCAGUGAGUAUUGGAGGUACUUGUGUGGAAAAAGCUUUGUUGGACUUGGGAGCAAGUGUGAAUUUGCUACCCUACUCUGUCUAUAAGUAGUUGGGACUUGGAGAGUUGAAGUCAACAUCCAUCACCCUAUCUCUGGCAGAUAGAUCAGUGAAGAUUCCAAGAGAGAUGAUAGAAGAUGUCUUGGUUCAAGUUGACAAAUUCUACUAUCCAGUGGAUUUUGUUGUUCUUGAUACGGAUCCGAUUGUCAAAGGAACUAAUUAUGUUCCUAUCAUACGAAGACCCUUCCUAGCUACAUCAAAUGCAAUCAUCAAUUGUAGGAAUGGAGUCAUGAAACUCACGUUUGUCAACAUGACAUUAGAGCUCAACAUCUUCCAUUUGUACAAGAAGCAUAUCCAUUCAGAAGAAAAAGAAGGUCUAGAGGAAGUGUGCAUGAUUGACACUUUAGUGGAGGAGCAUUGUGAUCGACAAUGCAAGAAGAUUUAGUUGAGAGUUUUGGGGAUCUUGAUGAAGGGUUACUUGAACCCUCAGAUUUGCUUGCUACCCUACUCCAUUGGAGGAAGAGAGAAGAAAUUCUACCCUUAUUCAAUGAGGAGGAGACACAAAGAGCUGCUAAAGAUAAGCCCCCAAAGCUUAUUCUUAAGCCACUACCCACAGAGUUGAAGUAUGCAUACUUGGAAGAAGACAAGAAGUGCACUGUUGUUAUAUCUUUAGCUCUUACCAUUCAUCAGGAGGAUUGUCUACUUGAAGUCCUUAGAAGAAGUAAGAAGGUAAUAGGGUGGCAAAUUUCUGAUUUGAAAGGGAUCAGCCCUUUUGUCUGCACCCAUCAUAUUUACAUGGAGGAUGAAGCUAAGCCAAUUCAUCAACCUCAGAGAAGGUUGAACCCUCACAUGCAAGAAGUGGUGAGAGUUGAAGUUCUUAAGCUACUUUAGGCUGGUAUUAUUUACCCCAUAUCAGAUAGCCCAUGGGUGAGUCCUACUCAAGUUGUGCCAAAGAAGUCGGGGAUCACGGUGGUGCAAAAUGAUAAGGGAAAAGAUGUCUCUACAUGUCUCACUAUAGGUUGGAGGGUGCGUAUCAAUUACAGGAGGUUGAAUGUAGUGACAAGGAAUGACCAUUUCUCGUUGCCCUUUAUUGAUCAAGUGCUUGAGAGGGUCUCUGGGCAUCCUUUUUAUUGUUUCUUGGAUGGCUACUCGAGGUAAUUUAAGAUAGAAAUUGAUGUUGAAGACCAGGAGAAGACCAUUUUCACAUGCCCAUUUAGAACCUAUGCAUAUAGGAGAAUGUCUUUCGGCUUAUGCAAUGCACCCACAACUUUCCAAAGAUGCAUGUUAAGCAUUUUCAAUGAUAUGGUGGAGCAUAUUAUGGAAGUCUUUAUGGAUGAUAUCACCAUAUAUGGAAGUGCAUUUGAUGAAUGCUUGGUCAACUUAGAAGUUGUUCUGAACCGAUGCAUUGAGAAAGACUUAGUGCUUAAUUGGGAGAAGUGCCAUUUCAUGGUACACCAAGGGAUUGUCCUUGGGCACAUCAUCUCCAAGCAAAGCAUUGAAGUUGACAAAGCAAAGGUUGAACUCAUUGUUAAGUUGCCAUUCCCAACAAAUGUCAAAGGAGUAAGGCAAUUCCUUGGCCAUGCCGGGUUCUAUAGGAGGUUUAUCAAGGAUUUCUCUAAGCUUGCAAGGCCUCUUUGUGAAAUAUUGGUGAAGGAUGUUAAAUUCAUAUGGGAUGAUAGAUGCCAAAGGAGUUUUGAAGAAUUGAAGCUAUUUUUGACAACCUCACCAAUAGUGAGGGCUCCCAACUAGCAACUGCCCUUUGAGGUAAAGUGUGAUGUCAAUGACUUUGCUAUAGGAGCUGUUCUUGGGCAAAGAGAAGAUGGAAAACCUUAUGUGAUCUACUAUGCGAGCAAGACAUUGAAUGAGGUGCAAAGAAACUACAUAACCACCGAGAAAGAAUUGUUAGCUGUAGUUUUUGCCUUGGAUAAGUUUCGUGCUUACUUGGUGGGAUCCUUCAUCGUGGUUUUUAUUGAUCACUUUGCUUUGAAGUAUCUAUUGACUAAGCAAGAUGCUAAAGCAAAACUGAUUAGAUGGAUUUUCUUGCUUCAAGAGUUCAAUCUCCAGAUCAAAGACAAGAAAAAAAUGGAGAAUGUGGUAGUAGACCACAUUUCAAGGCUAGCUAUCGCACAUAAUUCCCAUGCUUUGCCCAUUAAUGACGAUUUUCUAGAGGGGUCUCUCAUGUUGGUGGAAGUUGUCCCUUGGUACGCUCACAUUGCUAACUACCUGGUCACAAGAGAAGUUCCAAGUGAGUGGAAAGCACAAGAUAAGAAGCACUUCUUUGCAAAAAUUCAUGCCUACUAUUGGGAAAAGCCAUUUCUAUUCAAGUAUUGUGCGGAUCAGAUAAUAAGGAAGUGAGUUCCUGAAGAAGAGCAACAGGGGAUCCUCAGUCAUUGCCAUAAAAAUGCAUGUGGAUGCCACUUUGCUUAUCAGAAGACAACCAUGAGGGUGCUGCAAUCGGGUUUCUGUUGGCCAUCACUUUUCAAAGAUGCCCACACCAUGUGCAAGAGUUGUGAUCGAUGCCAGAGGCUUGGGAAGUUAUCAUGUAGGAACAUGAUGCCUUUGAACCCCAUUUUAAUAGUUGAUCUUUUUUAUGUUUGGGGCAUUGACUUCAUGGGACUUUUCCCUAUAUCUUUUGGCUACUCUUACAUCUUGGUGGGAAUAGAUUAUGUUUCUAAGUGGGUUGAGGCAGUCCCAUGCAAACACAAUGACCAUAGAGUGGUUCUCAAGUUUCUUAAGGAGAACAUCUUCUCAAGAUUUGGGGUGCCCAAAGCCAUAAUUAGUGAUGGGGGUACUCAUUUUUGCAACAAGCCUUUUGAAACUCUCCUAGCCAAGUAUGGGGUGAAGCAUAAGGUAGCUACACCUUACCACCCUCAAACUAAUGGGCAAGUUGAGUUAGCAAACAAGGAGAUUAAAAACAUAUUGAUGAAGGUGGUGAACACAAACAGAAAAGAUUGGUCAGUCAAGCUCUUCGAUUCACUAUGGUCAUGUAGAACAGCUUACAAGACCAUUAUCGGGAUGUCUCUUUAUCACCUAGUCUAUGGAAAAAAUGCCAUCUCCUUGUGAAAUUGGAAUACAAAGCUUGGUGGUCAAUCAAGAAGCUCAACAUGGAUUUGAGCAGAGCUGGGUUGAAGAGGUUCUUAGACCACAAUGAGAUGGAGGAAUUGAGAAAUGAUGCCUACAUCAAUUCAAAAAUUGUAAAAGAAAAAUUGAAGAGGUGGCAUGAUCAGUUGAUUUCCCGCAAGAAUUUUCAAAAUGGAUAAAGAGUCUUGCUCUAUGACUCUAAACUCCACAUCUUUCCGAGCAAGCUGAAAUCAAGGUGGAUAGGUCCUUUUACCAUUCACCAAGUGCAUUCAAAUAGAGUAGUGGAACUACUCAACUCCAACAACAUCGGGAGCUUCAAAGUGAAUGACCAUUGUCUCAAGCCCUUUGUAGAGUCUUUUUUCUCGCGACAAGGAGGAAUUCAUCCUCCUUGAUCCACAUCAAGCUUGACAAGACCAGUUUUUUUUUAUGGACUUAGUCUUUCUAAAGACUAUCGAGUCCAUAACUUUUUAUUUUAUUUUUUAUUUGAGAGUUUUUCGGUAUUAUUACUUGUUUUGUUUUUUAUUUUUCGUUUUACUUUUAUUUGGUUUGAUUUAACUUAGAUUUUUUAUGAUCAAUUGCAGGGGGGAUUUCAAAUAGAGGAAAAACCAAGAUAAUUCGCACACCCUGCGAAAAUUUCGCAAGGCAUGCGAAAUUUAUGGCUCAUUUCGCAUGGGAUGCGAAAUUUCGCACACCCUACGAACCAAUUUCGCACACUUUGUGAAAAUAAACCAACCCUACGAAAUCAUUUCAAAUACUCUACGAAAUUUUCGCAGAGCAUGUAAAAAAUUUCGCAGACCAAACACCAUUUCGCAUACUAUGCGAAAAUGUAAGGGGUCUACAAAACCAUUUCGCACCUCCAAAGCCAUUUCGCACAUUGUGCAAAAAUGAAAAGUCGCCCUAUCAUCCAUUUUUAAACCCCUUGAGCCCUGAAAUCCCCAUUUCGCAAGCACCCCUGUCCUUGCGAAUCCCUCAUUUUCCUCUGCCACCUUGCGACCUUGUCCCUCUCCAUUUGAUAUCGUGCCCUGCGCACAUCUCAUUUCAAAGACUCGCACUCUGCGCCCUCUCAAAGCACGAACCCAAGGCUCACAUUCCAUUUCCGACAUGGCACAGACCCGAGGAGCCCUUCCCGCCCCUUCAUCGAGACGCACACCAAGGUAGAGAGCCUCUUUUGCUCAGAUGCCAAGUGAUUCUCCAUUUCAGGCCACGGAGGCCCUGCGGAUUCCACAUUCCAAGGGUAGAACAGCCACUGGUCCUUCCUCUUCUAUUCCUCAGCGUAGAUAUGAGACGAGGAGACCACCUACUACACAAAGGGCGACUACUUCGCGCCAUGAGAAUUCGGUACGACACCCUCCUGCCAAGAGGGCCAGGACUUCAGGCCCAGGCGAGUCAUCCAAAGCUUCACAGCCUGAGCCUCCUGCAGAUUCCGAGGUUCCUACUGACAUAUCAUCGGAGUCUAUUAUCAAACGCCCGAUGCUCACAGCACCGCCCAUUGAGGGCAACUCUGAUUGUAGAGCGAGACCUUUCCACUUGGAGCUAUAUUUUAAUUAAGAGGCCAUGCCACAGCAGCCUGAGCUCCAAGACUCUUAUGGCUUACUACAGAGGUACCAUCUUGAGGACCUUAUGACUCCUCGUGAGUUCUUUUAUCCCAGAGUAGCACUAGACUUUUACCAGUCCAUGACUACUCGUGGCGUCCCGAGUCCUACCGCGAUGCACUUCACCAUUAAUGGACGUCAUGGUAUCCUCGAGGCCAGACAUAUUGGAGAGGCUCUACAGAUUCCUUUCGAGCUAGAGGACCCAUCUGUUUUCUGCCAAUGGUCCCCAAUAUCUCAGAGGGACAUGGUCCAUAUUUUAUCCAGGGGGACAUCUACAUAUUCGAUCCUUCUACGGAAGGAGCUUCGACCUGGGAUACUCCUCGUAGAUGUGGUGCUACUUUCCAACCUCUUUCCCUUUUAGCAUUCGAUACAUAGGCGAGGAGCUAUUUUGGACGCUUUAUUCUGUAUAUCAGAGGGCUUCUACUUUGGCCCGCACCACUUGAUCAUGGUUUCCCUCAUCCAUUUUGAGGAGAAGGUCCAUAGAAAGAAGCUUCAGAGGGCGAACACCAUUCCAUUACUAUUCCCGAGGUUGCUCUACUAGAUCUUGGAGUACAUGGGCUUUCCUACUGAGCCUCGGCUUGUGUGCCGCCGCCUUUGUCAAGAGCGAUCCACUCUCGACAAAUGGAAUCAGUUGGCGGGCUAUUCUACACCUCCAGGAGCCCCUCCCAUGGUAGCACCUCUAGUGUCCCCACAGGCAGAGUAGGGCAAGCUCCCGGUAGAGACUGCACCCCUAGUGCCCACACCUGAGGCUACUUCUGCUGUUCCGCCUACGACUCCUACUGUUCCACCAGUUGGUCCUUUUACAUCUGAGUCUUCCAUCAACAUCUCGACUUCGGAGUUUCGCGCCCUUGUGCAUACCUUUCAGACACUCACCACCACACAUACUGCUCUCUUCUAGAAAAUGGCUGAGAUGCGUGCCCAUCAGGACCAGCAGACUACUAUACUCCGCCAAAUUCAACAGCACCUGGGACUUCUGCCUCUGCCUCAGCUUGACCUUCCCACAUCAUCAGAGCCUCUAGCUCCAGUUGAGGAUACUAUUCCACCUGAGGACACUACCACAGUAGAGGUUCAGAUUCCACCACCUCAGGAGGCCACCACAGCUACAUUAGAGGAUGCAUCAUCUCCACCUGAGGCUCCCACUACUUGAUCAUAGGACAUCUCUUUAUCUUAUUGUAUUUACAUAUUAUAUUACUGGAGAUUUGUCUUUGUUUUGAUACUUUAUAUUCUGGCAUUGAAUGUAUUGCCUAAUGAUAUCUCAAUUGUACUUUCUCAUAUUAAUAUAUAGACAUCAAUUUUUUUUAGUAUACUUAGGAUUUUUCUAUUUACUCUACUCAUUACUCUUUUGUUUUUUUUUUUUUACUCAUGUGGUUUCUCCUAUACGACUCAGACUCCAUUUCACUCAGGAGGUACCACUUCUUCCCUUUAUUUUCAAUUGCUCUUGAAACAUUGAGGGCAAUGUUGAUCUUGGUUGGAGGGAGAGUUGAGGAAGGAAGUGAUUACUACUCAAAAAGUGCUAUUUCAUAGCUUGUAAUUAACUCUUUUAAAACACUUUUGAGUAGUAGUUAUCACCUUUUAACCCAAUUAACAUAUUAAGGACCCUUGCAAUCAAUUCUAAUCAAAUUGUGUUAAGUUUUGGUAUUUUGAUAGCUUUUUUAUCACCAAAGCAAUCCGAGAUUGAGGAUAUUUAUUUGGAAUCCAUGGCAAAAGAUGUUUGGACAGGACGUCCGGACACACCAUCGGAGGGCGGCGGAACGUGGGCUGUGGCAGGCUGUCGGAAUGACGUAGCAAGGCUUGUGCACUUUAGCCAAUGAUCGGGAUAACAUAUCCGAAAUUCUGCUCCGCCGACAUUCCACCCGGAUGUCUCACAUCCGGAAUUCUGCUCCGCCGACAUUACACCCAGAUGUCUCACAUCCAAAAUUCUUCUCCGUCGACAUUCCAUCCGAAUAUUUCACAUCCGACGCUUGACGCCGGAUGGGAGAGGAGGGCGUUUCAACUUCCCCGGUCAGACAUAUCCGAAUCCUUUGAUAACGCUUACCCGGAGAGUUUCGCAGCCAUUUUGCACAGUGCCGCGGUGUUCUCUUGAAGCUUCCCGAUAUGUGCGACCGACAUUUUGAGAUAUUUUGCUUUAGAUAUUUGAUGUCUAAAUCCCCAAACUCUCCUUGUAACCCACCAAUUAUAGGAUUCCUUAGUUAUUAAGUUUGGAAAAAUGGUGAAUAACCCCUUAUAUAUAGUUUGCAAUUUUCAUAAAAAAGAUAUGUAGAAUCUCGGGAGCUUGUUCCCAGAGAGACGCAUCCUUUGUACAGUUUUGGAAGGAAGUAAAAUACAGAGCACUUGCUCUGCUUUUCAUAUAUAUUUUUGUUUUCUCGUUCUUUUUAUUUCUAGCCAAUCAAAGUCUGAGGAUUUUUCCUCAGAGGAUGAGAGGCUAGGCUCUUCGUCUCUUGGAGUGAAGAAAACUAGGUAAGUUUCCACAUGCAUAAAUUGAAAGUUUUGUUGUUUUAGUUUUUAAUGAAGAGAAAGUGUGACCCGUUAAUGGUUUUUAUCUUUUUAGUUAACUUAAAACGCCUUUAAAUCACCCGGGCCAACACUUGAUAAGGCAAGUGGUCUCCAUCCAUUGAGAUGCACUAGUUUAUCUCUUGCGAGCCUUUGGGAGGUGGUUUGAAGGUAGGAUUUUCUAGAAUAACCAACACUUGAUAAGCUUUUGGACUCUAAGGAGACAUCCAUUAGUUAUCUCUUGCGAGCUUUUGACGGGUAAUCCAAGGUUAAAGAUCACCUUGAAUGGCAAGUACUAGGUGAGAGGUAUGAGCCAUUGCAAGAUGCAUUAGUGAGAGGGAUUUAGUGUUUGAACCCAUUAAAGGGAAGCAUCUGUACCACACCGGUUCGGGAAAUAACUAUAUGUUAAAUCCCCAAUGAGAGGAAAAGAAACAAGUGACCGGAACUCCCUUUUUGUAUAAGGAACCUGAGCCUAGUGAUCUAAACUCCAAGAAACACUUUUCUUUGUAAGUAAAAUCAGUUACUAUUUUUGGUUAGUUUAAAACCAAACCUUUUUCAUUCAAACAUCUUUAUGUUUUCUUUUAAAGCUAACCUUGAAAUGAAAAGGCACCAAUUCAUAUUUGAAUUAAUAUCAAUUGUGAAGUGAAAACCCAUCCCAGUGAACGAUCCUAGAGCCACUAUGCUAUAGUAGCUUUGUCUUUGCUACCCUAGUUCAUGGUUUAAUAGGUUAUAAAUUUUGUUGAUUACUCCCACAAUCAAAGGAGCACCAGUUGGACAUGAAUCAACUGAGACACUAAUUGGGCACAAAUCAGGAAGUUUUGUUAAUAAUGCUAGGUUAAUUUGUUAAUUUAGUUACUUUCUGCUUAAUUUUAAAAGUUUUCACUUUACUUUCCAUAGUUAUUAAGGAAAAAUUCUCAAAAUGAAAUGGGAGAAAUUGAAUUCUUACAUUUUUACUUGAAUUUUAGAAUUUGUAUUAUGCUUAUUGAAGCUGAUGAAUUAUUGAAACUCCUAUUGAAUUCAACCUUAUUUCUUCCACUUUAAUCUUACCACACACGGUGCACAUUAGGUUCCGAUUAUAAGAGGUGCGUUCUUAGCCUAUUGGAGGUUGGUCAAUUUGUUAAAGUUUGAGAAAGAUCUAGGUUAGGGGAGAGAGAAUAGUCUGACAUACUAUAAUCGAAAACUAAUAAACUUAACACUUAGAUCUUUGUGGAAGAGUAAGGAUUGGACCUUUGGGAGUGGAAAUUCGUUUGAUGCUUAAAUUUGCAUAAUGCUUACACUUUAUAAAUUGUGAUUAGGCAAGAGAUUUGAUGACUCUUGUUCAAGGUUGGGUUUUGCCUCUUUGAUGUUCCAUGAGAGAGUAUAAUCCUCAUCAUGCCACUUGAAAUUUUUUUUGGAGUGAUUAACAUGAUUUUGUAAAUUACUUUACUGUCUAUUUUUUUUUUAUCUCUCCUUCAUUGCUAAUGGACUAGCAAUAUGUCAGUUGAGGGGAGUGAUUACUACUCAAAAAGUACUCUUUUAUAGCUUGAAACUAACUGUUUUGAACACUUUUGAGUAGUAGUUAAUACCUUUUAACUCAAUUGGCACAUUAAAGAACCUAGCAAGGGUUACUAAUUAGUUUUUGGCAAGUUUUGGUGUUUUUGGUAGCUAUUUGAUCAUUGAAACAAGCCAAGAAUGAGGGAGAAUUUUGUGAAGUCCAUGGCAAUGCAAGUUAAAGCUCAAAUACAUGAAGAAUCCAAGCUUUGGAGCACUUCAUAGCCCUUUCCAAAGCCAAUCAGAGAUGCAAGGAAGAAAACCAGAGGAAGAAAUCCAACAAUUAGCAUUUUCGCAUGGCUGUGCGAAAUUUCGCACACCAUGCGAAACCACAAGAGGCAGCCAAAGAAUUUUGCACACUAUGCGAAAUUUCGCAUGGUAUGCAAAAUCUUCUUGUGCACCAACUCCGUUAUAUUUUUAUCUCAAAUAUUUUGUGUAAUUUCCUAGUUUCUCCUUGUAACCAACCUAGAUAUUUUCUUUUAUAUAUUUUUUAGGUAACAUCAUCUAUAGGGGGAGAGACAUAAGGAGGAUAUGGAUGUUUUUCAUAGAACACUUGUAAAUUUCCGGUAGUAAGAAAUAUACAGAGCUUUUUGCUCUACCUUACCUUCUCAUUUUGUUUUCACUUGUCUUUCUAGCCAAACAACCUCUGAGGAUGAUUUCUUAGGGAAUGAGUGGCUAGGUUUUACGUUUCUUGGAGUGAGGGAAGCUAGGUGAAAGACCCGAAUGCUAAGGUGGGAGUUGUCCUUGCUUUAAAUGAAAGUAGUUGUUAAACAUUAAUGGUUUUUAUUUUAAGGUUUAGCUUUAAAUCCCUUAAAAACAUCUUGAAUGGUCAAUACUUGGUAGGCUUUUUGGAUUCUAUGGAUGCUUAUUGCUAGAUCCCUGGAUGUCUAUUAGUUAUCAUUUAUGAGCCAUUGGAAGGUGGUUCAAGAUGAGGGUCUUUAAUGUUUGAAGCCAUUAAUAGGAAACAAUUACCAUUCUUUCAUGAAUCCUUUGGAUCAAAUCUUAAUUGCUAAAUAUAAAACUAGUUCGGGAGAUAACCAUCCUUUAUGUUAUUAUGCCCAACGCGAGGAGAAGAUUCGGAAUCUUCCCCUUUGUCUAAGGAACCCGAUCCUAGUGACCUAAAGCUCUAAGAGACCUUUUCUUUAUAGUUAACUUCACUUAUUGUUUUUUCUUAACUUAAAAUCAAUCUUUGCAACCACAAUUCCAUUUUCUUUGAAAGCUAAUUUUCAUAAGGAAAAUCACCAUUUUAUUUUCUUCCCUAAGUCAACUGUACGAUGAAAACCCAUUCCCAUGGACGAUCCUAGAGCCACUAUACUAUGUUAGCUAUGCUACCCUAAUGUGAGGUGAUUUAGGUUUUAUAAAUUUUGUUGAUAACACCUGUUUGAGCCAGAAUCAAAUGGCGCAACUGAACCAGGGACGAAUCAACAACUUAUAUGGGAGGGACACAAGUUUAAUUGAUUUGCAUUUCAACGUUAUAUAUAGGUAUGUUUUGGAAGAUUUGUUCUGGAAAUACUGCACCAAGUACGAUUCUUUUUGUCUUGAGUGGGUCUACUUGCAUGCCAAUUAACGAGUGGAAAAGUAGGAGCACCUACCUCAUGCUCGCGGAACCGAAGGUCAGUGAAGUGGGGCUCCUUUUGGCCUCUUGUGUUUCUAUUCCAACCAAGGCGGCGUAAGGAAAAACAACAAUAUGUUUGUGCUAAAUAUCAACGCAUGAUAGAUGUUUUUGUUUUUUGGUAUGUCAAGGCUAAUGAAUGAAAUGCUUUAGCUUGUUUUGUGACUGGAACUGCAAAUGUCCAAAUUGGAGUAUCUCCAUUUCUCACUUCGGAUGGUUAACUUAUAAACAAGAUAUAGGAAACAUGUGAACAUCUUGAGGAACAAUUUGAAUUAUUCAUUAGAAGUCCUGGGUUGAGUUCCAAGAUUUAAAUUAGACCCCUCUAGCAGCUUCAGGGGUACCUAGCAACCUAUAGCAUAUUAAUGAAGAUUUAGGAUUUAGACUCUAGAAUACAAAUUAAUAUGUAUCUCAUGCUUUGACUAGCUUCCCUACAUAUGCACAAAAUGGAGAUGACCUAAAAAAAUAGCAGAAUCUAGCUUCCCUACAUAUGCACAAAAUGGAGAUGACCCAAAAAAUAGCAGAAUUUCCUUAGUUUCUGUGGUUAAGGUGAUUCUCCGCUUAAUAUCACAUUGACUCAUUAUGCAAAAUCAACUGAGCUAAUUUUGUUUAUUUAUUUAAUGUCAAAUAGGAACUCCUAAUUAACCUAACCCUUGGCCUGUGUAAAUUGAUUUCACAUGCCCAAUGUUGAAGUAGAAGUCCAUAUUUUGAAUUUUAUUUUUGUAAAGGUAAGGAAAAUGAAGCAUUGUGUAAUUAUAAAAAUAACUUCAUUGGAAUUCACAAGGUUCACCCAAAAUGGAGCUACAUCCGUAUUCUAUCCUGCAGUAGACUAUAUAGAUUGUACAAUAGUAAAUUGCAAAUACAAUUAAUAAGUCUUGUGCUUCCUUACUAAUAAUCCUUUGACAUGAACAUUGCAGCACUAAGGUCCUCUUGGGAAGACACCUUGCACCCAUGAGAGCACGAAGAGGAAGCAAGGCAGAGUCAUGGGUGCAAUGUCAUGACUUGUUGUUGCACCAAGAGAGGCUUGGUGAUGGCAUGGUGUUGCAGUAGCAAGAAUGUUGCCUUGGUAGGGACAUAAUCUAGGGAUAGAUGCCAAGAAAGGCUUAGCACUCACAUGAGUUGCACAAAGAUGAAUGUAAUAGAGCAUCAGAGAGACGUCUUGGCAAGUAAAUGAAUGGAUCCAAGAGGCAACAACAUGAGGAGUUUCAAAUGGAUAAGGAAUGAGUCAAAGACAUUUGAAAGCUACAAGUUGGAUUCUAAUUACGAUUGCAAUUUGAGUUUGAGUAGGAGUUUAGAUUCUGAUUGUAAUUGUAGUAUGAGUUGGACUAGGAUUGCUUAUCCCUAGUCAAAAUAGGAGUGGUUCGUGUCACACCCUAUGAAAAGAGUUUGAGUAGGGACUAGGAUUGCUUACUCCUAGUCAAAUAUGGAGUAGGUGGUGCCACACCUAUAAAAAAAAAGGGACAACAUGAGAGAGAGAGAGAGAGAGAGAGAGAGAGAGAGAGAGAGAGAGAGAGAGAGAAAGAGAUAAUGAAUUCACUAAAGAUAUUGUGGGAGUUUUUCUUUGUUACGUCUUGUAUUAUUACUUAGAAUAGGAAUAAAAUACAAGUUUGGGCUAGAGCCCCAUAAUUAAUCUCGUGUGCCUUUGUGGUUAUUCUUUAUUUGUCAUCUCGUGUGGAUUGGAUUACAUUGACUUAGAGGGCUUCUAAGCACCACCUUUGUGGGUUAUUAUUUAUUUUCCAUUUCUUGUGGAUUAGAUUAGGUUGACUUUGAGGGCUUUUAAGCACCACCUUUGUGGGUUAUUCUUUAUUUUCCAUAUCGUGGGGAUUGGAUUAGGUUGACGAUGAGAAAAAUUAUGUGGGAAAUUUGUGUUGGGACACUUAUCAUAACCAGGUAAAAUCUGCCAAGUCCUUUGUAAUAUCUUCAACAAAUAUUUCAGACUAGUUCUUCACCAUAAACAUCAUAUUGUGUUUUGUUUUUCUCCUGGAUUCUGAGUUGAAUUGUUUCAAGUCAAUUGAAUGCAUCUGAAUAUUAUUAGCUUGUUUGAAGGCCUGGUGAUUUUCCAUUUAACUUUACUUUCUUUAGGUUAUGCUCACUAUAAGAAAAAUGAGAAAUAAUGACGCUUUUUACGCGUUAAGAAAGGCAACAGAUGAUGCUUCUCUAAAGCGUCCUCUUCGGCUCUGUCAUUAUAUGUGUUAGCCAAUAAUGACGCUUCUAGGAAGUGCCAUCUUUGAAUAAUGUUAAUAACGACACUCGUAAAAAGUGUCAUCUUUAAACAUAUUCUGGUCAAAUAAUUUUUACAAAAUUAGUAAUCUUCAAGCCGUUUCUGAAUCAUAUCUGAGCCUAUUUCUGGGGACCAGAAAACCAUCUUUUUUCCAUUCGCCUGAGAGGUCUGAUUAGCAUUUCUGGAAUCAAUCUCUAAACCCAAGCUUCCCUCAUCUACCCAUUUAACCCUCAUGCCCUCCUGUUUGAACAACUUUCCCACUAUAUACACAAAUUUUUUACCUUCUGUUGUUGGUAUUCGACCUCUUCCCAUUCCCAGCACAGAAUCCACCAUUAGUGCCACUUUGUGAAUAAAAUCAUCGAACCAGAUCUUUCGGGCGGAAGAUGAGCUCCAGAGAAAUAAAAUUUUUGGGGUCUUCCCAGCAUGAAAGUCAUAGGUAGCAUUAAUGACAUCAAGAAAUGGGGCACUGUUGAGAAAAAACAUGUUCCCAUCAACCACCCAAGAAUUGUACCAGACUCCAAACACUUCUGGAUUACAUAUGCCUUUACUAAGAUAUAUUUCUUGAUCUCCAUAUCAGAAUCUUGGAGACUCUUCAUUUUAUGAGCUCUGACACUACUGUGAAAUUGGUCCACAUCAAUCACAGGAUGACCCCUUCUAGCAAGAUCAAGCAGGAAGUCUGAAUUCGGGCCCAUAAAAAUGUAGUUCUGAAUAUUGAAACUCUCAAAGUGGCACAACAAAUUCCUUAUGACUCUUUCAGAUGCUCCAAACAGGCUCACAAGUAUAAUGGUAUCCUGUUUUUGCACAGAGUAAAGAAAAUAUCCGAGUUCUUCAAAACUCCUUACAACUAUUCCAGGAUGUACUUCUUUGAAACAGAAAUCGUACCACUUUAGCUUAGUCAGAGGUUGAAUCUAAAAUAACAAAACCCAAACUGAAAUCAAAAUCGAAAUCAACCCUAAUAGAUUUCAGAAACAACAAAUUAAAAGAGUAAAGCACAAAAGGGGGAAAACACAUAUGAAGCAAUCUCCAUACAAGCCCUAACCUUAGAUAAACCCAAAAAAAAAAAUCAAAGCAGAGAGUUACCAUAGAGCAUCUCUGUUUCAAGCUUAGAAAAUGUUUAAUGCCAUUGAUAACUAGUUGGCUAGUGGUGGACUUCAAGCUUCUCUAUUUCGGUGUUAGUAGCUCUCAAUGGCUAUGGUGAGAACAAAGAAAUGAGAGGCUUAGGGUUUGGGAUGUGAGGUUAUUGAUGAUGAUGAGGAUAAAGUUAUGGGCUCUUGGAGGGGUUAGGGAAAUUGAAGAUGGCUGAGAGUAAAGGCUAGGGUUUUUGAGAUAGUUAAUAGCUUUUUAGGGUGUGACUGUCCAUAGAUAGAAGAUAAAUGAGGGUGUGAGAAUUUAUAGAUCUCUAGGUGAUAUGGCGGGUGUGAGAAUGAAAUUUUAGAGGGAAUUGUGUGUUUGGUAGAAAUUUCACACAUGCAUAUAUAAUGUUUCAGAACAUGGCACUUUAAAAAUACGACAAGGAAGAAAUUAUUUAUUGACGCUUAAAUAAAGCGCCAAGGUCUCCAACAUUUUUGCAAUCAAUGACGUUUGUAAAAGGUGCCAUUGAAUAGGAGUGCCAUUGCUUUCCCACAAAGCAUCAUUGUUAAUCAAGCCUUUAAAAAACGCCAAGAUAUGUUGCCACUUAGGUUAAAUAUUGACGCUUUUAAAAAACGCCAAGGAAAAAAACGUCAUUAUUCAUGUUUUUUGUAGUAGUGGCUUGAUUCCUAAAAAGUAAAGGAAAGCAAAAAGUAAAAAAAUAAAAAUGUGGAGAGUUAGGACAUGCGUUAUCUAAUUGUCCUAGUCCCAAAUAUAUUAAGAAAGUCAUGUAGGUUACUUGGAGUAACGAGUCAAGUAAAGCAAGCCUUCUAGUGUUUAAGACAUUAGAUAUUACCGAACUGAUUAUGUCAUUAAUGUAUUGCAUUUGUUGUUUCUAAUAUAUAGAAGAAGAUGAAAUUAUUGGAAUAAGUGGGAAAUAGGAAUAAAUCCAAGGUACCAAAAAGUCACUUUAUCUUAGAUGUUGUUGGAAACAUAAGUGAUUUCACAAUAACGACUAUGAGACAAUCAAGGAUUAAUAAGAUAGACUUUAUAUGAUAUACCUCCCAAUUAGAGCCUAAAAAUAUGGAUGAAGCACUUAGAGAUGAAUCUUCAAUUUUUGUACUAUAGGAAGAAUUAAAUCAAUUUGUUAGCUAUUCUUUGGAUAUUUGAUUCAUCACAAGCUACAAAUCACUUUUGAUGACCAAACACGAAACUAAGAGGAUUGGGCCCAAUUCGAUGCCUAUCAACAAUGAUUUGUAUUCCACCUCAUUAAUUAUUCAAAGUUGGGAAGCUAGGUCUAACCACUUUCUCUACCUGUUCACCCUUAGAGGAGCAGAAGAAAAUUCUAACUUUGGUGCCUAAUGCCUUUGACAAUCUUUCGACAAAGAGAGUUCACUAAUUACUUUGAUUAUUUCUCUGUUGGUCACUGGGGGACAAGACUUUUGUAAUGAAGUCAACUAGAACUUGCCCUUUGAGGGCCAUUCAUGGACGAUAUUACACCAUGAAUUCCCUUAGGUCAUGUUUGGUAUGUGAGAAUGAGGAGUGGAAUGGACAUCUUAUUCAUUUUUUCAUCUAUUCAAAUGUUGGGAUAACUCAAGUGACCAUGAGAAUGAAAUCAAGAAUGAUUCAAGGGAAAUGAAAUCUUACUUAUAAGUGUGAUUUCAAUUAAUCUCUAAUAGAAAUUAUUUUGAAUCAAUAGUGCAAGUUAUUUUUAAAAACAUUUUUCCAAAAUUAAAAAAAUCAAUUUUUUUUUUUUCGAUAAGUUGUUUUUAAAAGGAUUUUUUUUAUUUUGUAAAAAGAAAAUUGUAAUUCAAUUUAUAUAAUAUAAACUAAAUUUUAUUUUAUUCAAAAAGAAAUAAUUUUUUAAUUAUAAAUAAAUUAAAAAUAAAUACUUUUAAUAAAAUAUAAAUAGUAUUAUUAUAAUAAAAUCAUAAAUAAAUUUAAUUUUUUUUAUAAAUAUUAUAAAAAUAUGGAUAUUAACAUUGGAUAAUUGAUUUAUUUUGUUAAAAUAAAAAAUAAUAAUUUUUAAUAUUAUUUUAUGUUAAAUGAAUUUUAAAAUAAAGAAAGUUUAAUUAUUUUAAGGUAUAGAAGAGCCAAAUUUUGCAUUACAUACAUAACAAACAAUAUUUAUUAGAAACAUUUCUCAAGGAGAAUCUUAUUCCAUCUCACAAAGAUACUCGUUUAUUCGAUGUUUGACCAUCCGUAACAAUCAUGUCAAUUCUACUGAUUUAAUAAUUCCUUUACAUUUAUUACUCACUUAUGAACAUGGUAUUGUGAUUUAUUUAUUUAUUUGAUGUAUAAUUAAUUAAUCAAUUUUUUAAAUUUCAAAUUAUUUUUAAAAACUAUUCAUUAAGGAAUUUAAAGCAUUAAUUAUGUCUAUUAUUUUUUAUAGUCAUUAUAUAUAUAUUGAGUUUUAAUUUAUUUUUAAAAAUUAUUAAACUUAUUAAUAAAUUCAAUAUAAAGUCUCGUUUCAUUUGAAAUUCAUUUCUUUAGUGAAAAUUUUGAAAAAAAAAUUGUUAUUUAUUUUACUUUGUUUUAAAAAAAUUGUUUCUAGAGAACAAUAAUCAAAUAAUGGUAUGAAUUUUUAAAAACAAUUUUGUUUUUAAAUCAUAUGCCCAAAUAAUUUUUUUUUAUUUAGCAAAAAACUUUGUUGUAGUAUGUGGCUCAUAUUGAGGGAAAGACAUAUAUGGAGAAAAAUGUGCAAAUGUUGGAGUGGAGCGGAGUGGAAUGACGACAUUUGUCAUUCAAACUUGUAUUUUUAUUGUUAAGGGUGACCGAUAGGUUGGUACGGUUUAGGGGUAUUUUUGGAAUUUCAUUACCUGAGGGUUAGUAUAAAUACCAUUUUAUGUAACCCUAAUUUUACAUAUAAUGUAAGUUUUCUUCCUUGUUCUUGUGGACAUAGGCAAUCCGUCGAACCACGUUAAAUCUGUGUGUUUUUUUUUCUUUUUUCUUUUUCUCUAAUUUCUUCACCAGGAAUCGUUACACUAAGAUCAACAAACUCUCAAAGAUGAUUUUUAAAAUGAAAAAAAUAAUGUAUAGUGUGAGAAUUUUUUAUUUUUUAUUUUUUUAAAAUGAAAAUAAAAAAUUGCUUUAAGGUAAAAGUGUGGAUAUUAUUGUUAAUUUAUUUCAUUUUUCAUUUUCAUUUCCAUUGUUACCUACAAUUGAAAUGGAAACAACUAAUCAUUACAACCUUACAUUCUUAUAUGCAUCCAAAUACAAAAAUUGAAAUCACCAAAUUCAUAUUCAAGGCAAAAUAGGAAUGAAAACAAAUAUUCAUUCUCAUUCUUUAUUCCCACGUGUCAAACAUGACCUCAAAGUUAUAAACAUGAACAAGAAGUCCUUGAAACACCAAUGAUCUCUUCUGGUAUAUAUAUGAGCUUGAUUGACAACUGUUUUAAAUACAGUUUUUUUUUUUUUUGUUUUCAAAAUCAAAACAAAUUUAUUUUUAUUUUUUAUAAAUAGUAGUUUUUUAAUAUUUUUUUUAAACCUUAUUAUGAAAAUAGGAUGUUUUCUAAUAUCAUAUUUUAAUUAUUUUCAAUUAUUUUCCCUUCUUUUAAGGAGGGCUAUUUUAAAAAUAUGAAAAAUGAUACAAAAUAAAGCAUUACAAAUAAAAAUCAUUUUUAAGAAAUAUAUGAAAAUAAUUUGAGAACAUUUGAAGUUCCUUAAUUAAACUUUUGUUCUAGAAAAUGCAAGAAAACUGUUUUUGAAAAUUGUUUUCAUAAUGAUAUGCAUUGAUCGUUUAAAAUUUAAUUACAUGAUAAAAAGACCUAUGUAAAAACCAGAGUUAUAUAAUCAGUCAUAGAUCAAAUCUACUAAAUAUGAAAAGUAAGUACAUAGUUGUAUAUGACUUAGAUGGAGCCUUCUCCGAAUGACAUUCUUUAGUCGGUACUCAUAUUUUUUUGUUUCGUGUCUUCAACAUAACACCUCAUGAUCCUUAAUAAAUCACCUGAAAACUAUAUUAGCACCUUAUUGUUUAAUAUUUCUCUAAAUUUUUUUAUUAAGCAAAUAAAUUCCAAAUUUAAAAUGACAAAUAAAAUUUAUUAAUUUUUAAAAAUAAUUUAAAACUCAAAAACCAAUUUAAUUGAUAUUAAAAGUCAUGAAACUUAAUAAUAUUAGAAAGUCAUGUAUCCAAAUUUAUUUUAAAUGACUUGUUUAAUUUCUUGUUUAUAUAUAUUAUAUUUUUAUAAUUUUUUUUACUAUACAAAUAAAUUUUAAAUUAAACAAAACUUAAUGCGUUGAAUUCAUUAACGAGUCUAAUAAUUUUUAAAAGUUACUUAAAAUUUAAAUACUAAAUCAAUUAGUACCACAAAUUCAUGGAAAAAAAUUGAUUUAUUACUACUAUAUUGUUUCUCUAUUGCAUAGAACCAUUAUUUUUCAAUUUUUUCAUUUGGCAAAUGAACAUCAAAUUAAACAAGACUAAGUGUAUUAAAUUCAUUAAUGGGUCUAGUAAUUUUUUAAAAUAAUUUAAAAUUCAAAUAUUGAUACUCCAAAUUAAACAAGACUUAGGUGGUGUUUGUUUUUUGGUUGAAUAGAAAAAGGUAAAAUAUUUGACUUUUUCUAUUUAGUUAAAAGUAACUUGUUGACAUCGUCCAAUAUAAUUAAAGUAAACCUAUUGAGGGCAAGUUCACUUUAAUUAUGUUGGACGAUGUCAACAGGUUACUUUUAACUCAAUAGAAAAAAUCAAAUAUUUUGACUUUUUUUUUAACUCAAAUAAUAAAUCCAUUAAUACAAAAAAAUUAUGGAUAAUUUGAAACUUUCUUUCUUUUUUUUUUUUUUUUUGCUACACAUAGCUAUAUUUUUAUAAAUUUUAUCAUUAGAGAAAUGGAUUUCAAAUCAAGUGAAACUUUGUAUUGAAUUAAUGGAUUUAACAUUUUUUAAAAAUAAUUUGGAACUAAAAAAAAAAGAUUUAAUUACUAAGAAAAUCAUAGAUCAAAACUAAUAUAUUCUGAUCCAUGAUUUUAUUAUUUUUCCUAUACAUACAAUUAUAUUUUUAUAAUUUUCUCACUAGGUAAAGAUAUUAUAAAUUAAGUGACACAUAAUUAAUAAUUUAAAUUUUUGAAUGAAUCUUUUAAUUUUAGGAAUAAUUUGAAAUUUAAAAAGUUGAUCCAAUUAAUUGUAAAUUAACUUAAAAUAUUAUAAAAUAUUAUGUUCAUAAUUAAGUACUAAAUGUAUAUAUGUAAUGAAAACUUAACUAGUUACAUGUUACAAAAGCCAAAAUUUAUUCAUUCUUUAUUUUAAAUAAAAUAUUAUUAAUAAUUAUUUUUUUUAAAAUAAUAUUUAGUAAUUAUUGUUUUUAAAUUAUUAUUAUUAAUUUUUAAUAAAAAAAUUGCAAAGUUAUUAAUAUCAUUAUAUUUCUAACAUAAAUUUAAAUAGUAUAUUUUUUAAUAUAUAUAUAUAUAUAUAUAUAUAUAUAUAUAUAUAUAUAUAUAUAUAUAUAUAAUUUAUGAUUUCAUUAUAAUAUUUUUAUUCAUGAUUGACGAAAAAUUAUUUAUUGUUUAAUUUAUUUGAAUUGCAAAACUAUUUUUCAAAAUUCAAGCGAGAAAAUAGGCCUGGAUUUGAAUUUCCUGUAGAAGAGAAGGAUGUGGAGAAUAUGUUGGGAGUAUUUGUGGAUAAAGAAAAGGCCAGGGUACUGAGAAAGGAGAGAGAACUUGCUCUUGCCAAAAGAGCCCUGCACAGGUAUUCUACUGAUUCUAAUUAUCGGUUCUUACAUGAUCAGAUUUCAGAUUUAUUUGCUGAGCUUCUGAAAUCUGAUACAGUAUUUAAACUCCGGUGAGCUUUACAAGAUUAGUCUCGCAUCCAAUUCCAAAUGGUGUCCCACAAUUGAUUCUUCUUAUGAUAAAUCCACCUUGAUAUGUGAAAAUAUUGCUCGAAAGGUUUAUCCUCGCGAGGAAUAUCCAGAAUACUAAGGAAUUGAGGAGGCUCACUAUGUUUAUAGAGUCAGGGAUAGGUUGAGAAAACAAGUAGUUGUUCCAUUACAUAAGGCCCUGGAGUUGCCAGAGGUUUUCAUGUGUUCGAACAAGUGGGGAUCACUUCCCUACAACCCUGUGGCUUCAGUGGCCAUGAAAUCAUACAAGAGCCUCUUCUCAAACCAUGAUACAGAGCGGUUUGGUGAGUAUCUUGAGAAAGUGCAAACUGGGAAGGCUAAGAUUGCAGCUGGUGCAUUACUUCCCCAUGAGAUUAUAGCUUCAUUGAAUGAGGAGGAUGCCGAGAGAGUUGCCGAGCUUCAGUGGGCAAGAAUGCUGGAAGAUUGAUCAAAGAAAGGGAGGCUCACAAAUUGCAUUGCAGUAUGUGACGUAUCAGGAAGUAUGAGUGGAACUCCAAUUGAGGUGUGUGUGGCUCUGGGGCAGUUAGUUUCAGAGCUCAGUGAAGAUCCAUGGAAAUUAAGGUAAUGUAAUUACUUUCAGUGCAAAUCCUGAGCUUCACAAGAUCCAAGGAGACAGCCUUGUAUCCAAGACUGAAUUUGUGAGGAUGAUGGAAUGGGGUGCCAACACUGACUUUCAGAAAGUUUUGACAGAAUCUUACAAGUAGCAGUGGAGGGAAAUAUGAGUGAAGAUCAAAUGAUAAAGAGGGUUUUCGUUUUCAGUGAUAUGGAGUUCGAUGAAGCUUGUGGGAGGUAUAACUAUUGUGACUAUGACUAUGAUAUGGAGGAAAUUGACGAGAGUCAGAAGGCAUCUCAGAAGUGGGAGACAGAUUAUGAAGUGAUACAGAGGAAAUUCCAGGAGAAAGGAUACAGAAAAGUUCCAGAGAUAGUGUUUUGGAACCUUAGAAACUCAUCAGCGACUCCAGUGACGGCCACAGAGAACGGGGUGGCCUUAGUAAGCGGGUUUUCAAAGAAUCUGUUGACCUUGUUUUUGGAAGGAGGUGGAAUUCUGAUCCCUCAGGAUGUGAUGGAAUUCGCCAUCUCUGAUGAAGAUUACAAGAAACUUGUUCUAUUUGAUUAAGAUAUCAAGAGAUUUAUCAAUAAUAAUAUAUUUUUUUUCUAUGUGAAAUACAUAUAAUAUUAACUGUGGAGUUAUCAAAGUUCUGGAGGUUUAAUUAUUUCUUCUUUUCAAGUUUUGUUUAUUUAAGGUUUUCUUUGUCUUUGUUAGGAAUUCCCCUUGGGUGGACCCAGCUGGGGAGUUGGAUUGAGGAAGUAAGCAGGCGAACUUGUGUUCUUCUAUGGACAGAGAAAAAAAAUAAAAUAAAAAAAUAAAAAAGGAGGUUAUUUGCAUUUGGAUGUCGUGGUUUGAGGGUACAACUACAAGCUCGAAAUUGUACAUAAUGUGAAAACUCCUGUGUCCAUUGCUGAGAACAGCAUAAAUGAUGGUGAUUUUCAAGUUGUGCCUGGUAUUCUACAGGAUGAAACAAGAAAGGAUCCAGGUGGUAUAUUGAACAAUAUCCCAAUCAUGUUGGUGGCAUCUUUAUUUAGUUAAUGGUAUUCAUUUGGUGGAAGCUGGUUGUUUAUGAUGUUUUUAAUUUUUUUUAACAUGAAGUUCGAUCAAAUACGUAUCUUAGUAUGUUUUGUUUGAGCUAAUUGGCAAAUGCGCUUUAAACAUGGUCACAUGGAUGCAGUUUUAUUUGUGAAAUGAUAAUAGUCGAUUACUUGGUCAGUAAGGUUUAUAUCUCUAACUUCAACAUCUUAUUGUAGUCUUUUAAAAUGUCAAAAGUUUAAUGCUUGAGAAAUUUUGGAAUGGAGACAUUCUAAACAAAGUUAAUAAUCCACAAGACUUGGUAAAACCGAUCAGAUGAUGCUUACGUACAUCAAUGCCUUCUUUAAGCCAUAUCCUAUUUUCAUUGAACGGGAUGUGCCAUCUAGUUUGGUUCUUUAAGCCUCCAAAUCCUAAACCUAGUCUCAAUUUAGAGCAAAUUUAGGGUGCAGGGCCUGCAUGCCUCCCCCUCCCCCUUCCACAAAUAGUAGUGACCUUGCUAUGCCUAUGCAUUGUCAAUGCCUCAUUUUCUAUGGUCUCCAAUGUAAUAUCUUAGUUUCAAUGUCUCUUUCCUUACUAUCUCCAAUGCAAUAGAUUGAUUUCAAUACCUCUUUACAACUAAGACCUCCAAAUUUUCUUGGUUCAAACCUACCAGAAUUUUUCUUCUCCUUUGCUUUCUAUCAAUAUUAGUUCCCCUAAUUUAAUAUAUACUUCUUUAUUACCUUCAACUCUACCUCUCUUUCUUUCUCUAAAAGCUUCCUCAAAGAUUUAAUUGCUUUCUUGCAUGUUUUAAGAAAACAAACAUGCUCAUAUUACAUUACCUCUACUUGAGAUCUACCUUAUACUCUACCUUCUUUCUUUACCUCCUAUAUCAUCUACUACAUUAGCUUCAAAAAUAUUAUUUAGUUUGAUACUAAAUAAGGCUCCUAAUCCUACUCUUCCUUCAACAAACUUUCUUUUUACAAGUUCCUUAAACUUUAUUUUUUAUUUUUUAUUUUUUGGAAAUUCGGGUUAGAAAGAUUCCAUUACUCUUACCUAAUAUUUCAACCAUCAAGUUGAAUCCACUUAUUGCCUAAAUCCAAGGAGUCUGCCCUCCACAAAAACAAGGAAAUUGAUCCCACAAUAACAAGGAGAUUGCCUUCCACAGAAACAAAGAGAUCUCCCUUCACAGAAGCCGAAUACAUUGCAAUCUAUUUUCUUUCUUGUAAGAUCAAAUCUUCAAUCGAGCUCCAUCUUAUGGGGGCAUAUUAGAGAAAUUUAAUAUUAUCCUUAAUUUACAUAUUAAUAUUUAUCUAUUUAUUAUAUAUUGAAUUAAAAUAGAAUAUAGAAUUUGAAUCAUAGUAGAAGUUUACUAUAAGAUUGAAUUACAAUAGUUAAUAGAGUUUAAAUUAUAAUAACUCAAAUACAUUUAUAUAUAUUUGACCUUACGAGAUUUUCUAUUUAUGUAUUUGAACUACAAUCCUUAUGAUCCUUAGGUCUCUAUACCUUCGUGAUGGGCUCCUUGACAUUUCAUAGGUUGUGCUACACAUGCAUUUGAAAUUUAGAGUGCAUUUGACAGUGAUUCUGGGAAGUGUUUUUGGCAUUUCUAACACUUAAAAUUUUUUAUUUUUCAAGUAUUAGAAAUGCUACAAACACUUUUGAAAAUUACUGUCAAACACACUCUUAGGAGCGCAUAUAGUAGAAAACUAGAAAUUGUGGUUUUUUUAGGAUUUACUGUAAUGUCAUUAGGAGGGUAGUAAGUUGAAACUGAGUAUGAAUAAAUAUUUCUUUCUUUGGGAUGUUCUUCUGGUAGGUGCUGAUGAAACUGUUCUUUUUACUGCCAAUGUCACAUAUCAGCCAGAAAUUGAAAAUUUCAGUCAAGGUGUCCUCGGUUUUAGUGGUGAGGAAAGCUAGAAAUUUUAAGGUGAAGUUCUGUUAAAAACCUUAAGUAGCUGGGAUAUCAGGCCUGUUUUGCUUGAAAAAAAAAGUUGCAAGAUAACUCAUAUGCCAAACAGGUUCUGAUAUUGUGAAUCUAUCGGCAGACAUCAGUAAUCUCAUCUUCUGAGAUGGAUGUUGGGGGUGCAUGUGGUGGUGGAGGGGCAAGGUUUCAUUUGGUUUAUUUUGUUGAUGGAUAUUGUCUAGCCCCCUGCGCCAAGUUUGAGGGGUGGUGGGUUGUGAUGGCCCUACAAUUACUAUUAAUUUCUUCCUCUUUUACCGAUUAAAGUGUCCGAACAGUCGAAGUUACCCUUAUGCAUGUCAACUUGAUCACUUACCUCUUCAAUGGAGUUUAUGCUGGUUCAUUUAGGAACUGAUUUUUAUUGUUAUGCAUUCUAUGCUGAUGUUUAGGCCUCUCCAUCAUCACUAUAUACAAAAAUUCUAGGUUGAUACUAUAGGUUGAGAUUUAUUUUUUAAAUAAAAAAUAAUAAAAAUAAAAAUUAUGGUGAUGUUUAGUUGUUUUAUGGAAAAUUUUAACAAGUUAUUUUUGGGCAAGUUUUCAAACAAAAAGAAAAGUAAAAGUUGUUUUGACAAAAACAUAUAGAAAAAAAAAAUCAUAGAAAAGAAAUAAUUUCCCCAUAUUCUAACUUUUUUUAAUUUUUCUCAAUGGGCAAAGGAAUAUCAAAUCAAGUUUGAGUAGGAUUUCUUAAUUUUUAAAAUAACUUACAAUUAAAAAAUUUUGGUGUUUUCAUUUUUGGACAAUUUUUUAUUAAGCAAAUGGACUCUGAGUCAUGCAAGAGAUAUGGUUGAUUAAUGGGUCAAACAAUUUUUUUAAAAUAAUUUAAAACUCAAAUACAUAAUCAAUGUCACAAAAUUUAUAAACAAAAAUAGGUUUAGAGAAGAUCUACACAUAAUUUUACUUUUCUAAUUUUAUUUUAUUUUAUUUUUUUGUUGGAAAAUAGUCUUCAAAUCAUGUAAGAUUUAAUAGGUUAAAUUUGUUAACAAUAAAUUUUAAAUUAUAAAAUAUAAUCUGGAACUUAAAAAUCAAUUCAAGUAAUGCUAAAAAAAAUCAAAUUUGGUAUAGAAUGACUACGUAAAAUUUUUUACAAAACAAAUGAAUUUUAAAUCAAGUGAGAUUUAAUGCAUUAGAUUUUUAUCAAAUAUAGUAAUUUUAAAAUUUAAUUUGGAACUCAACAAUAGACACAAUAAAUACCAAAAAAUAAUGAACCAAAAUUGGUUUGGAAUAACUCCACAACCUCUUUUUUUUUUUUUUGGUGCACACGAAUUUUCUUACUAGGUAUAUUGCUUUCAAAUUGAGAAAGAUUUACUAUUUAGAUUUUUUUUUUUAAUGAGUUUAAUGGUAUUUUAAAAUAAUUCAAAAUUUCAAAAAUUGACUAAUUACUAUUAUAAAUUCAUAAACCAAGACUAAUUCAAAAUGCAUUGGGGGCUAAGGGGGUUGAAAAUAGGGACAAUGGGAUGGGUUUGGGACAUGACACUCAUAUCUCAUUUCCAUUCCAAUUACAUAGUUAUCUCCCAUCCUUAUCCCAAACUUGUGUUGGAGCAAGUUGAUUUGUUCCCAUCUUUGUUGAUGAAAUGACUAAUAACCUCAUCCCCUCCUUAUCUUAGAUGUACAUUUUGUCAAAUUUGAUCAGGUAUGAUUGAUCCAAGCCCUAACCCUAAUUGGUAAUGACUGGAUACUACACCUAAUUGCAUUCUUCUUUCGUCGCAAAAUAAUGAGAUUAUAAUAAUCUAGCAAAUAAGAAAAAAUAGUAUGGAAGUUCAAUUUAACACCAUAACUAUCAAUAAUUUUAAGCUUAUAGAUGACUUAAAUGAUUAAAAACUAAUGCAAAAUACCAAAAAAAAAAGUUCAUAUAAAGAAUUCACAAGAGAACAAAAUGAACAAAAACCAAAUAUGAACAUGGGUCAACAUUAGUUAUGGAUUUGGAUUCCUUUCAAGGCCAAUCUUUGAACCAAGACUUCAUCAAAUCUACUACUUCAAAGGCUUUUGUGUUCUUCUUGGGUUGUGCUCUCAAACAAAGACUUCAAGGUGAUGCUCUAGAUGAUUGCAUUACACAUAUUUAGGGUGGAGAGAUUGGAGAAGCUUGAAGAUGCCAACGAUGGGUACAAUUGAGUGGUCAAUAAGAACAAUGUAGCCUAUGACUAGUUUGAUGUCGUGGUACAAGAGUUUUAGGCAUUGAGGUUAAAGCAAGAGCAACAUGGAAUUGAUUUUGGAGUCUUUCAAUUAGUGUAAAGGAGGAAGAAGUGGUAUUGAUUCUAGAAAUAGGGUUUUAGGUGGUGCGUUAGAGGAUGAAGAAGAAGAAAAAGAAGGAUCUGUUGGAAUUAGUGUGAGUGUGAAGAGAGAAGUAUAUAAAUAAGGGGAAGUAAAAGCAAAGUUCUAAAAGCUAUAUUUUUUUUUAUUGUUGGUGUAUGGUUGCAUGAUUAUCCCUAUAAAUAAUAGGAGUUUUUUUGGUAUUCUACUAGUAGUUGAAGGAUAAUUUCAUAAAUUUAUAUUUAGAGUGGGGUGGGGUGAGUUGUGACAAAAUUCAUACCCGUCCUAAACCUUGGUUCAGAUUUUUAAAAUAUCCUCAAACUUAUCAUAUACCCAACUUUUAUAUUUCAUACUUGUCUUGAUAGAGGCAGGUUAGGCCGGGUUACUUGAGUAACCUACAUAAUUGUCAUCCCUAGUUGAAAUACACUUUUUUGGCAGUGGCCACCAACUGAGCUAGAAGCUUGAUCGAUUGACCUACAAGAUUAGUUCUCAUCAUUUUAAAAAAAGUUUUGGCCUUGGUUGUGAGUGCAAUUGAAUCUAAACUGGCAUUUCCUUAAUGCAUCUACUUCAAUCCUAAAUUUCUUACUUCCUAAGCCUCAAUUGUUGUUAGGAUUUUGGAAAGCCCAUUUCCUUAAAUUGUAAAUUUAAGAAAAAAUAAAAUAAAAGUGAGACAUUUCUUGAUUGAAUAUUGUUAAAGGUCCCUUGGCAUUAAGACUUGGUUGAAGCCUUGGAAGAUUAGUGGAACUCUCAACUUGUGUUUGAAUCUUGAGGAGAGUGGACGUAAGCCAAAAUUUUGUCAAACCAUUAAACAAAUUGAGUUUGAAUCCUCAUUUCUUGAUUUCUUAUUUAUUUGCUUUUUCUUAUUAUUACUUGAAUUGUCAUUUGCAUUCAUUAAUGUUAAAAUUGGUUAUAAUUAACCAACACUAAUUCUCUUUCCCCUUCCCUUUCUUGGGUGUAAACCUAGGUUGGAUUAACUAGAUUAAUUUAUAAAAUCUAUUAAGAUGGUAAAAGAAUAAUUAUUCUUAACACACAUAAGAUCAUCUUCAAUCAAAUGACUCAUUGGCUAAUAUGUUGAAUUUGCUUAUUACUUGCAACUCAAAAUUGUGUUCUAGUUGAUAUGUCAAGUCCCCAGUGUAUGGACAUUAAAUUUGUAGUACGUGAUGGUAAUUAGAUGGUCCAACUCCAAGAAAGUGAUUGAAAACUAGUUCAAGAAAGGUGCAAAAGGGAAUUGUUUUGGUAUUUUCGUUUUUAUUCUUGAAGGUGGCAGAGCUAAAAUUUGUGAAAUCAAGCAAAACAUACUGAAAUUACAUUGAAAGAAAGAAAAUGGGAGUUAAUGUCUUGCAGUAGAUGAUAAGGACUUCAUGCAUGUAGUAUGACCCAUGUCUUGGACUGAUGCCAACUCACGGUUACACUUAUACCCUUGGUUCUCUCUUUACUACCUUGGCUAACCUAGAUCAGGCUAUGAGAUAGGCUCCUCACCACACCAUUACUUGCCCAUUAAUUAGAGACAUUUUCAAGCACUGAGGUAACAUGGUGACACCAAGAGGGUUUAUUCCUCGCCCUCCUCGCCCUCAACAAGUCUAGACUUGGUCUCAAAAAAAUGGAGAAAAAUGAGGUGUCGUUAUGUAGAAAUACAACAACCAUGCCUUCCUCAUUACUUUGAUUCAGAAUGUGAAGGUGAAAUUGAGAAACAGAAACUCUUGAAACCAAAAUGAAAAUUGAUACUUUUACGAAGAAUUACAACAACAUUGGAGGAAGACUACAUUCUUCCUCUUUAUUCCUACAUUUCUACACUACUUCUACUCCACUCCAUAUUUCUACAUACAUCUUUAAUCAGUCUUCCCUCCUUUAUAUAGAGCCAUCUUCACACAAAUUCCGCAAGGUAGAAAAGAGGAAUGAAACUUGGAGCAAGGUUCGACUACUGGCUGUAGCUUGUCAAGGCUGGAAGUGAACCUUUUUUCUUGGCUUUUCUGGGCAUGGGUAGUAACUUGUGGGUUCCUUUUUGGGAUACAAAUGGCUAGAACAUGUGGCACUAUCUUGUUGGAUGAUGUGUCAAGCAUGUGGCAGCCAUCUAGUGGCGAUUAUGUCAAUUUUGGGAUGGAGAGUUGGCAUCCAAUUGCAAAGAAAUAUGACGUCUACCAACAGGCAAUGUAAACCUAUGUAGAUCAUAUGAAGAUAGAGAGGAAAAAUAUAGAAAUGGAUAUAUACCUAGAACUAGCUUUUUAUUAAAUGAAACGGAGAGCCAACAAUGAAGGAAAAUAAAUUUUUUUGGCUUAUAUCAAAGAGUUCACAUUGUGCUACCCUAGGUUUUCUUAAAACUUACUUUUAUGAUAACAAAAAAAAAAAAAAACAUUAUUGUUUAAUCCUUUGUUUUAAACGCAUGUUUAGCAAGUUAUAAAAUGUAAAAAUCUUUCUAAGUUCAAAUAUGAAGAUAUGACAUCAUUUCAAGCAAGAUAGUCUCUAGGAAUUAAUGUAAAGCUAAAUUAAGGUGAAAUUAAAUUAGUUCAAUGCAUUAAUUUAAGAAACUUGACCUAUCAAAAGUACAAAAUUAGAUGAAAUCCAUUUCAAUGGUUAAAAUGAUCAAAAUCAAACUUUUUCUAAGUAUUUUUUAAAAGUAUCAAUAUUGAAAGACAAUUUUAUAUUUAGUCAGAGUUUGGACAAAACCAAAAAGCACACAAAAUCCAAGCGACCAUCUCUAGCUUGGAUGGUCGCUUGAUCUCUAGCUUGUGUACUUGGAAAGCAACAUCGAGAUGAUAUAUAUAUAUAUAUAUAUUUUAUAUAAUAUUGUUUGUCCAAAUUCCCUAAAAAUUAGGCCACCACAUGUUCAUAAUUCUCCCUUCUUGAAUUUGAAAACUCGGACAAUUGGACAAUGCGACACCUAAGUCCGGUUUCUAAAUGCUAAAGUGAAAGGGUAGGUAUGGACCAUUGAAAUGUGAUCACAACUUUUCUCUGUAGCCAUGUUGUCUCUUUUUUCUUUUGCAUGAUUUUCUCACCUUAACAGAAUCAUAGACUUGUUUAAUCUCUAAAUGGGAUUAAUUUCAUCCAGCUUUAAGCUACUAUAUUAUAUCUAGGUGGAGGACUUUUAAGAGUGCAACCGACAUAGAGCACAUGCAAGUGGGUAUAUGGGACAUGAAAUUUCUUCUUAUAAAGAUUGCAUGAUUUUUAUAUUAGAGUUGUUGGGGCGCAAUGUAUGUAGCUUGUUUUGCAGUUAAAUUAAUUGGAUAAGUAGACAUUGGCGUUUCUAAAUCUACUGUGAAGUGCUUCAUGUACGUGUGAAGUAUUAGAAAUUUCUUUCUUGGCAACUUGUUUUUUCUUUGCGGUCUACUGAUAGGUUUGACUAAAAUUAUAUUCCCUGUCAUGCUAAUUAAUUUUCACGUGCAUGCUCAAAAGAAGAGUAUGACCUUAGUGCACCAAAAUCACUUUGAUUAAUUUGUGAUAGGUUUUUGUGCAUCAUGACAUUAGCCUUAUUCAUUUAGAUAAUGUUUAGUUUUUAGAAAGUAUUAAGAAAAGGAAAAUAAAUAUUAAGAAAAAUAUUCUUAUAUUUGAUUGUAUUAUGAAAAAUGUCAUAAAAAAAUCAAAUAUAAUUUAAAUUAAUUAAUAAUUUAUACAUUUUCAAAUUAUUUAAUCUUUAUAUUGAAGAUAUAAUAUAAAUGAAAUGAGUUUUAAGUAUUAUAUAAAAGUGAUUUAUUGAUCUUGCAUAUAUGUAUUUCUUUUUUUUUUCUUCUAUUUUUUUUCUUUAUUUUAUUUUCCUUAUGUUUUCCUCAACAUUUUCCGGAACCAAACAUAGCCUUAGGAAAUCCACAAUUACCUUCAACUGAGUAUAUUCGGUUGUUUUAGCAAUGUUAGGCUGCUAACUUGUGUUGGUACGAACCUGUUAAGCCUAAAGAUGUAAUUAGUUAGGAUAUUCUUUUCCCUCUAGUCUUGUAGCUCCACGUGUAUAGUUGGUUAGGACCUCAUUGUAUAUAAUGCCUGCCCUGUUAUUGUUGAAGACAACAGAGAUAAAUAAUAUUAACAUUUUUCCUCUCAUCUCUCUUUGUUUCCCUCUGUUUUCAUCUCCUCUCUCAUCUUGGUAUCAGAGCCUCCAUGGAUUCUUUCAAAGAAACCUCCGAAUCACCUUCUGCUAGCAUUGUUAAUGUGCAAAACCCAUUAUCUCAGUCAAACAACCUUCCUUCACCAGCAGCCACACCCUCUUUUUCUUUCUUGUCUAUGAAUCAACCUCUCACAGUGAAGCUGGAUAAUGGAAACUACCUCAUCUGGAAGAAUUAGCUUCUGAAUGUCAUCAUUGCGAACAGACUCGAUGAUUUCAUUUAUGGAACUCGACCCUGCCCUCCUUGAUUUCUCAAUCUGCAACAACAAACCCUCACUCCAGAGUACUCGGUCUAGCAGAGAUACAAUCGACUUCUAAUGAGUUGGCUGUACGCAUCCUUGUCCGAAGAUAUAAUGACUCAGAUUGUUGGGUAUUCAACAACUGUGGAGAUUUGGAACGUCCUUAAUCAGAUUUACUCUGCCUCUUCAAUGGCGUGGGUUACCGAGCUUCACACCAAGCUUCAAACGCUCAAGAAAGAUGGACUCUCAGUUGGUGAAUAUAUUCAAAGGCUCAAAUCCAUUUGCAAUAGUCUUGCAGCAAUAGGAGAACUAGUUUCUGAGAAAGACCAGCUUAUCUAUUUGUUCAAUGGAUUAUAUUGUGAGUAUAAUUCUUUUGUUACCUCCAUUCAAAAUCGAUCUGACCAACCAACUAUUGAGCAAAUCCAUAGCCUAUUGCUUAGCUAUGACUUUCGGCUUGAACAACAAAACUCUGUUUCUCUCCAUUAUGCCCAAGUCCGUAUGGCUCAUCUGAACAAGAAACCUUAUAAAUCAACUCCUCAACCUACAUUCAAUCAUAUUCACAUUCAACCUAGAUACUCUUCUCCACCUUUUAAGCCAACCACUAGUCAAUAUCAACCCAGGAUUUUGGGCAAACCACAACCACAACCAUGACAGCCUCAACCUCAAUGGAAACCACAUUUUUCAAUCCAGAAUCAAAAGCCUCAGUGCCAAAUUUGUGGUAAAUUUGGACACACUGCUCUUAUUUGCUUCCAUUGCACAAAUUUGAACUAUUCACCCCAACCUUCUCCUAAAUCUUUCAAUACUGUUCUCACCACAAAUUCCCAGCUCCCUAAUCCUCCAAAAUUUUCUUACCCUACAAUGGCUCAUCCUGCUGCUACGCAUAACACGAUUCCUGAUACAAAUUGGUACAUGGACUCAGGUGCUACACAUCACUUUACUCCGGACAUCAACAUGCUUGACACUGUGACACCAUUUAGUGGUUUAGAACAGGUGACAGUUGGGAAUGGUAAGCAACUCUGUAUCUCACAUCUUGGUACUGCAAAACUACCAUCCUCGUAUUCUCCUCUUGUUCUACAUCAGGUAUAUCACACUCCAAAAAUUUCAAAUAAUCUUAUUAGUGUUAGAAAAUUGUGUUCUGAUAAUAAAGUUUUUGUUGAAUUUUAUGCCACUCAUUUUCUUAUCAAAGAUCAAGUUUCGAAGAGAGUUCUCUUUCAAGGUCAACUUGAUAAUGGCUUAUACAAAGUUCAGUCGUCAUGCUCUCCUUCUACUAUUUCCUUUCAUCCUCAAGUUUUCAUAGCCAACAUCAAGGAUCAAAAUUUGUGGCACAAGAGACUAGGCCACCCAGCUUUAUCUGUUAUUAAUCAAAUCUUGGAUUCUUGUAACAUUGCUCGAACACAGAAAAUUGGUUUUAAUUUUUGUAGUUCUUGUCAAUUAGCAAAAAGCCACAGGCUUCCUUUUUCUCUGUCUCCAUCCAUUGCAGAAAAACCUUUUGAGUUAAUUCAUACAGACCUAUGGGGUCUUUCUCCUGUUCGCUCUAUUUCUGGUGCUCGUUAUUUUUUACUUUUCAUUGAUGAUCAUACUCGUUUUACUUGGUUUUAUUUGCUCAAAACAAAAGAUGAAGCAUAUCCUACUUUUCUCAAGUUUCAAGCUCUCAUUGAAAAUCAAUUUAAUACCAAGAUUAAGGUUGUCCAAUCUGAUUGGGGAGGUGAGUUUCGAUCUCUCUCCAUACUGUUUUCAAAUAUGGGCAUUGUCUAUCGUUUAUCAUGUCCAUACACCUCACAACAGAAUGAGUGGGUUGAGCGAAAAAAUCACCAUGCGGUUGAAAUGGGAUUGUCCUUUCUUGCUCGCUCGGGUAUGCCCUUAUCUUAUUGGCCUUAUGCCUUUCAAACUGCCACUUACCUUAUUAAUCGUCUCUCUACCCCUGUGCUGCACCAUCAAUCCCCUUACUUCGCACUCUAUCACAAAUUCCCAGCUUAUACUCAUCUUAAGGUCUUUGUUCCUCUUGUUUUCCAUAUUUACGCCCUUAUAAUACCCAUAAACUCCAAUACAGGUCACUGGAGUGUGCUUUUCUUGGUUGCAGUUCACACCACAAAGGUUAUCUAUGUCUUGACAUUCAUUCUAGCAGGGUGUAUAUUUCUCGCCAUGUGAUUUUUAAUGAAGAUUCUUUUACAUUCAAGAAUUUGAAAUCUUCUCUCUCUUAGUCUAUUUCUUCUUCCUCUUCUUUAUUAGUUCCUCUGUUCAUUUCCUUGCCUCCCCUCUCCCCAUAUCCUCCUAUUUCUCCAUCUAUAUCUCAUUCUUUUCUCUCUUCUUCUUCUACCUCUAGUACUUGUUCCCCUCUCGUUGCUCCUACCUCUCUUCCUCCCUCUUCACACUUUGUGUCCCAUCUAUUCCACCUCCUUCUCCACCUUCUUCGAGUGUGGACCUGCUUGUACCUUGUGUGAAUACAAAUUUACUUACUUUUUCUCGCACUCACAAUAUUCAUCCUAUGGUGACCAGAUCUAAGGGUUUGUAUCUAUAAACCUAAGUUGCUAUUGAGUGUCUCCAUAGGUUCUCUCACUAAGCCUACUUCCUUUCUUCAAGCUAUUAAAGAUCCUUCAUGGAAGCAAGCCAUGGAAUUGGAGUUUGCUGCCCUUCAACACAACAAGACCUGGCAUCUAGUUCAUUCACCUUCCUCAGGCAAAGUAAUUGGUUGUAAAUGGGUCUAUAAGAUAAAGCUUUAGCCUGAUGGCUAAUUGAGAGAUACAAGGCCCGCUUAGUAGCUUAGGGUUAUCAUCAAACUGAAGGUAUUGACUACUUCGAAACAUUCAGCCUGGUUGUCAAGCCUUCUACUACCGUAUUGUGCUCAGUCUUACUUUUUCCCAGAAUUGGUGUAUUAGACAGCUGGAUGUUCAUAAUGCCUUCUUACAUGGUGACUUAGCUGAAGACGUUUUCAUGGAACAACCACCUGGAUUUGUUGAUCCUCUCUAUCCUACUCAUGUCUGCAAGUUGGAUAAGUCUCUCUACGGUCUUAAUAGUCACCUCGGGCUUGGUAUACUAAGCUGAGUACUUCUCUACUACACUUGGGAUUUGUUACUUCUAAGAAUGACUCUUCCUUAUUUAUUUGUCAUUCGUCUCAUGGGUUACUUCUUGUUCUUGUCUAUGUGGAUGAUAUAAUCGUCACUGGGAGCCACUCUCCUCAAGUUACUCACCUUAUCCAAUAGUUGCAUCAUCAGUUUUCUUUAAAGGAUCUUGGUCAUUUACACUAUUUUCUGGGCUUGGAGGUUCAUCACACCCCUACUGGUAUUCACCUCAGCCAAGCAAAGUAUAUCACUGAUCUCCUUACCCGGGCGGCUAUGUUGGAUGCCAAGCCAUGUCCCACUCCUAUGUCCUCCAACACAUAUCUUUCUCUUCAUGAUGGAGUGGCUCUUGAAAAUGGUUCAGAUUAUUGAAGUUUUGUUGGUGCCCUUUAGUAUUGUACCAUGACACGCCCAGAUAUAGCUUUUGCAGUAAAUAAAGUGUGUCAAUUCAUGCACCAUCCCUCUGAUGUUCACUGGCAGGCUAUAAAACGUAUUCUCCAGUACUUAAAGGGCACAUCUCAUUUUGGUCUCUUCCUACAGCCUUCCUAUGACUUCAACAUCACUUGCUAUACAGAUGCCGACUGGGCUUCCUGCCUUGAUGACAAGUGUAGCACCAGUGGCUACUGCCUCUUUCUUGCCUCUAAUCUGGUUUCUUGGUCAUCUUCCAAACAAAAAGUGGUCUCCCGCUCCAGCGCCAAAUCAGAGUACCGAGGGGUAGCAAAUGGGGCUGCUGAAAUUGCUUGGACUGAAUCUCUUCUUUGUGAACUUUCCACCCACUCGACCUCCCCUCAUUGUCUGUGACAAUAUCAGUGCCACAUACUUAGCUGUCAAUCCUAUUUUGCAUGCCCGCACCAAAACAUGUGGAAAUCGACUAUCACUUUGUCUCGGAACGUGUUCUUCAACGCUCUCUCUCUCUCCAGUUUACACCUUCGGAUGAUCAACUUGCUGAUUGCAUGACCAAGCCUCUCUCCACCCAACGUUUCAUCACUCUACGCUCCAAGCUCACUGUUCUCACUAGACCAAUGAGCUUGAGGGGGGAUGUUAAGCCUAAAGAUGUAAUUAGUUAGGAUAUUCUUUUCCCUCUAGUCUUGUAGCUCCACGUGUACAGUUGGUUAGGACCUCAUUGUAUAUAAUGCCUGCCCUGUUAUUGUAGAAGACAACAGAGAUAAAUAAUAUUAACAUUUUUCCUCUCAUCUCUCUCUCUGUUUCCCUCUGUUUUCAUCUCCUCUCUCAUCUGAACCAAAUGAUCCAUGUUAACCUUGGCUUGGUUUGAUUUGGCUCUAUCUUAGAGAGCUCAAGGAUCACGUCAACUCUGGUUUCUACUAUUCAGGUCCAUUCCCAUAUGAACUGGUUCAAAUUUGAGAAAAUGGUAACAGACCUUUAGUGAUGUUGGUUUGGAGCCAGUUGCCAAACCCGCCCUGAGCUUUACCACUAAUGUCAAGGGAGAAAGCCUUUUGAACAAAAACAAUAGCUUCAAGAGACUGAAUCGUGGAUGAAAUCUGAUCCACAUUUCUUCUCAUUUUGGAAACAAAUGAGAACUUAACUAAGAAGAUUCUACGGCCUCAUAGUGCUUUUCCUGAUCUAAGGUUGGUUCGUUUCCCAAAUUGUGAGAUGCACGGGCCAGACUUCAGAACUCUCACGCUCAGGAGUGUAUCCACGUGGUGGACAUAAGAUGGUGGCUUAAGAUCUGGUGUCGGUGGCUUUACUUUACUAGGAGAGUAGUGUGUCUUCAUCUCAUUCACUGCCGGAGGGUGGCGUAAGCAGUGACGCUAAGGUGGGGCAUAGUCAAUAUCAUUUGCAUUUGACCAUUAUAGUUUUCUCCCGGCUUGAAAGUAACCUUAUCGUGAUAAAGGAUUACUAGCACUAGUUCAGAUGACAGUCAUGUUAAAUUCGGACCAUGUUUGUGUCACAUUAUCAGCAACCAUGUGUUUAUGGUUCAUGCUUUCUGCAACUGAAAUUGAAAUUGAUAUAUAACCAGGUGAACUUCAAUCUAAAUUCUGGAAGUACUCAUGUGAGCGAUGGUGCCCAUCUGCAGAGUCCAUCAAUUGAAAAAUGGAGUGAGUGUAUCUAUAAGAGGGAAGGCUUGGCAAAUGUCCAGUUUUCUGGGAAUUCAACAAGGAUCUAAAAUAGAUUGUUUUCUUUGCUGAUUUCAAUGGUUGAAAUUUGAGAAGAUUGUGUCCCACAUAACACAACUAUUACUGGUCCUUCUGUUGCAAUUUAUCCUCUAAGGCUCUAGCAUGUCUUCCAAUUCCCACUUCCCUGUUACUCCAGGAAAGCUAUUUCUGUCAUUGUGAAGAAGAAAAGAGAAUGUAGAUAUCGAUGCUUUUAAGUGACUGGAGCAUUCAUAUCAGGUGGUCUGCAGCCAUAUAUGCCACUUUGUGAAGAUUGGAACAGUCAAUCACUAGGCUAUAUAUUAGUGUGGCCCAGCCACUUUAAUCAAGGACAAUUCUUCAUACUUAAAAGUCAAAUUCUGCCUUUAGUCUCAUUAUAAAUUGCUGUUUAAAUAUUAAGCAAACAUUUGUUUAAUGCGAUUAAGACAGUACUAACUCAAUACUUGUUCUAUUUUUGGAUGGAAAUGCUUGAUGGUUUCAUCAUUGGAUGGGAUAAAGGUGCAUUCAUGAUUAUGAAUACUUGUAGUUAUAUUUUCAUUCUCUUUUUUCUCAAUGAGACUUGUUGGCACAAUUUUUCUGUUCAGAAACCUACCUCUCCAUGGAAAAUAAGUUGUGAUUGAUAGUACUGGAUAUAUUCAAGAAAGCUAAAUAUAGAUAGCACAAAAUAUUAUCGACAUAAAUAGCAUUAACAGCGUACGUAUGUCUCAGUGCUCAUCAGCCAUAAGCAUGGGGCAAACACUUACGAUGAGCAACUUACGUCAAAAUUCCAGAAUAGGACAUAGAAGUGACAGAUCUAUAUAUAUAGAACACUGCAUAAGAGUCACAAGAAAGGAAAUUACGGGUGCAUAGCAGCUCUUAUUUCACAUACUACUCAUACUGAUCAAAGUCACUCAGUUGGGAUGGGUGGGAGUAGGAGGUUUGUGGGGUGGCUUGUGCGGAGGAGUUGGCAGCUUCUUUCCAGGACCUGGUGGCUUCUCUCCCUUAGGUGGUUUGCCAACUGGGGUUGGUGGCUUGUAUGAGUCUUCAGCAUUCUCUGCAGGAGGGUGACCAGGGUUGUGACCAUAAUGUGGUGGCUUCUCUCCCUUAGGUGGUUUGCCAACUGGGGUUGGUGGCUUGUGUUCUGGGAGUGGCUUCUCCCCCUUGGGAGGUUUUUCCAAUGGGGUUGGUUUGUGUUCAGGAGGUGGCUUCUCCACUGGAGGCUUGUGUUCAGGAGGUGGCUUCUCCACCGGAGGCUUGUGUUCAGGAGGUGGCUUCUCCACCGGAGGCUUAUGCUCUGGUGGUGGCUUCUCCACCGGAGGCUUAUGCUCUGGUGGUGGCUUCUCGAAUGGGGGAUGCUUAGGGUAAUCAGCAAGUGAGGGGGCGGUGAGAACCACCAGGCCAAGCAAGACCACUAGCAAGUAUGUAGGAGACAUCUUUGGGUUUAGACUCAGAUGGUGCAAAACUAGGAGAAUUGUCUUUUAUAGCGGAUCGCACCCAAUAAUGAAAUGACACGUGUCUUUAUGACCCAUGUGUAAUGGGGUCGAUUUGGGUCCUACAGUGUUGAAAACUUCGACAUCCACUUUUGGCCUUUUGCUUUCUCUACAGCCGCCUUGCUUUUUCCCUCUUUCCUUUUGUUUUCCUCCUGCCCCAUUCUAUCAACUAAACACAAUUAUGUAGUUGUUUAAUUCUUAAAUGAGAUAUUAUCCGUCAAUCGUAUCAUAUUUUAUCAACAGAGAACGGAGUGCAAUGUGGCAAUCCAAAGAAAGAAGAUCCAUAAUGCAGCUGUAAUUUUAUCGUUUACUUUUAUCUCUUGGACCACUGCAUUUUUGUUAAGAGGUGCAAUAAUACACGUCUUUAUCUGCCAUUCAAUGUUUACAGUAAAGAGAGGGCACAAAACUCUUCACUGCUCUGCAUGUGUCCCAAAAAUGCAAUUGGACAAAUUAUGAUUUGCAUGCUAAAAAGAGGCAAAUGAGGUUAAUUCGCACCAUAAUUAUUUUGUUUUCUGGACCCCGGGGCCCUUUGGUUGGUUUGGGGGUCAGAAAAUGAACAUCAUAGGGGGUUUUUCCCUUAUGUGCAUUUGUAUCUGAUGGCUUUAACUCGCCUUGUUACUACAAAGAAAUUGUCACAUAUAGGAACUUAUUCCAGGCUGAGUAUCUCCGCAUAGACCCUAUAAAAGAAGACAAGUCAUAAUGAACAUCUAACCUUUGUUCAAUUUGAUUCAAUGCCCCAUUGUGUCCACCUCACAAAUCUGAAUUAUUAUAUCCAUUGAAUACAUAAAUUAAUGAAGAAAAUAUGAAACCCAAGAUACAUCUCUGCACAACCUCAACCCUGGUUGCUAUGUUUCCCUUCUAUUCACAUGAGGAUAUUGAUUACGGAAUAGGGAAACCUAGCAAGGGUUUACUCGGCUCUGGUUUGAUGCUAAUUGCCAAACUUGCAACAAGCCCUGAGUUUGAAGCUCACAGAAGAUGUUAUACAGGCAGGGAAAAACCUUCAGAGUUCGCUGCCAAAGAUAAUUAUUAAGGAGAUAUCACCAAGAGAAUUCCAAGGAGUCUGAAUCAAAGACAAAUUGGUCGUUCGUGGAGGUUCUUACUUUCUUUUGGGUAUAACUCACUGAGGGCACUGUCUUUUUUAUUUUCAUUUCACAUUUAGAGUUCUGUUCUGGAAACAUAUAAAAGGAGCAUCAGUUUGUUCUUGGGUAACCCAUAGUCGUGAGUGGGUCCAUUUGCAUGCUACUUAGUUGAAAAGUUGGACCAUUUGCUCCGACGCCUACCUCCUGGAUUCCAUGCUCGGAUAAAACAAGAAUAAAAAAAUAUUUAUAAUUUACAAAUGGGGGAAAGAAAAAAAUGUCAACAACAAACUAGGAAAAAAGAGUAGUAAAAUUCAUGUCACAUGCUAGUGAGAGAAGGGGUUGUUACACUCACUCGAAGUUCUUUUCAAAAUAUCGCAUGGUAUUUUAUUUUAUGUGUGAGCGCAGUUGUGAAUGGAACGUGCAAAAGUCCAAAUUGGUGACCUUUAAUAAAUAUUUAAAACAAAAAACGAAAAAAAGGAGGGAAAAGGGAUCAGAAAAGAUAAAACAAUGUGUACAAAAGCUCAAUUAGUUUGCAAAUUACUGUUUGGAUUUUGAUAGUAUUUUAUUUGAUGUAAAAGAGAAUUUAAGAUAUUUCCGAAACAAAAGCAUUAGUUUGCUCCAUGUCAAUUUCGGCAUUUCUCAUAUGUUUCACACAUACACAGAAGAGCAUCGUUUUUUAAAGCAUGCAUUUAUGUUGGAUUAAUUUGGAUUUUGUGGGAACUGGGGCAAGGAUCACAUGGAAGAGAGGUUGACUUUUUUCAGUACUUCAAUGGUUGAGACAGGUGAAGGCCUGAUUGAUACUGAAGCCUGAAAUUGCGACUCCGUCAUUUGUCAAAACAUAUGACAGCUUCCAUGCUCUCGUUUGGUUGCAUUGUUCUGUGGUCAUGCAUACAUGCCACUUAGUGAUCAGUCUGUAACUGUCAAUCAUUGGGCUUUGACUGAACAACAUCAGCCAUGUAUAAAUACUUGCAAAUCAAACGGUCUUCUUCCUCCCAUAAGGAAUUUCGGUUUAAUUAUGAAGCAUGCAUUUGGCUGACCAUCAUAAACCACUUCUUUAAAUUGAUGAAUGAUAGUUUUUCAUUCAUUCUUUCAUUCGUUCAUAUACAGAGUAUAUAUAGAGGGUAAUCAUCAUUCUAAGAAUGGGAAAGAAUGAUACAAGGAAAUAAUGAUAUAAAGAAAUAACAACUAAUAUUCUAAUAUCUCAACUUUCCUAAUAUCUAAACAUUCCUAAUAUCUCAACACUAAAUGAUAUAAAGAAAGAAUGAUAUAAGGAAAGCAUUCCUAAUAUCUCAACACUCCUCCUCAAGUUGGUGCAUAGAUGUCAAACAUGUCCAACUUGUCUAAAAAUUUUGAGAACAGUUGACUUGAGACAUCUUUGGUGAGGAUAUCGGUCAAUUGAUCUUCUGAUCGAAUCUUAGGCAAUUCCACAAUCUUAUCAUCCAACUUUUCCUUAAUGAAAAAUCUAUCCAUCUCGACAUGCUUUGUACGAUCAUGUUGUACUAGAUUAUGAGCAAUGUCACAUGCUGCUUUAUUGUCACAAAACAAUCGGAUUGGUUGCCUAGAUAGGUAACCUAAAUCCUAUAAGAGGAGUCUUAGCCAUAAUGCCUCACAAAGUCCUAAAGUCAUACCUCUAAAUUCCGCUUCUGCACUUGAACGAGCGACGACAUUUUGCUUCUUACUUUUCCAUGUCACAAGAUUACCACCUACAAAGGUAAAGUAACCAGAUGUAGAUCGCCUAUCAUCCACUGCACCGACCCAAACAGCAUUAUACUUCUAUACUCUGAUGAUCAACAUUUUUAGCGAACAAAAUUCCCUUCCUAGGAGCAUUCUUCAAAUACCUCAAAAUACGCAUGACUACAUUCAUAUGUUGCUCUCCAGGAUUAUGCAUGUAUUGACUCACUACACUCAAUGUAUAAGCAAGAUCUAGUCUUGUAUGAGCUAAGUACAUUAAUCUCCCCACAAGUCUCUGGUAUCUUCCCUUAUCGAUUGAUACUUGAUUAGGCUCAACACACAAUUUCAGACCUUCUUCUAUUGGUGUAUUAAUAGGUUGACAUCCCGACAUUCCAGUUUCCUGUAGAAGAUCUAAGGCAUACUUUCUUUGAGACAGAAAAAUUCCUUCACUUGAUCGAGAAACUUCAAUCCCAAGAAAGUAUUUCAGACGACCAAGAUCUUUCAUUUCAAAUUCUCUAGAUAGAUACUUUUGCAAAGCUUUUCUUUCUUCAGGAUCAUUUCCUGUAACUACAUGUCAUCCACAUAUAUCAUAAGUGUCGUAAUCUUACCAUGUUGCUUUUUCAAGAACAAAGUGUGAUUUGAAUUACUUUGAUGAUAGCCAAAAGCUCUCAUUGAUUUUGUGAACCUUCCAAACCAUGCUCUCGGGGAUUGCUUCAACCCAUACAAUGACUUCUUCAAUUCGCACACCUUCUGACAUUGCUUUUCUGACACCAUGCAUCCUGGUGGAAGAUCCAUAUAUACUUCUUCAGAUAAAUCGCCAUGCAGAAAGACAUUUUUUACAUCGAACUAUUGUAAUGGCCAAUCUAGGUUUGCAGCUAAAGACAAUAAUACUCGAACUGUGUUGAUCUUAGCUACAGGUGCAAAUGUCUCUGUGUAGUCAAUUCCAUAAGUUUGAAUGUACCCACUAGUCUUGCUUUAAAUCGUUCAAUACUACCAUCUGCCUUGUACUUCACAGUAUAGAUCCAACGACACCCAACUAGCUUCUUUCCUGGUGGACAUUCUACGAGUUCCCAUGUUUCAUUUUUCUGCAAUGAUUUCAUCUCUUCAUUCAUGGUUGCUUUCCACUUUGGAUCAGCUAAAGCUUCCUGCACACUAUUAGGAAUAGCUACAGUAGAUAAUUGAUUUACAAAUGACUUAUUUGAUUCAGACAAACCAUGGUGUGGACCCGCAUUUUUCACGUGCGCCUCUACUCGAUCGGCGAGACUCGCUUUCUAUUUGUGAAAAAUUAAUUUUAGAAAAGUUGGAGUCGCCACCUAUUUUAUUUUUAUUUUGAAGGGAAAAUAAAACAAGAAAGAAAAACCCUAAAAAGUGACUCCAUAGUUUUGGAAAAAGCAUGUCUUUGGGAAACCUGAGUCUAGGUCCGGGGAUCAUGUUACUUAUUGGGAAGGUACCUCUAGGAGGUAGCACCCCUCUAAGCCUUAUGAAGGUCUCUACUAACUAAAUUAAGGGAAGUGUGGCAAUAAAUCGAUUGAUCAUAGAUACCUAAGUAGACUAGGUGAUUUUAAAGUGUGGCAUGUCAAACACAAUCAAAUUGCAAUAAAGGAGAGUUAGGGCGCGUACCUGAACCGCUUCUCAAGCGCUAUCAUAAAACAUCAAUGGUUAAUUUAAAUAAUAUAUCAUCCAGCAUGUAUUUUAUUAGAAAUAAUCAAACAAUGAAACAUGUAUAUCAGAACACUCAAGCAUUAUUAGACAUAAGCAUUAUUUCACUAUUCACAGAAUUCAGAAAGUAGGUGAUAGAGGACAUACCUGGAUAGCAUAGAUAAUUUGUAAUGUGCUUCCUCAAGUUGUAAGGGGUUAGAUAACAAAUAAUAAAAUAUAGAAAUCCUAGCAUGCUCGUUAUCUAAUUAGCAUAGCAAAAGUGAUCACAGUAUACAGAAUCAUCAAUUAUCACAUACAUCUUGUAUAUAAUUCCUAAAAAAAAUAGAUAGACAUGAUUUCAACAAGUGUCAAAUGUGGCAACAAAAAUAAAUUUUGAAAAGAUUUUCUUAUGUAGGGGUUUCACCAAUUCCCCAAAUUAAUAUACACGAAUUUAGCUUAGAAUUAUCCCAUUUAUUUGGGACUACAAGCUUUGAUUCGUGUUUUUGUUCAAAACCAAAAAUUUUUGUUGAAAAUCAAGAAGGAUGCGAACCGAACAAGAUAUGGUUGCAUAUUAUUUUUAAAUAAAUAAAUAAAUAAAUAAAGGAGAUUUUGAUCCUGAGGACUUUAAUGAGUUUUUUUUUUUAAAAUAGAUUUUUAAAAUGAUUUUUUUGAGAAAAGUAUUUUAUUUUAAAAUAAAAGGGAUUAAUUUGGGAAAAAAAUAAAAUAUAAGAAAUAAAAUACCAAACAAAACAAAAAUGAAACCUCAAAGUAAAAUUUUUUUAGUAAUUAACAAAAAUGAUAAUGGUGAUGGUAGAGGGCAAUCUUCAUGAUUUUCCAAUGGCCUCAGAAAGAAAAUCAAAUUAAAUGAAGGAUCACUAACAGGCAAGACAUUCUAAAUUAGACAAACUAACAAAGUAUCAAUUCAUGAACUAACCGCUAGGAUUUUGAAAGCAUAUAAGCUAAGAUAAGGGUGAUCAGGAACUAAUAUUAAUGAUUUUGAAAUAAAAACUAAAAAAAAGGAUCAAUUCGGGUAAGGAACUAAAAUUAUAAAAGUACCUAAACUAAUUAUGACGAGUUUGACUAAAUUAAACUAAAAACAUGAACUUUCAAACAUAGAAUUAAUUUUACUAAUGAACCAAAGCAAACUAAAAAUAUGUACUUUCAAGCAUAGAAUUAAUUUUAUUGAUGAACUAAACUAUAACAAAUAUCUAAACUAAAUAUAAUGAAUCAAAUUAAAUUAAAGCAACUUAAAAACGCAAACUUUCAAACAUAGAAUCAAUUUUAUCAAUGAAUUAAAACUAUAAAUGUAUUUGAACUAAAUAGAUGAAUCAAACUAAAUCAGAGCAAAAUUAAAAAAAAAAAAGAACUUUCUAACAUGAAAUCAAUUUUAUCAACAAAUAAAUGAAUGAAUAACAAGUAAUUAAAAGAAUAGCUACUACAUGAAUAACUGAAUGAAUAAAAUUCAAAUGUUUUCAAUCUGAAGCAAUCAAUCAAAAUUAAAUAGGGAUCAAAUCAAAAUAAUCGAAAUCGGAAAAACAAUAUGCAAUCUUUCUAAAGGUUUAACCAGACAAUUGAAUUAAAAUUAUGAAUAGAAUAAAUUAAUAAACCAAAUCGAAACCUAAAUUGUACCUAAAAAGAUUAAUUAAUUAAACUAAGAAAUCAAAAUCAAUAACAAAACUAAACUAAGGAGUAAAUUAAGACAAGACUAAUUAAAUUAAACUCACAAACACGUUUUAACUAUCAUAUGGAUUAAAACAAAAUUAGCAUGGACUUAUGAAUUACGAACAAAAAUAAUCAAAACUAUUUUAAAAAACUCACCUCUAUUAUAAGAAAAAAUCUGCCUUUGAUGCGUUGAGGUGGCUCCCCUCUCUGUGUGGAUCUCUCUGCUCCCCAGAAAAAAAAUGUCUCUUCCUCCGUUCUCUUUUGUUUCAGCAAAAUAAUAUAUCCCCUGCUGUGGAUCUCUCUACUCCCAGAAAAUAAUAUAUUCUCUCCGUGUCCUAAAGUGGACCUAGGGUGCCUAAGUGGACCUAGGGUGCCUAAAUGGGCCUAGGGUGCCUAAAUGGGCCAAGUGUAUCUAAAUAGGCUUAGGGUGCCUAAGUGGGCCUAAGUCUAAGUGAGCCUAAGUCUAAAUCAAGACUACCAAGGAUCAUAAUAAGGGGUUAGGCAAUCCCUUAACCAAAGUCUCCAAGGUGGCUAAAAAAAAGUAAGUAGUAUGAGUAGCUAUGGGUCACCAAGGAACUACUGUGGAGCAUUGAAAACGAAUUUAAAGACAUGUGCCAAAGGGACAAAAUUGAGGGUCUACAGAUGGUUAGACACAUAGUUGCUCAUGGGAUAUUUGACUUUGGUAAACAAUUCAGAUUCAUAUGUGGGUUUAGGAAUACCUUUAUUAUGACGGUGUGGUAAUCGUUUCAUGAAUGGAUCAGGUUGCAAAUUAAGAACACCCUCAGCAAACAACGAUUGGUUUGGUAUUUCAGUGAAGACAUCUUCGAACCCAAAUUGUUGACCACUCAUAUCCAACUCACCCGCUUCCUGGUUCACUAGUUCAGAUUGUCCAAAUUCAUCAUUCUCAUAGAUAUGAUAAUCAUAAUCGAGAGUCUGAAUUUCCUUAUGGUACUCCCCCUGAAGUUCAGACUUAGAUGAAAAAUACAUCGAAUAUUCAUGAAACAGCNNNNNNNNNNNNNNNNNNNNNNNNNNNNNNNNNNNNNNNNNNNNNNNNNNNNNNNNNNNNNNNNNNNNNNNNNNNNNNNNNNNNNNNNNNNNNNNNNNNNNNNNNNNNNNNNNNNNNNNNNNNNNNNNNNNNNNNNNNNNNNNNNNNNNNNNNNNNNNNNNNNNNNNNNNNNNNNNNNNNNNNNNNNNNNNNNNNNNNNNNNNNNNNNNNNNNNNNNNNNNNNNNNNNNNNNNNNNNNNNNNNNNNNNNNNNNNNNNNNNNNNNNNNNNNNNNNNNNNNNNNNNNNNNNNNNNNNNNNNNNNNNNNNNNNNNNNNNNNNNNNNNNNNNNNNNNNNNNNNNNNNNNNNNNNNNNNNNNNNNNNNNNNNNNNNNNNNNNNNNNNNNNNNNNNNNNNNNNNNNNNNNNNNNNNNNNNNNNNNNNNNNNNNNNNNNNNNNNNNNNNNNNNNNNNNNNNNNNNNNNNNNNNNNNNNNNNNNNNNNNNNNNNNNNNNNNNNNNNNNNNNNNNNNNNNNNNNNNNNNNNNNNNNNNNNNNNNNNNNNNNNNNNNNNNNNNNNNNNNNNNNNNNNNNNNNNNNNNNNNNNNNNNNNNNNNNNNNNNNNNNNNNNNNNNNNNNNNNNNNNNNNNNNNNNNNNNNNNNNNNNNNNNNNNNNNNNNNNNNNNNNNNNNNNNNNNNNNNNNNNNNNNNNNNNNNNNNNNNNNNNNNNNNNNNNNNNNNNNNNNNNNNNNNNNNNNNNNNNNNNNNNNNNNNNNNNNNNNNNNNNNNNNNNNNNNNNNNNNNNNNNNNNNNNNNNNNNNNNNNNNNNNNNNNNNNNNNNNNNNNNNNNNNNNNNNNNNNNNNNNNNNNNNNNNNNNNNNNNNNNNNNNNNNNNNNNNNNNNNNNNNNNNNNNNNNNNNNNNNNNNNNNNNNNNNNNNNNNNNNNNNNNNNNNNNNNNNNNNNNNNNNNNNNNNNNNNNNNNNNNNNNNNNNNNNNNNNNNNNNNNNNNNNNNNNNNNNNNNNNNNNNNNNNNNNNNNNNNNNNNNNNNNNNNNNNNNNNNNNNNNNNNNNNNNNNNNNNNNNNNNNNNNNNNNNNNNNNNNNNNNNNNNNNNNNNNNNNNNNNNNNNNNNNNNNNNNNNNNNNNNNNNNNNNNNNNNNNNNNNNNNNNNNNNNNNNNNNNNNNNNNNNNNNNNNNNNNNNNNNNNNNNNNNNNNNNNNNNNNNNNNNNNNNNNNNNNNNNNNNNNNNNNNNNNNNNNNNNNNNNNNNNNNNNNNNNNNNNNNNNNNNNNNNNNNNNNNNNNNNNNNNNNNNNNNNNNNNNNNNNNNNNNNNNNNNNNNNNNNNNNNNNNNNNNNNNNNNNNNNNNNNNNNNNNNNNNNNNNNNNNNNNNNNNNNNNNNNNNNNNNNNNNNNNNNNNNNNNNNNNNNNNNNNNNNNNNNNNNNNNNNNNNNNNNNNNNNNNNNNNNNNNNNNNNNNNNNNNNNNNNNNNNNNNNNNNNNNNNNNNNNNNNNNNNNNNNNNNNNNNNNNNNNNNNNNNNNNNAACCAAAGGAAGCAUGUUCCAGACGUCGAUGCCACAACCAAAUUUCAGACUUUUUCUUCUCCUCCUUAGAUCCAUCUGCCAUCAAGGCUUGUUGCAACUUAUUUGAAUCCUUUGAUUGCAAGUCCAAGUAUAGAGUUUCCCCCGCUUAAUACGACAACCAAUCGUCUGUCUUGUUUGAAUGUCCUUAAUCACACAAAAUUCAGGCCAAAAAAUGACAAUACAAGAUAAGGCUGCAGUGAUUUGAGAAACUAACAAAAGAUUGUAAUCUAAAGAUGGAACAACUAAAACAGAAUCCAAAUUCAAAGUAUCAGUAAGAGUUAAGGAUCCUUCCCCAAUGACUGGGGUUGUGUUACCAUUGGCUGUGGAAACAAUUUUUUGUGAGGAAGGUCUAAGGGGUGAAACCUGUCUAGAAUCAAAAGUCAUAUGAUCUGUAGCACCAGAAUCAAUUAUCCAUGCACUAUUAAUAACAGGUGUAAAAGUAUUUAAAAACUUACCACAAUGAUCUGUAGCGGCUACUAAUGCAGAGACUUUCUCAACAACAUUAGUCUUUGUUUUUAUUUCGGUAACAGUUGCAAUCAAGGUUUUCUUGGAAUUCUUCUUCCGUUGAUCACGAUUAUUAUCAUUAAUAACAAAGUGUUGAUAGCCUAAACAUGAUCUAAAGGUCCAUGGUGCAAACCCUCGGUUCCUCAUUGUUUUCCUGGUCAUACCAAGAGUUGUUGCUUUGAAAUUGUGGGAUAUCCAGACUGGUGGGAUCAGUUUUAUUGCAGUGAGUGCAUUUGAAUGUUGACUUAUCAAUAUUAGGGCUUGUCUUCGGAUGGUUGAUUGCUGUUGGACUACCAUAGCGACAAAAUAUCCAGGAUUUCAAUUCCAGGGCUCUGAUACCAUCUUCAAAUUGAUGAAUGAUAGUUUUUCAUUCAUUCUUUCAUGUACAGAGUAUAUAUAGAGGGUAAUCACCAUUCUAAGAAUGGGAAAGAAUGAUACGAGGAAAUAAUGAUAUAAGGAAAUAAUAACUAAUAUCCUAAUAUCUCAACUUUCCUAAUAUCUCAAUAUUCCUAAUAUCUCAACUUUCCUAAUAUCUAAACAUUCAUAAUAUCUCAACACUAAAUGAUACAAGGAAAGAAUGAUAUAAGGAAAACAUUCCUAAUAUCUCAACACCACUUCAUGAUAUAUAUAGUUUCUUACCCUUAAUCAAUGGUUUCUAAGUGAAUUUAUAUAGAAAGAAAUCCAAACUGUAGACAGCAGUAUUGGUAACACUCAAUAUUCUGUAUAUAAUAGAAUAAAUAGCGUCACAGUGAUCGUCGCCUACAAGCAAGGUACAAAUACCACAAAGAGUGACCCACAUAGACAUUCCCCAACAAGAUGUAGUAGUGACUGACACAUAGCCACAAUUAACACGUAGAAAAGGAUAAGACCGGUGCACAGUAGCUCUUAUUUUACAUACUACUUAUGCCAACCAAAGUCACUCAGUUGGGAUGGGAGGGAGAUGGAGGUUUGUGCGGUGGCUUGUGGGGCGGAGUUGAUGGCUUCUUUCCAGGAGCUUCUGGCUUUUUCAUCGGAGCUGAAGGAGGCUCAAUCUUAUGAGGCGGCUUGUACGAGUCUUCUUUGCUCUCGAAAGGAGGGUGGCCAGGGUUGUGACCAUAAUGUGGUGGUUUCUCUCCCUUGGGAGGUUUACCAAUUGGGGUUGGUGGCUUGUGUUCUGGGAGUGGUUUCUCUCCCUUGGGAGGUUUAGUGGGUGACUUGUGUUCUGGAGGUGGCUUCUCCACCGAAGGCUUGUGCUCCGGUGGUGGCUUUUUGGUUGGAGGGGGCUUGGGGUAAUCAGCAAGAGAUGGGGUGGUGAGAACCACCAGUCCAAGGAACAACACUAGCAAGUAUGUGGGAGACAUUUUUGAGUUUGGGCUGAUCAGAUGAUGCAAAACUAAAGCAUUACGUGACCUUUUAUAGCAAGUAGCUCCCAAUACCUACUUGACACGUGUUACUGUGACCCAUAAAUAUUAUGGGGUCUAUUUGUGCCCUACCGGGUUGAAAACUUGGACAAUUGGGCAAGGACCCGCCUGACUAUGGAGGACUACUGAGGUGUGAUCACAGCUUUAGGAUUUUUCUUCCUCUGCAGCCGUCUUGCCGUUGGCAUGAUUUUCUUAAUCUCAAAUAAAGGCAUAGUUAUAGAGUUGUUUAAUCUCUAAAUGGGAUUUUAUAUAUCUUCAGAUAGCCAUUAAUACAUUUGAUGAAGAAAGAAAGACAAGUGCAUACAACAUGUAUACGACUAGCUUUCAUGGAGUUCAUUUAUGAUCAGUUUUCCUGUACAUGUAAACCAAGAUCAUAUAUGUUUUUGUUCCACAACAAUUUUGGAAUCUUGUUUAUCCGUUUUUAUCAUUAUAAUGUCACAUAGGCUGCCAACUUGGGCGCUAAAUUAAAGAUCCAGUUGGGCAAGUUCGUUUCAGAAUUUCAAUGGUGGAUUCAGGAAUUGUUUUAUAAGAUAUGCAAAAUAGUAGAGGGAUGAAUAGUGUUUCAUUAAGAAAAGAGCCCUGUAAAAAUAUUGUUUAAAGGUGCCAUAGAAACUAUAAUCAAUAAAUAACUUUUUUUCCCCAUGGGUGGUGUUUCUUGUGGGGAUCAGUGACUGGUUUGAGUCAACGCCGUGUCUCUUUAGUCCAGAAAUCAACUAUUUUAUGCAUUGAAUACAUCAACAAAGAAAAUAUGAAAGCCAAAUGACACCUCCCCCGCAAAAACUAAACCCUGGUUGCUAACUUUCUAUGUUUCAGUUCCAUUCACACAAGAAUAUUAGUUCAAGUUUGAGAAAAAUGGCGACUUACCUAGUGAUAACUCGGUCUUGGUUUGCGAUUUGACUUUAACGUCAUGGGUUGAAGCCUCCUACAAUCAUCGUGUAUGCUAGUUCAAAGCUCGUGGAAGAAGUUAUACAGGGAGGGAGAAACCUCCACAGCAAGCUCCAAAAGAGAAUUAUCACAUUGAAAGCUCCAGUUGAACACUGGGUGAAAGCCAUAACAAGAUUGGUUUUCUAUCGCUCUUUUAAGUAAUGGAAGAUUAUUAUCUCUGCUUGUCACUACAACCGUGCAUGCUGCUAGAUCUUUCUAGACACUUCAAACAGUGAAACCAAGUAUGAUUCUUUUUCUCUUGAGUGGGUCCACUUGCAUGCCAAUGAACGAGUUGAAAAGUUGGACAAUUGGCCACAGCGCGCACUUACCUUCUGGAACCGAAGGUCAGUGAAGUGGGGUUCCUUUUGGCCCCUUGUGUUUCUGUUCCAACCUACUCCAGGAACCGAAGUUCAGUGAAGUGGGGCUACUUUUGGCCUCUUGUGUUUCUGUUCCAACCAAACAAAAAUGGGAGGGAAAAAUAGCAUUAUGCUUGUGCUAAAGAUCAACGCAUGAUAGCUGAAUAAGGGAGAAAAAGGCAUUGCUAUCUCAAUUUCAUAAACUUGAUAAGUAGUGACAUUAAUAGUCUUCCUCAUAGAUGGAUACAUGGUUUUAUUUUAUUUAUUUAUUUUUAUUUUUUUGUUUUAUGUCAAUGCUAAUGAAUGAAGUGCAUUAGCUUGUUUUGUGACUAGAACUACAAAUGUCCAAAUUGGAGCUUCUCCAAUAUAUUUCUCAGUGAGUUAUUGAUUAGAACUCUUGGAUUGAGUUCCAAGAUUUGAAUCAGACCCCUCUAGCAGCUUCAGGGGUACGUAGCAACCUAUAGCAUAUUAAUGAAGACUUAGGAUUUAGACUUAGGAAUACAAAUUAAUAUGUACCUCAUGCUCUGACUAGCUUCCCUGCGUAUGCACAAAAUGGAGAUGACUCCCAAAAAAAUAGCAGAAUCGCCUUAGUAUGUUUUUGUGGUUAAGAUGAUUCUCCACUUUAUAUAUCCACAUUGGUUCAUUAUGCAAAUUAAUCAACUAAGCUAUUUUUAUUUUUUCUUAAAUGUGAAAUAGGAGCUCCAAAUUAACCUAACCAUUGGCCUGAUUGAAUUGAUUUCACUUGCAUAAUGUUAUAGUAGAAGUCCGUAAUUUGAAUUUUAUUUUUGCAAAAGGUAACGUAAAUGAAGCAUUGUAAUUAAAUUUAUUUGUAAUUACAAACUAAUUUUAUUUUAUUAAGAAUUAAUUUAAUUACUCAUUUAAAAUAAAAAUCAGUUAUACUUUUACCAAGAUGAUAAUAUUCAUAUUUUUCUAGUUAACAUAUAUAAAAUAGUACACUUUUUCAUAUAAAAAAAUAAUUUAUGAUUUAUUAUAAUGUUACUAUUCACAUUUUACUAAAUUGAUGGUACAUGAUAGUGAGAGAAGGGGGUGUCACACUCAGCUAAAGUUCUUUUCAAAAUAUUGCAUGGUGUUUAAUUUUAUGUGUCGGCGCGCGUGUGAAUGGAACCUGCAAAAGUCCAAAUUGGCGUUUCUCCAUUUUCCACAUAGGAUGGUGACGUUAAUAGACAAAGAUACAAUAUCUGUAGACAUUGCUUAAAAAUCGAUGUGAAGUAUUAGAAAUUACAGGGCACUGUACUGGGGGAGCGGCUGCCCCGCCAAAGGAGGAAGAAUGUAGCAAUUUCUUCUGUUAGCCAGGCCUUAGGAUUUAUGCAUGGGAUGCCUAAUAACAAACAGAGAAAAUAUACUUUUGGGGAAGGUAUCCAACAACAGACACCAUCAUUCAGAUGGUGGGAAGGUAUCCAACAGAUGCCAUCAUUCAGAUGGUAACAUAUAUAUACAUUUAUUAGUGAGUUUUUUUAAUACCUAUAAAAAAAAAUAUACACUUUGAUAUUGUGGCUGAAUCCAUUACAUACUCAACUAACCUUGCUCAUUAGGGAUUUGACUUAACAAGGGCAACGUUGCAGUACAAGCUCAAAACUUUAUGCAGGUGACAUUACAUUUGGUAAAGAAGAGGAAAAUAACGAAAGCCAUCCAUAAAAGCAAAAUUCCACAUGGGAUGAAAUUCACAAGCUUCAUUUACGAUAGAGUCGCAUCCAGGCAAUUAAUUCCACAUUAGACCGCCUGUUGACAUGUGUACCAAUCUUUUUUCAAAAAAUAUUUAUAAAUAAUUGAUACUCACAAAAAUAAUUUAAUAUUUAUAAAGGAUAAAAAAAUAUUUUCAAAUCUAUAACAAUUUAUAAAAUAUUAAUAAAAAAUUAUCUCUUAAACUUAGUAUAGUUUUAUCAGAUUAAACUUUUAUUUUGAACAAAUAAUUUUAAUCUAAGUUUUAAAUUCUAAAAUUAUUUCCUUAAAAUAAAAUUUUAAAAUUCAACACUUCAAUUGAAAUUGUCUUUUUAAAAAAUAUCUUCUUAUUUUAAUCCUUAUAAACUAUAGUUGAUUGAAAAUACUAUUGAAGUUCUCUCUUAAAAAAAAGUCUUAUUUUAAUCUUCAUAAAUUGCCCUUGAUUUGAAAAUAAAUUUUCAGUUAUCAUAUUUUAAAUAAUAUCUAUAUUUAAAAUACUCUAUUUAAAAAAAAAUGAACUAAUUUUAAUUAUAUUAUAUUUUAUUUUUUUAUAUAUUUUUAAUGAUAAACCAAACAUAGAAAAUCAUUUUUCUAAAUAUUUUAAAAUUUCUAAGCAACCAAACAUAAUCUUCAAAAUAAAAGGAAAAUAAGGAGGGACAUUUGAGAAAUGGCGAUUAAAAAAAAGUGUACAAAAGCUCAAUUAAUUUUCUUCUAGUCUUUUAUAUAAAAAAGUAAAGGAAUUGAAAAGUAUUGAUAUGUAAAUUAAUAUUUGGAUUUUAAUAGUAUUUUAUUUGUCUUUCUCUAUCUCAUGUAAAAGAGAAUUUAAGAUAUUUCCUAAAGCAAAGCAUUAGUUAUCUGCAAUCAGUGGUGAUCAUGCCCCAUGUCAAUUUCGGACCCAUAUCUUAAAACUGUAUAAUUUGCAUUCAAACAUUACUGAUUUCUCAGAUGUUUCAUACUCCACAGAAGAGCAUUGUUUGUGAAAGCAUGCAUUUAUGUUGGAUUUUGGAUGAUGUGGGAACUGGGGCAAGGAUCAUAUGGAAGAGUGGUCGAUUUUGUUCUGUACUUUAACAUUUGAAAUAGGAGAAGCUCGGGCAUUUGUGGGGCUUAAUUGAUUUUGAAGCCUGAAAUUGCGUUUCUGUCAUUUUGUAAAAAAUAUGGCAGAUUCCAUGCUCUCAUAUGUUUGGUCUGUGGCCAUGUAUAGAUGCCCCUUAGUGACCAGUUUGUAACUGUCAAUCAUAGUGUUUUGACUCUGGCUCAACAACAUCAGCCAUUGACGGAUUUUCAUACUUGCAAAUCAAAUAGUCUUCUUCCUCCCUUAGGAAUUUCGGUUUAAAUGUUAUUAAGCAUACAUUUGGCUGACAAUUAUUAACCACUUCAUGAUAUGGUUUCUUACCCUUAAUCAAUGGUUUCUAAGUGAAUAUAUGCAGAAGGAAAUCUGAACUGUAGACAGCAGUAUUGAUAACUCUCAAUAUUCUUUAUAUAAGAGAAUAAACAACGUCAUAGUGAUCGUCGCCUACAAGAAAGGUACAUUUCCCAACAAGAUGUAGUUGUGACUGGUACAUGGACGCAAUUAACUCGUACAAAAGAAUAAGACCAGUGCACGGCAGCUCUUAUUUUACAUGCUAAUUAUGCUAACCAAAGUCACUCAGUUGGGAUGGGAGGGAGAUGGAGGUUUGUGCGGUGGCUUGUGGGGCGGAGUUGGUGGCUUCUUUUCAGGAGCUUGUGGCUUUUUCGGAGCUGAAGGAGGCUCAAUCUUAUGAGGCGGCUUGUACGAGUCUUCUUUACUCUCGACAGGAGGGUGGCCAGGGUUGUGACCAUAAUGUGGUGGCUUCUCUCCCUUAGGUGGCUUGCCAACUGGGGUUGGUGGCUUGUGUUCAGGAAGUGGUUUCUCUCCCUUGGGAGGUUUACCAAUUGGGGUUGGUGGCUUGUGUUCUGGGAGUGGUUUCUCUCCCUUGGGAGGUUUAGUGGGUGACUUGUGUUCUGGAGGUGGCUUCUCCACCGGAGGCUUGUGCUCCGGUGGUGGCUUCUCCACCGGAGGCUUGUGCUCCGGUGGUGGCUUCUUGAUUGGAGGGGGCUUGGGGUAAUCAGCAAGAGAUGGGAUGGUGAGAACCACCACUCCAAGGAACAACACUAGCAAGUAUGUGGGAGACAUUUCUGAGUUUGAGCUGAUCAGAUGAUGCAAAACUAGAAGAAUUACGGGACCUUUUAUAGCAAGUAUCUCCCAAUACCCACAUGACACGUGUUACUAUGACCAUAAAUAUUAUAGGGUCCAUUUGUGCCCUACCGGGUUGAAAACUUGGACGCUUGGCCGAGGACACACCUGACUAUGGAGGACUAUUGACGUGUGAUCACAGCUUUUGGAUUUUUCUUCCUGUGCAGCUGUCUAGCGGUUGGCAUUAUUUUCUUAAUCUUAAAUAAAGGCAUAGUUAUAGAGUUGUUUAAUCUCUAAAUGGGAUUUUAUAUAUCUUCAGAUAGCCAUUAAUAUAUUUGAUGAAGAAAGACAAGUGCAUACAACAUGUAUACGGCUUGCUUCAAUCGAGUACAUUUAUGAUCAGUUUUCCUGUGCAAGUAAACCAGUUUUUUGUUCCACAACUAUUUUGGAAUCUUGUUUAUCAGUUUCUAUCAUUAUAAUGUCACAUAGGCUGCAAACUUGGGCACCCAAAGAUCUAGGUGGGCAAAUUUGUUUCAGACUUUCAAUGGUGGAUUCAGUAAUUGUUAAAAGGUGUUUCUUCAUUAAGGAAAGAGUCCGGUAAAAAUAUUGUUAAAAGGUGUCAUAGAAACUAUAAUAAAUAAAUAACUUCUUUUCCCCAUGGGUGGUGUUUCUUCUGGGGAUCAGUGACUGGUUAGGGUCACCCAAAAUGAGUCCAGAUUAAAAUUGGUUCGAGUCAAAGCAGUCUCUUUUGUCCAGAAAUCAACUAUUUUGCGCAUUGAAUGAAUCGAUAAAGAAAAAAUGAAAGCCAAAUCACACCUCCCCUGCAAAACCUAAACCCCGGUUGCUAACUUUCUAUGUUUCAGUCCUAUUCAUAUAGGAAUAUUGGUUCAAGUUUGAGAAAAAUGGCAACUUACCUAGGGUUUACUUGGUUUUGGUUUGCGACUAUUUACGCAACCAACCAUGAGUUUGACUUUAACGUCAUGGGUUGAAGCCUCCUACAAUCAUGUAUGAUAGUUCAAAGCUCGUGGAAGAAAUUAUACAGGAAGGAAGAAACCUCCAAAGCUAGCUCCAAAAGAGAAUUAUCACAUCGAUAGCUCCAGAGAUUCCCAAGGGAACUGAAUCAAAGACAAGUUCCUCACUUUUUCUUCUUUUGAGGCCAAAUAUGAACCAAGGAUCACACGACCUCAUUCAACUUCAUAAGUUUGAUUUCAUGCAGUUGAACACUGGGUGAAGGCCAUGACAAGAAUUGAUUAAAAAAUUCUACCACUCUUUUAAGUAAUGGAAGAUUAUUAUCUCUGAUUGGCACCACAACAGCACAUGCUGCUAGAUCUUUCUAGACACUCCAUGCAAUGAAAGCACAAUGGAUCUUGUAAUGAUAGAAACUAAGCCAUGCUACAGUACUAGAUGAGGGGGUAAAACUAGUAGACAUCUUUCUAGACACUCCAUGCAAUGAAAGCACAAUGGAUCUUGUAAUGAUAGAAACUAAGCCAUGCUACAGUACUAGAUGAGGUGGUAAAACUAGUAGACAUGGCUGGCAGUUGAUUACUACUCAAAAAGUACUCUUUUAUAGCUUGAAACUAACUGUUUUAAACACUUUUGAGUAGUAGUUAAUACCUUUUAACUUAAUUGGCACAUUAAGGAACCUAGCAAGGGUUACUAAUCAACAUUUGGCAAGUUUUGAUGUUUUUGGUAGCUAUUUGAUCAUUGAAACAAGCCAAGAAUGAGGGGGAAUUUUGUGAAGUCCAUGGCAAUGCAAGUUAAAGCUCAAAUACAUGAAGAAUCCAAGCUUUGGAGCACUUCAUAGCCCUUUGCCAAGCCAAUCAAAGAUGCAAGGAAGAAAACCAAAGGAAGAAAUCCAACAAUCAGCAUUUUGGCAUGGCUAUGUGAAAUUUCGCACACCAUGCGAAACCACAAGAGGCAGCCAAAGAAUUUCGCAUGGUAUGCGAAAUCUUCUUGUGCACUGACUCUGUUAGAUUUUUAUCUUCAGAUAUUUUGUGUAAUUUCCUAGUUUCUCCUUGUAACCAACUUAGAUAUUUUCUUUUAUAUCUUUUUUUAUAUUUUUUAGGUAACAUCAUAUAUAAGAGGAGAGACAUAAGGAGGAUAUGGAUGUUUUUCAUAGAACACUUGUAAAUUUUUGGUAGUAAGAAAUAUACAAAGCUUUUUGCUCUGCCUUACCUUCUCAAGGGAUGAGUGGCUAGGUUUUCUUGGAGUGAGGGAAGCUAGGUGAAGGACCUGAAUGCAAAGGUGGGAGUUUUCCUUACUUUAAAUGAAAGUAGUUGUUAAACAUUAAUGGUUUUUAUUUUAAGGUUUAGCUUUAAAUCCCUGAAAAACACCUUGAAUGGCCAAUACUUGGUAAGCUUUUUAGAUUCUAUGGAUGCUUAUUGCUAGAUCCAUGGAUGUCUAUUAGUUAUCAUUUACGAGCCAUUGGAAGGUGAUUCAAGGUGAGGGUCUUUAGUGUUUGAAGCCAUUAAUGGGAAGCAAUUACCAUUUUUUCAUGAAUCCUUUGGAUCAAAUCUUAAUUGCUAAAUAUAAAACCGGUUUCGAGAGAUAACCACCAUCCUUUAUGUUAUUAUCCCCAACGCGAGGAGAAGAUCCGAAAUCUUCCUUUUUAUCUAAGGAACCCGAUCCUAGUGACCUAAAGCUCCAAGAUACCUUUUCUUUGUAGUUAACUUCAUUUAUUGUUUUUGCUUAACUUAAAAUCAAUCUUUGCAACCACAAUUCCAUUUUCUUUAAAAGCUAAUUUUUAUAAGGAAAAACACCAUUUUAUUUCCUUCACUAAGUCAACUGUACGAUGAAAACCCAUCCCUGUGGACGAUCCUAGAGCCACUAUACUAUGUUAGCUAUGCUACCCUAGUGUGAGGUGAUUUAGGUUUUAUAAAUUUUUUUGAUAACACCCAUCUGAGCCAGAAUCAAAUGGCACGACUGAACCAGGGACGAAUCAAAUGACGCCGCUACCAAGGAUGGUGCCAAAGUACAUUGACAUGACUUUUGGUGAACACUUGUGAUCUUCACCACAAGUUUGGUGAUUUUUCUUUUACUAAUUUUUUUUAUUUUAGCUUAUCUUUUAUUUAGUUUUUAGUUAACCUUAAAUUUUUCCUAGAAUUGUAUUUCUUUUGUUUUCUUUGUUUUUGUUUCAGUGAUCUUUAGUUGUGCAUGCCCUAUUGGAUAAGAGAUAUUGAGGGAAUACUUGUGAAGAUUGAAACUCCUCGAGAAACUGAGUUAGAAGUGUGCUUGAACAUCAUGGAUGUUCCACCUGAAGACCAGAAUAGCCAACAUGGUUAAGAGGAUAAUUUCAACACAUACCGAUCCAUGAGGAACCGCAUACAUCCACCUUGUAUGAGUGCACCGUCAGGCAUAAUGCCUCCCACUGAGCAGCUAGUAAUCUGACCUCACAUUGUGCCACUCCUACCUACUUUCCAUGGGAUGGAGAGUGAGAAUCCCUACUCGCAUAUUAAGGAAUUCGAGGAGGUUUGUAAUACAUUCCAAGAAGGAGGAGCUUCAAUUGACUUGAUGAGGCUCAAGCUAUUUCCUUUCACUUUGAAGGAUAAGGCCAAGAUUUGGCUUAAUUCUUUAAGGCCAAGAAGUAUCCAAACUUGGAUUGAUUUGUAAGCCGAGUUUCUUAAGAAGUUCUUCCCUACCCAUAGGACCAAUGGUUUGAAAAGGCAAAAUUUGAACUUCUCAGUUAAAGAGAAUGAGAAAUUCUAUGAGUGUUGGGAGAGCUACAUGGAAGCUAUUAACGUUUGUCCUCACCAUGGCUUUGACACAUGGCUCUUAGUGAGCUAUUUUUACAAUGGUAUGUCUUCUUCAAUGAAGCAACUCCUAGAAACUAUGUGUGGAGGAGACUUCAUGAGUAAGAAUCCGGAGGAAGCCAUGGACUUUUUGAGUUAUGUGGCUGAAGUUUCAAGAGGAUGGGAUGAACCAAAUGCUAGAGAGGUGGGAAGAAUGAAGUCUCAACCUAAUGCUAAGGGUGAGAUGUAUGUUUUGAAUGAAGACAUUGACAUGAAAGCAAAGGUUGCAGCUAUGGCAAGGAGAUUGGAAGAGCUAGAAAUGAAGAACAUACAAAAAGUGCAAGCCAUUUCUGAGACAUCAAUGAAAGCUAUGCCUUGUUCCAUUUGUCAAUCUUAUAAGCACCUAGUGGAGGAGUGUCCUACAAUUCCAGCAGUGAGAGAGAUGUUUGGUGAUCAAGCAAAUGUUAUUGAUCAAUUCAAGCCUAAUAACAAUGCUUCAUAUGGCAACACCUACAAUUCAAAUUGGAGGAACCAUUCAAAUUUCUCUUGGAAACGAAAGCCACCUCAAUACACACAACCUACUCAAGCACCUUAGCAAUCCUCGAAUCUUGAACAAGCUAUUGUGAACCUUAGCAAGGUUGUGGGAGACUUUGUGGGAGAUCAGAAGUCCAUCAAUGCUCAACUGAAUCGGAGAAUUGACAGUGUGGAGAGUACAUUGAACAAAAGGAUGGAUGAGAUGUAAAAUGAUCUGUCUCAAAAGAUAGACAAUGUCCAAUACGUAAUCUCAAGGCUUACCAACCUCAACACAGUGUAAGAGAAAGGAAAGUUUCCUUCUCAACCUCAUCAAAAUCCUAAGGGUAUCCAUGAAGUAGAGGCUCAAGAGGGAGAAUCUUCAAAGGUGAGGGAAGUCAAAGUAGUUAUCACCUUGAAGAGUGGUAAAGAGGUUGAUCAACCCACAUCCAAGCCAAAGCAUAAUGAAGAGAGUGUAGCAGAAAAAGAAAAGAGAGGAAAAUAAAGGAAUUAGAAUAGAGAAAAAUACAAAGAAAGAUGACCAUGAGUCUAGUGUGGAUGAAGAGCCCGAGAGGAUGGUGAUCAAGGAAGAUAUGAUGAAGAAACACAUGCCUCCACCUUUCCCCUAAGCUUUGCAUGACAAAAAAAGAACCAAUAAUACAUCAGAAAAUUUUGAAGUAUUGAGGCAAGUGAAGGUCAAUAUCCCUUUGCUAGACAUGAUCAAACAAGUGUCGACAUAUGAAAAAUUCUUGAAGGACUUGUGCACUGUAAAGAGAGGGUUGAAUGUGAACAAGAAAGCUUUAUUGACCGAGCAAGUGAGUUCCAUCAUACAGUGCAAGUCCUAGUGAAGUACAAAGAUCCGGGUUGCCGUACCAUCUCAGUGAGUAUUGGAAGGACUUGUGUGGAGAAAGCUUUGUUGGACUUGGGAGCAAGUGUGAAUUUGCUAUCCUACUCUGUCUAUAAGCAGUUGGGAUUUGGAGAGUUGAAGCCAAUAUCCAUCACUCUAUCUCUAGCGGAUAGAUCAAUGAAGAUUCCAAGAGGGAUGAUCGAAGAUGUCCUGGUUCAAGUUAACAAAUUCUACUAUCCAGUAGAUUUUGUUGUUCUUGAUAUGGAUCCGGUUGUCAAAUGAACUAAUUAUGUUCCUAUCAUACUUGGAAGACCCUUCCUAGCUACAUCAAAUGCAAUCAUCAAUUGUAGGAAUGGAGUCAUGCAACUCACAUUUGUCAACAUGACAUUAGAGCUCAACAUCUUCCAUUUGUACAAGAAGCAUAUCCAUCAGGAGGAAAAAGAAGGUCUAGAGGAAGUGUGAAUGAUUGACACUUUAGUGGAAGAGCAUUGUGAUCGAGAAUGCAAAAAGAUUUAGUUGAGAAUUUUGGGGAUCUUGAUGAAAGGUUACUUGAACCCUCAGAUUUGCUUGCUACCCUACUCCAUUGGAAGAGAAGAGAAGAAAUUCUACCCUUAUUCAAUGAGGAGGAGACGCAAAGAGCUGCAAAGGAGAAACCCCCAAAACUUAUUCUUAAGCCACUACCCACAGAGUUGAAGUAUGUAUACUUGGAAGAAGACAAGAAGUGCCCUAUUGUUAUAUCUUCAACUCUUACCAUUCAUCAGGAGGAUUGUCUACUUGAAGUCCUUAGAAGAUGUAAGAAGACAAUAAGGUGGCUAAUUUCUUAUUUGAAAGGGAUCAGCCCUUUAGUCUGCACCCAUCAUAUUUACAUGGAGGAUGAAGCUAAGCUAAUUCAUCAACCUCAGAGAAGGUUGAACCCUCACAUGCAAGAGGUGGUUCGAGCUGAAGUUCUGAAGCUACUUCAGACCAGUAUUAUUUACCCCAUAUCAAAUAGCCCAUGGGUGAGUCCUACUCAAGUUGCGCCAAAGAAGUCUGGGAUCAUGGUGGUGCAAAAUGAUAAGGGAGAAGAUGUCUCUACACGCCUCACUACAGGUUGGAGGGUGUGUAUCAAUUACAGGAGGUUGAAUGCAGUGAUAAGAAAGGACCAUUUCUCAUUGCCCUUUAUUGAUCAGGUGCUUGAGAGGGUCUCUGGGCUUUUUUUUUUAUUGUUUCUUGGAUGGCUACUCCGGGUACUUUCAGAUAGAAAUUGAUGUUGAAAACCAAGAUAAGACCAUUUUCACAUGCCCAUUUGGAACCUAUGCAUAAAGGAGAAUGCCUUUCGGCUUAUGCAAUGCACCCGCAACUUUCCAAAGAUGCAUGUUAAGCAUUUUCAGUGAUAUGGUGGAGCGUAUUAUGGAAGUCUUUAUGGAUGAUAUCACCAUUUAUGGAAGUGCAUUUGAUGAAUGCUUGGUCAACUUAGAAGCUGUUCUGAACCGAUACAUUGAGAAAGACUUAGUGCUUAACUGGGAGAAGUGCCAUUUCAUGGUACACCAAGGGAUUGUCCUUGGGCACAUUAUCUCCAAGCAAGGCAUUGAAGUUGACAAAGCAAAGGUUGAACUCAUUGUUAAGUUGCCAUCCUCAACAAAUGUCAAAGGAGUAAGGCAAUUCUUUGGCCAUGUCGGGUUCUAUAGGAGGUUUAUCAAGGAUUUCUCUAAGCUUGCAAGGCCUCUUUGUGAAAUAUUGGUGAAUGAUGUUAAAUUCAUAUGGGAUGAUGGAUUUGAAAGGAGUUUUGAAGAAUUGAAGCUAUUUUUGACAACCGUACCAAUAGUGAGGGCUCCCAACUGGCAACUGCCCUUUGAAGUAAUGUGUGAUGUCAAUGAUUUUGCUAUAGGAUUUUUUCUUGGGCAAAGAGAAAAUGGAAAACCUUAUGUGAUCUACUAUGCGAGGAAGGCAUUGAAUGAGGCACAAAGAAACUACACAACCACCGAGAAAGAAUUGUUAGCUGUAGUUUUUGCCUUGGAUAAGUUUCGCGCUUACUUGGUGGGGUCCUUCAUCAUGGUUUUUACUGAUCACUUUGCUUUGAAGUAUCUGUUGACUAAGCAAGAUGCUAAAGCAAGGCUGAUUAGAUGGAUUCUCUUACUUCAAGAGUUCAAUCUCCAUAUCAAAGAUAAGAAAGGAGUGGAGAAUGUGGUAGCAGACCACAUUUCAAGGCUAGCUAUCGCACAUAAUUCCCAUGCUUUGCCCAUUAAUGACGAUUUUCUAGAGGGGUCUCUCAUGUUGGUGGAAGUUGUCCCUUGGUACGCUCACAUUGCUAACUACCUGGUCACGGGAAAAGUUCCAAGUGAGUGGAAAGCACAAGAUAAGAAGCACUUCUUUGCAAAAAUUCAUGCCUACUAUUGGGAAGAGCCAUUUCUAUUCAAGUAUUGUAUGGAUCAGAUAAUAAGGAAGUGCGUUCCUGAAGAAGAGCAACAGGGGAUCCUUAGUCAUUACCAUGAAAAUGCAUGUGGAGGCCACUUUGCUUAUCAAAAGACAGCCAUGAGGGUGUUGCAAUCGGGUUUCUGUUGGCCAUCACUUUUCAAAGAUGCCCACACCAUGUGCAAGAGUUGUGAUCGAUGCCAGAGGCUUGGGAAGUUGACACGCAGGAACAUGAUGCCUUUGAACCCCACUUUAAUAGUUGAUAUUUUUUAUGUUUGGGGCACUAACUUCAUGGGACCUUUCCCUAUGUCUUUUGGCUACUCUUACAUCUUGGUAGGAGUAGAUUAUGUUUCUAAGUGGGUUGAGGCAGUCCCAUGCAAACACAAUGACCAUAGAGUGGUUCUCAAGUUUCUUAAAGAGAAUAUCUUCUCAAGAUUUGGGGUGCCCAAAGCCAUAAUUAGUGAUGGGGGUACUCAUUUUUGCAACAAGCCUUUUGAAACUCUCCUAGCCAAGUAUGGGGUGAAGCAUAAGGUAGCUACACCUUACCACCCUCAAACUCAUGGACAAGUUGAGUUAGCAAACAGGGAGAUUAAAAACAUAUUGAUGAAGGUGGUGAACACAAACAGAAAAGAUUGGUCAGUCAAGCUUCUUAAUUCACUAUGGGCAUAUAGAACAACUUACAAGACCAUUCUCGGGAUGUCUCCUUAUCGCCUAGUUUAUGGCAAAGCAUGCCAUCUCCCUGUGGAAUUGGAAUACAAAGCUUGGUGGGCAAUCAAGAAGCUCAACAUGGAUUUGAGCAGAGCUGGGUUGAAGAGGUUCUUAGACCUUAAUGAGAUGGAGAAAUUGAGAAAUGAUGCCUACAUCAAUUCAAAAAUUGCAAAAGAAAAAUUGAAGAGGUGGCAUGAUCAGUUGAUUUCCCGCAAGGAUUUUCAAAAUGGACAAAGAGUCUUACUUUAUGACUCUAAACUCCACAUCUUUCCGGGCAAGCUGAAAUCAAGGUGGAUAGGUCAUUUUACCAUUCACCAAGUGCAUUCAAAUGGAGUAGUGGAACUACUCAACUCCAACAAUAUCGAGAACUUCAAAGUGAAUGGCCACCGUCUCAAGCCCUUUGUGGAGUCUUUUUCUCACAACAAGGAGAAAUUCAUCCUCCUUGAUCCACAUCAAGCUUAACAAGACCAAUUUUCUUGAUGGACUUAGUCUUUCUAAAGACUAUCGAGUCCAUAACUUUUUGUUUUAUUUUUUAUUUGAGAUUUUUUCGGUAUUGUUACUUGUUUUGUUUUUUAUUUUUCGUUUUAAUUUUAUUUGGUUUGAUUUAACUUAGGUUUUUGAUGAUCAAUUACAGGGGGGAUUUCAAAUAGAGGAAAAACCAAGAUAAUUCGCACACCCUACGAAAAUUUCGCAAGGCAUGCGAAAUUUAUGGCUUAUUUUGCAUGGGGUGAAAAUUUUCGUACAUCUUACGAACCAAUUUCGAACACUUUGCGAAAAUAAACCAACCCUGCGAAAUCAUUUCGAUUACUCUACGAAAUUUUCGUAGAGCAUGCGAAAAAUUUAGCACACCAAACACCAUUUCGCAUACUAUGCAAAAACCUAAGGGGUCUGCGAAACCAUUUCGCACCUCCAAAUCCAUUUCGCACAUUGUGCGAAAACCAAGAGGCGCUGUGCGAAAAUGAAAAGUCGCCCUGUCAUCCCUUUUUAAACCCCUCGAGCCCUAAAAUCUCCAUUUCGCAAGCACCCCUGUCCUUGCGAAUCCCUCAUUUUCCUCUACUACCUUGCAACCUCGUCCCUUUCCAUUUGAUAUUGUGCCCCGCGCACAUCUCAUUUCAGAGACUCGCACUCCGCGCCCCCUCAAAGCAUGGACUCGAGACCCACCUUCCAUUUCCGACGUGGCACGGACCCAAGGAGCCCUUUCUGCCCCUUCACUAAGACACACACCAAGGCAGAAAGCCUCCUUUGCUCAAGUGCCUAGUGAUUCUCCAUCUUAGGCCUCAGAGGCCUCGGAGGCCCCGUGGAUUCCACCUUCCGAGGGUAGAGCAGCCAUUGGUCCUUCCUCUUCUACUCCUUAGCGUAGAUACGAGACGAGGAGACCACCUACUACACAAGGGGCGACUACUUCGAGCCUUGAGAAUUCAGUACGAUGCCUUCCUGCCAAGAGGGUCAAGACUUCAGGUCCAAGUGAGUCAUCCAGAGCUUCAUAGCCUAAGCCUCCUGUAGAUUCCAAGGUUCCUACUGACAUAUCACCGGAGUCUAUUAUCAGAAGCCCGAUGCUCAUAGCACCGCCCAUUGAGGGCAACUCAGAUUAUAGAGCGAGAUCUUUCCACUUGGAGCUAUAUUUUGAUCAGGAGGCCAUACGACAGCAGCCUGAGCUCCGAGACUCUUAUGGCUUACUGCAGAGGUACCAUCUUGAGGAACUUAUGACUCCUCGUGAGUUUUUUUAUCCCAGAGUAGCACUAAACUUUUACCAGUCCAUGACUACUCGUGGCGUCCCGAGUCCUACCACGAUUCACUUCACCAUUGAUAGACGUCAUGGUAUCCUCAAGGCCAGACAUAUUACAGAGGCUCUACAAAUUCCUUUCGAGCUAGAGGAUCCAUCUGUUUUUCGCUAAUGGUCCCCAGUAUCUCAGAGGGACAUGGUCCGUAUUUUAUCUAGGGGAACAUCUACAGAUUCGAUCUUUCUACGGAAGGAGCUUCGACCUGGGAUGCUCCUCUUAGAUGUGGUGCUAUGCUCCAACCUCUUUCCCUUACAACAUUCGGUACAUAGGUGAUGAGCUAUUUUGGACGCUUUAUUCCGUAUAUCAGAGGGCUUCUACUUUGGCCCGCACCACUUGAUCAUGGUCUCCCUCAUCCACUUUGAGGAGAAGGUUCAUAGGAAGAAGCUUCAGAGGGUGGACACCAUUCCAUUACUAUUCCUGAGGUUACUUUGCCAGGUCUUGGAGUACAUGGGCUUUCCUACUGAGCCUCGGCUCGAGCUUUGCCGCCUUUGUCGAGAGUGAUCCACUCUCGACAAAUGGAAUUAGUUGGCGGGCUAUUCUGCACCUCCAGGAGCCCCUCCCAUGGUAGCACCUCCAAUGUCCCCACAGGCAAAGUAGGGCGAGCUCCCGGCAAAGACUGUACCACCAAUGCCCACACUUGAGGCUAUUUCUGCUGCUCUGCCUAUGACUCCUACUGUUCCACCAGUUGGUCCUUUUACAUCCGAGCCUUCCAUCACCAUCUCGGCUUCGGAGUUUCGCGCCCUUGUGCAUACCUUUCAGACACUCACCACCACACAUACUCCUCUCUUCUAGCAAAUGGUUGAGAUGUGUGCCCAUCAGGACCGGAAGACUACUAUACUCUGCCAAAUUCAGCAGCACCUAAGACUUUUGCCUCAACCUCAACCUAACCAUCCCAUAUCAUCAGAGCCUCUAGCUCCAACUGAGGAUACUAUUCCACCUGAGAACACUACCACAGUAGAGGUCCGGUUUCCACCACCUUAAGAGGCCACCACAGCUACAUCAGAGGAUGUGUCAUCUCCACUUGAGGCUCCCACUACUUGAUCAUAGGACAUAUCUUUAUCUUAUUGUAUUUACAUAUUAUAUUACUAGAGAUUUGUCCUUGUUUUGAUACUUUAUAUUCUGGGAUUGGAUGUAUUGCCUGAUGAUAUCUCAAUUGUACUUUCUCAUAUUAAUAUAUAGACAUCAAUUUUUUUUAGUAUACUUAGCAUUUUUCUAUUUCCUCUACUCAUUACUCUUUUGUUUUUUUUUACUCAUGUGGUUUCUCUUAUACAACUCAGACUCCAUUUCACUCAGGAGGUACCACUUCCUCCCUUUAUUUUCAAUUGCUCUUGAAAUAUUGAGUGCAAUGUUGAUCUUGGUUGGGGGGAGAGUUGAGGAAGGAAGUUUUGUUAAUAAUGCUAGGUUAAUUUGUUAAUUUAGUUACUUUCUGCUUAAUUUUAAAAGUUUUCACUCUACUUUCCAUGGUUAUUAAGGAAAAAUUCUCAAAAUGAAAUGGGAGAAAUCGAAUUCUUGCAUUUUUACUUGAAUCUUAGAAUUUGUAUCAUGCUUAUUAAAGUUGAUGAAUUAUUGAAACUCCUAUUGAAUUCAACCUUAUUUUUUCCACUUUAAUCUUACCACACACGGUGCACAUUAGGUUCCAGUUAUAAGAUAAAAAACUAUCUCACCCCCUAAACUUAGAAAAAUUUACACUUGGUACCUUUGACAUCGUUUUAAUAGUGUUGGGACACCUUAUAAAAGGCCAAUGAGCCUUUAAAAAAAAAAAAAAAAAAAAAAAGAGAAAGAACAAAGUAUUGCACUUGCCUUGAAACCUGAGCAAGAUCCGAGGGGUAUACAGUGAAAGUCUUUAAAACCUGGUGCCCUAAGCCUUGAUUGGUUGGGAGUCACCGACCUCAAUGCUCGUUAUAAGGGUGAAUAGGUGGAGUUUAACAUAUUGUAGGUGCUUGGGUAUUGAAUUUCAAUCUCAAAAGUCCGGGAAAAAAUCUAAGGAGUUAGUGGUCAAAAGAUCCUUAAAGCUUGAUGCCCUAAACCUUGAUUGGUUGAGAGUCAUUGAUGGAUCCCCGCUACAUGGACAUUUUAGAAAACAAUACCUUUAGCAUUGCACGCCUACAAUGAAAAAAAAAUGUGAAAUAAAAGAGGUGCGUUCUUAGCCUAUUGGAGGUUGGUCAGUUUGCUAAAGUUUGAGAAAUCUAGGUUGGGGGGAGAGAAUAGUCCGACAUACUAUAAUAAAAAACUAAUAACCUUAACACUUAGAUUUUUGUGGAAGAGUAAGGAUUGGACCUUUAGGGGUGGAAAUUCUUUUGAUGCUUAAAUUUGCAUAAUGCCUACUCUUUAUAAAUUAUGAUUAGGCAAGAGAUUUGAUGACUCUUGUUCAAAGUUGGGUUUUUCCUCUUUGAUGUUCCAUGAGAGAGUAUAAUCCUCAUCAUGCCACUUGAAAUCUUUUUGGAGUGAUUAACAUGAUUUUGUAAAUUAUUUUACUGUCUAUUUUUCUUUAUCUCUCUUUUAUUGCUAAUGGACUAGCAAUAUGUCAGUUGGGGGGAGUGAUUACUACUCAAAAAGUACUCUUUUAUAGCUUGAAACUAACUGUUUUAAACACUUUUGAGUAGGUGUUAAUACAUUUUAACUCAAUUGGCACAUUAAGGAACCUAACAAGGGUUACUAAUAAGUUUUUGGCAAGUUUUGGUGUUUUUGGUAGCUAUUUGAUCAUUGAAACAAGCCAAGAAUGAGGGAGAAUUUUGUGAAGUCCAUAGCAAUGCAAGUUAAAGCUCAAAUACAUGAAGAAUCCAAGCUUUGAAGCACUUCAUAGCCCUUUGCGAAGCCAAUCAGAGAUGCAAGGAAGAAAACCAGAGGAAAAAAUCCAACAACCAGCAUUUUCGCAUGGCUGUGCGAAAUUUUGCACACCAUGCGAAACCACAAGAAGUAGCCAAAGAAUUUUGCACACCAUGCGAAAUUUCGCAUGGUAUACGAAAUCUUCCUAUGCACCAACUCCGUUAUAUUUUUAUCUUCAGAUAUUUUGUGUAAUUUCCUAGUUUCUCCUUGUAACCAACCUAGAUAUUUUCUUUUAUAUCUUUUUUUUAUAUUUUUUAGGUAACAUCAUAUAUAGGGGGAGAGACAUAAGGAGGAUAUGGAUGUUUUUCAUAAAACACUUUUAAUUUUCUGGUAGUAAGAAAUAUACAAAGUUUUUUGCUCUGCCUUACCUUCUCAUUUUGUUUUCACCUAUCUUUCUAGCCAAACAACCUCUGAGAAUGAUUUCUCAGGGGAUGAGUAGUUAGGUUUUACGUUUCUUGGAGUGAGAGAAGCUAGGUGAAAGACCCAAAUGCUAAGGUGGGAGUUGUCCUUGCUUUAAAUGAAAGUAGUUGUUAAAUAUUAAUGGUUUUUAUUUUAAGGUUUAGCUUUAAAUCCCUUAAAAACACCUUGAAUGGCCAAUACUUGGUAAGCUUUUCGGAUUCUAUGGAUGCUUAUUGCUAGAUCCAUGGAUGUCAUUAGUUAUCAUUUAUGAGCCAUUGGAAGGUGGUUCAAGAUGAGAGUCUUUAGUGUUUGAAGCCAUUAAUGGGAAACAAUUACCAUUUUUUCAUGAAUCCUUUGGAUAAAAUCUUAAUUGCUAAAUAUAAAACUGGUUCGGGAGAUAACCAUCCUUUAUGUUAUUAUGCCCAAUGCAAGGAGAAGAUUUCGAAUCUUCUCAUUUGUCUAAGGAACCCGAUCCUAGUGACCUAAAGCUCCUAGAGACCUUUUCUUUGUAGUUAACUUCAUUUAUUGUUUUUGCUUAACUUAAAAUCAAUCUUUGCAACCACAAUUCCAUUUUCUUUAAAAGCUAAUUUUUAUAAGGAAAAGCACCAUUUUAUUUCCUUCACUAAGUCAACUGUAUGAUGAAAACCCAUCCCUGUGGACGAUCUUAGAGCCACUAUACUAUGUUAUCUAUGCUAUCCUAGUGUGAGGUGAUUUAGGUUUUAUAAAUUUUGUUGAUAACACCCGUCUGAGCCAGAAUCAAAUGGAACCACUGAACCAGGGACAAAUCAACAGCCUAUAUGGGAGGGACACAAGUUUAAUUGAUUUGCAUUUCAGCGUUAUAGAUAAGUAUGUUUUGGAAGAUUUGUUCUGGAAAUACUGCACCAAGUACGAUUCUUUUUCUCUUGAGUGAGUCCAUUUGCAUGCCAAUUAACGAGUUGAAAAGUAGGAGCACCUACCUCGUGCUCAUGGAACCGAAUGUCAGUGAAGUGGGGCUCCUUUUAGCCUCUUGUGUUUCUGUUCCAACCAAGGCGGCGUAGGGAAAAACAACAAUAUGUCUGUGCUAAAUAUCAACGCAUGAUAGAUGUUUUUUUUUUUUUUUUUGGUAUGUCAAGGCUAACGAAUGAAAUGCAUUAGCUUGUUUUGUGACUAUAACUGCAAAUGUCCAAAUUGGAGUAUCUCCAUUUCUCACUUCGGAUGGUUAACUUUAUAAACAAGAUAUAGGAAACAUGUGAACAUCUUGAGGAACAAUUCAAAUUAUUCAUUAGAAGUCCUGGGUUAAGUUCCAAGAUUUAAAUCAGACCCUUCUAGCAGCUUCAAGGGUACUUAGCAACCUAUAACAUAUUAAUGAAGAUUUAGGAUUUAGACUCCGGAAUACAAAUAAAUAUGUAUCUCAUGCUUUGACUAGCUUCCCUACAUAUGCAUAAAAUGGAGAUGACCCAAAAAAAAUAGCAGAAUCUAGCUUCCCUACAUAUGCACAAAAUGGAGAUGACCCAAAAAAUAGCAUAAUCGCCUUAGUUUCUGUGGUUAAGGUGAUUCUCCGCUUAAUAUCCACAUUGACUCAUUAUGCAAAAUCAACUGAGCUAAUUUUAUUUAUUUAUUUAAUGUCAAAUAGGAACUCCUAAUUAACUGAUUACUGUCGAAAAGUGCUAUUUUGUAGACCUAAUUAUAAGGGUUUUAAGCACCUUUGAGUAGUAAUCAUAUUCAUUUAACCUAAUUAAUUCAUUAAGCUCCUUAGUAAUUAGUUCUAACCAUUUUUAGUGGCAAGUUUACAUGUUUUUCAUCAGCUUAUGAACCAAUUCAAGCAUGCCAAUUGAUGGAGGAGCUACUUGGGCGAGUUAAGCAAGGAUUUUGGACGUUUACAGGCUUGAAUUUCAAGUGGAAACACGAGCACAAGCAAUGGGAACACCAUUUCGCAAGGGGAGGCAAUUCACCUUGCCAAAUGACCAAUUUCGCAAGGGGAUUUUCCUCAUGGUGCAAAAUUUGGUCAUUUCGCACCAUGAAGAAACCACCUUGCAAAAUUUCGCAAGGUGGAUUUAGGCACCUUGCGAAAUGCCAAAUUUCACAAGGUGGCUUUUCACCUUGCGAAAUUUGGACCUUUCAUCUUCCCCCCUUGCGAAAUGCCUUUGAAAUCCCCUGUUUUGAGACGCUGUUGAUGAUAUUCCACUGCCGGUUCUCCAAGAUAUUUUGCUUGACUUUUAGCUUUAUAAAUACCUAUUUUACCCUUGUAAUCAACCAAUGAAAAGGUUGCUUUUGUAAUAGCUCUUGUAAUUUAGCUUUUUAUUGUCUUUAAAUAGAGGUGAAGAGCCUCAGACACGAUCAUCUUGUAACCUGUAACUUUAUAAGUUAUAAGAGCACUUUUGUUCAUACGCUUCUUUUCUCUUUUCUUUCUCAUUUUCUUAGUAGCCAAACAUCCUUGGAGGAUGAAAUCCCCAAGGAUGAGAGGCUAAAACCUUUUAGUUUCUUGAAGUAAUGGAUGCCAUGUGAAGCUCCCGUGUCAGGAUGGAGAUUUCCAAGCCAUAAAUGUAAGUAGCUGAGCGUCAUAAAUGUUUUCAUUCAAAGUAAAGCUUUUAAUCCCUCUGACUUGCUUUGAAUGGCCAAUACUUGAUAACCUUUUGGUCUCAAUGGAUUCUUAUUGUUAGAUCCACUGACGUUCAUUAGUUAUCUCCUACGAGCCAUUGUAUUGCAAGUCGAGGAGAUGACCUAUACCAAUAAAAGAGCAUUUAUGAGGUUCAACUACCCUUUUUGUAAGUUUUCAAGGACUAAAACUCAGUUGUUAAACUCAUACCGGUUCGAGAAGUAAGCAUCACCUUAGUUGCUUCCCCAACUCGAGGUGAAAAGUCCCAAAAUCUCCAUUUUUACACAGUGAGUUAAGCAUGGCUAUCCAAAGCUUUAAGAAACUUCUUUUUCCAUCUUUUAACCUAUUUUCAUGUUAGUUUAGUUUACAACACCUUCAUCUUUUUAUGUUUUCAUCUUAACCUAAUUUUUAUUAAGAAAAGUUCACUCCAUCCUCCGAACUUCACCAGUUAAAGUAAAAACCCUUCCCAGUGUUCGAUCCUAGAGCCACUAUGCUAUAGUAGCUUUGCUACUUUAGUGUAAGGACCUUAGGUAUAAAUUUUGUUGAUACCCUUACAUGCCAAGCUACCAAGAGUCGGGUUAUCAUUAACCUAACCAUUGGCCUGUGUAAAUUGAUUUCACAUGCACAAUGUUGUAGUAGAAGUCCAUAUUUUGAAUUUUAUUUUUGUAAAGGUAAGGAAAAUGAAGCAUUGUGUAAUUAUAAAAAUAACUUCAUUGGAAUUCACAAGGUUCACCCAAAAUGGAGCUACAUCUGUAUUCUAUCCUACAGUAGACUAUAUAGAUUGUACAAUAGUAAAUUGCAAAUACAAUUAAUAAGUCUUGUGCUUCCUUACUAAUAAUCCUUUGACAUGAACAUUGCAGCACUAAGGUCCUCUUGGGAAGACACCUUGCACCCAUGAGAGCACUAAGAGGAAGCAAGGCAGAGUCAUGGGUGCAAUGUCAUGACUUGUUGUUGCACCAAGAGAGGCUUGGUGAUGCCAUGGUGUUGCAGUAGCAAGAAUGUUGCCUUGGCAGGGACACGAUCUAGGGAUAGAUGCCAAGAAAGGCUUAGCACUCACAUGAGUUGCACAAAGAUGAAUGUAAUAGAGCAUCAGAGAGACGUCUUGGCAAGUAAAUGAAUGGAUCCAAGAGACAACAACAUGAGGAGUUUCAAAUGGAUAAGGAAUGACUCAAAGACAUUUGAAAGCUACAAGUUGGAUUCUAAUUACGAUUGCAAUUUGAGUUUGAGUAGGAGUUUAGAUUUUGAUUGUAAUUGUAGUAUGAGUUGGACUAGGAUUGCUUAUCCUUAGUCAAUAUAGGAGCGGUUCGUGUCACCCUAUGAAAAGAGUUUGAGUAGGGACUAGGAUUGCUUACUCCUAGUCAAAUAUGGAGUAGGUGGUGCCACACCUAUAAAAAAAAGGGACAACAUGAGAGAGAGAGAGAGAGAGAAAGAGAGAGUGAAUUCACUAAAGAUAUUGUGGGAGUUUUGCUUUGUUACGUCUUGUAUUAUUACUUAGAAUAGGAAUAAAAUACAAGUUGGGGCUAGAGCCCCAUAAUUAAUCUCGUGUGCCUUUGUGGUUAUUCUUUAUUUGUCAUCUCGUGUGGAUUGGAUUAGGUUGACUUAGAGGGCUUCUAAGCACCACCUUUGUGGGUUAUUAUUUAUUUUCCAUCUCUUGUGGAUUAGAUUAGGUUGACUUAGAGGGCUUCUGAGCACCACCUUUGUGGGUUAUUAUUUAUUUUCCAUCUAUUGUGGAUUAGAUUAGGUUGACUUAGAGGGCUUUUAAGCACCACAUUUGUGGGUUAUUCUUUAUUUUCCAUAUCGUGUGGGUUGGAUUAGGUUGACAAGGAGAAAAAUUAUGUGGGAAAUUUGUGUUGGGACACUUACCAUAACCAAGUAAAAUCUACCAAGUCCUUUGUAAUAUCUUCAACAAAUAUUUUAGACUAGUUCUUUCAGUUAGUGUAAAGGAGGAAGAAGUGGUAUUGAUUCUAGAAAUAGGGUGUGUGUAUUUGAACUACAAUCCUUAUGAUCCUUAGGUCUCUAAACCUUCGUGAUGGGCUCCCUGACAUUUCAUAGGUUGUGCUACACAUGCGUUUGAAAUUUAGAGUGCGUUUGACAGUGAUUCCGGGAAGUGUUUUUGGCCUUUCUUACACUUGAAAAUUUUUAUUUUUCAAGUAUUAGAAAUGCUACAAACACUUUUGAAAAUUACUGUCAAACACACUCUUAGGAGCGCACAUAUAUAGUAGAAAACUAGAAAUUGUGGUUUUUUUAGGAUUUACUGUAAUGUCAUUAGGAGGGUAGUAAGUUGAAAUUGAGUAUGAACAAAUAUUUCUUUCUUUGGGAUGUUCUUCUAGUAGGUGCUGAUGAAACUGUUCUUUCUACUGCCAAUGUCACAUAUCAGCCAGAAAUUGAAAAUUUCAGUCAAGGUGUCCUCUGUUUUAGUGGUGAGGAAAGCUAGAAAUUUUAAGGUGAAGUUUUGUUAAAAACCUUAAGUAGCUGGGAUAUCAGGCCUGUUUUGCUUGAAAAAAAAAGUUGCAAGAUAACUCAUAUGCCAAACAGGUUCUGAUAUUGUGAAUCUAUCGGCAGACAUCAGUAAUCUCAUCUUCUGAGAUGGAUGUUGGGGGUGCAUGUGGUGGUGGAGGGGCAAGGUUUCAUUUGGUUUAUUUUGUUGAUGGAUAUUGUCUAGCCACCUGCGCCAAGUUUGAGGGGUGGUGGGUUGUGAUGACCCUACAAUUACUAUUAAUUUCUUCAUCUUUUACCGAUUAAAGUGUCCGAACAGUCGAAGUUACCCUUAUGCAUGUCAACUUGAUCACUUACCUCUUCAAUGGAGUUUAUGCUGGUUCAUUUAGGAACUGAUUUUUAUUGUUAUGUAUUAUAUGCUGAUGUUUAGGUCUCUCCAUCAUCACUAUAUACAAAAAUUCUAGGUUGAUACUAUAGGUUGAGAUUUAUUUUUUAAAUAAAAAAUAAUAAAAAUAAAAAUUAUGGUGAUGUUUAGUUGUUUUAUGGAAAAUUUUAACAAGUAAAAGUUAUUUUUGGGCAAGUUUUCAAACAAAAAGAAAAGUAAAAGUUGUUUUGACAAAAACAUAUAGAAAAAAAAAUCAUAGAAAAUAAAUAAUUUCCCCAUAUUCUAACUUUUUUGAAUUUUUCUCAAUGGGCAAAGGAAUAUCAAAUCAAGUUUGAGUAGGAUUUCUUAAUUUUUAAAAUAACUUACAAUUAAAAAAUUUUGGUGUUUUCAUUUUUGGACAAUUUUUUAUUAAGCAAAUGGACUCUGAGUCAUGCAAGAGAUAUGGUUCAUUAACCGGUCGAACAAUUUUUUUAAAUUAAUUUAAAAGUCAAAUACAUAAUCAAUUUCACAAAAUUUAUAAACAAAAAUAGGUUUAGAGAAGAUCUACACAUAAUUUUACUUUUCUAAUUUUAUUUUAUUUUAUUUUUUGUUGGAAAAUAGUCUUCAAAUCAUGUAAGAUUUAAUAGGUUAAAUUUGUUAACAAUAAAUUUUAAAUUAUAAAAUAUAAUCUGGAACUCAAAAAUCAAUUCAAGUAAUGCUAAAAAAAAAUCAAAUUUGGUAUAGAAUGACUUUGUAAAUUUUUUUACAAAACAAAUGAAUUUUAAAUCAAGUGAGAUUUAAUGCAUUAGAUUUUUAUCAAAUAUAGUAAUUUUAAAAAUAAAUUUGGAACUCAACAAUAGACACAAUAAAUACCAAAAAAUAAUGAACCAAAAUUGGUUUGGAAUAACUCCACAACCUUUUUUUUUUUUUUUUGGUGCACACGAAUUUUCUUACUAGGUAUAUUGCUUUCAAAUUGAGAAAGAUUUACCAUUUAGAUUUUUUUUUAAUGAGUUUAAUGGUAUUUUAAAAUAAUUCAAAAUUUAAAAAAUUGACUAAUUAAUAUUAUAAAUUGAUAAACCAAGACUAUUUCAAAAUGCAUUGGGGGCUAAGGGGGUUGAAAAUAGGGACAAUGGGAUGGGUUUGGGACAUGACACUCAUAUCUCAUUUCCAUUCCAAUUACACAGUUAUCUCCCAUCCUUAUCCCAAACUUGUGUUGGAGCAAGUUGAUUUGUUCCCAUCUUUGUUGACGAAAUGACUAAUAACCUCAUCCCCUCCUUAUCUUAGAUGUACAUUUUGUCAAAUUUGAUCAGGUAUGAUUGAUCCAAGCCCUAACCCUAAUUGGUAAUGAGUGAAUACUACACCUAAUUGCAUUCUUCUUUCAUUGCAAAAUAAUGAGAUUAUAAUAAUCUAGCAAAUAAGAAAAAAUAGUAUGGAAGUUCAAAUUAACACCAUAACUAUCAAUAAUUUUAAGCUUAUAGAUGACUUAAAUGAUUAAAAACUAAUGCAAAAUCCUAAAAAAAAUAAAAAUCAUAUAAAGAAUUCACAAGAGAACAGAAUGAACAAAAACCAAAUAUGAACAUGGGUCAACAUUAGUUAUGGAUUUGGAUUCCUUUCAAGGCCAAUCUUUGAACCAAGACUUCAUCAAAUCAACUACUUCAAAGGCUUUUGUGUUCUUCUUGGGUUGUGCUCUCAAACAAAGACUUCGAGGUGAUGUUCUAGAUGAUUGAAUUACACAUAUUUAGGGUGGAGAGAUUGGAGAAGCUUGAAGAUGCCAACGAUGGGUACAAUUGAGUGGUCAAUAAGAACAAUGUAGCCUAUGACUAGUUUGAUGUCAUGGUACAAGAGUUUUAGGCAUUGAGGUUAAAGCAAGAGCAACAUGGAAUUGAUUUCGGAGUCUUUCAGUUAGUGUAAAGGAGGAAGAAGUGGUGUUGAUUCUAGAAAUAGGGUUUUAAGUGGUGCGUGAUUACUACUCAAAAAGUGCUAUUUGAUAGCCUUUAAUUAAUCCUUUUUAACACUUUUGAGUAGUAGUUUAGGCCUUUUAACUCAAUUGGCAUGUUAAGGAUCCUUUAAAGCAAUUUUGAUCACUUUGUGCAAGUUUUGGUGUUUUUGUUAGUAUUUUGAUCACCAAAGCAAGUCAAGAAUGAGGAGAACUAUGAGGAAUCAUGGGCAAAGCUUAGAAUUCAAUUGCCAAGAGUGAAUCCGGAUUGCAAGGAGAAAAAGCAAAGAGAAUCUGUCAUGAAGCCUAUUCUUGAUGACAGUCGUAGCAGCCACUUUUGGAGCACUUUCUGAAGUCCAAAUGAUGCAAGCUAUAUACCAUUUCAAAGAUCAGGAAGUCAACAAUCCAAUGCUUCAAACGGUGCGCGAUUCGGAGUUGAAACGAAGAAGUUGCAGCCAUUACAAGCCAGUCACUCUAAAGUGUUGCGGAAUCAGCCUUUUGUUGCGAGAAUUUCGCAGCACUUUUGUACAGUAAGGUGUUUCUCCUUCUGACGAUGCACGAACCAUGCCGCGAGAGGGAAGCUAGGAACUUCAAGAUGGAAGCCAACUUUGCAGCCUGGUGAAGAUAGCUUGGUCUUGCGAAAUAAUUUCGCAGCCCUCUUGGGUGUCUGCGAAAUUUCGCAGGCACCACUUUUUUCCUGCGAAAUGGCUCCGGAAGCCUCCCGAAGCUUGCUACCGACAUUGGGAGAUAUUUUCCAUUAGAUUUUUGUUGUCUAAAUUCCAAAAUACUCCUUGUAAACCACCAAUUACAUGAUUCCUUAGUUUUUAAGUUAGUAAAAAGACCAAAUAUCUAUGUAAUAAUUAGUUUUAUAUUAGUUUGCUAUAAAUACCUCUCGGGAGCAUGUUCUCAGAGAGGAGUUCCUUCUGUAACCAUUUUGGUAAGCAAGUAAAGUCUUUUCUUUCUACUGCCUUACCUUCUCACUUUGUAUUUUCAUUUUAUUUCUAAGUUAUGAAUUCUCUGAGGAGCUUUCCCCAGAGAAUGAGUAACUAAACCUCCAAUUCCUUGGAGCUAAGGUUGCCGGGGAAGGUUCCAAGUGCAAGAAUGCAAAGCUCUGUGGUUUUAGCUAGUAAUGAAGAGGAAGUGAAAUCCUUUAGUGAUUUCAAUGUUUUUAGUUAACUUAAAACACCUUGGAGUCACCUGGGCCAACACUUGGUAAGGCAAGUGAUUUCCAACCGUGGAAAUGCACUAGUUUACCCCUUGCGAGCCUCUGGUAGGUGACUUCAAGGUAGGAUUUUCUGGAAUUACCAACACUUGGUAAGCUUUUGGACUCCUAGGAGACAUCCAUUAGUUAUCUCUUGCGAGUUUGUGAAGGGGAAUCCAAGGUUAAAGAUCACCUUGAAUGGUAAGUGCUCGUGAGAGGCAUGAACCAUUGCAAGUUGUAUCAGUGAGAGAAUUAAAGUGAAAUCUAAUUGAAGGAGUCUCUGUACAUCACCGGUUAGAGAAUUGACUAUAAGUUGAAUCUCUAAUGCGAGGAAAUGAACCAUCUGACCGGAGCUAUGUCUUUUGCAUGAGGAACCACCCCAGUGAACCUAAAUCUCCAAGGAAUGCUUUUCUUCCUAAAUUAUUCCAAACUUCUGUUAAGUUAGUUAGUUUAAGUCUAAACCUUUACCAAUCAAACUUUGUGUUUUAUUUCUUAAGCUAACCGUGAAAUGAAACAAAACCAAUUCACUUGGAAUUGGUAUCCUUGAUUGCUUGCAAAUCAUUCCCAGUGAACGAUCCUUAGAGCCACUAUACUAUAGUAGCUUUGUAUUUGCUACCCUAGUGUAUGGUGUUAUAGGUAUAAAUUUUGUUGAUCACUUCCUCAAUCAAGGAACACCAGCUGAACACAAAUCAGCUGAGACACCAAUUGGGCAUGAGUCAAAUGGCGCCGUUGCCGGGGAAUGAGUGUCAAGAUCAUUGUGAUACCAUUUUUGAGCACUUGUGAUUUUCAUCACAAGUUGGUAAAGUUUCUUUCACUUUACUAAUUUUCAUUCUCUCUUUGUUUAUUUACAAUCUAAGUUUAUCUUUUUAAAAUUUAGUCUAGUUUAAUUUUGCUAUUGUAGCCUUGUUUCUCUUGUUGUCCUCUGUUCUUGUUGUCCUCUGUUUUCAUUUUAGUUGCAGCUGAAUACUAGUUGUGUAUGCCAAAGUGGAUACGAGACAUUGGAGGUAGGCUUAUUAAGUGUGAUACACCUCAGAGAGGAGAAUUGGAAGUAAUCUUGAAUAUCAUGGAGGCUGCACCUGAAGAUCAGCAUAGUCACCAAGGUCGUCAAGACAAUCUCAAUGAAUUCAGAUCAAUGAGGGACCGUAUGCAUCCACCUCGUAUGAGUGCACCAUCAUGUAUAGUGCCCCCUACAGAGCAACUAGUGAUCAGACCAUAUCUUGUUCCACUUCUACCAACUUUCCAUGGGAUGGAAAGUGAGAAUCCGUAUGCACACAUCAAGGAAUUUGAAGAUGUUUGUAAUACAUUCCAAGAGGGAGGAGCUUCAAUUGAUUUGAUGAGGCUUAAGUUAUUUCCUUUUAAUUUAAAGGAUAAGGCCAAAAUUUGGCUUAAUUCUUUAAGGCCAAGGAGUAUCCGCUCUUGGACUGAUUUACAAGCUGAAUUCCUCAAGAAAUUUUUUCCUACUCAUAGAACAAAUGGCUUGAAAAGGCAAAUUUCAAACUUCUCAGCUAAAGAGAAUGAGAAAUUCUAUGAGUGUUGGGAAAGAUACAUGGAAGCUAUAAAUGCUUGUCCUCACCAUGGCUUUGAUACUUGGCUACUGGUGAGUUAUUUUUAUGAUGGUAUGUCCUCCUCAAUGAAGCAACUCCUCGAGAAAAUGUGUGGAGAAGAUUUCAUGAGCAAAAAUCCAGAGGAAGCUAUGGAUUUCUUGAGCUAUGUAGCUGAUGUUUCAAGGGGAUGGGAUGAACCAACUAAAGGAGAAGUGGGAAAGAUGAAGUCUCAGUUGAAUGCUUACAAUGCAAAGGCUGGGAUGUAUACUUUAAAAGAGGAUGAUGACAUGAAAGCAAAGUUGGCAGCUAUGACAAGAAGAUUGGAGGAGCUGGAGCUGAAAAGAAUGCAUGAAGUGCAAGCUGUUGCUGAAGCACCAGUGCAAGUGAAGUUGUGUCCCAAUUGUCAAUCGUUUGAACAUUUGGUAGAGGAAUGCCCUGCAAUUUCAGCUGAAAGGGAAAUGUAUAGAGAUCAAGCAAAUGUUGUUGGACAAUUCAGGCCCAAUAACAAUGCUCCUUAUGGAAAUACCUACAAUUCAAGUUGGAGGAAUCAUCCAAAUUUUUCAUGGAAGGCCAGAGCAACUCAAUACCAACAGCCGGAUCCACCAUCUCAACAAUCUUCAAGUAUUGAACAAAUAAUAGCUAAUCUCAGCAAGGUAGUGGGAGAUUUUGUGGGAAAGCAAGAAGCCACCAAUGCUCGAGUGGAUCAAAGAAUGGACAGAGUGGAUCAAAGAAUGGACAGAAUGGAGAGUAUGUUGAACAAAAGAAUGGAUGGAAUGCAAAAUGAUAUGAAUCAAAAAUUUGAUAACAUCCAAUAUUCAAUUUCAAGGCUUACAAAUUUGAAUACACUGCAAGAAAAGGGAAGAUUUCCUUCUCAACCUAACCAAAAUCCCAAAGGUGUCCAUGAAGUGGAAAGCCAUGAGGGAGAAUCAUCACAGGUGAAAGAUGUGAAAGCUUUGAUCACUCUAAGGAGUGGUAAGAAAAUUGAGCAGCCAACACCCAAGCCACAUGUUGAGAAAGAAGAAGAGAUGAAGAAAGGGAAGGAAAUGGAAGAUAAAGGCAGUGAGAUCAGUGAAGAAAAGAAGGACUCUGAUGCAACAAUGAAAGUAAUUCCAGAGAAGGAGCUUCUGAAGGAAGAAAUGCUGAAGAAAUCAACUUUUCCACCUUUUCCUCAAGCAUUACAGGGGAAAAAGGGGGUUAGAAAUGCAGCUGAAAUCCUAGAAGUAUUGAGGCAAGUGAAAGUUAAUAUUCCACUGCUGGAUAUGAUCAAACAAGUUCCAACGUAUGCAAAAUUCCUAAAGGACUUGUGUACUAUCAAAAGAGGGUUGACUGUAAACAAGAAAGCCUUCUUGACUGAGCAAGUAAGUGCAAUCUUACAGUGUAAGUCUCCUUUGAAGUACAAAGACCCUGGAAGUCCUACCAUUUCAGUCAUGAUUGGAGGAAAGGUAGUGGAGAAAGCCUUGCUAGACUUGGGAGCAAGUGUGAAUUUGCUUCCAUAUUCUGUCUACAAGCAACUGGGACUUGGAGAGUUGAAGCCAACAGCAAUCACUUUGUCUCUGGCAGAUAGAUCAGUGAAAAUUCCAAGAGGGGUAAUUGAGGAUGUAUUGGUUCAAGUAGAUAAUUUCUACUAUCCUGUAGAUUUUGUUGUUCUUGAUACAGAUCCUACUGUAAAGGAAGCUAAUUUAGUUCCUAUCAUCCUUGGAAGGCCAUUUCUUGCAACUUCAAAUGCAAUCAUCAACUGUAGAAAUGGGCUUAUGCAACUCACUUUUGGUAACAUGACACUGGAUCUAAAUAUUUUCUAUAUGUCUAAAAAGCAAAUCACUCCAGAAGAAGAAGAGGGUCCAGAAGAGCUAUGUAUUAUUGAUACUUUGGUGGAGGAGCACUGCAAUCAACAUAUGCAAGAUAAGUUGAAUGAAAGUUUUGUGGAUAUUGAGGAAGGUUUUUCUGAAUCUCCUAAUGGGCUUGCUACUCUACAAAGUUGGAGAAAGAUAGAAGGAAUUCUACCUUUGUUCAAUGAAGAAGAGGAGGCAGCUGUUGAAAAAGAAAUUCCAAAACUCAAUCUGAAGCCUUUACCUAUGGAGCUGAAAUAUACAUAUCUUGAAGAAAAUAAUCAAUGUCCUGUCGUAAUAUCUUCAUCUCAAACCAAGUCUCAAGUGAAGGAUGCAAGCUUCAAAUGGGAUCCGGGCAAACUGAAUCAGGAAGGGCAAAAAGUUUUGAUGUAUGACACAAGACUCCAUAUCUUUCCUGGGAAGCUCAAGUCAAGGUGGAUUGGUCCAUUUGUUAUUCACCGAGUAUAUUCCAAUGGAGUGGUGGACUUAUUGAAUUCCAAUGGCAAGGACAGCUUUAGAGUCAAUGGAUAUCGUCUUAAGCCGUUCAUGGAGUCAUUCAAAUCAGAAAAGGAGGCAAUCAACCUCCUUGAACCUCAAAAAGCCUAAGUGAAAUGGGUUUGCUGGACGUGGUUUUACCACAGUCCAAAAAUUUUUGUAAAUUUUGUAAAUUUUCAAGUUGUUUCCAUGCUUUUAAUCUUAGUUUUUGAUUUUAAAUCAUGUUUUUAGGUGUGUUUUAAUCGUUUUAUAUGAUCCCAGGCGGAAGAAAUUUCAAGGGGAUUGAAAAGAAAAAAAUCGGGUCGAAAUUGGAGCCGAAACAGAGCAAAAACAGGGGAAAAACAGAGCUCUGCGAAAUUUCGCAGGGUGAAGGAAACUUCUGCGAAAUUGGCAUUUUGCUGCCAAACCAUUCCGCAGCACUGUAGAAGCCUCUGCGAGUGUAUUUCGCAAUUGCGAAAGUGGAUUUGGCACACGAGUGCCACUUCGCAGCACAGUGACAUCAAUUUCGCAGCUGCGAAACUCACUGCGAAGUUGCUGCGAAAAUGGCAAGUUGCUGCGAAAUUGGCGUUUUGUUGCGAAACGUAAUCUGACCCCUGGGCUUCCGUUUUUCCUAUUUAUACCUGUCAAAAGUGCUGCGAAAAAGGUUUCAAAAAUUAGAGCACCAUUCUCGCAGCCCUUUCAUCUUCUUCGCCAAGCCACGCCGUCCGUUUCUCCGGUCGUCUUCUCCGUUUAGCAGCGCCGGCCAAAGAUCGAUAGCCCAAAAAUGGCACGAACGCGAGGGGCAAAGUCUUCAUCCCCUUCGAACCGCAAAAGGAGUCUGCGAAAGGAGCCAAGUUCAGGCUCUGUUCCAGAACCUGCUCCAAAGCCUUCGCCGUCGAGACCACAACCUUCUCCAGUGAAGCCGGCGCCACCAAAGCCGCCGGCAAGGCGAUAUUUAACCAGGUCAGGUGGUCAGCCAUUGAAGAAGAAAGCCAGAGUUGAGAGCUCUGAACCAAUCGAUUUGACUGAGCAAUCCCCUGAGAAAUCACCAAAUCCUUCACCGGUACAAAUUCCAGUGCCAUCACCGGUUCCCUCGCCAAUUCCCUCACCAGAAGCAACUCCAAUUCCAUCGCCGGUACCAUCUCCGGCACCCCAAGAAAAAGCUCAGGAGCCUCAAGCGCCAAUUCCAGAGCCCCAAAUUGCAGCUGAAGCACCUCUGGAAGAAGUGAUCCGAAGGCCAAUGCUGCCUCAGCCCCCAAUCGAAGGAAACCUGGAUUGCCGAACUCGGGCAUUCCAUUCUGAGCUUUGCUUCGAUUUAACAGCAUUCAGAGUGAGGCCAGAGCUUGCCCAAUCCUUCCAACUGCUGAGGAGAUAUCAUAUGGAGCAUCUGCUAGCUCCAAGGGAUUUUUUCUAUCCCCGGGUAGUCACGGAUUUCUACCAAACCAUGACAACCAAAGAAGUAAGAAAUCCAACUCUGAUUCAUUUCAUAAUUGAUGGAAGGCAUGGUAUUUUGGGAGCAAGACAUAUUGCUGAAGCCCUGCAAAUUCCUUUUGAGCCAACUCAAUUCGACAAUUUUAAAGCUUGGACAAAUCCUACUGAGUUAGAGAUGGUUAGCACACUAACCAGAGGAGCUGCAAAUCGAUCGCAUUUGUUGAGGGGGGAGCUACCUCCAGUUAUGUUUUUGAUUGAUGCCUUUUUGAGGCAUAAUAUCUAUCCCCUGCAGCAUUGGACCCAAAGAAGGGGAAUUCUCCUAGAAGCCUUGUACAAAAUGUCUGAAGGAUUCUUCUUUGGGCCUCAUCAUCUGAUCAUGGCAGCCCUUCUAUACUUUGAGGAGAAGGUUCACAAGAAGAAGCUUCAAAGAGCAGAUUGCAUUCCACUCCUCUUCCCAAGGCUGCUAUGCCAAGUUUUGGAGCAUCUCGGAUACCCCUCUGAGCCUCAGCAGGAAAGAAAGAGAAUAUGCCGUGAGCCUUUUACCCUUGAUAAAUGGAAUAAUAUGACGGCCUACAAAAUUGAUCAGCCUGGGCAGCCUCAGCCAGCAGCAAGGAGAGUCUCCCCAAGACAUAUACCUGAAGGUAUAACACUUGCUACUCCUGCCAUCCCUCGAGCUCCACCAGCUGCACCUGCUCCAUCACAGCCAUCCACAUCAGCUGAGCCGAGGAUGGCCAUCCCUAUAUCCGAAUAUCGAGAGCUGUGCCGUGCAUUGGAGACUCUUACAGCUUCUCAGAGCAAUCUUGCUCAGGAGUUGGCAGCCAUUAAAGCAUGCCAGGAGCAGAUGUUAGCCUCUCAGACUCAACAAGCUGCCAUCCUAAGGCAGCUUCAAGUCCAUUUCGAUCUGCCACAAGCUGUAGAGCCCUCUAUUCCUACUCCACCAGAGCCACACUCUCAGCCUUCAGAGUCUCAUCCUCCAGAACCCGAAGCACCAGCUGAUCCACCUACUGAGGAGGCAGAUCCUUCUGCCUAGCACCAUCACCCCCCUCAUCAGACAUUAUAUAUAUAUUUGCUGUUUAUGUUUUUAUGCAUGUUUGUUUUGUUUUAGUUGAAAAGAAAUCCCAGUAUUUUGGUACUAUAUAUGGGAUUCCUUGUGUUACUUGUCUUUAGUAUUGUAAUCACAUGAACUCAAAGUAAUACAAGUUGACUAUUUCUUGUUAAAAGUUAGCAUUAAAGUUUCCUUAUUUCCUUUUCUCACAUAUUCUAUUCUUUUUGAAACAUGUGGUUUUCCCCAAUCAAUAUUCGAAUUUGAUAUCAGCAUGGAGGUACCACUUCCUCCCUUUUAUUACAGUCACUCAAAUCACAUUGAGGACAAUGCUCAGUUCGGUUGGGGGGUAUGAGGAAGGAAGUAUUCUAAACCUUUUUGGUAUUGCAAUUAUAUUGGUUAAUUAGUUGUAGAUUUUACUUUUUACUAGUGUUACUCUAUUCUCCAUGAAUUUUGAGGAAAAAUUUUCAAAUUAAACCAAGAGAAAUUGAACUGUUGUUUUUCACUUGACUUAGAGUAUGGAUUAUGCUUACUAAAGUGGUUCAAUUGUUGAAACUUCUACUGAAAUUGAAUUGAGUUCUUCCACUUUAAGCUAUCCACACACUGUGCACAUUAGUUUCCGAUUAUAAGAUGAAAAGCUAUUUCCCUCUUGACUUAGUAUAUUUUUGGGACUUGGUAUAUUUGACCUCAUUUGAUAAAAAUUGAAACACCCUGCAAAAGGCCAAUGAGCCUUUGAAAUAAAGAAAGUUGUUUGCUUGCCUUGAAACCCGAGCAAGGUCUGAGGGGUAUAUGGUGAAAAUCUUUAAAGCCUGGUGCCCUAAGCCUUAAUUGGUUGGGAGUCACCGACCUCAAUGCUCGUUACAAGGGUGAAUAGGUAGAGUUAGCAUAUGGUAGAUGCUUGGGUAUUAGAAAUUCAUUCUUAAAAGUCCGGGGAAAAAUCCGAGGAGUUAGUGGUUGAAAGAUCCUUAAAACUUGGUGCCCUAAACCUUAAUUGGUUGGGAGUCAUCGAUGGACCCCCAUUACAUGGACAAGUCAGAAAGAGUACCCCAUAAAGCUACCUUAAAAAAAAAAAAAAAAAAAAAAAAAAAAAAAAAGAUGAAAGUGUGUUCUUUUCUUAUUGAUUUUGGUCAGUUUGCUAAAGUGUUGAAAAGAGAUAGGUUGGGGGGUGAGAUUAGUAGCAUAUUAUUCUCGGAACCUAAGGAACCAAUACACAUAGAUUUUUGUGGAAGAUUGAAGUUUAGUUCUUAGAAAAUGAAAUGAUUUUAAAACUUCAGUUUGCAUAAUGCACUCCCUUGAUUGACAGUGUUUAGCAUAGGUGUUAUGACUCUUGUUGAGAUUUGGGUUUGUAUUUCUUUAAUGAUUCAUGUGAGAAAUAGAUCAUCAUGCCACUUGAGAAUUAUUUUCCUUUUAGCAUGAUGUUGUAAAUUUUAGAUUAGUUUGCUAUUUAUUUUUUAUUUUCUCUCCUAUAUUGCUAAGGGACUAGCAAUAUGUCGGUUGGGGGGAGUGAUUACUACUCAAAAAGUGCUAUUUGAUAGCCUUUAAUUAAUCCUUUUUAACACUUUUGAGUAGUAGUUUAGGCCUUUUAACUCAAUUGGCAUGUUAAGGAUCCUUUAAAGCAAUUUUGAUCACUUUGUGCAAGUUUUGGUGUUUUUGUUAGUAUUUUGAUCACCAAAGCAAGUCAAGAAUGAGGAGAACUAUGAGGAAUCAUGGGCAAAGCUUAGAAUUCAAUUGCCAAGAGUGAAUCCGGAUUGCAAGGAGAAAAAGCAAAGAGAAUCUGUCAUGAAGCCUAUUCUUGAUGACAGUCGUAGCAGCCACUUUUGGAGCACUUUCUGAAGUCCAAAUGAUGCAAGCUAUAUACCAUUUCAAAGCUCAGGAAGUCAACAAUCCAAUGCUUCAAACGGUGCGCGAUUCGGAGUUGAAACGAAGAAGUUGCAGCCAUUACAAGCCAGUCACUCUAAAGUGUUGCGGAAUCAGCCUUUUGUUGCGAGAAUUUCGCAGCACUUUUGUACAGUAAGGUGUUUCUCCUUCUGACGAUGCACGAACCAUGCCGCGAGAGGGAAGCUAGGAACUUCAAGAUGGAAGCCAACUUUGCAGCCUGGUGAAGAUAGCUUGGUCUUGCGAAAUAAUUUCGCAGCCCUCUUGGGUGUCUGCGAAAUUUCGCAGGCACCACUUUUUUCCUGCGAAAUGGCUCCGGAAGCCUCCCGAAGCUUGCUACCGACAUUGGGAGAUAUUUUCCAUUAGAUUUUUGUUGUCUAAAUUCCAAAAUACUCCUUGUAAACCACCAAUUACAUGAUUCCUUAGUUUUUAAGUUAGUAAAAAGACCAAAUAUCUAUGUAAUAAUUAGUUUUAUAUUAGUUUGCUAUAAAUACCUCUCGGGAGCAUGUUCUCAGAGAGGAGUUCCUUCUGUAACCAUUUUGGUAAGCAAGUAAAGUCUUUUCUUUCUACUGCCUUACCUUCUCACUUUGUAUUUUCAUUUUAUUUCUAAGUUAUGAAUUCUCUGAGGAGCUUUCCCCAGAGAAUGAGUAACUAAACCUCCAAUUCCUUGGAGCUAAGGUUGCCGGGGAAGGUUCCAAGUGCAAGAAUGCAAAGCUCUGUGGUUUUAGCUAGUAAUGAAGAGGAAGUGAAAUCCUUUAGUGAUUUCAAUGUUUUUAGUUAACUUAAAACACCUUGGAGUCACCUGGGCCAACACUUGGUAAGGCAAGUGAUUUCCAACCGUGGAAAUGCACUAGUUUACCCCUUGCGAGCCUCUGGUAGGUGACUUCAAGGUAGGAUUUUCUGGAAUUACCAACACUUGGUAAGCUUUUGGACUCCUAGGAGACAUCCAUUAGUUAUCUCUUGCGAGUUUGUGAAGGGGAAUCCAAGGUUAAAGAUCACCUUGAAUGGUAAGUGCUCGUGAGAGGCAUGAACCAUUGCAAGUUGUAUCAGUGAGAGAAUUAAAGUGAAAUCUAAUUGAAGGAGUCUCUGUACAUCACCGGUUAGAGAAUUGACUAUAAGUUGAAUCUCUAAUGCGAGGAAAUGAACCAUCUGACCGGAGCUAUGUCUUUUGCAUGAGGAACCACCCCAGUGAACCUAAAUCUCCAAGGAAUGCUUUUCUUCCUAAAUUAUUCCAAACUUCUGUUAAGUUAGUUAGUUUAAGUCUAAACCUUUACCAAUCAAACUUUGUGUUUUAUUCCUUAAGCUAACCGUGAAAUGAAACAAAACCAAUUCACUUGGAAUUGGUAUCCUUGAUUGCUUGCAAAUCAUUCCCAGUGAACGAUCCUUAGAGCCACUAUACUAUAGUAGCUUUGUAUUUGCUACCCUAGUGUAUGGUGUUAUAGGUAUAAAUUUUGUUGAUCACUUCCUCAAUCAAGGAACACCAGCUGAACACAAAUCAGCUGAGACACCAAUUGGGCAUGAGUCAGUGCGUUAGAGGAUCAAGAAGAAGAAAAAGAAGGAACUGUUGGAAUUAGUAUGAGUGUGAAGAGAAAAGUAUAUAAAUAAGGGGAAGUAAAAGCAAAGUUCAAAAAGCUAUAUUUUUUUAUUGUUGGUGUAUGGUUGCAUGAUUAUCCCUAUAAAUAAUAGGAGUUUUUUGGUAUUCUACUAGUAGUUGAAGCAUAAUUUCAUAAAUUAAUAUUUAGAGCGGGGUGGGGUGAGUUGUGACAAAAUUCAUACCCGUCCCAAACCUUGGUUCAGAUUUUUAAAAUAUUCUCAAACUUAUCAUAUACCCAACUUUUAUAUUUCAUACUUGUCCUAAUAGAGGCACGUUAGGCCGGGUUACUUGAGUAACCUACAUAAUUGUCAUCCCUAGUUGAAAUACACUUUUUGGCAGUGGCCACCAACUGAGCUAGAAGCUUGAUUGAUUGACCUACAAGAUUAGUUCUCAUCAUUUUAAAAAAAGUUCUGGCUUUGGUUGUGAGUGCAAUUGAAUCUAAACUGGCAUUUGCUUAAUGCAUCUACUUCAAUCCUAAACUUCUUACUUCUUAAGCCUCAAUUGUUGUUAGGAUUUUGGAAAACCCAUUUCCUUAAAUUGUAAAUUUAAGAUAAAAUAAAAUAAAAGUGAGACAUUUCUUGAUUGAAUAUUGUUAAAGGUCCCUUGGCAUUAAGACUUGGUUGAAGCCUUGGAAGAUUAGUGGAACUCUCAACAUGUGUUUGAAUCUUGAGGAGAGUGGAUGUAAGCCAAAAUUUUGUCAAACCAUUAUACAAAUUGAGUUUGAAUCCUCAUUUCUUGAUUUCUUAUUUAUUUGCUUUUUCUUAUUAUUACUUGAAUUGUCAUUUGCAUUCAUUAAUGUUAAAAUUGGUUAUAAUUAACCAACACUAAUUCUCUUUCCCCUUCCCUUUCUUGGGUGUAAACCUAGGUUGGAUUAACUAGAUAAAUCUAUUAAGAUGGUAAAAGAAUAAUUAUUCUUAACAUACAUAAGAUCAUCUUCAAUCAAAUGACUCAUUGGCUAAUAUGUUGAAUUUGCUUAUUACUUGCAACUCAAAAUUGUGUUCUAGUUGUGUCAAGUCCCCAGUGUAUGGACAUUAAAUUUGUAGUACGUGAUGAGUAAUUAGAUGGUCCAACUCCAAGAAAGUGAUUGAAAAGUAGUUCAAGAAAGGUGCAAAAGGGAAUUGUUUUGGUAUUUUCGUUUUUAUUCUUGAAGGUGGCAGAGCUAAAAUUUGAGAAAUCAAGCAAAACAUACUGAAAUUACAUUGAAAGAAAGAAGAUGGGAGUUAAUGUCUUGCAGUACAUGAUAAGGACUUCAUGCAUGUAGUGUGACCCAUGUCUUGGACUGAUGCCAACUCACGGUUACACUUAUACCCUUGGUUCUCUCUUUACUACCUUGGCUAACCUAGAUCAGGCUAUGAGAUAGGCUCCUCACCACACCAUUACUUGCCCAUUAAUUAGAGACAUUUUCAAGCAAUGAGGUAACAUGGUGACACCAAGAGGGUCUAUUCCUCGCCCGGAACAAGUCUAGACUUGGUCUCAAAAAAAUGGAGAAAAAUGAGGUGUCGUUAUGUAGAAAUACAACAACCAUGCCUUCCUCAUUACUUAGAUUCAGAAUGUGAAGGUGAAAUUGAGAAACAGAAACUCUUGAAACCAAAAUGAAAAUUGAUACUUUUACGAAGAAUUACAACAACAUUAGAGGAAGACUACAUUCUUCCUCUUUAUUCCUACAUUUCUACACUACUUCUACUCCACUCCAUAUUUCUACAUACAUCUUUAAUCAGUCUUCCCUCCUUUAUAUAGAGCCAUCUUCACACAAAUUUCGCAAGGUAGAAAAGAGGAAUGAAACUUGGAGCAAGGUUCGACUACUGGUUGUAGCUUGUCAAGGCUGGAAGUGAACUUUUCUUGGCUUUCUGGGCAUGGGUAGUAACUUGUGGGUUCCUGUUUGGCAUAAAAAUGGCUAGAACAUGUGGCACUAUCUUGUUGGAUGAUGUGUCAAGCAUGUGGCAGCCAUCUAGUGGCGAUUAUGUCAAUUUUGGGAUGGAGAGUUGGCAUCCAAUUGCAAAGAAAUAUGACGUCUACCAACAUGCAAUGUAAACCUAUGUAGAUCAUAUGAAGAUAGAGAGGAAAAAUAUAGAAAUGGAUAUAUACCUAGAACUAGCUUUUUAUUAAAUGAAACGGAGAGACAACAAUGAAGGAAAAUAAAAUUUUUUGGCUUAUAUCAAAGAGUUCACAUUGUGUUACCCUAGGUUUUCUUAAAACUUACUUUUAUGAUAACAAAAAAGAAAAAACCAUUAUUGUUUAAUCCUUUGUUUUAAACGCAUGUAAGGUGUAAUUAAGUUAGUUCAAUGCAUUAAUUUAAGAAACUUGACCUAUCAAAAGUACAAAAUUAGAUGAAAUCCAUUUCAAUGGUUAAAAUGAUCAAAAUCAAACUUUUUCUAAGUAUUUUUUAAAAGCAUCAAUAGUGAAAGACAAUUUUAUAUUUAGUCGGAGUUUGGACAAAACUGAAAAACACACAAAAUCCAAGCGACCAUCUCUAGCUUGGAUGGUCGCUUGAUCCCACCUAGAGAUGUGCAUGAGUAAAAGGAUUUGAAAAUGGAAAUUGACUAUGUAGUCGAUCAAUUAACUUUGCAACAUCAUAUGCAAUCCUAAUUGCUAGUCAUCUAAUCAAUUAGGUAGUCAAUCAACAGGCCAAAAAUAUGUUUAUAAUGACUAUUUUGUACAAAAACCACCUGUAUAGUUAAAUAUAAUGCAUUUCAUUUAUAAAUCUUCUAAUUCUUGAAUAACGAUCCUAUCAUCCUUUGAAAGUUUUUAUUACACUUUUUUUACUUUUGUUCUAAAACUUACACAUCACCCUUAAUUGUACCAUGAGAACCUAGCUAUUUUUUAUUUUUUUUUUUGUAAUUCAUCAAAGUUAGCUUUUGUAUUCAUUGUUGUAUUAUUUUUAGUAUAACUUAGAAAGCUAGUGUUUUCAAGUGAGUAAAAUUAACUUGUAAAUAUUGUAAAGAUUCAUCGACAUGUAUCUUAAACUAAGUGUACAAGUUAAAACAUUUGCUAGUAGAUUUUCUCAAAAUUUAGAAUAGAGCUUGAGACUAUUGAAAUAGGUGGGGUUGCACCAAACCACAUCACAUCGUUGUUUGCACCUUUUUUCACUCUCUUUUACUUAGUUGCUCUAUAUUUGUUGUCUAGUAAUAUCCUAUAGGCUUGAUGGGUUAGGGAGCAUCCCUUUGUGAAAAAAUUUUAUUCAAUCCUUAGUUGUAUCACGCAUAUAUAAAAUGCCUCAUUGUUUUAAUGGUAUUCAGUCGUGGCAUCACAGAUAUGGGCAUCUAAAUUUUAAAAGUUUGAAACUUUUAUCUAAAGAAAAUAUGGUGCUUUGCCUUUUUGUAAAGCAUGUUGAUGAAAUCCAUGAGAAUUGUGUACUUGGGAAGCAACACCGAGAUGACUUUUUUUUUUUUUUUAUAAUAUUGUUUGUCCAAAUUCCCUACAAAUUAGGCCACCAGAUGUUCAUAAUUCUCCCUUCUUGAAUUUGAAAACUCGGACAAUUGGACAAUGCGACACCUAAGUCCGGUUUCUAAAUGCUAAAGUGAAAGGGUAGGUAUGGACCAUUGAAAUGUGAUCACAACUUUUCUCUGUAGCCAUGUUGUCUCUUUUUUCUUUUGCAUGAUUUUCUUACCUUAACAGAAUCAUAGACUUGUUUAGUCUCUAAAUGGGAUUAAUUUCAUCCAGCUUUAAGCUACUAUAUUAUAUCUAGGUGGAGGACUUUUAAGAGUGCAACCGACAUAGAGCACAUGGAAGUGGGUAUAUGGGACAUGAAAUUUCUUCUUAUAAAGAUUGCAUGAUUUUUAUAUUAGAGUUGUUGAGGCGCUAUGUAUUUAGCUUGUUUUGCAGUUAAAUUAAUUGGAUAAGUAGACAUUGGCGUUUCUAAAUCUACUGUGAAGUGCUUCAUGUACGUGUGAAGUAUUAGAAAUUUCUUUCUUGGCAACUUGUUUUUCUUUGCGGUCUACUGAUAGGUUUGACUAAAAUUAUAUUCCCUGUCAUGCUAAUUAAUUUUCACGUGCAUGCUCAAAAGAAAAGUAUGACCUUAGUGCACCAAAAUCACUUUGAUUAAUUUGUGAUAGGUUUUUGUGCAUCAUGACAUUAGCCUUAUUCAUUUAGAUAAUGUUUAGUUUUUAGAAAGUAUUAAGAAAAGGAAAAUAAAUAUUAAGAAAAAUAUUCUUAUAUUUGAUUGUAUUAUGAAAAAUAUCAUAAAAAAAUCAAAUAUAAUUUAAAUUAAUUAAUAAUUUAUACAUUUUCAAAUUAUUUAAUCUUUAUAUUGAAGAUAUAAUAUAAAUGAAAUGAGUUUUAAGUAUUAUAUAAAAGUGAUUUAUUGAUCUUACAUAUAUAUAUUUCUUUUUUUUUUCCUUCUAUUUUUUCUCUUUAUUUUAUUUUCCUUAUGUUUUCCUCAACAUUUUCCGGAACCAAACAUAGCCUUAGGAAAUCCACAAUUACCUUCAACUGAGUAGAUUCUGUUGUUUUAGCAAUGUUAGGCUGCUAACUUGUGUUGGUACGAACCUAUUAAGCCUAAAGAUGUAAUUAGUUAGGAUAUUCUUUUCCCUCUAGUCUUGUAGCUCCACGUGUACAGUUGGUUAGGACCUCAUUGUAUAUAAUGCUUGCCCUGUUAUUGUAGAAGACAACAAAGAUAAAUAAUAUUAACAUUUUUCCUCUCAUCUCUCUCUGUUUCCCUCUGUUUUCAUCUCCUCUCUCAUCUUGGUAUCAGAGCCUCCAUGGCUUCUUUCAAAGAAACCUCCGAAUCACCUUCUGCUAGCAUUGUUAAUGUGCAAAACCCAUUAUCUCAAUCAAACAACCUUCCUUCACCAGUAGCCACACCCUCUUUUUCUUUCUCGUCUAUGAAUCAACCUCUCACAGUGAAGCUGGAUAAUGGGAACUACCUCAUAUGGAAGAAUUAGCUUCUAAAUGUCAUCAUUGCUAACGGACUCGAUGAUUUCAUUGACGGAUCUCGACCCUGCCCUCCUCGAUUUCUCGAUCUGCAACAACAAACCCUCAAUCCAGAGUACUCAGCUUGGCAGAGAUACAAUCGACUUCUGAUGAGUUGGCUGUACGCAUCCUUGUCCAAAGAUAUAAUGGCUCAGAUUGUUGGGUAUUCAACAGCUAUGGAGAUUUGGAAUGCCCUUAAUCAGAUUUACUCUGCCUCUUCUAUGGCGCGGUUUACUGAGCUUCGCACCAAGCUUCAAACGCUCAAGAAAGAUGGACUCUCAGUUGGUGAAUAUAUUCAAAGGCUCAAAUCCAUUUGCAAUAGUCUUGCAGCAAUAGGAGAACCAGUUUCUGAGAAAGACCAUCUUAUCUAUUUGUUCAAUGGAUUAGAUUGUGAGUAUUAUUCUUUUGUUACCUCCAUUCAAAAUCGAUCUGACCAACCAACUAUUGACAAAAUCCAUAGCCUAUUGCUUAGCUAUGACUUCCGGCUUGAACAACAAAACUCUGUUUCUCUCCAUUCUGCCCAAGUCCAUAUGGCUCAUCUGAACAAGAAACCUUAUAAAUCAACUCCUCAACCUACAUUCAAUCAUAUUCACAUUCAACCUAGAUACUCUUCUCCACCUUUUAAGCCAACCACUAGUCAAUAUCAACCCAACAUUUUGGGCAAACCACAACCACAACCAUGACAGCCUCAACCUCAAUGGAAACCACAUUUUUCAAUCUAAAAUCAAAAGCCUCAGCGCCAAAUUUGUGGUAAAUUUGGACACACUGCUCUUAUUUGCUUCCAUCACACAAAUUUGAACUAUUCACCCCAACCUUCUCCUAAAUCUUUCAAUACUGUUCUCACCACAAAUUCCCAGCUCCCUAAUCCUCCAAAAUUUUCUUACCCUACAAUGGCUCAUCCUGCUGCUACGCAUAACACGGUUCCCGAUACAAAUUGGUACAUGGACUCAGGUGCUACACAUCACUUUACUCUGGACAUCAACGUGCUUGACACUGUGACACCAUUUAGUGGUUCAGAACAGGUGACAGUUGGGAAUGGUAAGCAACUCUGUAUCUCACAUCUUGGUACUGCAAAACUACCAUCUUCGUAUUCUCCUCCUGUUCUACAUCAGGUAUAUCACACUCCAAAAAUUUCAAAUAAUCUUAUUAGUGUUAAAAAAUUGUGUUCUGAUAAUAAAGUUUUUGUUGAAUUUUAUGCCACUCAUUUUCUUGUCAAGGAUCAGGUUUCGAAGAGAGUUCUCCUUUAGGGUCAACUUGAUAAUGGCUUAUACAAAGUUCAGUCGUCAUGCUCUCCUUCUGCUGUUUCCUUUCCUCCUCAAGUUUUCAUAGCCAACAUCAAGUAUCCAAAUCUGUGGCACAAGAGACUAGGCCACCCAGCUUUAUCUGUUGUUAAUCAAAUCUUGGAUUCUUGUAACAUUGCUCGAACACAGAAAAUUUGUUUUAAUUUUUUAAAUUCUUGUCAAUUAGCAAAGAGCCACAGGCUUCCUUUUUCUCUGUCUCCAUCCAUUGCAGAAAAACCUUUUGAGUUAAUUCAUACAGACCUAUGGGGUCUUUCGCUCGUUCGCUCUAUUUCUGGUGCUCUUUAUUUUUUACUUUUCAUUGAUGAUCAUACUCGUUUUACUUGGUUUUAUUUGCUCAAAACAAAAGAUGAAGCAUAUCCUACUUUUCUCAAGUUUCAAGCUCUCAUUGAAAAUCAAUUUAAUACCAAGAUUAAGGCUGUCCAAUCUGAUUGGGGAGGUGAGUUUCGAUCUCUCUCCAUACCGUUUUCAAAUAUGGGCAUUGUCUAUUGUUUAUCGUGUCCAUACACCUCACAACAGAAUGGGCGAGUUGAGCGAAAAAAUCGCCAUGCGAUUGUCCUUUCUUGCUUGCUCUAUGCCCUUAUCUUAUUGGCCUUAUGCCUUUCAAACUGCCACUUACCUUAUUAAUCGUCUCUCUACCCCUGUGCUGCAUCAUCAAUCCUCUUACUUCGCACUCUAUCACAAACUCCCAACUUAUACUCAUCUUAAGGUCUUUGGUUCCUCUUGUUUUCCGUAUUUGCACCCUUAUAAUACCCAUAAACUCCAAUACAGGUCACUAGAGUGUGCUUUUCUUGGUUACAGUUCACACCACAAAGGUUAUCUAUGUCUUGACAUUCAUUCUAGCAGGGUGUAUAUUUCUCGCCAUGUGAUUUUUAAUGAAGAUUCUUUUCCAUUCAAGAAUUUGAAAUCUUCUCUCUCUCAGUCUAUUUCUUCUUCCUCUUCUUUAUAAGUUCCUCUGUUCAUUCUCUUGCCUCCCCUUUCCCCAUCUCCUCUUAUUUCUUCAUCUAUACCUCAUUCUUUUCCCUCUUCUUCUUCUACCUCUAGUACUUGUUCCCCUCUCGUUGCUCCUACCUCUCUUCCUUCCUCUUCACACUCUGUGUCUCCAUCUAUUCCACCUCCUUCUCCACCUUCUCCGAGUGUGGACCUGCUUGCACCUUGUGUGAAUACAAAUUUACAUACUUCUUCUCGCACUCACAAUAUUCAUCCUAUGGUGACUAGAUCUAAGGUUUGUAUCUAUAAACCUAAGUUGUUGUUGAGUGUCUCCAUAGGUUCUCUCACUAAGCCUACUUCCUUUCUUCAAGCUAUUAAAGAUCCUUCAUGGAAGCAAUCCAUGGAAUUCGAGUUUGCUACCCUUCAACACAACAAGACCUGGCAUUUGGUUCCUUCACCUUCCUCAGGCGAAGUAAUCGGUUGUAAAUGGGUCUAUAAGCUAAAGCUUCAGCCUGAUGGCUAAAUUGAGAGAUACAGCCUGCUUAGUAGCUAAGGGUAUCAUCAAAUUGAAGUAUGGACUACUUCGAAACAUUCAGCCUGAUNNNNNNNNNNNNNNNNNNNNNNNNNNNNNNNNNNNNNNNNNNNNNNNNNNNNNNNNNNNNNNNNNNNNNNNNNNNNNNNNNNNNNNNNNNNNNNNNNNNNAGCUUCAGCCUGAUGGCUAAAUUGAGAGAUACAAGGCCUGCUUAGUAGCUAAGGGUUAUCAUCAAAUUGAAGGUAUUGACUACUUCGAAACAUUCAGCCUGAUUGUCAAGCUUUCUACUAUCUGUAUUGUGCUCAGUCUUACUUUUUCCCAGAAUUGGUGUAUUAGACAGCUGGAUGUUCAUAAUGCCUUCUUACAUGGUGACUUAGCUAAAGACGUUUUCAUGGAACAACUGCCUGGAUUUGUUGAUCCUCUCUAUCCUACUCAUGUCUGCAAGUUGGAUAAGUCUCUCUACUGUCUUAAAUAGUCACCUCGGGCUUGGUAUACUAAGCUGAGUACUUCUCGCUACACUUGGGAUUUGUUACUUCUAAGAAUGACUCUUCCUUAUUUAUUUGUCAUUCGUCUCAUGGGUUACUUCUUGUUCUUGUCUAUGUGGAUGAUAUAAUCGUCAUUGGGAGCCACUCUCCUCAGGUUACUCACCUUAUCCAACAGUUGCAUCAUUAGCUUUCUUUAAAGGAUCUUGGUCCUUUACAUUAUUUUCUGGGCUUGGAGGUUCAUCACACCCCUACUGGUAUUCACCUCAGCCAAGCAAAGUAUAUCACUGAUCUCCUUACCCGGGCGGCUAUGUUGGAUGCCAAGCCAUGUCCCACUCCUAUGUCCUCCAACACAUAUCUCUCUUUUCAUGAUGGAGUGGCUCUUGAAAAUGGUUCAGAUUAUCGAAGUUUUGUUGGUGCCCUUUAGUAUUGUACCAUGACACGCCCAGAUAUAGCUUUUGCAAUAAAUAAAGUGUGUCAAUUCAUGCACCAUCCCUCUAAUGUUCACUGGCAGGCUAUAAAACGUAUUCUCCGGUACUUAAAGGGCACAUCUCAUUUUGGUCUCUUCCUACAGCCUUCCUAUGACUUCAACAUCACUUGCUAUACAAAUGCCGACUGGGCUUCCUGUCCUGAUGACAAGUGUAGCACCAGUGGCUACUGCCUCUUUCUUGCCUCUAAUCUGGUUUCUUGGUCAUCUUCCAAACAAAAAGUGGUCUCCCGCUCCAGCGCCGAAUCAGAGUACCGAGGGGUAGCAAAUGGGGCUGCUGAAAUUGCUUGGACUGAAUCUCUUCUUUGUGAACUUUCCAUUACUCCCCCUCCCCUCAUUCUCUGUGACAAUAUCAGUGCCACGUACUUAGCUGCCAAUCCUAUUUUGCAUGCCCGCACCAAACAUGUGGAAAUCGACUAUCACUUUGUCACGGAACGUGUUCUUCAAUGCUCUCUUUUUGUCCAGUUUACACCUUCUGAUGAUCAACUUGCUGAUUGCAUGACCAAGCCUCUCUCCACCCAACGUUUCAUCACUCUACGCUCCAAGCUCACUGUUCUCACUAGACCAAUGAGCUUGAGGGGGGAUGUUAAGCCUAAAGAUGUAAUUAGUUAGGAUAUUCUUUUCCCUCUAGUCUUGUAGCUCCACGUGUACAGUUGGUUAGGACCUCAUUGUAUAUAAUGCCUGCCCUGUUAUUGUAGAAGACAACAGAGAUAAAUAAUAUUAACAUUUUUCCUCUCAUCUCUCUCUCUGUUUCCCUCUGUUUUCAUCUCCUCUCUCAUCUGAACCAAAUGAUCCAUGUUAACCUUGGCUUGGUUUGAUUUGGCUCUAUCUUAGAGAGCUCAAGGAUCACGUCAACUCUGGUUUCUACUAUUCAGGUCCAUUCCCAUAUGAACUGGUUCAAAUUUGAGAAAAUGGUAACAGACCUUUAGUGAUGUUGGUUUGGAGCCAGUUGCCAAACCCGCCCUGAGCUUUACCACUAAUGUCAAGGGAGAAAGCCAUUUGAACAAAAACAAUAGCUUCAAGGGACUGAAUCGUGGAUGAAAUCUGAUCCACAUUUCUUCUCAUUUUGGAAACAAAUGAGAACUUAACUAAGAAGAUUCUACGGCCUCAUAGUGCUUUUCCUGAUCUAAGGUUGGUUCGUUUCCCAAACUGUGAGAUGCACGUGCCAGACUUCAGAACUCUCACGCUCAGGAGUGUAUCCACGUGGUGGACAUAAGAUGGUGGCUUAAGAUCUGGUGUCGGUGGCUUUACUUUACUAGGAGAGUAGUGUGUCUUCAUCUCAUUCACUGCCGGAGGGUGGCGUAAGCAGUGACGCUAAGGUGGGGCACAGUCAAUAUCAUUUGCAUUUGACCAUUAUAGUUUUCUCCCGGCUUUAAAGUAACCUUAUCGUGAUAAAGGAUUACUAGCACUAGUUCAGAUGAUAGUCAUGUUAAAUUCGGACCAUGUUUGUGUCACAUUAUCAGCAACCAUGUGUUUAUGGUUCAUGCUUUCUGCAACUAAAAUUGAUAUAUAACCAGGUGAACUUCAAUCUAAAUUCUGAAAGUACUCAUGUGAUAGAUGGUGCCCGUCUGCAGAGUCCAUCAAUUGAAAAAUGGAGUGAGUGUAUCUAUAAGAGGGAAGGCUUGGAAAAUGUUCAGUUUUCUGGGAAUUCAACAAGGAUCUAAAAUAGAUUGUUUUCUUUGCUGAUUUCAAUGGUUGAAAUUUGAGAAGAUUGUGUCCACAUAACACAACUAUUACUGGUCCUUCUGUUGCAAUUUAUCCUCUAAAGCUCUAGCAUGUCUUCCAAUUCCCACUUCCCUGUUACUCCAGGAAAGCUAUUUCUGUCAUUGUGAAGAAGAAAAGAGAAUGUACAUAUCGAUGCUUUUAAGUGACUGGAGCAUUUAUAUCAGGUGGUCUGCAGCCAUAUAUGCCACUUUGUGAAGAUUGGAACAGUCAAUCACUAGGCUAUAUAUUAGUGUGGCCCAGCCACUUUAAUCAAGGACAAGUCUUCAUACUUAAAGUCAAAUUCUGCCUUUAGUCUCAUUAUAAAUUUCUGUUUAAAUAUUAAGCAAACAUUUGUUUAAUGCGAUUAAGACAGUACUAACUCAAUACCUGUUCUAUUUUUGGAUGCAAAUGCUUGAUGGUUUCAUCAUUGGAUGGGAUAAAGGUGCAUUCAUGAUUAGGAAUACUAGUAGUUAUAUUUUAAUUCUCUUUUUUCUCAAUGAGACUUGUUGGCACAAUUUUGCUGUUGAGAAACCUACCUCUCCAUGGAAAAUAAGUUGUGAUUGAUAGUACUGGAUAUAUUCAAGAAAUCUAAAUAUAGAUAGCACAAAAUAUUAUCGACAUAAAUAGCAUUAACAGCGUACGUAUGUCUCAGUGCUCAUCAGCUAUAAGCAUGGGGCAAACACUUACUAUGAGCAACUUACGUCAAAAUUCCAGAAUAGGACAUAGAAGUGACAGAUAUAGAACAUUGCAUAUGAGUCACAAGAAAGGAAAUUACGGGUGCAUAGCAGCUCUUAUUUUACAUACUACUACUCAUACUGAUCAAAGUCACUCAGUUGGGAUGGGUGGGAGUAGGAGGUUUGUGGGGUGGCUUGUGCGGAGGAGUUGGCAGCUUCUUUCCAGGACCUGGUUGCUUCUCUGCUGGAGUUGAAGGAGGCUUAAUCUUCCGAGGUGGCUUGUAUGAGUCUUCAGCAUUCUCAGCUGGAGGGUGACCAGGGUUGUGACCAUAAUGUGGUGGCUUCUCUCCCUUAGGUGGUUUGCCAACUGGGGUUGGUGGCUUGUAUGAGUCUUCAGCAUUCUCAGCAGGAGGGUGACCAGGGUUGUGACCAUAAUGUGGUGGCUUCUCUCCCUUAGGUGGUUUGCCAACUGGGGUUGGUGGCUUGUGUUCUGGGAGUGGCUUCUCCCCCUUGGGAGGUUUUUCCAAUGGGGUUGGUUUGUGUUCAGGAGGUGGCUUCUCCACUGGAGGCUUGUGUUCAGGAGGUGGCUUCUCCACCGGAGGCUUGUGUUCAGGUGGUGGCUUCUCCACCGGAGGCUUAUGCUCUGGUGGUGGCUUCUCGAAUGGGGGAUGCUUAGGAUAAUCAGCAAGUGAGGGGGCGGUGAGAACCACCAGGCCAAGCAACACCACUAGCAAAUAUGUAGGAGACAUCUUUGGGUUUGGGCUCAGAUGGUGCAAAACUAGGAGAAUUGGCUAGCCUUUUAUAGCGGAUCGUACCCAAUAAUGAAAUGACACGUGUCAUUAUGACCCAUGUGUAAUGGGGUCGAUUUGGGUCCUACAGUGUUGAAAACUUCGACAUCCACUUUUGGCCUUUUGCUUUCUCUACAGCCGCCUUGCUUUUUCCCUCUUUCCUUUUGUUUUCCUCCUGCCCCAUUCUAUCAACUAAACACAAUUAUGUAGUUGUUUAAUUCUUAAAUGAGAUAUUAUCCGUCAAUCGUAUUAUAUUUUAUCAAGAGAGAACGGAGUGCAAUGUGGCUGUAAUUUUAUCGUUUAGUUUUAUCUCUUGGACCACUGCAUUUUUGUUAAGAGGUGCAAUAAUACACGUCUUUAUCUGCCAUUCAAUAUUUACAGUAAAGAGAGGGCACAAAACUCUUCACUUCGCACCAUAAUUAUUUUGUUUUCUGGACACCCCGGGGCCCUUUGGUUGGUUUGGGGGUCAGAAAGUGAACAUCAUAGGGGGUUUUUCCCUUAUGUGCAUUUGUAUCUGAUGGCUUUAACUCGCCUUGUUACUACAAAGAAACUGUCACAGAUAGGAACUUAUUCCAGGCUGAGUAUCUCCUCAUAGACCCUAUAAAAGAAGACAAGUCAUAAUGAACAUCUAACCUUUGUUCAAUUUGAUUCAAUGCCCCCAUUGUGUCCAUCUCACAAAUCUGAAUUAUUAUAUCCAUUGAAUACAUAAAUUAAUGAAGAAAAUAUGAAACCCAAGAUACAUCUCUGCACAACCUCAACCCUGGUUGCUAUGUUUCCCUUCUAUUCACAUGAUUUGAUGCUAAUUGCCAAACUUGCAACAAGCCCUGAGUUUGACACCUAGUAUCGAUGGGCGAAUUUAAAGUCUCCUCCAAACAUAUAUUCCACAGCUUGAAGCUCACAGAAGAUGUUACAGGCAGGGAAAAACCUUCAGAGUUCGCUACCAAAGAUAAUUAUUAAGGAGAUAUCACAAAGAGAAUUCCAAGGGGUCUGAAUCAAAGACAAAUUGGUCGUUCGUGGGGGUUCUUACUUUCUUUUGGGUAUAACUCACUGAGGGCACUGUCUUUGUUAUUUGCAUUUCACAUUUAGAGUUCUGUUCUGGAAACAUAUAAAAGGAGCAUCAUUUUGUUCUUGGGUAACCCAUAGUCGUGAGUGGGUCCAUUUGCAUGCUACUUAGUUGAAAAGUUGGACCAUUUGCUCCGACGCCUACCUCCCGGAUUCCAUGCUCGGAUAAAACAAGAAUAAAAAAAAUAUUUAUAAUUUACAAAUGGGGGAAAGAAAAAAAUGUCAACAACAAACCAGGAAAAAAGAGUAGUAAAAUUCAUGUCACAUGCUAGUGAGAGAAGGGGUUGUUACACUCACUCGAAGUUCUUUCCAAAAUAUCGCAUGGUAUUUUAUUUUAUGUGUCAGCGCAGUUGUGAAUGGAACGUGCAAAAGUCCAAAUUGGCGUUUUUCCUUUUCCCGUGUAGGAUGGCGACCUUUAAUAAAUAUUUAAAACAAAAAACGAAAAAAAGGAGGGAAAAGGGAUCAGAAAAGAUAAAACAAUGUGUACAAGAGCUCAAUUAGUUUGCAAAUUACUGUUUGGAUUUUGAUAGUAUUUUAUUUGUCCAUCUAUAUUUGAUGGAAAAGAGAAUUUAAGAUAUUUCUGAAACAAAAGCAUUAGUGUAAAACUAAAUUAAGGUAUAAUUAAGUUAGUUCAAUGCAUUAAUUUAAGAAACUUGAUCUAUCCAAAGUACAAAAUUAGAUGAAAUCCAUUUCAAUGGUUAAAAUGAUCAAAAUCAAACUUUUUCUAAGUAUUUUUUAAAAGCAUCAAUAUUAAAAGACAAUUUUAUAUUUAGUCGGAGUUUGGACAAAACCAAAAAGCACACAAAAUCCAAGCGACCAUCUCUAGCUUGGAUAGUCACUUGAUCCCACCUAGAGAUGUGCAUGAGUAAAAGGAUUUGAAAAUGGAAAUUGACUAAAUAUUUAGUUGAUCAAUUAAAUUUGCAAUGUCAUAUGCAAUCCUAAUAGCUAGUCAUCUAAUCAAUUAGGUAGUCAAUCAAGUGUUUGUAAUGACUAUUUUGUACAAAAAACCACAUGUAUAGUUAAAUAUAAUGCAUUUCAUUUAUAAAUCUUCUAAUUCUUGAAUAACGAUCCUAUCAUCCUUUGAAAAUUUUUAUUACACCUUUUUUACUUUUGUUCUAAAACUUACAUAUCACCCUUAAUUGUACCAUGAGAACCUAGCUAUUUUUUUUUUUUUUGUAAUUCAUCAAAGUUAGCUUUUGUAUUCAUUGUUGUAUUAUUUUUAGUAUAACUUAGAAAGCUAGUGUUUUCAAGUGAGUAAAAUUAACUUGUAAAUAUUGUAAAGAUUCAUUGAUAUGUAUCUUAAACUAAGUGUACAAAUUAAAACAUUUGCUAGUAGAUUUUCUCAAAAUUUAGAAUAGAGCUUGAGGCUAUUGAAAUAGGUGGGGUUACACCAAACCACAUCACAUCGUUGUUUGCACCUUUUUUCACUCUCUUUUACUUAGUUUCUCUAUAUUUGUUGUCUAGUAAUAUCCUAUAGGCUUGAUGGGUUAGGGAGCAUCCCUUUGUGAAAAAAUUUCAUUCAAUUCUUAGUUGUAUUACGCAUAUAUAAAAUGCCUCAUUGUUUUAAUGGUAUUCAGUCGUGGCAUCACAGAUAUGGGCAUCUAAAUUUUAAAAGUUUGAAACUUUUGUAAAGCAUGUUGAUAAAAUCCAUGAGAGUUGUGUACUUGGGAAGCAACAUCGAGGUGACUUUAUUUUUUUUUCCUUUUAUAAUGCCACACCUAAGUCCGGUUUCUAAAUGCUAAAGUGAAAGGGUAGGUAUGGACCAUUGAAAUGUGAUCACAACUUUUGGCCUUUUCCUUUCUCUGCAGCCAUGUUGUCUCUUUUUUCUUUUGCAUGAUUUUCUUACCAAAACAGAAUCAUAGACUUGUUUAGUCUCUAAGCUACUAUAUUAUAUCUCGGUGGACUUUUAAGAGUGCAACCGACAUAGAGCACAUGCAAGUGGGCAUAUGGGACAUGAAAUUUCUUCUUACAAAGAUUGCAUGAUUUUUAUAUUAGAGUUGUUCACGUGCAAUGUAUUUAGCUUGUUUUGCAGUUAAAUUAAUUGGAUAAGUAAACAUUGGCAUUUCUAAAUCGACUGUGAAGUGCUUCAUGUACGUGUAAAGUAUUAGAAAUUUCUUUCUUGGCAACUUGUUUUUUCCUUGCCAUCUACUGGUAGGUUUGACUAAAAUUAUAUUCCCUGUCAUGCUAAUUAAUUUUCAUGUGCAUGCUCAAAAGAAGAGUAUGACCUUAGUGCACCAAAAUCACUUUGAUUAAUUUGUGAUAGGUUUUUUUGCAUCAUUUAGAUAAUGUUUAGUUCUAAGAAAAAUUUAUAUAAAAAUGGUUUAUUUAUCUUACAUAUAUAUAUAUAUAUAUAUAUUUUUUUUUUUUUCAUUUUUUUUUCUUCUAUUUUAUUUAUUUAUUUUAUUUUCCUUAUGUUUUCCUCACAUUUUCCGGAACUAAACAUAGUCUUACGAAAUCAACAAUUGCCUUCAACUGAGUAGAUUCUGUUGUUUUAGCAAUGUUAGGCUGCUAACUUGUGGUGGUACGAACCAAAUGACCCAUGUUAAUCUUGGCUUGGUUUGAUUUGGCUCUAUCUCAGAGAGCUAAAGGAUCACGUCAACUCUGGUUUCUACUAUUCAGGUCCAUUCCCAGAUGAACUGGUUCAAAUUUGAGAAAAUGGUAACAGACCUUUAGUGAUGUUGGUUUGGAGCCAGUUGCCAAACCCGCCCUGAGCUUUACCACUAAUGUCAAGGGAGAAAGCCAUUUGAACAAAAACAAUAGCUUCAAGAGACUGAAUCGUGGAUGAAAUCUGAUCCACAUUUCUUCUCAUUUUGGGAAAAAAUGAGAACUUAACUACAAAGAUUCUACUGCCUCAUUCAUAGUGCUUUUCCUGAUCCAAGGUUGGUUCGUUUCCCAAAUUGUGAGGUGCACGUGCCACUCUCACGCUCAGGAGUGUAUCCACGUGGUGGACAUCAGAUGGUGGCUUAAUAUCUGGUGUCGGUGGCUUUACUUUACUAGGAGAGUAGUGUGUCUUCAUCUCAUUCACUGCCGGAGGGUGGCGUAAGCAGUGACGCUAAGGUGGGGCACAGUCAAUAUCAUUUGCAUUUGACCAUUAUAGUUUUCUCCCGGCUUGAAAGUAACCUUAUCGUGAUAAAGGAUUACUAGCACUAGUUCAGAUGACCGUCAUGUUAAUUCGGACCAUGUUUGUGUCACAUUAUCAGCAACCAUGUGUUUAUGGUUCAUGCUAUCUGCAACUAAACUUGAUAUAUAACCAGGUGAACUUCAAUCAAAAUUCUGGAAGUACUCUUGUGAUAGAUGGUGCCUGUCUGCAGAGUCCAUCAAUUGAAAAAUGGAGUGAGUGUAUCUAUAAGAGGGAAGGCUUGGCAAAUGUUCAGUUUUCUGGGAAUUCAACAAGGAUCUAAAAUAGAUUGUUUUCUUUGCCGACUUCAAUGGUUGAAAUUUGAGAAGAUUGUGUCCACAUAUCACAACUAUUACUGGUCCUUCUGUUGCAAUUUAUCCUGUAAGGCUCUAACAUGUCUUCCAAUUCCCACUUCCCUGUUACUCCAGGAAAGCUAUUUCUGUCAUUGUGAAGAAGAAAAGAGAAUGUACAUAUCGAUGCUUUUAAGUGACUGGAGCAUUCAUAUCAGGUGGUCUGCAGCCAUAUAUGCCACUUUGUGAAGGUUGGAACAGUCAAUCACUAGGCUAUAUAUUGGUGUGGCCCAGCCACUUCAAUCAAGGACAAGUCUUCAUACUUAAAGUCAAAUUCUGCCUUUAGUCUCAUUAUAAAUUGCUGUUUAAAUAUUAAGCAAACUUUUGUUUAAUGCGAUUAAGACAGUACUAACUCAAUACUUGUUCUAUUUUUGGAUGCAAAUGCUUGAUGGUUUCAUCAUUGGAUGGGAUAAAGGUGCAUUCAUGAUUAUGAAUACUUGUAGUUAUAUUUUCAUUCUCUUUUUUCUCAAUGAGACUUGUUGGCACAAUGUUGCUGUUCAGAAACCUACCUCUCCAUGGAAAAUAAGUUGCGAUUGAUAGUACUGGAUAUGUUCAAGAAAGCUAAAUAUAGAUAGCACAAAAUAUUAUCGAUAUAAAUAGCAUUAACAGCGUACGUAUGUCUCAAUGCUCAUCAGCUAUAAGCAUGGGACAAACACUUACUAUGAGCAACUUACGUCAAAAUUCCAGAAUAGGACAUAGAAGUGACAGAUCUAUAUAUAUAGAACACUGCAUAUGAGUCACAAGAAAGGAAAUUACGGGUGCAUAGCAGCUCUUAUUUUACAUACUACUACUCAUACUGAUCAAAGUCACUCAGUUGGGAUGGGUGGGAGUAGGAGGUUUGUGGGGUGGCUUGUGCGGAGGAGUUGGCAGCUUCUUUCCAGGACCUGGUUGCUUCUCUGCUGGAGUUGAAGGAGGCUUAAUCUUCCGAGGUGGCUUGUAUGAGUCUUCAGCAUUCUCAGCUGGAGGGUGACCAGGGUUGUGACCAUAAUGUGGUGGCUUCUCUCCCUUAGGUGGUUUGCCAACUGGGGUUGGUGGCUUGUAUGAGUCUUCAGCAUUCUCAGCAGGAGGGUGACCAGGGUUGUGACCAUAAUGUGGUGGCUUCUCUCCCUUAGGUGGUUUGCCAACUGGGGUUGGUGGCUUGUGUUCUGGGAGUGGCUUCUCCCCCUUGGGAGGUUUUUCCAAUGGGGUUGGUUUGUGUUCAGGAGGUGGCUUCUCCACUGGAGGCUUGUGUUCAGGAGGUGGCUUCUCCACCGGUGGCUUGUGUUCAGGAGGUGGCUUCUCCACCGGAGGCUUAUGCUCUGGUGGUGGCUUCUCCACCGGAGGCUUAUGCUCUGGUGGUGGCUUCUUGAAUGGGGGAUGCUGAGGGUAAUCAGCAAGUGAGGGGGCGGUGAGAACCACCAGGCCAAGCAACACCACUAGCAAAUAUGUAGGAGACAUCUUUGGGUUUGGGCUCAGAUGGUGCAAAACUAGGAGAAUUGGCUAGCCUUUUAUAGCGGAUCGUACUCAAUAAUGAAAUGACACGUGUCAUUAUGACCCAUGUGUAAUGGGGUCGAUUUGGGUCCUACAGUGUUGAAAACUUCGACAUCCAGUUUUGGCCUUUUGCUUUCUCUACAGCCGCCUUGCUUUUUCCCUCUUUCCUUUUGUUUUCCUCCUGCCCCAUUCUAUCAACUAAACACAAUUAUGUAGUUGUUUAAUUCUUAAAUGAGAUAUUAUCGGUCAAUCGUAUUAUAUUUUAUCAAGAGAGAACGGAGUGCAAUGCAGCUGUAAUUUUAUCGUUUACUUUUAUCUCUUGGACCACUGCAUUUUUGUUAAGAGGUGCAAUAAUACACGUCUUUAUCUGCCAUUCAAUGUUUACAGUAAAGAGAGGGCACAAAACUCUUCACUGCUCUGCAUGUGUCCCAAAAAUGCGAUUGGACAAAUUAUGAUUUGCAUGCUAAAAAGAGGCAAAUGAGGUUAAUUCGCACCAUAAUUAUUUGGUUUUCUGGACACCAUAAAAAGAUGUUAUACAGGCAGGGAAAAACCUUCAGAGUUAGCUACCAAAGAUAAUUAUCAAGCAGAUAUCACCAAGAGAAUUCCAUAGAGUCUGAAUCAAAGACAGAUUGCUCGCUCGUGGGGGUUCUUACUUUCUUUUGGGUAUAACUCACUGAGGUCACUGUCUUUUUUAUUUGCAUUUCACAGUUAGAGUUCUGCUCUGGAAGGUUUGUUCUGGAAACAUAUAAAAGGAGCAUCAUUUUGUUCUUGGGUAACCCAUAGUCGUGAGUGGGUCCAUUUGCAUGCUACUUAGUUGAAAAGUUGGACAAUUUGCUCCGACGCCUACCUCCUGGAUUCCAUGCUCGGUAAAACAAGAAUAAAAAAAAAUAUAUAAUUUACAAAUGGGGGAAAGAAAAAAUGUCGGAAAAAAUAGUAAAAUUCAUGUCACAUGCUAGUGAGAGAAGGGGUUGUUACACUCACUCGAAGUUCUUUUCAAAAUAUCGAAUGGUAUUUUACUUUAUGUGUCAGCGCAGUUGUGAAUGGAACGUGCAAAAGUCCAAAUUGGCGUUUUUAUUUUUCCCAUGUAGGAUGGUGACCUUUAAUAAAUAUUUAAAACAAAAGACGAAAAAAAAAAGGAGGGAAAAGGGAUCACAAAAGAUAAAAUAAUGUUUACAAAAGCUCAAUUAGUUUGCAAAUUACUGUUUGGAUUUUGAUAGUAUUUUAUUUGUCGUUCUAUAUUUGAUGUAAAAGAGAAUUUAAGAUAUUUCCGAAGCAAAAGCAUUAGUUUGCUCUGUGAUGUCCCACAUCGAAUAGGGGAGAAAGUUUCUGGCGCUAUAUAUGUAGAGGCUCCUCUUAACCAAGUAGAUGCGUUUUAAAACCAUGAGGGCCCCCUUAGGUCCAAAGCGGACAAUAUCUACAUGAUUGGGUGUAAGUCAUUACAAAUGGUAUCAGAGCCGAUCCCCGACCCCGGUGUGGGGGUUUGUUUGGCCCUGUAAGGGGUGUUUGUCUGUUUGACCCCACAAUCCCAUGGGACACAACGAGGACGUUGUGUCUGCAUGGGGGGGCGUUUGUGAUGUCCCACAUCGGAUAGGGGAGAAAGUUCCUAGUGCUAUAUAUGUAGAUGUUUCUCUUAACCAAGUAGAUGCAUUUUAAAAUUGUGAGGGCCUCUUUGGGCCCAAAGCGGACAAUAUCUACAUGGUUGAGUGUAAGUCAUUACAUGCUCCAUGUCAAUUUCAGCAUUUCUCAUAUGUUUCACACAUACACAGAAGAGCAUCGUUUUUUAAAGCAUGCAUUUAUGUUGGAUUAAUUUGGAUUUUGUGGGAACUGGGGCAAGGAUCACAUGGAAGAGAGGUUGACUUUUUUCAGUACUUCAAUGGUUGAAAUAUGUGAAGGCUUGAUUGAUACUAAAGCUUGAAAUUGCGACUCUGUCAUUUGUAAAAAAAUAUGACAGCUUCCAUGCUCUCGUUUGGUUGCAUUGUCCGGUCGAGAGGUGCAAAAAGCAUUCUCUCUCUUCUAAUAGUCUUUUCGUUUAAAUCAAGGGAUUUGCCUUCCCGGUCGAGGUCCAAUAGAGGGUAACGGUCACCUACUAAACAUUAAAUGCUCCAACAACUAGUGAACUGAUCGACCCCAGCUCGACUAGUUGAGGUUACUUUUUGGUUUUCUUGUCUCCCGAGGUUAGAAACCUAUAAAUAGAGAGCUUCACUUCAUUUAUGAGUAAGAGAACACCUAAAUUUAUUUGUUUACCUACUUGUUUUUGCCAUAAAAGCUCUCAUUUCUUUUCUUGGUGUAUUAAAUCUCCAUUUGCAUAUCCUUUAGUGCACCUUUGUGAUUCAUUCUAGCCUUGAGUUGUAUUUAAGCCUUUGUUGAGCUAGGUUGAGAGUUUCAUACUUGUUUAUUGAGUGUUAAAGCCUUCAAGUGAGUUAAAACUUGAAGAGAUUGUGUAAGAGCCCAUUGGAGUCGGAAUCCAAGUGUAAAGGUGAUUAAAAGCUUGGUUGAAGCUUCAAGUUAGUGGAACUCUCACUCGGUUAUGAGCUUGAGAAGAGUGGACAUAGACAAGGCAGUGUCGAACCACUAUAAAAUCUGAGUUUGAUUUCUCUAACCUUAUCUCUUUAUAUUUGCUUCUCUUGUGCUUAAAUUUUUUGUGUUUAAAAAGAAUUUUUAAAAACUCAAUUCACCCCCUUCUUGGGAGUUUUUCUCUUUUAAGAUCAGCUUUUAUUUUCUCAAUUGGUAUCAGAACUAUGCCUCUUGUUUAAGACUUAAUCGUCUAAGAGGAAAUGGCUAAUCCAUCAAGUUCAUCUCACAUUGAAAGUUUUGCAACCAAUAGACUUCUUUUUUUUUUUUUGCGGGAACUGAUUAUCCCUAUUGGAAAACUAAAAUGACUUGGUUUUUACAAUCAAUUGAUUUAGAUGUAUGAGAUGCCAUUGAAGAUGACCUAACUUUUCCUUCAAAACUAGUUGAUGGAGUCAUGGUUCCAAAACCUAAGCAAGAAUGGGAUGAGCGUGAUUGAAGAAAUUUUCAAUUAAAUGCUAAAGUCGUUUAUACUUUGCAAUGCUCUAUGGACAGAAAUGAAUAUAAUAGAAUAUGUCAAUGCAAAUCGGUUAAAGAAAUUUGGAGAUUGCUUGAAAUAACUCAUAAAGGAACAAAUCAAGUUAAAGAGUCAAAAAUCAAUUUACUUGUUCAUAGAUAUGAAUUGUUUUUUAUGAAAGAUAAUGAAACUAUUGUUAAGAUGAUCACUAGGUUCACCAACAUUGUUAAUGGUCUUAAAGCCUUGGGAAAGACCUACAAGGAAUCCGAAAACGUGAUGAAGAUCUUGAGGUCACUUCCAUCAAAGUGGCAUACCAAGGUCACCGCAAUUUAAGAAGCAAAAGACUUGAUCAAGCUACCUUUGGAGGAGUUCAUAGGGUCAUUGAUGACAUAUGAAAUCAAUUUGGCAAAGAAGUAACAAAAAGGUGAAGACAAAAAGAAGAAGAACAUAACUCUCAAAGCUACAACUAAGGAAGAAGAAGUUGAAGAAGAAAAACAAAUUGAAGAAGAUGAAGAUUUAGCCCUCAUCACAAGAAAGUUCAACAAAUUCAUGAGGGGUGAAAGGUUUAGAAGAAGAAGGUUCACUUCUAGAAGAGACUUUUCUAAAAAGGAAUCUUCAUCUAAUGGUGACAAAAAGAGAUGGGAAGAGAAAAGAGACUUGGUGUGUUUCAAGUGCAAGAAACCGGGACACAUUAAAUAUGAUUGUCCUCUCUACAAAAGUGAAGUCAAGAGGAAAAAGAAUAAGGCAAUGAUGGCCACUUAGAGUGAAAGUGAAGAUGAAUCAUCCGAAGAAGAAAAUGAGAAAGAAGUGGCAAACAUGUGUUUCAUGGCAAUAGAUGAACUUGAUGAGGUAAAAUCUAACCUUAGUGAUUAAGAUAUACAUGAUGCAUUUGAAGAAUUGUAUGAGGAUUUUUAAAAACUUAGUUUGAAAAAUAUUUCUCUUAAAAAGAAAGUUCAACAACUUGACAAAGAACUUAGAGAAGUAAAAGAAAAAUUUUCAAAUGUUAAAGUUUCUAAAACUCAUCUUGAAAAAGAAAAUGAGAUUCUAAGAAAGAAAAAUGAAUAGUUGAACUCCUCUCUUUCAAUCUUUUCUUCUAGACAAAAAUCUUUUGAAAUGAUUCUAACUAGCUAAAAAUGUGUUUUUGACAAACAAGGGUUAAGAUUUAAAUCUUCAAAAAAUCAAAAGUAUUUUAAAAACUAUUUUGUAAAGGAAUCCACAAGUGCAAGUCCUUCCACUACUUGCAACUUUUGUGGAAGAGAAUGGCACAUUAGUAGUACGCCCUUUAAGAAAUGGUUCUCAAAAGAAUUUAAAUGCAAAAACUAAAAAAGAUUUGGAUUGAGAAAUCCAAGGUCACUAACCCUCAAGGACCCAAAAAGAUAUAGGUACCUAAAUCAACUUGAGUUUUAUGUUGUAAGGUUCAAAGAAUGAUAAGUGGUUCUUAGAUAAUGGUUGCUCAAGACACAUGACCGGAGAUGAAUCCAAGUUUGCUUUUCUUAAAAAGAAAAAUGGAGGAUAUGUUACCUUUGGAGACAAUGCAAAAGAAAGGAUGAUUGGUCAAGGCAACAUUGGUAAUGGCACAUCCUCUCUCAUUGAAAGUGUUUUAUUAGUAGAUGGUUUCAAACAUAACCUUUUAAGCAUUAGUCAAUUUUGCGACAAAGGUUUUUAAGUGAUUUUUUAAGCAUCUCAUUGCAUCAUCAAGGAUAUUCAAAAUGAUAAAACCAUUUUCAUGGGCCAUAGAUGUGAUAAUGUUUAUGCUAUAAAUAUUUCAAAAUAUGAUGGCCAUGAUAGAUGUUUUUCAAGCAUGCAUGAUCAAAGUUGGUUGUGCCAUAGGAGAUUGAGACAUGCUAACAUAGACCUCAUUUCCCAACUCAACAAAGAUGAACUUGUUAGAGGCCUUCCCAAAAUAAUUUUUUAAAAAGAUAAAGUUUGUGAAGCUUGUCAAGUGGGAAAGUAAAUCAAAAACUCUUUUAAAAACAAAAACUUCAUUUCCACAUCUAGGCCACUUGAGUUGUUGCAUAUGGAUUUAUUUGGUCCCUCUAGGACACCAAGUCUUAGAGGAAAUUCUUAUGCAUAUGCUAUUGUGGACGACUUCUCUAGAUACACAUGAGUCUUGUUUUUUAGUCAAAAGAAUAAAGUUUUUUAUGAGUUUUCAAAGUUUUGCAAUAAGAUUCAAAAUGAAAAAGGUUUUUCAAUUACUUAUAUAAGAAGUGAUCAUGGGAGAGAAUUCGAAAAUAUUGAUUUUGAAGAGUAUUGCAAUGAGCAUGGAAUUGACCACAAUUUUUUGGCUCUUAGAACUCCUCAACAAAAUGGGGUAGUUGAAAGGAAAAAUAGAACUCUUCAAAAAAUGACAAGAACCAUACUAAAUGAAAACAACUUACCAAAAUAUUUUUAGGCCAAAACGGUUAACACUUCUUGUUAUGUUUUAAAUAGAGUAUUAUUGAGGCUCAUACUUAAGAAAACUCCCUAUGAGCUUUGGAAAAACAAAAAACCCAACAUUAGUUAUUCCAAAGUCUUUGGAUGCAAUAUUUUAUAAUAAACACCAAAGACAAUCUUGGAAAAUUUGAUGCAAAAUUGGAUGUUGGAAUUUUCCUUGGUUACUCAACUUCAAGUAAAGCUUUUCGAGUUUUAACAAAAGAACCAUGGUUGUAGAGGAGUCCAUCCAUGUUAUUUUUUAUGAAUCUCCAAGAAAGAGAGAGGAUUGAUGAUGAUUUAGGUUUGAAGACCUCUAUAGGAAGAUUGCAAAUCGAAGAUAGAAGACAACAAGAAGAAAAUGGAGAGAAUCCAAAGAAAGAAGGAUCACCAUUGGCACUACCCCCUCAUCAACAAGCGCAAGGUGAAUCAAGUCAAGAGCUUCCUAAAGAAUGGAAGUUUGUCAUCAAUCACCCACAAGAUCAAAUUAUAGGCAAUCCAUCUAGUGGGGUAAGAACUAGAUCCUCUCUUAGAAAUAUUUGCAAUAAUCUAGCUUUUAUCUCUCAAAUUGAGCCUAAAAAUAUAAAUGAUGUUUUAGAUGAUGAAAAUUGGAUAAUUGCAAUGCAAGAAGAGUUAAAUCCAUUUGAAAGAAGUGGAGUAUGGGAAUUAGUACCAAGACCUUCAAAUCAAAGUGUUAUUGGAACUAGAUGGAUCUUUAGAAAUAAAAUGGAUGAAAAUAGCAUAAUUGUUAGAAAUAAAGCAAGAUUGGUAGCCCAAGGUUUUAAUCAAGAAGAAAUGAUAGAUUAUGAAGAAACCUUUGCCCCCGUAGCUAGGUUGGAAGCCAUUAGGAUGCUACUUGCCUUUGCAUGUUUUAAAGACUUUGUUUUAUAUCAAAUGGAUGUGAAAAGUGCUUUUUUAAAUGGUUUUAUAAAUGAAGAAGUAUAUGUUGAACAACCACCCGGUUUUCAAAGUUUCAACUUUCCUAACCAUGUUUUUAAACUUAAAAAGACACUUUAUGGUUUGAAACAAGCACCUAGAUCAUGGUAUGAAAAAUUGAGUAAAUUUCUUUUGAAAAAAAUGUUUUAAAAUGGGAAAAAUUGACACAACUCUUUUUAUAAAAACCAAAGAAAAUGAUAUGCUCUUAGUUCAAAUAUAUAUUGAUGAUAUCAUUUUUGGUGCUACUAAUGUCUCUCUUUAUGAAGAAUUUUCUAAGUGCAUGCAUAGUGAGUUUGAAAUGAGCAUGAUAGGAGAACUCAACUUCUUCCUUGGACUUCAAAUCAAGCAACUAAAGGAAUGAACCUUCAUCAAUCAAGCAAAGUAUAUAAGAGAUCUUCUCAAAAGGUUCAACAUGGAAGAAGCCAAAACAAUGAAGACUCUAAUGAGCUCAUCCAUUAAGCUUGAUAAGGAUGAGAAAGGUAAAUCCAUUGACUCUAUUAUGUAUAGAGGCAUGAUAGGUUCUUUGCUCUAUUUGACCACUAGUAGACCUUACAUUAUGUAUAGUGUGUGUUUGUGUACUAGAUUUCAAUCUUGUCUUAAAAAAUCUCACUUAAGUGUCGUGAAAAGAAUCCUCAAAUAUUUGAAAGGGACAAUGGACAUAGGCUUAUGGUAUCCUAAGAGUGAUAACUUUGAAUUAAUUGGUUUUUUGGAUGCUGAUUUUGUCAGUUGUAGGGUUGAAAAAUAAAACACUAGUGGCACUUUUCAUUUCUUAAGACACUUACUUGUCUCAUGGCAUAAUAAGAAGCAAAAUUUGGUAGCUUUGUCAACAGCAGAAGCUAAAUACAUAGCAACUGGUUUAUGUUGUGCACAAAUCCUUUGGAUGAAAUAAACACUUAGUGAUUUUGAUUUAUCUUUUGAGCAUAUUCCUAUUAAAUGUGAUAAUAGUAGUGCCAUAAGUAUAUCAAAAAAUCUCGUGCAACACUCUAGGACUAAGCAUAUAGAGAUUAGACAUAAUUUUCUUAGAUAUCAUACACAAAAGGAUGAUAUAACACUUGAAUUUGUAAGCAUAAAAGACCAACUUGCCGAUAUCUUUACAAAACCUCUAAGAACAUUUUGUUGAUAUUAGAGGACAAUUAGGAGUGAUUUCUUUAUGAUCUAAUGUGAUGAAUUCUUGAUGAAUAUACUUUUUGAUUGCAUGAAUUUCAUGUCAUAUAUGCAUCAUAUAGAAAUAUACUUAGAUAAUGGUCAAAUUUCGACCAAAAAUCAAAAUUCCCAUGGCAUUAGGCAUAAAAAUUUUGGAAUUUCAACUGAAAAUGGUAGGAGGAGGAUCACAAAAUGAGAAAGUAUGCAAAAAUUGAAAAAUCAAAACGUUGACCAAGCGGUCAAUCGGACUAGACCGAUCGACUAGUUUGUCGAGAUUUAGGAUUUUUAAGAGACUCCAACGCUUCAAUUUUUGCACCGUUCUCCUCUAUUUCUUCACGGUUUCUCUGAUUUUGUCUUUUAGAGACUAAUUUGAGUGCGUUUUGGAUCAAUUGAAGCAUUUUGGAUUGGAUUUUAGGAAGAUUGAAAGUUAAGGUUUCGGAUUUGGGUCGCCUUCUCUUCCUCUCGCGUGUCACAAUCAGCUUUAGCAUUGUUCUCUUUCCAUUUUCACACACCUAGGGUUUCAGUUGUGAGCAUCUCUCUCUCUUUACCAACCACUACUCCCUUGCUUCUUCCAUAUGGCUCCUAGGCGAGAGUCCGCUACUUCUAGGGCACAAGGCAAGCACCCAACUGAGUCGUCUCAGUCAAAGGCACGUCGAAAAGUGAGAUUUGACAUUGCCUUGUUCAGUUCCAUGGAGGACUACCAACUAUACAAGCAACACUUUGCUUAGAGACGAGUAGUUCCCAAGAGAAAUAUUAAUUUUCCUCAACUUCAGCAUUUCGAAUUUAAGGGUCUAUUUACUAGGAUGGUUGGUUGUCUAUUGUCACAAUUUCGGAGCCGGUUUUCCUGACCUUAGUGCGAGUUUUUUACUCGAGGGCGACUUAUGGCAUGGGUGGCAUGAUCAUUUCUACUGUUGGAGGAGUUGAGAUCUGUCUGGACCCAGAGAGCAUCUGCCAUAUUUUCGAUAUUGCUCUGGUUGGACUCAAAGUAUACAAGUCCAAAAUGUGGCCCAUUGUGCCAGGAUUUGAGCUUAGAGAGGUCAUUCAGAGGAUUUGUGAACUUCCAGACGCCCAGGAGAUGGGCAAACCAUUGCCACACAGUUUGACGGUCAUCAACAGGGUGCUACACCAUAUAUUGUGCUCUAUCUUUCUACCACGAAGUGGACAUUGAGAUGAGGUCUCUUAUUAUGAGGCAUUCCUUAUUGACUCCAUUCUAACGGAGAGACGAAUUCAUCUACUAUGUCAUCAUUCACUAAGCCUCCUCACAGUGACAUACCACCUCAUCAGGCACCUCUUGCUCCUGACCAUGCUCCAUUGAUGGAUUUAUUUACUCAUAUUAGCUCUCUAGGCACUCGCAUGAAGGAGUUUGUUGUAGUUAGUGAUACAUGGUUCUACUCCAUAGAGGAUCGCAUGGAUCAGUAUCAGACUGGCUUCACGUCACAGUUUGAGUAUCUCCAAUAGAGGAUUGAGCAUAUUGAGGAUCACUUGAGCAUGAGAAGAUGAUGGCUUUUCUAUGCUCUGUGUUUCCACCUCCACCUCGUCAACCUUGAUUUCUUAGAGACCCAUUGUUUUCAUUUUGUAAUGUUGCCAAAAGGGGGAGAUAUUUAGGAUCUAGGACUCUAUAGGAGACUUACAUGCAUAUCAUUUUCAUAUCAUUGUUUGGAUCGUACAUAUUGGAUAGUGAUACUUUUUACUUAUAUAUGAUAUGCCUAUAUGUUUCAUGUCUUACAUUGUUUCUUAUUGCAAAUUAUCUCUAACAUGUCUUGAUUAUCUUUUUUUUAACUUCAUAAAUUUUGAUUGUUAACCCAUGAUUGGUUUGAGGGGAAGAUUCUUCUUCUCCUAGAUAACCAAGGUUUGUCAUCAUAAAAAAAUUGGAGAUUGUUAGCCCAAGGGUUCUCCUAAUCAUGUUUUGAUGAUAACAAACCAUGCUUAAGUUACUAAUUGGUUUGAAUUAUAAAGAAUUUCAAGUGUUAAUUUGAAAAUUCAUCAAAGAACCUAAUGGAUGCAAGAUCAAGAUUUUUGGAAGACCUUUAAUCAUAAGAAACAUAUGUAAGAUGAAUGCAUGGGUGCACUUAAGAUUUGCAUAUCAUUUCAUGCAUAUUUGGAAAACACGGUUUAUGCUUUAAAGUUACAUUUCCAUCAAAAUUUGAGAUCCAUCAAAUGAACCUUAGGAAAAAUGUUUUAAAAUUGGCAUAUAAUUUUACCUAAAGACCUUGCCUAAGUGUUAGAAGCAAAAGGACAAAAAAAAUAUAGGUUUUCUGGUCAAAAAUGGUGAACCAGUCAAGGCAUUGUCUAAAUCAGCUCAAUCGGCCAAGGUACCGGUCGAUCGGUUUCCCUUUCCCUGUCGAGAUCUAGUCAAGAGGUACAAAAAUCACAAUCUCUGUCUCUUUCUCUCUUUGUCUAUCUUCCAGUAGUCUUUCCUUCCCGGUCGAGGGAUUUGCCUUCCCGAUUGAGGUCCGAUUGAGAGUAAUAGUCACUUGCCAAAUAUUAAAUGCUCCAACAGUUAGUGAACUGGUCGACCCCCACCUUGCCCAGUUGAGGUUACUUUUUGGUUUUCUUGGCUCCCGAUGUUAGAAACCUAUAAAUAGAGAGUUCCACUUCAUUUAUGAGCAAGAGAACACUUGCAUUUAUUUGUUUACCUACUUGUUCUUGCCUUAAAAGCUCUCAUUUCUUUUCUUGGUGCAUUAAAUCUCCAUUUUGAUAUCCUUUAGUGCACCUUUGUGAUUCAUCUUAGCCUUGAGUUGUAUUUGAGCCCUUUUUUUAGCUAGGUUGAGAGUUUCAUACUUGUUAAUUGAGUGUUAAAGCCUUCAAGUGAGUUGAAACUUGUAGAGAUUAUGUGAGAGUCGAUUGGAGCCGAAAUCCAAGUGUAAAGGUGAUUAGAAGCUUGGUUGAAGCUUCAAGUUAGUGGAAUCCUCACUCAAUUAGGAGCUUGAGGAGAGUGGACGUAGCCAAGGAAGUGUCGAACCACUAUAAAAUUUGAGUUUGAUUUCUCUAACAUUGUCUCUUUAUAUUUGUUUAUCUUGUGCUUAAAUUUAUUGUGUUUAAAAAGAAUUUUUAAAUACCCAAUUCACCCCCCUCUUGGGUGUUUUUCUCUUUUAAAAUUAGCCUUUAUUUUCUCACAAACUAUUGUAGUAUAGUGGUUUUUAGGUGUCAUCCAUUAGGAUGAAUUGUUCUCGGUAAUUAAGGCGUGAAUGAGAGGAGAAUUAAUGAUUGUGAUUAAGUAAAAUUGAUUUGAAAAUUCAUGGUGAAAAAUCAAUUUAACAAUGGUUUCUAAUUGAGAAAAACAAUGAAAUGUGAAAUAAAAUAAAAUUAAUAGGAAAUGAAAUUCUCGAAGUUAGAAUUUUCUAAAAAACAAAUUCCAUGGUGAAUGGAUGUUGAGAUCUAAUUUUCAUCAAGUUAGAUUGAAAACCGAAAUUUUCAUAUAAACUGAUUUUUUAUUUAGUUUUAGGUCUAGAUUUAAUUUCCCUUAAAAUUAGGUUAUUUAAUCCAAGAAAUCAAUUCAAAUCAUAUAUUCAAUUCAUCUUAAAUUAUCUUCCAAUUAUUCACACAAUGCAACUAUUCAAUCUCAUCAAAUCUAGCUUUUAAGAAUUUAAUGAAUCUACCUAGUUUGCAUUGUAAUAGUCAUCCAUGACAAUUUGAAGAGAAAAAUAAUUCAAUUAAUCAAUCACUUGGAUCAAAUUACCUUUGCAAUUAAAGUUCAUUUCUCUAAUUCACCACAGAUUUUGUCUCUAGAUCCUCCUUUCUCAAAGAAAAAUGAGAUUUAGCCACACAUGAUUGGAGAUUUGGUCUCAUAAGGCAUGUUUAGCUAGUGAUAAAAUGAGAGAAAAUAAAGAAAAAUAGAGAAUUCGAUUAAGAAAGAAAAUCUAAAAAAUUCUACAAUUAGAAAUGUCCAAAAAGCUUUUUCAUGAGAAAAUCAAGUUUCUAUUUAUAGGCCAAGGUCAAGUGGACACUUGACAUCAUCUAAGAGGUCUUCCGGAAGCUUCUUCAUCAAGAAAUCUGGAGUUUAAUAAUAAAAUGGUCAUUUCACAAGAGCUCAAACAAUUUCGCAUGAUUAUGUGAAAUAAAAAAUGCAACAACAGCAAUUUACAUCUUCUUGGAGCAUUUCGCAUGACUGUGUGAAAUUUUCACAUGAUCAUGUGGAAUCGACUUGACAACUCUCAUUUAGCCUACAACAUAAUUCCACCUUUUGGUCCAUUUUUCAUAGUCAUGCGAAAUGGAAAUAUUUGAUUUUUAAGUUUUCUUUUGUCAUUUCUUUCAUUUCCUUCUCUUGAUUCCACUUCAACUACCUCCGAAUCCUGGUCCAAACCAAUUGCAUUACUUCUUUCAUUAUGCAUUUGGAUCAUCAUCAACAUUAUUUGUUCUCUUCAAUUUGAUUCAUCUCUUUUGUCACCAAUUUAUCAAAAUCAUACCUUGAAAUGACUCCAAAACUUCAUAAAACUUGUUAGUAACUCUUGCAAGGGCAACAACAUAUUAAUUAAGUGUUUUAGGCAUAGUUACUACUCAAAAGAUGCGAAACUCAUGAUAAUUAUUAUAUAAAAUAUGCUCUUUUUGAGUAGUAAUCAACUUUCUUGCAUAAGCAGACCUUUUAGGGUGGAGUACUAAAGACCAAUAUGCUUGUCCUUGUUGUAAUAAAGAAACUUGCUCUUAUUGAUUGCACCAUGGGAGAAAAUUUUGCUACAUGAGUUAUCAUCAAUUUCUUCCCACCAAUCAUAGAUUUAGACGUGACAAGAGGCCUCUUAAUGGCAAGGAGGAACUGACACUCACACUUAUACAAUUAUCGGGCAUUGAUGUGUUGCAACAAUUAGAAUAACUUACACCAAUUAUGUUGGGGAAGUCACAAAAGGCAAACAUGAAAACUAAAAGGAAAAAAGAAAAAUGUUACAUAUCACCACAACUGGAAAGAAAAAAGUAUUUACUUUCAUUUGCCAUAUUGGAAAGCACUUAUUUUACAUCAUAAUAAUUUAGACAUAAUGCAUAUUGAGAAAAAUGUGUGACAAUAUAAUUGAGACAUUGUUCAGUAUUGACGAAGAAACAAGGACAACCUAAAUAGUCAUCUCGAUUUACAAGCUCUAACUAUUAGAAAUGAGAUUCACCCAAUAGAAAGCAGGACCAAAUUUAUUUUGCUUGCAACAUGCUACUCACUCACCCCAAAUGAGAUUAAGGAAUUUUGCAAGUUUUUGAAAUCAAUAAAGGUCCCCAAUGGCUAUUCUUUCAAUAUCUCUCGUUAUGUGCAACUCAAUGAAAGGAAGAUAUAUGAGCUCAAAUUGUAUGAUUGUCAUGUCCUAAUGCAACAACUUCUCUCACUUGUAGUUCGUGGAGUUCUACAUAAGAAUGUUUGUGGAGUUAUCAUAGAAUUGCGUAAUUUUUUCAAGCAAUUGUGCUCAAAGGUGUUAGAAACAAAUCACUUACACCAACUUGAGAACAAUAUUAUUGUCAUACUAUGUAAAAUGGAGCAAAUAUUUCUUCCAUCAUUCUUUGAUAUUAUGGUGCAUUUACUUGUGCAUCUAGUAAGGCAAAGGUUGCAAGACUUGUGCAAUAUUGUUGGAUGUACCUAAUUGAACGAUAUUGUUAUAAUUUCAUAUGAAUCAUUUAAUUUUAUUUUAUAUUAUGUUCAGUUCAUUAACAUGUACAUUGGUCUACAUAUGGAUGAUGAUAGGUACCUAAGCACUUUAAAGUCAUAUGUGCGUAAUAGAACUUUUCUAGAAGGUUCUAUUGUAGAAAGGUACCUUGCAAAAGAAUGUACAACAUUUUAUUCUAGGUACUUGAAUGAUGUGGAAAUAAAGUAUAAUCACAAUGAUAGAAACUUUGUUGGUUUCAACACUAGAGGAGAUGAAAGGGGUUAUCUUUAAACAUAUUGGACAUGCAUUGGGAAAGCCCAUAUUUCAUUAACUUAGUUCAAAAGAGUGGUCACAAGCACAUUUAUAUGUGUUGACAAAUUGCGAAGAUGUCAUACCAUUCAUUGAGUAAAAAAUUUAUUUGAAUUUUAAUUAAAGCUCUAGUUUAUAUCCUUAAUCAAUGUUUUUUAAAUUCACAAGGAGCACAAGCAAACCAUCAAGGCUAGACCACAUAUACGUGUUUGAGACGUAGAUUUAAUUCAUAACAAGGAAUUUAUCAAGUGGUUUGAAAGACAUGUAAGUAUAUUCCUUAUUAUAAGGGAUUUAUUUCACAUUAUGUUUAUAUUGAAUCCAAACCUAUUAUUGAAUUGUAGGUUGAACAAUUACAUAAUGAAGGUCAUAUAUCUGAACACCUUCUCACAUUAUCAUGUGUUCCAAAUUCAUUAGUUACAUGCUUCAAAUGAUAUAUUGUCAAUGGAUUUAGAUCCCACAUUAAAGAACGUGAUAAAAAAGUUUUUAAAAAAAGACUCAGAAUAAUGGAAUUGUUGUAGUUGCAAAAACGUCAAGCUUUACAAGUGCAUGUGAUAUGAGUCCAAUUAUUAGUGAUGCUCUCUACUAUGGUGUUCUAACUAAAGUUGUUGAGUUACAUUAUCUUGGUGAAAAUAAGGUUGUUUUAUUCGAGUUUGAUUGGUGGGAUGUUACAAAUAUUGGAAAAUUGAUAAAAGAUGAUGAGUACAAUUACACAUUUGUUAACUUUGCAUGAAUUCUAACCACGAACGAACGAUUUGUACUUGCAUCUCCAGCAAAGUAAGUGUUCUAUGUGAAGAAUGCGAAUGAAUCAGAUUGGCAUACUAUCAUGGAGAUGCAACCUCAAGACCUCUAUAAGAUGAACGGGAUAGGAUCCAAUGGUGAUUUUGAACCAUUUCAACAAAGUGAACUACAUGAUCACUAAUAUAUCUCAGAUUUAGUUGAUGAAGAUAUAAUCAAGUGGAACAAAAGUGAUGUUUUAGGACUAAUCAUCCUAAAAAAUAUUGUAGUUUCUUAAAAAAAAAAUGAAAAUGAAGAAGAUAAUUGAACCUUUGUCAUACUUUAAAAAGCAACUAUGCAUUGUUCAUUUUGUAUGUUUUGGUUUUCUUCAUUUAAUUUCCUGAUUUUUGUGAUUCAAUGUCAUAUUAUUGAUCUUGAAAUAUUUUUCUAAUUUUUCAUUCUACGAUGGUUUCAACAAGGAUGACAUCAAGUCAAAAAAGGAAAUGUGGUCCCACACACAAUAUUGCAUUACAGGGAUUAAGGUCAGGGAAGAAGGUAAAAGUUGCAUUUAAUGAGUACAAUCAAUUGGUUAAACAGAAAAAUGGAAAACACUUAUCGAGCUACAUAGGGACACUUGUAUCUAACCAACACAAUGUACCUCUCCAAGCUAGUGAUUGGAAAAAUGUUCCAAAUGAUGCAAAAGAGAAAGUAUGGCCUUUGUUUUGGUAUGUUGUAUUUCUCACUAUAUGAUGUCAUUUCACUGUUAUUCUAUUUUGUGACUAACGUUUGAAUCAUAUGUAAGAAAAAUUUGAAGUAGAUAAAGACUGAAAAGAUUACAUGUUGGGUAUAGCCUCAAAUAAAUAUAGAAGCUAUAAAAAUAUGAUGAAUGCAAAAUACUAUGACCCUUGGCAUAAGGAUGCAUGAGGAGAGGUUAAUACAUAAAUCACCAUUUGUCUCUGAUGUUGAUUGGAAGUGGCUUGUCUCUGAUGCAUAAACCAAAUCCCCCACUGAAUGUUUGAUAUUUGAUAGCAGGAAAAACACACCCGCAGCUAUACACCUCCAUCAUUCAGAUAAUUAUAGUGGGGGAGAUGAUUCAUGGUUGCCCUUAUACCCUUUAUUUGCACCAUCUAUUGAGAUUCUUUAUCAUGGCCAGGUUUUACUGCAGCAAUAAGAUAUGGUGGCAACAAUUUUAUCUAUAGGUGCGGUUCCAGACCGCCUCCAUAGGUGCGGUUCCUGACUGCCUCCAUAGGUGCCUCUUCUUGUAAUGUUUGUUCUGGGAAUUACACUUGAAAGCCUUAUCGUGAUAAGGGAUUACAAACACUAGUUCAGAGGACAGCCAUGUUAAACUUCCACUAUGUUUGUGUCACAUUAUCAGCAGCCUAGUGUUUAUUGGUCAUGCUAUCUGCAACUAAUAUAACCCGGUGAACUUCAAUCUAAAUUCUGAAAGUACUCAUGUGACAGAUGGUGCCUUUCAGCAGAUAUCAUCAAUUUAAAAGUAGUGUGUGUGCCUAUAGGUGGGAAGGCCUUGGCAAAUGUUCAGUAUUCCGGUAAUUCAAGAAGGAUAUAUCUAAAAUAGAUUUUCUUCUUGCCCAUUUCAAUAGUUAAAAUUUGAGAAGAUUGUGUCCACAUCACACAAAUAUUAUUGGUCCUUCUGUUGCAAUUUACCUCUGAACAUGUCUUCCAAUUCCCACGGUCCUGUUACUCCAGGAAAACUAUUUCGGUCAUAUUGAAAAAAAAAAUAUUAAAGAAGGUACACAUGCUUUUAAGUGGACUGGGGCAUUCAUAUCAGGUGGUCUGUAUCCACAUAUGCCACUUCGUGAAAGGUGGAACAGCCUAAUCACUAGGCUAUUUAGUGUGGCCCAGCCACGUUAAUCAAGCACAAGUCUUCAUACUUAAAGUCAAAUGGUGUCUUUAGUCUCAUUACACAUCGCUAUUUGAAGAUUAACUCAUCACUAGUGUAAUGCGAUUAAGACAGUCCUAACUCAAUAUUUGUUCUAGUUUUGGAUGCAAAUGCUUGCUGGUUUCAUCAUUGGAUGGGAUAAAGGUGCAAUCAGGACUAUGAAUACGUGCAGUAAUACUUCAUUCUCUUUUUUCUCAAUGAGACUUCUUGGCACAAUUUUGCUGCUCAGCAACCUACCUUUCCAUGGAAAAUCAGUUGUGACUGAUAGUAAUGGAUAUAUUCUAGAAAGCUAAACAUAGAUAGCAUUCAAUAUUAUCGAUAUAACAUUAACAGCGUAUGUCUCAAUGCUCAUCAGCUACAAGCAAUGGACAAACACUUUGAGUAACUCACAGCAGUCAAAAUUCCUAAACAGGACAGACGUGACAGAUCUAUAUAUAGAACACUGCAUAUGAGUCACAGGAAAAGAUAAUACGGGUACAUAGAAGCUCUUAUUUUACAUAUUACUCAUACUGAUCAAAGUCGCUCAGUUGGGAUGGAUGGGAGAAGGAGGUUUGAGGGGUGGCUUGUGCGGGGAAGUUGGCAGCUUCUUUCCGGGAGCUGGUUGCUUCUUUGCUGGAGUUGAAGGAGGCUUAAUCUUCCGAGGUGGCUUGUAUGAGUCUUCAGCAUUCUCAGCAGGAGGGUGACCAGGGUUGUGACCAUAAUGUGGUGGCUUCUCUCCCUUAGGUGGUUUGCCAACUGGGGUUGGUGGCUUGUUUUCUGGGAGUGGCUUCUCUCCCUUGGGUGGUUUGCCAACUGGGGUUGGUGGCUUGUGUUCUGGGAGUGGCUUCUCCCCCUUGGGAGGUUUUUCGAAUGGGGUGGGUUUGUGUCCUGGUGGUGGCUUCUCUCCCUUGGGAGGUUUACCAAUUGGGGUCGGUGGCUUGUGUUCUGGGAGGGGCUUCUCUCCCUGGGGAGGUUUAGUGGGUGGCUUGUGUUCUGGAGGUGGCUUCUCCACCGGAGGCUUAUGCUCUGGUGGUGGCUUCUCGAAGGGGGGAUGCUCAGGGUAAUCACCAAGUGAGGGGGUGGUGAGAACCACCAUGCCAAGCAACAACACUAGCAAGUAUGUAGUAGACAUCUUUGGGUUUGGACUCAGACAGUGCAAAACUACGAGAAAUCGCUAGCCCUUUAUAGCGGCUCGGACCUAAUACUGACAUAAUAUAAAAUAAAUAUUAUAUUUUAUCAAGAGAGAACAGAGUGUAAUUUUAUCAUUAAUACCGAUCGAGGCCAAAGAAAGAAGACCCAUAAUCCAUUUCCCACAAGCAUACACAAUGCAGCUGUAAUUUUAUCAUUUACUUUUAUCCCUUGGACCACUGCAUUUUUGUUGAGAGACACAAUAACACAUUUUUAUCUGUCAUUCAACAUUUACAGUAAAGAGAGGGCACAAAACGCAAUUAGAUAAAUUAUGUUUUGCCUGCUAAAAAGAGGCAAAUAACUUUAUUUGCAACAUAAUUAUUUUGGUUUCUAGUGACCCCGGGGCCUUUCGGUUGGUUUGGGAUCGGAAAAUGAACAUCAUAGGGGGGGUUGUGCCCUUAUGGGCAUAUAUAUCUGAUAGCUUCAACUGGCCUUGUUCCUAGAAAGAAAUUGCCAAAGAUAUAAACUUAUUCCAGGCUGAAAGUAGAUGAGAGUCAUAAUGAACAUCAACCUUUGUUCAGUUUGAUUCAAUGCCCCCAUAGUGUUCAUUUCACAGAUCUGAAUGAUUAUAUCCGUUGAAUACAUAAAUUAAUGAAGACAAAUAUGAAACCCAAGAUACAUCUCUGCAUAACAACCCCAACCCUGGUUGCUAUGUUUCCCUUCUUCUAUUCACAUGAGGAUACUGGUUAUAAUUGUCAAACUUGCAACAAGCCCUUUGACACCUAACGUCAAUGGACGAAUUAAAAGUCUCCUUCAAACGUCUAUUUCACAGCAUGAAGCUUAUAAAGGAUGCUGACAACCUUCAGAGUUAGCGACAAAAGAUAAUUAUCAAGGAGAGAUAGUUCCAUGAGAAUUCCAAGGAGUCUGAAUCAAAGACAAAUUGCUCACUCAAGGGUUCUUAUUUUCUUUUAGGUACAAAUCUCUUGAGUGUUGUUAAAGAAACACGUCACUGUCAUUUUGAUUUGCAUUUAACAUUUCACUUUUGUUCUGGAAGGUUUGUUCCGGAAACAUAUCAAAUGAGCAUCAUUUUCUUCUUCGGUGACACAUGGUCGCGAGUACGUGGGUCCAUUUUCAUGCCACUUAGUUGAAAAGUUGGAAAGAAAAAACAUGCCAACAAGAAGAUAGUGAGAGAAGGGGCACUUCAAGCCUUUAACAUGAACAAACAGUAAAUAAAAGAUGUUUCUCCACUCAUAAAAGUGUGUUAGAUAGCAAUAUAACGAAUCACAUCCAAAAUCUUUACUAGGCUCAAACAUAAAGAAGACUCAUUUUUAAGAAAAGAUAAAAAUGGCAUUGUCUGAUAGUAUCCAAUACACGAGAUGGCACUUAAUUUGUACAAGAUCUGUCAAUGCUGACGCACAUUUUCUGAUUAAAAAAAAACUGAUCAGUCAAAAGCAAUGAAGAGAAGUGAUGACAAUGAAUGAUGCUUCCAAUAUUUUCACCCCUUAUAGUGUUCUUCAUGAUUCAGAUAUAUAAUUGGAAAUAGAACAACCCUAUGCCAUACAUUCGUCUAAGUAUGGUGUCUAAUUUUUUGUGUCAGCGGUUGCGAAUGGAGCGUGCAAAAGUCCAAAUUGGCGUCUCUCCAUUUCCACAUAGGAAGGUGACCUUUAUUGACAAAUACCCAAUAUUUGUAGACAUUCCUUAAAUAUCAUAACUUCUUGUUGAUUUGAAAAUCAUUUUUCAACUACCAUGUUUUAAUAAAUAUUUUUUAAAAUGUAUUUUUAUCAAAGUCCACCAUGAUGGAUAAUAUUCACCAUGCAAUAAUUAAUAAAGUACAAACUAAGCGAAAUGAAAAGCAUUUUCUUUGCUUUGAGUUGAUUUUGGUUGCAUUGAGUUGAUUUUGGUUUCAUGGUUUUUUCAACUCUUAUUUUGAUUGGAAGAUGUCAAGAAAAGAAAACAUAAAGAAAAAUUAAAAGGGAAAAAAGAAGAAAAAUAAAAAAAAAUAGAUUUAAAAGUUAAUAAAUUAUUUUUUAUAUUUAUUUUAAUUCAUUUCACUUAUUUUUCUUUUACUAUAUAAAAUUUAAAUAAUUUAAAUUUUAUAAUUAAUUUAAUUACAUUUCAUUUUCUUCUAUAUUUAAAUAUUGGAAAAAUAUUUUACUUAAUAUUUUUUUCUUUAAUUUCUUUGGCAUUUUGGGAACCAAACUUAGCCUUUAAAAUAAAAAACAAAAAAAAAAUGAAAAUAAGGAGGGAAAAGUGAGAAAAGAUAAAAACAAUAUGUAAAGGAUUUGAAAAGUAUUAGUUUGUAAUUACUAUUUGGAUUUCAAUAGUAUUUUAUUUGUCUUUCUAUAUUUCAUGUAAGAGAGAAUUUAAGAUAUUCCCCAAGGCAAAGCAUUAGUUACCUGCAAUCAGUGGUGAUAAGGCUCCAAGCCAAUUUUGGGCCCCAUAUCUUAAGACAGUACAAUUUCCAUUUCAACAUUUCUGAUUUCUCAGAUGUUUCACAUACCACAGAAGAACAUUGUUUGUGAAAAUAUGCAUUUAUGUUGGAUUUUGUAUGCUGUGGGGACUGGGGCAAGGAUCAUAUGGAAGAGUGGUUGACUUUUUCUGUACUUUAACGGUUGAAAUAGGAUAAGCACGGGCAUUUGUGAGGCUUAAUUGAUUUUGAAGCCUGAAAUUGCGUUUCUGUCAUUUUGUCAAAAAAAUGGCAGAUUCCAUACUCAUAUGUUUGGCCUGUGGCCAUGUACAGAUGCCAUUUAGUGACCAGUUUGUAACUGUCAAUCGUUGCGUUUUGACUCUGCCUCAACAACAUCUGCCAUUGACGGGUUUUCAUACUUGCAAAUCAAAUAGUCUUUCGUCCCAUCAGGAAUUUCGGUUUAAAUAUUAUUAAGCAUACGUUUGGCUGACAAUCAUUAUCCAGUUCAUGAUUUGGUUUCUUACCCUUAAUCAAUGGUUUCUAAGUGAAUAUAUGUAGAAGGAAAUCCGAAGUGUAGACAGUAGUAUCGAUAACUCUCAAUAUUCUCUAUAUAAUAGAAUAAACAGCGUCAUAGUGAUCGUCGCCUACAAGCAAGGUACAAAUACCAAAACGAGUGACUCACAUAGACAUCUCCCAACAAGAUGUAGUAGUGACUGACACAUGGACACAAUUAACUCGUAGAAAAGGAUAAGACCAUUGCACAGCAGCUCUUAUUUUACAUACUACUUAUGCUAACCAAAGUCAAUUAGUUGGGAUGGGUGGGAGAUGGAGGUUUGUGCGGUGGCUUGUGGGGCGGAGUUGAUGGCUUCUUUCCAGGAGCUUCUGGCUUUUUCAUCGGAGCUGAAGGAGGCUCAAUCUUAUGAGGCGGCUUGUAUGAGUCUUCUUUACUCUCGACAGGAGGGUGGCCAGGGUUGUGAUCAUAAUGUGGUGGCUUCUCUCCCUUAGGUGGCUUGCCAACUGGGGUUGGUGGCUUGUGUUCAGGAAGUGGUUUCUCUCCCAUGGGAGGUUUAGCAAUUGGGGUUGGUGGCUUGUGUUCUGGGAGUGGCUUCUCUCCCUUGGGAGGUUUAGUAGGUGACUUGUGUUCUGGAGGUGGCUUCUCCACCGGAGGCUUGUGCUCCGGUGGUGGCUUCUUGGUUGGAGGGGGCUUGGGGUAAUCAGCAAGAGAUGGGGUGGUGAGAACCACCAGUCCAAGGAACAACACUAGCAAGUAUGUGGGAGACAUUUUUGAGUUUGGGCUGAUCAGAUGAUGCAAAACUAAAGCAUUACGUGACCUUUUAUAGCAUGUAGCUCCCAAUACCCACUAAGUAUUGUGGGGUCCAUUUGUGCCCUACGGGGUUGAAAACUUAGACAAUUGGGCAAGGACCCACCUGACUAUGGAGGACUAGUGAGGUGUGAUCAUAGCUUUAGGAUUUUUCUUCCUCUGCAGCCGUCGUGCCGUUGGCAUGAUUUUCUUAAUCUUAAAUAAAGGCAUAGUUAUAGAGUUGUUUAAUCUCUAAAUGGGAUUUUAUAUAUAUCUUCAGAUAGCCAUUAAUAUAUUUGAUGAAGAAAGAAAGACAAGUGCAUACAACAUGUAUACGACUAGCUUUCAUGGAGUUCAUUUAUGAUCAGUUUUCCUGUACAUGUAAACCAGGAUCAUAUAUAUGUUUCUGUUCCACAACUAUUUUGGAAUCUUGUUUAUCAGUUUUUAUCAUUAUAAUGUCACAUAGGCUGCCAACUUGGGCGCUAAAAGAACCAGUUGGGCUAGUUCGUUUCAGAAUUUCAAUGUGGAUUCAGGAAUUGUUUUGUAAGAUAUGCGAAAUAGUAGAGGGAUGAAUAGUGUUUCAUUAAUAAAAGUGUCCUGUAAAUUAGAAGGUGUCAUAGAAACUAUAAUCAAUAAAUAACUUUUUUUCCCCACGGGUGGUGUUUCUUGUGGGGAUCAGUGACUGGUUUAGGUUCACCCAAAAUGAGUUCAGACUAAAAUUGGUUUGAGUCAAUGCCGUGUCUCUUUUUUCCAGAAAUCAACUAUUUUAUGCAUUGAAUAAAUCAUACAAAGAAAAUAUGAACGCCCGCAAAACCUAAACCCUGGUUGCUAACUUUCUAUGUUUCAGUUCUAUUCACGCAAGAAUAUUAGUUUAAGUUUGGGAAAAAUGGCAACUUACCUAGUGAUUACUUGGUUUUGGUUUGCGACUAUUUACGCAACCAACCAUGAGUUUGACUUUAACGUCAUGGGUUGAAGCCUCCUACAGGAAGGGAGAAAGCUCCACAGCUAGCUCCAAAAGAGAAUUAUCACAUUGAUAGCUCCAGAGAUUCCCAAGGGGACUGAAUCAAAGACAAGUUCCUCACUUUUUCUUCUUUUGAGGCCAAAUAUGAACCAAGGAUCACACAACCUCAUUCAACUUCAUAAGUUUGAUUUCAUGCAGUUGAACACUGGGUGAAGGCCAUGACAAGAAUUGAUUCAAAAAUUCUAUCACUCUUUUAAGUAAUGGAAGAUUAUUAUCUCUGAUUGGCAUCACAACAGCACAUGCUCCUAGAUCUUUCUAGACACUCCAUGCAAUGAAAGCACAAUGGAUCUUGUAACGAUAGAAACUAAGCCAUGCUACAGUACUAGAUGAUGAGGUAAAACUAGUAGACACGGGUGGCAGCCUAUAUGGGAGGGACACAAGUCUAAUUGAUUUGCAUUUCAGCAUUAUAGAUAGGUAUGUUUUGGAAGAUUUGUUCUGGAAAUACCGCACCAAGUAGGAUUCUUUUUCUCUUUAGUGGGUCCACUUGCAUGCCAAUUAACGAGUUGAAAAGUAUGAGCACCUACCUCGUGCUCGUGGAACCGAAGGUCAGUGAAGUGGGGCUCCUUUUGGCCUCGUGUAAACUUGAUUCAGAAGUGAAGUUAAUAGUCUUCCAUUCAGAUGGAUACAUGGGAAUUUUUCUCUUUUAUUUAUUUAUUUAUUUUUUUUUUGUGUGUGUAUGUCAAAGGAUAAUGAAUGAAGCGCGUUAGCUUGUUUUCUGACUGGAACCGCAGAUGUCCAAAUUGGAGUUCCUUCAUUUCUUACUUAGGAUUGUUACAUGUAUAAACAAGGUAUAAGAAAUAUGCCAACGUGUCUUGAGGAGUUAUUGAUUAGAAAUAACAAGUCACCCGACUGUAGAGUUCCAAGAUUUGAAUCUUCAGACCCUAUAGCAGCCUCUGGGGUACGUGGCAUCCUAUAGCAUAUUAAUGAAGGCUUUUUCGAUUUAGACUUCACAAUACCAAUUAAUAUGUAUGCACAAAAUGGAGAUGACCCCAAAAAAAACAGAAUCGCCAUAGUUUAUGAGGUUAAGGUGAUUCUCCACUUAAUAUCUACAUUAGCUAAUUAUGUAAAUCAAAUGAACUUCUAUUUUUCCUUUUUUUUUUUGGUUUAUGUCAAAUAGUAGCCCAUAAUUAACCCAACCAUUAGCCUGUUUGAAUUGAUUUCACAUGCACAAUGUUGUAGUAGUUCAUAUUUUGAAUUUUAUUUUUACAAAGGUAGUUAAGGAAAAUGAAGUAUAAUAAUUAUAAAAGCAGACUAUAUACACUACAAUAAUUGUUAGAAUGGUAUCUCAAAUUCUAAUUUAAAAUAUUAUUUUUUGUAAAAGAAAUAUUAUAUAGAAUAUUUCCUAAUUUUAUAAAUGAUUAUAAUUAGAUCUUUAUAAAAUAAGGAAAGUUGGUAAGAAUAUCUUUAUAAAUAUUUUAGGUCAUGAGAGAAAGAAAUGGGAUAAAAAUGUGAUGAAGAGGUGAAAUAAGAGAGUUGAUUAGGAUAUAGAUGUGAAGAAGAAAGGGAUUCAAUAUAUAUAUAUCUUUCAAUUACCACAUUAAAACCCUGUGAACCUUUUAUAUGGUUUACUUUAUUUUUAUAUUCCUCCUUUAAUAUAUUUACAUUAAUGCUUCCAUUGGCACAACAAUAACGAAUUACAAAUACAAGCAACAAGUCCCAUGUUUUAUUACCAAAAGCAGGUAAAAUCCACCUAAUAUAUUACAAUAUAUUCAUCCAAUAUUUUAGACCAAUUCUUCACCAUAAAUAUCAUAAUGUGGCUUUUGUUCUUUCUUAAAUUUAAAUUGAAUUGUCUUAUAUCAAUUUGUUUGUGAUUUUUUCAUUAACUUCACUUUCAUUUGGUUAUCUUUGGUUUUUGAAAAGUAUUAAGGAAUUAAUUAACAAAAUAAUGUUAAGAAAAAUAAUUUUCUCUCUUUUGAUUUUGAUUUUGUAGUAGAAAAAUAUAAUUAAAAUUAUUUAAAAAGUAUGUAAUUUUAAAUUAUUUAAUAUUUAGAUAAAAAAAAUAAGUCUAAUGAGUUUAAAAUAACAUAUAAAAAUAAUUUAUUUAUUUUAAAUUUAUUUUUUAUUUUCCAUUAUGUUCUCUUUCUCUUUUACUUUUUCAUAUUUUUUCUUACGAAGAAUCAAACACAACCUCAUAUUAUAUGUCAAGUGUUUGUCUAUAUUUGAGCAAUGUUAGAUACGGCCAUGGAUUCAUCAAACUAAACUGAUUUUAAUAGAUACUUCACAAAUUGAUUUAUACACUAAAUCAUUGGAUAGCAAUGAUGCAUUGGAAUUAAACGUAGGAUGAAGCUCGAAGAACACUGUUUGUGUAACAACAUAUUUAUGAAAUUAUGCAAAGGAUGAGCUUCGGGGUAGUAGUACAAGGUCAUUAAUGGAGAGCCGUGUUAAACCUUGAUUGUGAUUGGAUUCCGUUAUCAGCAACAGCAACCUUGUUUGUAACCUUGAAAGUCAUUCUGUCCACAUCGAAACUCCAAUUUGACGUUUGUAAUUACCAUUCCUGGAGUGUUCCUUGAUUGAAAUUUAAAUAAUAAUUGCGGCCCACAAGGAAUAUUUUCGAUUCUGUGGGAAUUUGACAAGGUUUGUUAGAGAAGACUGGUGACAUGUUGACUUCAAUGGUUCAAAUAGGAGACGUAUGUGGAUUUGGGGGGUUUAAUUGAAACUGAGUCCCUAUGGCUUUUUAAUAUUUGCAUUGAGCAGUCUCCAUGUGACUUCCUAAUUCCCACCAACCCUCCUGUCCAUGCUGUGAAACUAAAUUGUAAUUUAUCAGCCUUUGUCAAUGGUUUCUAAAUUAAAGAUAUAGACCAUGCAUGUACUUUAAUAAAAGCAAAUCUAAAGUGUAGAUAGCAGCAAUGGUGACACCCAAUAUUCUCCAUAAAAUAGAAUUAGAAUAAGCAGUGUUACAUUGUUCAUGAUCACCUACAAGCAUACAAGAACUUCCAUGAAUAACUCAUAGCAAUUGCCAACAGGGCGUCGUAGAGACUCAUACAUAGAACACUAUCCACCCAGAGGAAAGGACAAGACCAGUGCGCUGCAGCUCUUAUUUUUCACAUGUAUACCACCACUCGUAAUAACCAAAUUCACUCAGUUGGGAUAGGUGGGAGAUGGUGGUUUGUGGGGUGGCUUGUGGGGAGGAGUUGGAGGAGGCUUUAUUUUCUGAGGCGGCUUGUAUGAGUGUGCAGGAGGAUGCCCGGGAGUGUGACCAUAAUGUGGUGGCUUCUCUCCCGUAGGUGGUUUGCCAAAUGGGCUUGGUGGCUUCUCUCCCUUAGGAGGUUUACCAAUUGGGGUUGGUGGCUUGUGUUCUGGGAGUGGUUUCUCUCCCUUGGUAGGUUUGCCAAUUGGGGUUGGCGGCUUAUGUUCUGGGAGUGGCUUCUCUCCCUUGGGAGGUUUGCUAAUUGGGGUUGGCGGCUUAUGUUCUGGGGGCGGCUUCUCUCCCUUGGGAGGUUUGCCAAUUGGAGUUGGCGGCUUAUGUUCUGGGAGUGGCUUUUCUCCCUUGGGAGGCUUGCCAAUUGGGGUUGGCGGCUUAUGUUCUGGGGGUGGCUUCUCUCCUUUAGGAGGUUUGCCAAUUGGAGUCGGCGGCUUAUGUUCUGGAAGUGGCUUUUUUCCCUUGGGAGGUUUGCCAAUUGGGGUUGGCGGCUUAUGUUCUGGGGGUGGCUUCUCUCCCUUGGGAGGUUUGCCAAUUGGAGUCGGCGGCUUAUGUUCUGGGAGUGGCUUCUCUCCCUUGGGAGGUUUUGUUGGUGGCUUGUGUUCUGGAGAUGGCUUCUCCCCUGGAGGCUUGUGCUCCGGAGGUGGCUUCUGAAAUGGCGGGGGCUUGGGGUAAUGAGCAAGAGAUGGAGUACUGGUGAGAACCACCAUUCCAAGCAACAAUACUAGCAAGCAUGUGGGAGAC